UCCAGUUUAUUUUUAUUUAUAUAAUUUUCAUUUAGCGUUUUAUUCAUAAUUGGUUUAUCACACAUCAUUAGCAUUGCAUACGUCAUUGAUCUCAUACAAAUAAUGGCAGAUUAAUUAGAAGAUCACCUUCACCACCCUUAGAUAUAGCUGACACAGGAGCUGAAACUUUUUUGGAGCACGAAAAUGACCAAGCCUUGCAAAAUCUUCAUGAACAGCCUAGGACUCUUAGAGACUUCAUGCAUCCUACUAGAACAGGGUCACCAUCAUGCAUAGUUUUCCCUCCUGAUGCAUCACGUUUUAAUUUCAAACUUGGUAUCAUUCAACUUCUUUAUACUUUUCAUGGUUUUGAGUCUGAAAAUCCAUAUUUGCAUUUAAGGGAAUUUGAGGAAGUCUGUAAAACAUGUACUGAUCAAAAUUGUAGCAUGAAUAUAAUCAGGCUUAAGUUUUUUCCUUUCUCACUAAAGGAUAAAGCUAAAACUUGGCUACAAAAUCUUAGGUCAGGAUCUAUCAGAGCUUGGGAUGAAAUGCAAGCACAAUUUUUGAAAAAAUUCUUCCCACCCCACAGAACAAAUUCUUUCAAAAGACAAAUCACCACAUUACUCAAAAACCAGGAGAAACCCUUUACCAAUGUUAGGAUAUGUUUAAAGAACUACUUAACAUUUUCCCACACCACGGUUUUGAAAUAUGGAGAUUAAUGUCUUAUUUCUACGAGGGAUUAACAUCCCAAGGUAGACAAGUCGUUGAAAUGAUGUAUAAUGGUGAGUUUAGGGAUAAAAGUCUUGAAGAUGCAUUAGACUAUCUUGAUUAUAUGGCAGAGAAUGCACAACACUAGGAUACAGUUGGUUCUUAUGAAUCAUCAAGUAAACCCCAGCCAUCUCCAUCUGGUGGAGGCAUGCAUAACCUUAGGGAAGACCAUGAUUUUCAAGCCAAAUUUGCAUCCUUAGCUAGAAAAGUCAAAGCAUUAAAGUUGAAAAAGAAUGAUCAUGUAAAGUCUGUUCAAAAUAUUUCAUGUUAUGUUUGCGAUUCUACUGACCAUUCUACGCAGGAUUGUCCAACCUUGCUAGCUUUGAGAGAAAGUUUGUACGAACAAGUAAAUGUCGUUGACAAUUUCAAUAGGGCAAAUCCAAAUCCAUACUCUUAAACUUACAACUCUGGUUGGAGAAACCACCCAAAUUUUAGUUGGAGAAAUAACAAUCAUGCACAACCUUCACAACCAGUUCCUCCACGUCAAAAUUUCCAAAACCCCCAGAGUUACCAACCAUAUGUCCCACCACCAAGAAAAACUCUAGAAGACACAUUGCAUUUGUUUAUUGAAAAACAAGAGUCGAUCAAUAACCAAACGAUGCAAACCUUAACCAAUUUGACAGAAACUAUCUCCAAACUUACAUAUGUUCUGACCAUGCAUGAAAAAGGAAAGUUUCCUGUUGAACCUGAACCAAACCCCAAGAGUCAACAACAUCCUCAAAUGGGAAAUUAAGGAAACCAAAAUAUAAGUCAAGUCAAAUCGGUUAUAACUCUUCGUGGUGGUAAAGUGGUCGAAAAACACAUUGUGGACCCUCAUGAAAUUAGUAAAGAUUCAAUUUCAAAAAAUAGGGAAGAGUCUGUUGAUCCUUUAACCUAUGAAGAAAUAACUAACUCUCCUCAUGUACCCCCAUUUCCUCAAGCAUUAAUCAAACCAAAGAAAUCAAACCACAGUUCAUAAAUUUAUGAAGUUUUUAAACAAGUAAAUGUCAACAUUCCUCUACUGGAUGUUAUUAAACAUGUGUCUUGUUAUGCUAAAUUUUUGAAAGAUCUAUGCACAGUGAAAAGGAAACAUAAAACAGGUAAGUUUCAUUCUCUCAACCAAUAGUGCUUUGAAAUACAAGGAUCCUGGUUGUCCAACUAUUUCUUGCAUUAUUGGGGAUCAUAAAAUUGGACAUACUUUACUUGAUUUUGGUGCUAGUGUUAAUUUGCUUCCUUACUUAGUGUACCAACAACUCAACCUCGGUGAGUUAAAACCAACUUCUACCACUCUUUUACUUGCUAAUAGAUCGAUUAAAGUUCCAAAUGGAAUAAUUGAAGGUGUAUUAGUCCGAGUCGAUAAAUUCAUAUAUCUUGUGGAUUUUAUUAUUUUGGAAACGGAACCAAUUGCUAAUGAAUGCAAAUAAAUUCUUGUUAUAUUGGGUCAACCAUUUUUAGCUACUUCUAAUGCUUUAAUUAAUUGCAGGAAUGAAUUAAUGAAUUUAUCUUUCGGCAACAUGACAUUGGAACUCAAUGUGUUCAACAUGUGUAAACAACCCCACUACCAAGAAGAUGAUGAUAAUGAGAACGAGGUGAUUGAUCUCAUUGAGCCAAUCUUUAAGGAACAUAUUCAGGAUGAGAAUUUUACAAACUCUGUGGAAAUUUAUUUUGCUGGUUCUUUUGAAUCAAGUAAAGACUUAAAUUGUGAUACUGCUAACAUAUGUUCUACACUUGAUUCUAUGCAAGUAUUUACAAGUGACAAUGACUAAUCGAACUUUGAAGAUACAAUACAACCUGAAGAACCAAACGAAGAGGAAGCACCAGAGCUUGAAUUAAAGCCCUUACCAGAAGAAUUGAAGUAUGCCUAUCUUGGAGAGCAGCAGACAUAUCCGGUGGUAAUUGCUUCUCAGUUCAUGCAUGAUCAAGAAGGCAAGUUGUUAUCUAUACUAAAAAGACAUAAAAAUGCAUUUGGUUGGACCUUAAAAGACAUAAAAGAUAUUAAUCCUUUAAUUUGCACACAUCGAAUACACUUAGAGGAAAAUGCCAAAACAACCCGUCAACCACAAAGAAGACUAAACCCUCAUAUGAAAGAAGUGGUAAAGAAUGAGUUCCUUAAACUACUAAAUGUAUGAAUUAUCUAUCCUAUCUCUGAUAGUAAAUUGGUAAGUCCAACACAAGUAGUUCCAAAGAAAUCUGGAAUAACUGUUAUAAAAAAUGAAAAAUGUAAACCAAUCCCAACACCAAUUCCAUUUAGUUGGCGCAUGUGCUUUGAUCACAGAAAAUUAAAUGAUGCCACUAGAAAAGAUAAAAUUUCCCUUCCAUUUCUAGACCAAAUUCUCGAAAGAGUAGCUGGACAUCCCUACUACUGCUUUCUUGAUGGAUACUCUGGCUAUUAUCAAAUCCCUAUAGCCUUAGAAGACUAGGAAAAGACCACAUUCACAUGCCCAUUUAGAACAUUUGCAUUUAGGAGAAUGCCUUUUGGAUUUUGUAAUGCUCCUGUAACAUUUCAAAGGUACAUGCUAAGCAUUUUUAGUGACAUGGUUAAAAAUUAUCUAGAGGUUUUUAUGGAUGAUUUAACUGUAUUUGGUAAUUCUUUCGAUACAUGUCUUGAUAAUCUAGAAAAAGUUUUGGAAAGGUGCAAAGAAAAAAGACUAGUUUUAAAUUGGGAAAAAUGUCAUUUCAUGACCACUUUUGGAAUUGUCUUGGGCCAUGUUGUGUCUUCAAAAGGAACUGAAGUUGACAAAGCCAAAGUUGAAGUUAUUUCAAAAUUACCCUCACCAAAGAUAAUUAGAGAAGUUUGUUCCUUUUUAGGACACGCAUGAUUUUAUAAGAGGUUUAUAAAAGACUUUAGUGCCAUAUCUAGACCACUUUUUAACCUCAUAAUAAAAUAAACACCUUUUGAAUGGACUAAAGAUUGUCAACAAGCUUUUGAAAAAAUAACUACUCUUUUGACAUCAACACCAAUAAUGCAACCCCCUGAUUGGUCUUUACCUUUUGAGUUAAUGUAUGAUGCUAGUGAUUAUGCCGUUGGCACUGUUCUAGGUCAAAGAAAGGAAGGUAAGCCCUUUGUCAUCUAUUAUACAAGUAGAACUUUGAAUAGUGCUCAAAUGAAUUACACUACAACUAAGAAAGAACUACUUGUUGUAAUAUAUGCAUUGGAUAAAUUUUGUUCAUAUUUAAUUGGUUCAUCUACUAUUGUUUAUUCUGAUCAUGCUGCUGUGAGAUAUUUAAUGUCAAAACAAGAUGCUAAACCAAGGUUGAUACAAUGGAUUUUGCUACUUCAAGAAUUUAACUUGACAAUCAAGGACAAAAAAGGCGCUGAAAAUGUUGUUGCAGAUCAUCUUUUAAGACUUACGAAUGAGUCUUCAAUUAAAACAACACUUAUUAAUGAUUCUUUCCCUAAUGAAUUUUUAUUUUCUAUAAACAAAAUGCCUUGGUAUGCUAAUAUUGUUAAUUAUCUUGCAACAGGUGAAAUGCCAUGUGACUGGAGUUCCUAGGACAAGAAUAAAUUCUUAACAGAAGUGAAAAGCUUUUACUGGGAUGAUCCAUACCUAUUCAAGUACUGCUCUGACCAAAUUUUUUGAAGAUGCAUACCAAACGACGAGGUAAGUAGGGUCAUUCAAUUUUGUCAUUCUAAAACAUGUGGUGGCCAUUUUUCUUAAAAAAAGAUAGCUGCAAAAAUAUUGCAGUGUGAAUUUUAUUGGCCUACAUUAUUUAAAGAUUCACAUGCAUUCUGUAAAGUGUGUAAGAAUUGUCAAAUGGUAGGGUCUAUUUCAAAGUGAAACAUGAUGCCUUUAAACCCUAUCCUUGUCAUUAAAAUAUUUUUAUUGUUGGGGAAUUGAUUUUAUGCGUCCUUUUCCAUCAUUAUUUGGAUUUGUAUACAUUUUGGUUGCUGUUGAUUAUGUUUCAAAAUAGAUCGAGGCGAUUCCUUGUCGGCACAACAAUCACAAGAUUGUGAUCCGCUUUUUAAAAGAAAAUCUUUUGAGUAGAUUUGGAAUACCUCGAGCCAUUAUCAGUGAUGGAGGUAAGCAUUUUUGUAAUAAGCCAUUUGAGUCAUUAAUGAAGAAAUAUGAAAUUACACAUAAAGUUGUUACCCUUUAUCACCCUCAAACAAGUGGUCAAGUUGGAAUUAACAAAUAGGGAGAUAAAAUAAAUUUUAGAAAAGACAGUUAAUUCAAACCGUAAAGAUUGGUCUCUUCGACUAACUGAUGCACUUUGGGCAUAUCGUACUGCUUUUAAAACAUCUUUAGGAAUGUCACCUUAUAGGCUUGUUUAUGGAAAAUCUUGCCACUUACCAGUUGAACUUGAACAUAAAUCAUUUUGGGCCAUUAAAGGUUUUCAUUCAAAUCUUGAUGAUGCUGGUAAUGUGUGUAAAUUGCAAUUAAAUGAACUUAAGUAAUUAAGGAAUGAUGCAUAUGAGAAUUACAGAAUUAUUAAGGCAAGACCAAAUUUUUUUUCAUGACAAAAGAAUUUUUCGGAAAACAUUUGAAAUUGGUCAAAAAGUGUUGCUUUAUAAUUCUCGUCUUCAUUUAUUUCUAGGGAAGUUAAAGUCAAAGUGGAAUGGUCCAUUUGUUGUAAAAAUUGUGUAUCCAUAUGGAGCCGUAGAAAUUGAGAAUCUAAAGGAUGGUGUCACAUUUAAAGUUAAUGGUCAAAAGUUAAAAUUAUAUCUGAAAUACCAACCACGUGAAGCAGAUACCGAAAUCAAUUUGAGUGACCCACCAAAUUUUAAUUAAGCCUUUUCAUUUUAACUUUUUGUGAAUUUGAUUUACUAUUACUUUAUCGUUUGAAUUGUUUUAUUUUUUUUCCUUUUCCCUAUGUCUUGAAUGGAGUGCAUUACAUUGUUUUUAAUUGUGUGUUGUUUGACAAUUGUUCUUUAGCUCACCAAAUUUUUAUACUUGUCAUAAGUACCUCCAUGAGAAGUUUCCUUUUCGAUCAUCUUAAAGAACUUUUACAUGUAAAAUUUCACAUGAGGAAAUUGCUCCGAUUUUAUAAAUCACAUCUCAUUUAGGAUGUACAACCACCAGAGUUAGUAUCCCGCGUGAAAGAUCUAGAAAGACAACUCAAGGAAAUAGAGGAUGGUAUUUAUAAUCUGCAUUUGGAAUUGAAGGUAAAUUCAAUAAACGGACAAAGGUGAGUUAUAUUCCUUGUGUGUUUUUGUUUUAUUUUGUUGUUCUUCUUCACUUUUGAUCUAAUGUUGUAAAUUUGAUUCGUUUUGUUUUGAUUCACUCUCCCAUAUAAAUGGCGGAUAACAGUACUCCGUGACUUUUUAAGUCGGUAUUCUCAGUUUCCCACAAUAACUGAAACCUUAAUGUCAAGCAUGGAAGAAAUACAACGAAAAUUACAUCAAUAUUUUCCUUCUCUCCCUCAAAAUGCUCUUAAGAAGAUUUACAAAGCUCGAUGUGAAUGACUGCGUUUGUUAAUGAUCAAUGGGAUUCCUACUGACAUUCGUUGGUUAAUUAAAGCAAAGGUCUGAUUGGCAGGUGAAUUUUCUGAUCCAUUCAUUUCCUACAUGUCUGGUUUUGGUAAAAGUACAUUUGCUAAGAAAAGAAGAGCUAAGCGACUUGGCUCUGAAUGUUCUCACUGUGUAAGACUUGCUUGCAAAAAGCCACGUUGUAAAACUGUAGGAAUGGUUUCUGUAAAUUGUGAAGAUAAAAUCAAAUUCGUUAAAGAUGGCAUGAGUAAAGAAUCGUUGGAUGAUAUCUUACGAUCUCUUGAGACGCAUCUGAGCGGAUAUGUUCAAUGUGAAAUUCAAAAUUUGUGGAAGCUGUUCCAAAAGGAAAGUGCACAGUUUAGUCUUGGGAAUUUGACUCUAAAAGACAAUGUUUGCCAGUUUAUAAGAAAACUAGAUGAGAAGCCUAUCUUUGACCCAUAGAAGGCGUUCAAGCCAUUACUGGACGUAAAACCAGAGGAAGAUGUGAGGCACAAUCACAACUACCAAUAAAUAUCAUUUUAUUUUACUUUUCUUUCUUCUUUUGUAUUAUUAUUAUUAUUGUGUGUUUUUUUUAUAUCUAAUCACUAUUUGCCUUUGAAUUAUUAAGCUAAAAGCUUCACGCGACAUUUGACAAACACACCACCCCAUUUACAGAUGUCUAUAAUUAUGUCCGUCACCAAGAUCCUUAAAUAGGAGAUCCUUUUCAAGUACUCACAAAUUGUUUCUUUUAGAAUUUUUUAAAUGGCAGCAACUUCAAGCAGACAACUAAAGAACAUUUGUGUGCUUUCUAGAUUUCACUAUGAAAAUUAUAAGGAGUUCGUUCAGGCAGCCAUAGAUAUUGGCCGUGCUAUAACAGAGAGGAAACUACAUCUUGUAUAUGGAGGAGGUGACCAAGGGUUAUCAAAGCUUGUCUCUGAAGCUGCUUUCAUUCGAGGAAGCCAAGUGCUAGGCAUCAUUCCAAAAUCCUUAAAACCUUUAGGAUGUAUGCCCAACCCACAAACUGGAGAAGAGUUAGUUGUCUCCAAUAUGCAAGAAAGAAUAUCCCAAAUGUUAAAUCAUGCUUACGCUUUCAUUUUCUUGCCAGGCGAUCUUACAACUUUAGAAGCGCUAAUUACAUUUGCUUCUUGGGCUCAUUUGAAUAUCCAUAAAAAACCAAUCGGUUUGUUAAAUGUUAAUAACUUUUAGGAUGGCUUAAUAGCAUUUCUUAAUCAUGCAAUUAAAAAUUAUUUCAUUCCACCAUGAGCGAAAAUACUCUUUAUUUGUACUUCUAUUGCUAAUGAGUUACUUGAUCUUUUGUAAGCUUACAAACCAGAGCCUGACCUCAUGACUUUGGCGUUGGAUUGGGCAACUAAUGAUGAUGGCAAUAACCCUCGUAAAAAGUGUAAAUUAUAUUUAACUCUCCGUUUGUAAAUAUUUUCAGCAGUGGCCAGGUGAUAUCUUCUAAACUCUACUCCUUUCUUUAGACAUUGAGGACAAUGUCUCCUUCAGGUUGGGGGGAGGGAAUAGUUGAUAAUGUGGAAUGUCUCAGUCUUGGUGAUAUUUUUACUAAUUUUUAUUGUAAAGACUAACUUUGGAUAAAAAUUUGAGUUGUAGAUGGCAGAAGAUAGAAUGUAGUGUCUCUAAAAACGCAUCUUCUUAAUUUUAUUGUUUUGUUUUUAAAUUUUUUUUUCUUGUUUUCUAACUUUUUGUUUUCUGUCUUUUUCUCUUAAUUAUCUCCCUUAAGUUUCCGUAAUCAGUCUUAAUUUUUUAGUGUUUCUUUAACAAAAAAAAGUUUUCUUUUUCGGUGUGAUCUUUUAACAUUGGAUAACAUGAUGAUUUUCAAAUUUUGGUAUUUGUAUUAUCUUUGGCCUUGAGUUAUGUUACACUAUAUUUUCCCCUUUGCAUUUUGAAACGUAAAUUGAGAAAUUUGAUGAGUGAAAUUGAUUAAGCCAUUUGGAGGAAUGUACAUAUCAUGAAAAGACCAAGUGAGUUUUUGAGCCUAUUAUCCUUGGAGAGUAACCAUGUUUGCCUAUACAGCUUCACAAUUUAUUGUACAAGAUCUCUAUAUUUUUUUAAAGUAAAAAGAAAAAAAGAGAAAGUUUUUGUAGGCUCAUCUAAAAGUUCAUUAAACUAGUGGAUAUGAAAGAUAUUUAGAGCCCUAAAAAAUGACAGAAGGUCAUCUUUGAUCCGUUUGAGCCUUUCUAGCCAACCCUAUUAUAGAAUAUCCAUAGUUAACCCCUUUGAGCCUAAAAAAAAAAAAACUUUUUCUUUGGUAACCUAUCAUCUUUUCCUACUCCAAUGUGGAGUAUCACCUUAUGUUUUAUAUUUUCCAUCACCCAAUUAUGUUUGAAAAUAGGAAUGAUUAUGUAUUUCUAAUAAUGGUGCUAUGAUAAAAAAAGAGAGGAUAUGUAUAUAUAAAUAAAUAAAAUAAAAAGAAAAAAGAGCAAAAAAAAAAUCCAAACAAAAAAAAGCACCUUGAUACCUCCAAAAAGUCCCCUAUUUUUCAAAAUAUAUAUUUUUGUUUUUCCUAUUACCCUUUUUUGUUAGUCAUGACCCUAGCCUACGUUGCGUCCUAAUAAAAGUCAUUAUUGAUUUUAGGGAACUAUAGUUUGAAGUAAAGCUGGUGAUACGGACUAAAAGAUGUGGUGAUGCAUAAAAAUAAAAAUAAUUUUUGCUAGUAAUUCCUUAGACUUGAGAUCAUUUUAUUUAUAAGCCGUGGACAUUAUUUUUUCGUCUUGGUGAGAGCGUGUGAUAUUGUUUUAUUAUUCUCUCAAAUCUACCAUAUUUAGAGUGACAAUUUAAUUUGGGGUAUAUUUUCUUUUGAGAGAGUCACUCUUAAUCGUGAGGUUUUGAGGUUUGAUGUAUUAUUUUAAAAGUGGCUUGAUUAAUGUAGCUCUGAUAAUUGAUCAUUUUACAUGAUUUUACUUAACUGUUUUGUGUGGGUGUGAUUUUCUUUAGGUGAAGAUAAUGCUUAUACUUUUAUUUGAUUGUUGUCAUUAAUAUGAUGAAAGAAGUAAACACAAUUUUCAAAAAAAAAGAAAAGAGAUUUUCAAUUUGAGUUUGAAAUUUUACUAAACCUUUAUCGCUUAAAUUGCUAGGGCCAAGCAAUAAACUGAUUGGGGGGGGUGUGAUUGACACUAAAAAGUGUACAUUUAAUAAGGAUAAAAUUAUUAAUUUUUCACUUAUUGUGUAGAUUAAUGCACUCAUUAUUUCUAAAUUAUUUUAAUACUCCCCAAAUAUAUUUUAUGUUAAAUUAAUUCGCAAUAUGUUAAUUUAUAUCUUGUAAAUAUUUUUCAGGAAUAAAGAUAGAAUUGGAGUUGAAAGCAGGAACAAAGAAGGACGGUUGGAGCAAUUUUGAAUUCAUCAAUCAAGGAGAUGUUAUUAAAAAUAAAAAAAUAAAAAAAGAUUGGCAAGCAUGUUGGUGAUGGUCAGGAGGCGUGAUGGCCUCUUGACCAUCACACAAUUCAGUAUGUAUAUAUAAUAUAAAAAUAAAAUAAAAUAUUAAUAUUAAUAAAAGAAAAGAAAAGAAGAUGAUUCCCUUGCCUAUAAAAGGCAAGGGGAUGCAAGCGAAUGAGGAGGCCAGAAGCUAGAGAGCCGAGUUAUGAGAGAGAGUGAUAACCAAGGGUGUAACUAAAGAAUUUAUUUCUUUUUUUGUUUCUUUUCUUUUUUUGUUUCCGUCUGUAUCAAUUUUCUUUGUAACAUAUUUCAAAAAGUUUAUCAAAUAAAAAUAGUGGUGUGUUUUCUUUCAAUAUGAGUGACUAAUUUUAUUAAGCUGAGGUGAAGGGUGAAGCUUAAUGUUUCAAACUAUUAAAUUUAUUGUGUUCUCAAAUGAGUUUUUAAGUUUAAUUUAUUCUUUUCUAGUUAUUUUUAUGUCAUAUUAAUUUAUAUAUUUUCUUGGAUCUGUAUGGUAUUUUGACAUAAUGUCGACACAUUAAUAUAGUGUGGCAUAUUAGGUACUUUAUUCCAUAUUUAUCCACACACAUAGAAUUAAAUGCUAUAAUAAUUAACUGGUAAAAGUGAGGCAAAAUAUAAAUGAGAGAGUAUUAAAAUUAUAGUUUGAAUACUGAGAGUGGAUCCCGUAACUUUAGCAUAUUUUUAAAUUAUUUUCAAAUAAUUUAUUUUCCCCACAAUUAAUUUUCUUUGUUUAACAAAUUGACAACUAGAUUUUAAAAUUCCCUGUGGUUCGACCCCGGACUCACUGGGUUAUAUUAUAACUAGACGCUCUUAUACUUUAGAGUAAUAAACUUUUGAGUCGUGUCACCAGGCUUAUGUUUUUUCCUUUCUCACUAAAAAAUAAAGCUAAAACUUGGCUACAAAAUCUUAGAUCAGAAUCUAUCAGAACUUAGGAUGAAAUGCAAGCACAAUUUUUGAAAAAAUUCUUUCCACCCCACAAAACAAAUUCUUUCAAAAGACAAAUUACCACUUUAACUCAUACGUUAGGAGAAACCCUCUAUCAAUGUUGGGAUAGGUACAAAGAGUUACUUAACAUUUGUCCACACCAUGGUUUUGAAAUAUUGAGGUUAGUGUCUUAUUUCUACGAGGGACUAACAUCCCAAAGUAGAUAGAUCGUUGAAAUGAUGUGUAGUGGUGAGUUUAGGGACAAAAGUCCAGAAGAUACUUUAGAUUAUCUCUUGACUAUAUAGCAGAGAAUGCAAAACACUAGGAUACAGUUAGGUCUUAUGAGUCAUCGAGUAAACCUCAGUUAUCUCCAUCUGGUGAAGGCAUGUACAACCUUAGGGAAGACCAUGACCUUCAAACCAAAUUUGUAUCUAUAACUAAAAAACUCGAAGCAUUAGAGUAAAAAAAGAAUGAUCAUGUAAAGUCUGUUCAAGAUAUUUCCUGUUAUAUUUACGAUUCUACUAACCAUUCUAUACAAGAUUGUCCGACCUUGCUAGCUCUAAGAGAAAGUUUGCACGAAUAAGUAAAUGUCGUCGACAAUUUCAAAAUGUCAAAUUUCUAUCCAUACUCCCAAACUUACAACUCCAGUUAGAGAAACCAUCUAAAUUUCAGUUGGAGAAAUUACAAACAUGCAUAACCUUCACAACCAGCUCCUCCACGUCAAAAUUUCCAGAACUCCCGGAGUUACCCACCAUAUUUCCCACCACCAAGAAAAACUUUGGAAGACACAUUGCAUUCAUUCAUUGAAAUACAAGAGUCUAUUAAUAACCAAACAAUGCAAACCUUAACCAAUUUGACAGAAAUUGUCUCUAAACUUACAUCUGCUCUCACCAUGCAUGAAAAAGGUAAGUUUUUUACUCAACCUGAAUCAAGCCCCAAGAGUCAACAAAACCCUCAACUGGGUAAUUCAGGAAACCAAAAUAUGAGCCAAGUGAAAUGGAUUAUAUCUCUUCGUGGUGGUAAAGUUGUCGAAAAAUAAAUUAGUAAAGGUUCAAUUUUAGAAGAUAGGUAAGAGUUUGUUGAACCUUUAACCCAUUAAGAAAUAACUAACGCUCUUCCUGUACCCCCAUUUCCUCAAGCACUAAUCAAGCCAAAGAAAUCAUACUACAGUCCAAAAAUUUAUAAAGUUUUUAAACAAGUGAAGGUCAGCAUUCCUCUACUAGACGUCAUUAAAUAGAUAUCAUCUUAUUCUAAAUUUCUGAAAGAUAUGUACACUAUGAAAAGGAAACAUAAGGUGCAAAAGAAAGCUUUUCUAGCACAACAAGUACUAAUAGGUGAUGACCAAUCGAACUUUGAAGAUACAACACAACUUGAAGAGCCAAAUGAAGAAAAAGUACUAGAGCUCAAAUUAAAGCCCUUACCAGAAGAAUUAAAAUAUGUCUAUCUUGGAGAGCAGCAUAUAGAUAUGAUGGUAAUUUUUUCUUAACUCACGUAUAAUCAUGAAGGUGAAAUGCCAUAUGACUGGAGUUCACAAGAUAAGAAGAAAUUCUUAAUAGAAGUGAAACGUUUUUACUAGGAUGAUCCAUACCAGUUCAAGUAUUGUUCUAAUCAAUUUUUUCGAAGAUGCAAACCAGACAAUGCGGUAAGUAGGGCCAUUCAAUUUUAUAAUUCUAAAGCAUGUGGUGGCCACUUUUCAUCAAAAAAUACAAUUGUAAAAAUAUUGCAGUGUAGAUUUUAUUGGCCUACGUUAUUUAAAGAUUCACAUGCAUUCUGCAAAGUGUGUAAAAAUUGUCAAAUGGUAGGGUUUACUUCAAAGCGAAACAUGAUGCCUUUAAACUCCAUCCUUGUCAUUGAAAUAUUUGAUUGUUGGGGAAUUAAUUUUAUGGGUCCUUUUCCAUCAUCAUUUGGAUUUGUAUAUAUUUUGGUUGCUGUUGAUUAUGUUUUAAAAUGGAUUGAGGCGAUUCCUUGUCAGCAUAAUGGUCACAAGACUGUGAUUCACUUUUUAAAAGAAAAUCUUUUGAGCAGAUUUGGAAUACCUCGAGUCAUUAUCAAUGAUGGAGGUAAGCAUUUUUGUAAUAAGCGAUUUGAGUCAUUAAUGAAGAAAUAUAGAAUUACACAUAAAGUUGAUACACCUUAUCACCCUCAAACAAGUGGUCAAGUUGAAUAAACAAAUACGGAGAUAAAAUAAAUUUUAGAAAAGACAGUUAACCAAACCGUAAAGAUUGGUCUCUUCGACUAACUGAUGUAUUUUGGGCAUACCAUACUGCAUUUAAAACAUUUUUACGAAUGUCACCUUAUUGGCUUGUUUAUGGUAAACCUUGCCACUUACCGGUUGAACUUGAACAUAAUUCAUUUUGGGUUAUUAAAGCUUUUGAUUCAAAUCUUGAUGAUGCUAGAAAUGUGCAUAAAUUGCAAUUGAAUGAACUUGAGAAAUUAAGGAAUGAUGCAUAUGAGAAUUCCAGAAUUAUUAAGGGAAGAACUAAAGUUUUUCUUGAUAAAAGAAUUUUUCGAAAAACAUUUGAAAUUAGUCAAAAAAUAUUGCUUUAUAAUUCUCGCCUUCAUUUGUUUUCAGGGAAGUUAAAGUCAAAGUGGAGUGGCCUAUUUGUUGUAAAAAAUAUAUAUCCAUAUGGGCCCGUGGAAAUUGAGAACCCAAAAAAUGGUGUCACAUUUAAAGUUAUUGGUCAAAAAAUAAAACCAUAUAUNNNNNNNNNNNNNNNNNNNNNNNNNNNNNNNNNNNNNNNNNNNNNNNNNNNNNNNNNNNNNNNNNNNNNNNNNNNNNNNNNNNNNNNNNNNNNNNNNNNNNNNNNNNNNNNNNNNNNNNNNNNNNNNNNNNNNNNNNNNNNNNNNNNNNNNNNNNNNNNNNNNNNNNNNNNNNNNNNNNNNNNNNNNNNNNNNNNNNNNNNNNNNNNNNNNNNNNNNNNNNNNNNNNNNNNNNNNNNNNNNNNNNNNNNNNNNNNNNNNNNNNNNNNNNNNNNNNNNNNNNNNNNNNNNNNNNNNNNNNNNNNNNNNNNNNNNNNNNNNNNNNNNNNNNNNNNNNNNNNNNNNNNNGAAUACCAACCACGUAAAGUCGAUACCAAAAUCAAUUUAAGUGACCCACUAAAUUUUAAUUAAGCAUUUUGUUUUAUUUUUUUUGUCAUUUUCGUUUACUGUUUUUUUACCGUUUAAUUGUUUGAUCUUUUUCUUUUCUAUUUCUUGAAUGGAGUGUAUUAUGUUAUUUUUAAAUGUGUUUAUUUGACAGUUUUGUUUCAUUUUACCGUUUUUGAUAUUUUUUAUGUGUACCUCCAUGAGAAGGAUCAUGUUCAAACAUCUUAGAGAACUUUUUCGUGUAAAAUUUCACCUGAGGAACUUGCUCUAAGUUUGUAAAUCACAUCCUAUUUGGGAUCUACAACCACCAGUGUUAGUAUCCCAUGUUGAAAAUCUAGAAAGAUAACUCAAAGAAAUAGAGAAUGAUAUUUAAGAGCUGCAAAUUGGAGCUGGAGGUAAAUUCAAUUUAAAAACGAAGGUGAGUUACAUAUUUGAUUAUAUUCAUUGUGUGUUUUUAUUUUUUUGUUCUCUUUCACUUUUGAUUUGAUUUUGCAGAUUUAAUUCAUUUCUUUGAUAUAUUUUGAUUUACUCUCUUGUAUAAAUGGCAGAUAACGGUACUCCGUGACUUUUUAAGUUGGUAUUUUUUGUUUCCCACAAUAAUUGAAACCCUAAAAUCAAGUAUGGAAGAAAUACAACAUAAAUUGCAUAAGCGUUUUCCUUCUCUCCCUCAAAAUGCUCUUAAGAAGAUUUACAAAGCUCGUUGUGAACGACUCCAUUUGUUAAUGAUCAAUGGGAUUCUUGCUGACAUUCAUUGGUUAAUUAAAGGAAAGGUUCGAUUAGUAGGUGAGUUUUCUGAUCCAUUUGUUUCCUACAUGCCUGGUUUUGGUAAAAGCACAUUUGCUAAAAAAAGAAGAGAUAAGCGGCUUAGCUCUCAAUGUCCUCACUGUGUAAGACUUGCUUGCAAUAAACCACAUUGUAAAACUUUGGGAAUGGUUUCUGUAGAUCAUGAAGACAAAAUCAAAUUCGUUAAGGAUGGCAUGAGUAAAGAAUCGUUAGAUGAUAUCUUACAAUCUCUUUAGAUGCAUCCAAGCGAAUAUGUGCAACGUGAGAUUCAUAAUUUAGAGAAGUUGUUCCAAAAGGAAAGUGCACGGUUUAGUCUUGGGAAUUUGACUCUAAAAGAUCUUGUUUGCAAGUUUAUAAGAAAACUGGAUGGGAAGCCUAUCAUCGACCCAUAGAGGGCGUUCAAGCAGUUAGUGGGCGUAAAACUAGAGGAAAAUGUAAGCCACAAUCACAACUACCAGUAAAUAUUUUUUUAUUUUACUGUUCUUUUUAUGUUCUGCAUUAUUAUUAUUAGUAUUAUUUUUUGUGUGAUUUUAUAUCUAAUCACUAUUUUGCUUUUUCUUUUUGUUGUUUGCUUUUGAAUUAUUGAGCCAAAAGUUUUACGCGUUAUUUGACAAAUACACCACCCCAUUUAUAGUUGUGUAUCAUUGUGUCUGCUACCAAGAUUUUUAAAUAAAAGCUCAUUUUCAAGCACUUACAAAUUGUUUCUUUUUUUAGAAUUGUUCCAAUGGUAGCAAUUUGGAACAUACAACUUAAGAACAUUUGUGUGCUUUCUAGAUUUUGCUAUGGAAAGUAUAAGGAGUUCGUUCAGGCAGCCAUAGAUCUUGGUCGUGCUAUAGCAAAAAGAAAACUACAUCUUGUAUAUGGAGGAGGUGACCGAGGGUUAUCAAAGCUUAUCUCAUAAGCUGUUUUCGUUCGAGAAAGCCAAGUACUAGGAAUUAUUCCAAAGCCUUAAAACCUUUAGGAUGUAUGCCCAACCCACAAACUGGAGAAGAGUUAGUUGUCUCCAAUAUGCAAGAAAGAAUAUCCCAAAUGUUAAAUCAUGCUGAUGCUUUCAUUUUCUUGCCAGACGAUCUUACAACUUUAGAAGCGCUAAUUACAUUUGCUUCUUGGGCUCAUUUGAAUAUCCAUAAAAAACCAAUCGGUUUGUUAAAUGUUAAUAACUUUUAGGAUGGUUUAAUAGCAUUUCUUAAUCAUGCAAUUAAAAAUUAUUUCAUUCCACCCUGAGCGAAAAUGCUCUUUAUUUGUACUUCUAUUGCUAAUGAGUUACUUGAUCUUUUGUAAGCUUACAAACCAGAGCCAGACCUCAUGACUUUGGCAUUGGAUUGGGCAACUAAUGAUGAUGGCAAUAACCCUCGUAAAAAGUGUAAAUUAUAUUUAACUCAUCGUUUGUAAAUAUUUUCUAGCAGUGGCAAUGUGAUGUCUUCUAAACUCUACUCCUUUUCUUCUAAGACAUUGAGGACAAUGUCUUCUUCAGGUUGGGAGGAGGGAAUAGUUGACAAUUGUGAAAUGUCUCAGUCCUAAUGAUGUUUUUACUAAUUUUUGUUGUAAAGACUAACUUUGGAUAAAAUUUGAGUCGAAGAUGAUAGAAUAUAGAAUGUAGUGUCUCUAGAAAUACAUUUUUUUUUUAAUUUUAGAGUUUUGUUUCUCCAAACAAAAAUUGUUUUCUAACCUUUUUUUUCUUUCCUAAUCAUAUCCUUUAAGUUUUCUUUAACUUAAAGAAAAGCAAAAAUACAAAAUACAAAAAAAAAAGAGUUUUUCUUUUUUUGUGUGAUCAUUUAACAUUGGAAAACAUGAUCAUUUCCAAAUUUUGGUAUUUGUAUUAUCUUUGAUCUUGAGUUAUGUAACACCAUAUUUUCACUUUUGCAUGUUGAAAUGUAAAUUGAGAAAUUUGAUGAGUGAAAUUGAUUAAGCCAUUUGGAGGAAUGUACAUUUCAUGAUAAAUUCAUAUGCGUUUUUGAGCCCUUUAUCCUUGGAGAGUAUCACCUUAUAUUUUAUGUUUUCCACCACCCAAUUAUAUUUGAAAAUAUUGAUGAUUAUGUAUUCCUGAUAAAGGUGCUAUGAACAUAUAUAUAUAAUGGAAAAAAGAAAAGAAAAAAAAAACAAAAAAAGAUAAAAAUUCCAAGCAAAAAAGCACCUUAUAAUCUCUAAGAAGUUCCUUAUUUUUCAAACAUAUAUAUAUUUUUUCCCUAUUACCAUUUCUUUGUUAGUCAUGUCCUUAGUCUACGUUACAUCCUAAGGAAAGUCAUUAUUGAUUUUAGGGAACUAUAGUGUGAAGUUGAAGCUGGUAAUAUGGACUAAAAGAUGUGGUGAUGCAUAAAAAUGGAAAUAAAUUUGGCUAGUAAUUUCCUAGGCUUGAGAUCAUUUCAUUUAUAAGUUGUGGGCAUUAUUCUUGGUGAGAGCGUGUGGUAUUGUUUUACUAUUUUCUCAAUCUACUACUUCUUAGAGUGACAAUUUCUCUAGGGUUUAUUUUCUUUUGAGAGAGUCACUCUUAACCGUGAGGUUUUGGGGUUUGACGUAUCAUUCUUAAAAGUGGCUUGAUUAAUGUAGUUAUGAUAAUUAAUCAUUUUACAUGAUUUUACUUAACUAAUUUGUGUGGAUGUGAUUUUCUUUAGGCUGAAGAUAAUGCUUGUACUGUUAUUUGAUUGUUGUCAUUAAUCCAAUGAAAGAAGUAAACACAAUUUAAAGAAAACAAGAUUUCAAUUUGGAUUAAAAAUUUCGCUAAAUUUUUAUCACUUAAAUUGCUAGGGCCUUACAAUAAGCUGGUUGGGGGGUGUGAUUGACACUAAAAAGUGUAAAUUUAAUAAGGAUAAAUUUAUCAAUUUUUCACUUAUUGUAUUGAUUAAUGUGCUCAUUAUUCAUAAAUUAUCUUAACACUCCCCGAAUAUAUAUUUUUUAUGUUAAAUUAAUUUGUAAUAUGUUAAUUUUAUUUUAAUUUUAUAUUGUAGAUAUAUUUCAAGAAUAAAGACAAGUUGAAACUAGAAGUGAGAAUAAAGAAGAAUUAUUGGAGCCAUUUGUAAUGAAUUAUUAAGGAGAUGUAAUUAAUAAAAAAAUCUAUUUCAAAAAAAAAAGAGAGAAAAAAAGAAAAGGUGAAAGAUGCUCGUGAUGAAUUGCCAACUGACCAUCACACUUCUCAAUGUACAUAUAUAUUAUAAAAAUAAAAAAAAUAAAAAAUAAAAAAGGAGGAUACAUUCCAUGCCUAUAAAAGGCAAGGACAUGUAGGCAUGAGGAGGGAUUCGAAGAGAGAACGAGAGAGGCAAGCUGAGUAAUUCUUCCUUUUUCUAUUUUUUUAUUUUGUUGUGUGAUUAACUUUCUUGUAAUAUAUUUCAGAAGUUUGUUGAAUAAAAUGAGUGUUUUGUUUUCUAAUAUGAGUGGCUUAAUUUUCUAAGCUGAGGUGAAAGGUGAAGCUCAAGAAUUCAAAUUAUAAAGUUAAUUACUCUCUCAAGUGAUUCUUAAAGCUUAUUUUAUUUGUUGUAUUUUUCUUCAUUACCAAUUUCUUUUAUGUCAUGUUAAUUUAUAGAUCUAGAUCAGUUUAGAUUUAUAUGGUAUUGUGACAUUAUAUCGACACUUCAAUAUAGUUGUGGCAUAUUAGGUUCUUGGUCCCAUAUUUAUCACACUUAAGUUAGUUAAGAAUUAAAUGUCAUAAUAAUUAAUUGGUGAAAUAAAUGCAAAAUACAAAUAUGAGAGAGUUGUUAUAAUUAUAAUUUGAAAUCUAAGAGUGAUCCCGUAAUCUUAGCGUAUUUUUAGAUUAAUUUUUAUUAAUUUCUUUUCUUGCAUUAAAUUUUCUUAGGUUAAUAAAUUAAUUACUAGAUUUUAAAUUCCUCGUGGUUCAACACCAGACUCAUUAGAUUAUAUUACAACUAGACACUCUUAUACUUAGGAGUAAUAACACUUUUGCGUUAUGUCAGAAGACCCCGUAUUCAUAUUUGUAUAUAAAAGUAGAAUGUGAAAUCUAAGAGUGAUCCCGUAACCUUAGCAUAUUUUUAGAUUGAUUCCUAUUAAUUUCUUUUCUCACAUUAAAUUUUCUUAGGUUAAUAAAUUAACUACUAAAUUUUAAAUUCCAUGUGGUUCGACUCCAGGCUCACUAGAUUAUAUUAUAGCUAGAUACUCUUAUACUUAGAAGUAAUAAUACUUUUGAGUUGUGUCAGAAGGCCCCGUAUUCAUAUUUGUAUAAAAUUAUUAUUAAUCAUUGAAUUUAUUAUUAUUUUGUAAUUGUCUUUUCCUAAAUAAACAAUCAAAUUCCUAUAAAGUCUAUUUAAUGUAAUACUUAAUAGUUUUAAUUCCUACAAAACCAUUAAAUUAAUAGUUUCAAACCAAUAAAAUCUGUAUUUUAUUGUUAGAAUUUUAUAUUCAUUUUAAAUUUCUAUAAAAGCCUCACAUUUUGUUACUUAUCCAUUAAUUUUUUUUUCCUCCAACAACCAAGACGCAUAUGCUCUUGGUUCUUGAGAGAGAAAGAGGGAAAAAAAUUCUUCCUCUACUUUCCACUCGAGGGGGGGGGGGGGGGAAAUCUAAUAGUUUCUAUAUUUUCCAUGGUUAUUGGUCAUUGCCCAAAUCCUCAAACAAUUAAAGAUAACGUUAAUUUAUAAUUUCAUCUUAAAUUCCAAAUUUUAUCUUUUUAUUGUUCUCUUAAUUAGUUUCAUUAUUUAUUUGUUCUUAUUUCUUUUUAAUAUUCUUUUGUUCCUCAAUUAUUAUUAUUUUUUUGUGUGCUUGUUUCAUCUAUAUAUUUUAAAAUAAAAUUGUACCUUUCAAAAAUAAAAGAAUAGAAAAAUCAGUUCAAUCUAAAAAAAGAGUAGUAAAAAAGAUGUAAUUUGAGUGAAGCAACAGUAAGUGAAAAUGUUAUAACUGAAUUAAAAGUUCAUGGAUUAGCAAUAGUAGAACAUAAUUUUAUUUAAUAAUUUUAUAUUUUAGAAUGUUGGAAGAAUUGAUUUUAAAUAAAUAAAUUUUAUAAUAUAACUAAUACAUAUAUAUAUAUAUAUAUAUAUAUAUAUAUAUAUGUAUAUAUAUUUUGCCUCAAAUUCUAAGAAGAAUUGAUUAAAACCAUUUGCCUAAAAUUAUCGUUUAGUGCUCUAAGUCUCACUAACAUUUCUACUUUUAUGUGUUUAAAUCCUCUAAACUUUUGUUGUGUGUUUUAUUAUAAUGUGACGCUUACUGAUGAUGUGACAACAUAUUAUUAAACUGAAAUGCUGAUAUGAUGUUGACUGAUGAUGUGUUCUAGCCAAUCAAAGCUUGACACGUGGCGUAAUCCUAAGCUGUUUUCAUCUUAUGGAUAUAAUUUACUUAUUGUACCUAUAAAUAGGGGGCUCCCCUUUAAUUUGACACCCCUGAAUCUAUUUUUAAGCUCCAUUUUCUAUAAUUCUCUCUCAAUCUUAUAUUUUUUUUUUAUGUAUUUUAAUAAAAUUACCAUAUUACCCCUUGUUCAACUAUGAGUAGCUAAUUUAAUUUUAAGUUUGGGUUGAAGGUGAAGCCUCAGCAUGAUCCAUAGGUUUAGUCUAGUAAGUUUAUUUUCUUUUCCUCUCUGAUUUAUGUGGUCGUUUUGUCUCAUUGUCGACAAGCAAUGUAUCUUAUCUCGAUUUUACAUAGCAUACUGACUCUCUAGUGAAAGAUCAUUACUGUUUGGUACAAUGAGUACUUUACACUAUAUUUAUUAGAGAGAAAUUUACCUAUAAUAUUUUGUGGGUCGUCUUAACUCAGAAUUGAUAGAGAGUGCGUCUAAGCUAUUUAGUAGAUGGUCUUGCCAUGUUGUCGAUAAAAUGAUUAUUAUUGUCUGACACAACAUCUUUUUGGCACCACACUUAGUGGAAGAUCAUUACUCUCUGACAUUAAAAAGAAAUAUUAGAGUGAGGAUUAUGAGGAGUGGAAAUAUUCGCUUUAUAACUUAAUUGGAAUUAAAAAGAAAUAUUAAGCCUAUAGUGAAAUGUUGAGUGUGAAUUCAGAGACUCAAGCGCUGCACUUGCAUUAUUUUAUCUAUAAUUCAUUCCCGCCAUUUUAUUUUAAAUUUAAAGAUGAAAAAAUCACUUCUAACAAAAAAAAAAAAGAAAAAUCACUUCUAACAAACUUACAUAUAUACAUCAUCGGUCAACAUCAUGACUAUUGAAAAAAGAAAAUUACCAAUUCAGCUAAUGCCCAAUCCUAAAGGAGUACAUAGAAUAAGUACAAGUUCACCCCAGCAGUAUGAAGAGGUCAAAGCCAUCAUGACCUUGUAAAAGGGCAAAGAAGUUGACAACAAAGUAUAAAUGCCACUAAUAAAGACAAACUUUAGACUUUGAGGACUCAUCACUAAGGGAAAAAGAAGAAACCAGCCCACAAGAAUACAAUCCUAAAGAUCUUUUCCCCCAGAGGUUAGCUAAAGUAAAAAAGGAAAAUUCAAAGGUGAAAUUAUGGAAAUCUUUAAACAGGUACGUGUUAACAUUCAUUUGUUUGAUGCUAUUAAAUAAGUGUCUUCUUAAAGAUAUUUGCAUUGAAAAAAGAAGCAUUCAUGUUAAAAAGAAUGCAUUUUUAACAAAAAAAAUUAGUUCCAUACUCCAAUAUAAAAUUCCUUUAAAAUAUAAAGACCCAAACUGCCCUAUUAUCUCAUAAAGCAUAGGGAACCACACAUUUGAGAAUGUUUGUUGGACAUAGGAGCUAGUGUAAAUAUUUUUCCUUAUUUAAUAUUUGUGUAACUUGGACUGAGAAUAUUACACCUAACUCUAGUUGUGUUGCAAGUUGUAGAUCGAUCCAUAAAAGUACCUCGUGGUAUAUUGGAGGCCGUGCUUAUAAAAGUAGAUAAGUUUUAUUUUCUUGUUGAUUUUAUUAUAAUUGAUGCUCAACUAGUGUAGGAUUCAAAAAAGCACGUCCCCAUUAUUCUAGGUCGACCUUUCUUGACAAUUGCCGAUGCUCACAUUCAAUGCAAGACUGAAAAUAUGUAGUUGUCCUUUGGCAACAUGAUUAUAGAGUUGAAAUUCUUUAACAUUGCCAAACAAUCCCCUGAUAAAGAUGAUGGAAUCGUUGAGGUGGAUUUAAUUAAAGAACUAGUUUAUUAUACUUUUUCUUCUAACCUUAGUGAUAACCUUUUACAAACAUGUUUAACUCACUUCAGUUCGAAUUUUGAUAUUGACAUAUUAGUUAACGAGGUCAAUACCUUAUUGGAUUCAUCACCAUGCAUGGAUAUUGACAAAUGGAAGUUAAGAAUAGAGCAACUGGCACCACCGGGGAAACAUCUCAUCCAAUCAUUGGAAGCAUCACCAAAAGUCGAGCUCAAUCGGUUACCCGAUACUUUGGAGUAUGCAUUCUUGGGAGAAGAAAACACAUUGUUAGAAAUCAAUUCAUCUUCGCUUGACGAUAAAUAAAUGAAUUCAGGUAUUAUUUAUCUCAUUUAUGGUUCAAAACGGAGAUUACAGCUAGCAAAACAUAAGGAGAUUCACAACGAUGAAAAUGCAAAGGAUUACAAGAAGCAGAUAAAAGUCUUUCAUGAUAAGCAAAUUAUGAGAAAAUCUUUCGCACCAGGUUAGAAAGUACUUUUAUUCAAUUCUCACUUGCACAUAUUCCUAGGUAAAUUCCGCUCUCAAUAGUGUGAUCCAUUUAUUGUGCACAAUUAGUUUUCUAUAUAUGGCCAUUAAAAUUAAGAAUCAAAAGAAUAAUGUCAUUUUUAAAGUUAAUGGUCAGAUAUGAAAAGCCAUAUCAUGAGUACCAUCACAUGAAGAAGACAAGGAAAUAGAUUUAAGUGACCUACCAAGUCUGGAUUGAAACUUUUUUCAUUUCUUUUCGAUGACUUAAGUCGUCAUUUUGCUUUACUAUUCCUUUACUAAUUGAAUUUAUUUGUUUCUUGCUAACUUGUUUGUUUAACAACUAUAUUUUCUCUCACCACUUGUACUAUACAACAUGAGUACCUUAGUGAGAGAAAUCAUUUUCAACCACCUUAAGUGGCUUCUAUGUGUGAAGCAUCACCUAAACAACUUACUCUAAAUUUGUCAGUCACAUCCCGCUUGGGAUGUACGAUCACCAGCGUUAGUAUCCCAUUCUAAAGAGAUAGAAAGGCAACUGAGAGAAAUUGAAGGUGGUAUCUAUGAAAUCCAAUUAGAACUUGAGGUAAACUUAAGAAAAAUAUGAUGGUGAGUUCACAACGCACUUUCUACAUUGUGUGUUUUUAUUUUGUUAUUUGCUUUCACAUGUGUUUUGUUUUUGCUAGAUUUAUUCAUUGCUUUGGUGUGUUAUCAUUUGUCAUCCCAGUUAACUGGCAAAUAAUGGUACUAUGUGACUAUAGAAGUCGUCUCCUUUAGUUUCCCACCAUAACUGACAUUCUCCAGCCAAGGUAUAAAUAUGAACACAAUUCUUGUAAAGCUUCACAUGCAAUUUCCUUCUCUCCCUCGUAAUGCAAUCCUUAUAAUCUAUAAAGUACAGUUCGAACGUAUACAUCUACUCGUGAAUAACAAUACCCCUGUUAACCUUCGUUGGUUAAUCGAAGCCAAAGUAAGGUUAGUAAGGGAAUUACCUCCCAAAUUUAUUUGCUACAUGCCUUGUUGUAGGAAAAGAAAUUAUGCAAGAAAAUGAAAAGUUGCACGGCUUCUAGUUUUUUGCCAUAAGUGUGCCAUAAUGUAAUGUUAUAGAAAUCCAUAAACUUCUUUAGGAAUGAUGUCUGAAAAUAAGGAAGAUAAGAUUAAAUUCAUUAGGGAUGACUUGAAUAAGGAGUCAUUGGAUGAUAUUCUUUUUUCACUCGAAAUGCAUCCAAGUGGACAUGUGCAGCGUGCAAUUUCCCAAUUAUGGUCAUUGCUCUAGAAAGAAAGCACAAGAUAUAGUCUCGGGAAUCUGACUAUAAGCGACCUUAUUUACUAGUUUAUAAGAAAACUGGAUGGGAAAUCUAUCCUCUACCCAUAGAGGGCGUUCAAGUCAUUUUUUGAAGUAAAACUAGAAGAAGAUAUGAGCCACAAUCACAACUACUAGUACCUAUUUUUUUUUUAUUUACUAUUUGCAUUAUUACUUUUAAUGGUAUGAUUUGUAUCUAAUCAUUGUUUGUUCUUUUUUACUGUUUGGCUUUGAAUAAUUGAGCCACGAGCUUUAGGCGUCAUUUGACAAAUCCGCCAACCCAUUUAUAACUGUCUAUCAUAAUAUCUAUAACUAAGAUUUCAAGCAUUCAUAGAAUGUUUUUUGAGAUUUUCCCAAUAGCAGCCACUUCAAGCAGACAACUCAAAAAUAUUUGUGUGCUUUUUGGGUUUAACUAUAGAAAGUACAAAGAGUUCGUGACGGCAGCUAUAGAUCAUAGUCAAGUCAUAACUGAAAGAAAACUACACCUAAUAUAUAGAAGAGAUAAUUGAGGAUUAUCAAAACUAGCCUCAAAAGCUCCUUUUACUAGAGGAAGCCAAGUGCUAGGCAUCAUCCUAAAUCCCUUAAAACAUUGGGAUGCUUGCCUCGCCCACGAAUUGGAGAGGAGUUGCAAGAAAGAAUAACUGAAAUGGUAACAUAUGCUGAUGCUUUCAUUUUCUUAGUAGGAGAUCUUGCAACUUUAGAUGCACUAAUUACAUUUGCUUUCUAGGCCCACUUGAACAUUCAUAAAAAACCCAUCGGUUUUUUAAAUGUCAACAACUUUUAUUAUGACUUUAAAUUAUUUAUUAAUCACUCAAUUAAAAAUCAUUUCAUUUCACUUACAACGAAAAAACUCUUUAUUUGUGCUCUUAUUGCUAAUGUAUUACUUGAUCUUUUUGAAACUUACAUACUAGAGCCACAUCCCAAGACUCUUACGUUGGAUCAGUCAACUAAUGAUGGUAGCAGUAGUAGUAAGAAGCACAAAUUAGAUUUAACUUUUCGUUAGUAAAUAAUUUUUAUUGCAAUGUUCAAGUGAUGUCUUCUAAACUCUACUUAUUUCCUUCAAGACAUUAAGGACAAUAUCUCAUUGUGGUUAUGGGGAGAGAAUAGUUGAUAAUUGUGGAAUAAAUAGUAGUUGUAUUCUCGUAUUCUUACUAAACCUUCAUAUUGAGUCAAAGAUGGCUUAGUAAAGAAAACCAUCUUUUCAAAAGAUGGUUGAGUGCAUAAGCACAUCUUUCCAGUCCUAGUGACGUUUUUAUUAACCAUUUCUGAAUUUUUGAGUUAAAUAUAGUCGAAUAUGAAGUUUAGUUACUCUAGAAACACAUCUUCUUAGCCUUAACGUUUAGUUAAAAAACCCAAAAUUUUGAAUUUUUUCGUUAUUAUUGACCAACCCAUUUUGUCUACUUUGGCCAUCUCCUUAAAAAAAAGAGAAAAGAAAAAAAAGAAAAAAGAAAAAAGAAAAAAGAAAAAAAAGACACUCUCACUUCGUAACCGGGUGUCCUGCCUCAGUAAGCAGAGGGUGUUUGCAUAAAACAAUGAGAGAUGAUCAAGAUUGUGUGAGCUCUUACUUAAUAACCAAACUUCCUGGCCAAGCAAGCAGAGAGUGUUCUCGUAAAAUAGUUGAGUUGAUUAGAGAUAUAAUAUAAACAAACUUGCUGCCUACAGGAGAAACUCCGAUGAAAUGGUGAGAAUGAAAGUAUUGCUUUAUUUUGACCAAAUCCCAUGACCAUUAUGUCAAACAUUGCUAAGCACUAACGUUGUUUUACUGAAUUAUUAAUUAAUGGUUGAGUAACAACCAUUGGCUAGGGACUAGCAAUGAGCUGAUUGGGGGGUGUGUUGAGUAUUAGAGAAUGCAUAUUUAUAAAAGGCAAAAUUAUCAUUAUGUGCUCCAAGUCUCACUAACAUUUCUACUUUUAUGUGUUUAAAUCCUCUAAAUUUUUAUUUUGUGUGUUUUAUUAUAAUUUAAGUAUAUUAUAAUUUCACGAUUAACUAGAAGUCAGAUAGUAAAAUGGACAGUAUUUUUUAAUUUAGAAUUGUUGAAAAUCUUAAGAGGAGCUUAAAGGGGUAUAUGGUGUUGUGCAAAUUUUAUUAAACUCACAAGUGCACGAAUCUAUUAUAGAAUAUAUCAAUGGUGACGAGUGUCGAUCCCACAAGGAGGUGAAUUUUAAUUACGUGUAGAGGUAAUUUUUGAAUUGGGUAAUUGGAUUUGUGGUGGAAAUGAUUUGGAAUAUUCUAAAACUUAAAUUAAAAUGGCGAGAAUAAAUUGAAGAGAAAUCUAUUCAAAUGCAGCAUUUGGGUAUCUGGAUCCGUAUCAACGUGCACUAUGGGCUAAAUAUUCCUUAUUAGUGUCCAUUAAAUCAUGAGGGGGAUAUCCACACCUCAUGAACCACACUCUAAUCAAUAUUCUGCUAAGGGCUUAUCGUGCCAAAUAAUAAUAACAUUGUAUUAGGGAGCCGGUGAAACCAAGGCGGUAUCUAGAUAAGAUUAUUAUUAUUUGUCGACGAAAAGUCAAAACAUCCAUAAAAAUUAGAGGGGAAGAGAAAAUAAAUUUACCAAAUAAAGCCCAUGACACAUGUUGAGACUUCACCUUCAACCCAAGCUUGAAAGAAAAUUAGCUACUCAUAAUUGAACUAGGGGCAAAAUGAGAAUUUAUUAAAAUACGUAGAAAAUACAAAAUGGAGUAGGAAUUACAUAAAAUGGGGCCCAAAAUGGAUUCAGAGAUAUCAAAUUAGGAGGGAAGGCCCCCUUUGUAUAGAUACAUUGAGUAAAUCAUGGCCAUCGGAUUAAAAACAGUUUGGACGCUCAGAAUUGCACCACGUCAUCAGUCAACAGUACGCGGUUUGACCACGUGGUUUGAACAGUGACAUGGUUUGACCAUGCGGUUUGAACAAUCAACCGGCUUGAACAGUGACGCGGUUUGGUUAAAAAUAAUCUUGUGUAUAUGCAUGUACCGUACGCACAAUUUUUGGUCCACUAAUAUGCUGCCAUGUCACCGAUCAACAGUGUAUCUAAAUUUUGUCCAAUAGAAUCGUGACACCUCAUCAGUCAAUGCCACAUCAUCAUUCCGUAUGUGUGAACAGUGUCGUAAACAGUAUCAUGGACGGUAACAUGGAUAGUAUCGUACAUAUGAAUAGUGUCGUACAUGUGAACAAUGACAUUUUUUCUUUUAUGCUCCUCCUAAGGUUUUCGACUGUCCUAAGUUCAAAAGUGAUGUCCAUUUUGCCGUCUGAUUUCUCGUUCAUUGUGAAAUGACCACGAUGCCCCUAAAAUACAUAAAAUACUUAAUUAAAAUAAAACACACGUAAUUAAAUCACAAGAAGCUUAAAUACAUAAAAGUAAGGGUGUUAGUAAGACUUGAAAUGUAAAAUGACGAUUUUCUCCUUUAUAAAUAUACAUUUUCUAACACUCAACACACCCCCCAACCAGCUUAUUGCUAGUUCCUAGCAAAUAAAGCGAAAACAAAAUUCAAUCCCAAAAUAAUUUUUUUUUUAAACAAUCUUGUUUAUUCAAUCAGACUAAUGAUAGCAAUCAAAUAAAAGUAUAAGCAUUAUCUCCAGUCUAAAGAAACAUCACACCCACAUCAACCAUCCACAUGAAUCAGCCCAGUAGACUUUGUCACAACUGUUUUCAAGAAUGACAUGUCAAACCCCAAAAUCUCACUAGAAGUAGUGACACUCUCAUAAGGAAAUUAAACCCAAUAAAAAUAGUCACUUCAAUGAAUGCUGAAUUUGAGAGAAAAUAAUAAAGAAUUAAUGUCACAUGUACGAUCUCAAGUCAAACAAAAAUGCUAGUCAACCCAAUUUAUUUAUUUAUUUAUUUUAUUUUUUAUUAUGCACCACUACAUCUUUUUAGCCCAUAUACUAGCUUUUACUUCAGACUAUAGUUCCUUAAAAUCAAGAAGGACUUUUAUUAGGACGUAACAUAGGCUAGGGACAUGGCUAAUAAAGGAGGGGAAAUAAGGAAAACAAAGUGUAUGUUUGAGAAAAAUCUCAACCACUAAAAUUGGAUUCAAUGGCAUCAUAUUCCUUCGUGUAAUGCUCCUCAUUCGUUGACAUCUAUCACAUGAAGAACAGAAAGUGUAAUUGUCUCGAAAUAUAGUUGGCCAAUAGAAACCACAUUGUAAAACUUUAGUAGCUAUUUUCUUAGCACUGAAAUGGCAUCCACAAGCUUGUUCAUGGCAGAAUGAAAGGAUAUUCUGAAUUUCACUUUCUAGGACACAUCGUCUAACAAUUUGAUCUGCACAAUACUUGAACAGAUAAGGGUCAUCCCAAAAGAAAUUCUUUAUUUCCGCAAAAAAAUUGGCCUUGUCUUGGUUGGUCCAAUACUUUAGAAGUUGACAUGUAACAAGAUAAUUAACGAUAUCAGCAUACCACGGUAAUACUUCCACACUCAUUAAUUGUUCAUCUGACAAUGACUCAUUCAAUGUUAAUGGUUCUGUAAUUGUGUCAAAAUGGAGAUGAGAGAGAUGAUCAACCACAACAUUUUCUAUGCCUUUCUUAUCUUUAAAUUCCAAGUCGAAUUCCUGCAAAAGUAACACCCAACGAAUUAGUCUAGCUUUUGCAUAUUUCUUUGUGAGAAAUAUUUAAGAGCAACAUGAUCUGUGAAUACAAUUAUUUUACAACCAAUGAGAUAAGAUCGAAAUUUCUCUAAUGCAAACACUACUGCUAGUAUUUCUUUUUCAAUAGUUGAAUAGUUCAAUUGUGUUCAAUGUCAUACUAGCAUAGUAAAUAACAUGGGAAAUUCGAUCAACUCUUUGUUCUAAUACUGCUCCUACUGUAUAAUCAGAUGCAUCACACAUGAGCUCAAAUGGUAACACUAGUGUUAGAUGAUGUAGACAUUGAUCAAAUGAAUCACCAAAGACAGAAAAGUCAUCCAUAAAGACUUCAAGAAAUCGUUCAACCAUAUAAAAAAAAUGCUCAACAUGCAUCGUUGAAAUAUAGUAGGUGCAUUACAUAAUCCAAAUGACAUCCUCCUAUAUGUAAAAGUGCCAAAAGGGCAAGUGAAAGUAGUUUUCUCUUGAUCUUUUGGUGCUAUGGGAAUCUGAUUAGAUCCUGAGUAACCAUUUAGAAAGUAAUAAAAUUCAUGGCCUGCUAAUUUAUUAAACAUUUGAUCGAUAAAUGGUAAAGGAAAAUGGUCUUUACGUGUGACAGAAUUCAACUUUCUAUAAUCAAUGCAUACACAACAUCUUGUAGUCACUCGAGUGGGCAUUAAUUCAUUAUCAGCAUUGGUAACUACUGUGACUCCUAACUUUUUGGGGACAACUUGCACAGGACUGACCCAUGAACUAUCAGAAAUGGGGUAAAUGAUACAUGUAUCUAAUAACUUAAGGACUUUAGUUCUAACAACUUCUUUCAUGUUAGGAUUUAACCGACGUUGCAUUUCCCUAGUAAGUUUAGCAUUUUCAUCAAGGUGAAUGUAAUGCAUGCAAUCUACUGGGUUUAUACCUUUGAUGUCUGCUAUGGUCCAUUAUAAUGCUCCUUUGUACUCUUUUAGAACAUCCAACAACUUACCUUUUUGUUCGUCAUUUAGGGAUGAUGAGAUGAUUACCGGUAGAGUACUUUCUUCUCCCAAAAACGCAUAUUCCAAAGUGUUGGGUAAUGGUUUGAGCUCGAGUUUCGGUGGUAAUUCUAAUGAUGGGAUGAGUUUCUUCUCUGAUGGUGCUAGUUGUUCAACUCUUGACUUCCAUUUAUUAGUCUCCAUGGAUGGUGCUGAGUCAAGUAGGGCGUUGACCUCAUUGACUGAUCUAUCAAUAUCAAAAUCCAAACCAAAAUGAGUUAAGCAUGUUUGUAAAAGGUCAUCACUAGGGUUUGAAAAAAAAGUAUUAUUAACUAAUGCUUCUAUUAAAUCCACAUCAACAAUUUCAUCAUCUGCAUUGUGAGGUUGUUUGACAAUGUUGAAGAUGUUUAGCUCCAUAGUCAUGUUGCCGAAGGACAACUGCAUAUUUUUAGUUCUGCAUUGAAUGUGAGCAUCGGCAGUUGCCAAGAAAGGUCGGCCUAGGAUAAUGGGGAUGUGCUUCCUUGAAUCCUGGAUUGGUUGAGUGUCAAUUACAAUAAAAUCAACAGGAAAAUAAAACUUGUCUACCUGGAUAAACACGUCCUCCACAAUACCACGAGGUAUUUUCGUGGACCGAUCUGCAAGUUGUAACACCACUAGAGUUGUGUGUAAUUCUCUCAGACCAAGUUUCACAAAUACUGAAUAAGGUAACAGAUUUACACUGGCUCCUAAAUCCAACAAAGCAUUCUUAAUUGUGUGGUUCCCUAUACUACAUGAAAUAAUGGGGGAGCCUGGGUCUUUGCAUUUUAGAGGAAUUUUAUGUUGAAGUAUAGAACUAAUAUUUUCUGUUAAAAAUACCUUCUUUUGAACAUGAAUAUUUCUCUUUUUAGUAUAAAGGUGUUUAAGAAACUUGGCAUAAAAUGGAGCUUAUUUUAUAGCAUCAAGUAAAAGGAUGUUAACACUUACCUGUUUGAAGAUUUCAAAAAUCUCACCUGUGGAUUUUCCCUUCUUUCCUUUAGCCAACCUUUGAGGAAAUGGAGCUUUAGGAACAUAUUCUCAUGGAUCGGUUUCUUCUUUCUCCUCCGGUGAUGAGUUUUCGGCAUUUACAGGUACAAUUUGAUUUGUUUUUAUCACCGACAUCUCCACUUUGUUGUCGACUUCUUUCCCUUUUGGCAAGGUCAUGACAGCUUUGACCUCUCCGUGCUACUGUGGUGAACUGGAAUUUACUUCAUGCACUCCUUUAGGAUUAGGCACUGGUUGACUUGGAAAUUUGCCUUUCUCAACAGUCAUUGCCAAAGUUUGAAUUGAAGAAGCAAGAUGUCCCAUCAUCUUUUCGAGGUUUGAAACUGAUUGGGCUUGUGAGUUGAAGUAUGCUCUCAUCUCAUUUCGUAGUUCAUCAAUGGUGCGAUUCUGUUGUUCAAUCGUAGAGUGAGUAAGAUUCUUGAGAUUCUGAAAUGAAUCCUCCCAUGGUUUAGGUUGAGAGUAAUUCUGGUUCUAAUUGUAUGGUCUAAAUGGUGGCUGAGAGACUUGAGAGACUUAAGGAAUUGGUUGCAUUGAUGGAGCUGGAGCUGCUGGUCCAUUCUGUUGGAACCUUGAGACCAUGAAAUAUUCGGGUGGUUUUCUCAUUACACCUAUGACAUUGGCUUGAUCUGAGUACGAGUCAUGAUCAUGUGGCUUUGUUGAUUUAGCAAUUGAUAACGAUGCUAUUUGUCGGGAAAGACCUUCAAUUAUCGCUUUGACUUCUUUAAUUUCUGAACUUGACUCGCCAAUGUGAACCUCAUUCACUCCCUUAAUUCUUCUAAUAUUCCUGAGUGAUCGAUUCCGUUGUUGGGAAUUAUCCGCUUGUUGCUGGAAGAAUUCCCAAAUCUCUUAUGCACUUUUUGACAUUAACUCUCCUCCCCACUUGUUGCCAUUAGCCAUUCUUGCACAUGUGGCAAUAAUCCCUCCAAAAAGUAUUGGCAUUGAUGACAUUUCUUGUACCCAUGAUGUAGACACUUCCAAAGUAACCCAUUGAAUCGCUCCCAUGUUUCGAAAAACUGCUCAUCUUCUCUCUGGGUAAAUUCUGAGAUUUCCCUACGAAUAGCAUUGGUUUUAUGCACUGGGAAAUAUUUAUUCAAAACUUUCGUUACCAUUUGUUCCCAUGAUGUAAUGCUAUUAGCAGGCAAUGUAUUGAACCAUGAACGAGCUCUAUCCUUUAAAGAAAAUGGGAAUAGUCUAAGUUUAACAGCAUCAUCUGAAAAUUUCUCAUAUUUAAAUGUUUGACAAACAUCAUGAAAAUUAUUCAAAUGAUUAUAUAGGUCUUCAUUUUCUAAGCCAUAGAAUGUUGGGAGACAAUUUAGCACACUAGGUUUUAGUUCAAAACUCCUAGUAGCUACAUUUGGGUAUUUUAUAUAUGAUGUGCUCAAAUUAGCUAAGGGACUGAAGUAAUCCUUAAAUGGCCUCUCCUGUGGUGCUUGUUGUUGUUGCAAAUCCAUUUCACUUUUAUAUUUAAUGUGUUUGUGUGUGCGUAAUGUUUUUUUCUAGUUCAAGGUCUAUAGGCUCAAGAUUAUGUAAUAAUGACCUUCGACUAUACAUACAAAGAACACAAAAAUAAAUGGGAACAAAAUAAAUAAAAAUAAAGAAGAAGGAGAAAUUAUGGUACUAACUUUAUUGCGCUGUUACAACCUUACUAUAAAAACAUACUAAAAAAAAUACGUGAAAUAAAUUUGCUAAAACUUAAAAUUAAUACGAUAAAAAAAAUUACAAAGAAAAAUAACUUGAAAAUUAAAUUACAGAACUUUAAAGAAGAGAAAAAAUUUCUUACCUCAAAAUAUAAAUUCACUUUUUUUCUUUUUUUUAAAUUAAAAAAAUUACAAGAAAAAUAACUAAAAGAAAUUUUUUACAAAAAUUAAUUCUACAAAUUAAAAUAACUUACCUCCCCAGCAACGGCGCCAAAAACUUGUUGUGCAAAUUUUAUUGAACUCACAAGUGCACGAAUCUAUUGUAAAAUAGUUCAAUGGUGACGAGUGUCGAUCCCACGAGGAGGUGAAUUUUAAUUACAUGUAGAGUUAAUUUUUGAAUUGGGUAAUUGGAUUUGUGGUGGAAAUGAUUUGGAAUAUUCUAAAACUUAAAUUAAAAUGGCGAGAAUAAAUUGAAGAGAAAUCUAUUGAAAUGAAGCACUUGAGUAUCUGAAUCCGUAUCAACAUGCACCAUGGGCUAAAUAUUCCUUAUUAGUGUCAAUUAAAUCAUGAGAGGGGUAUCCACACUUCAUGAACCAUACUCUAAUCAAUAUGGUGCUAAGGGCUUAUCAUGCCAAAUAAUAAUAACCUUGUACUAGGGAGCCGGUGAAAUUAGGGCGGUAUCUAGACAAGAUUAUUAUUAUUUGUCGACGAAACGUCAAAACAUCCACAAAAAUUAGAGGGGAAGAGAAAAUAAAUUUACCAAAUAAAGCCCAUGACACAUGUUGAGACUUCACCUUCAACCCAAGCUUGAAAGAAAAUUAGCUACUCAUAAUUGAACUAGGGGCAAAAUGGGAAUUUAUUAAAAUACGUAGAAAAUACAAGAUGGAGAAGGAAUUAUAUAAAAUGGAGCCCAAAAAUGGAUUCAGAGAUAUCAAAUUAGACGGGGAGGCCCCCUUUUUAUAGAUAUAUAAAGCAAAUCAUGGCCAUCGGAUUAAAAACAGUUUGGACGCUCAGGAUUGCGCCACGUCAUCAGUCAACAGUACGCGGUUUGACCACGCGGUUUGAAAAGUUACAUGGUUUGACCACGCAGUUUGAACAGUCAACCAGUUUGAACAGUGACGCAGUUUGGUUGAAAAUAAUCCUGUAUAUAUGCAUGUACUGUACGCGCGAUUUUUGGUCCACUAACAGGCUGCCACGUCACCGAUCAAAAGUGUAUAUAAAUUUUGUCCAAUAGAAUCGUGACAUCUCAUCAGUCAAUGCCACAUCAUCGGUCAAUACCACGUCAUCAUUCCGUAUGUGUGAACAAUGUCGUGGACAGUAUCAUGGACAGUAACAUGGACAAUAUUUUUAACUGUCCUGAGUUCAAAAGCGAUGUCCGUUUUACCGUCUGAUUUCUCGUUCAUUGUGAAAUGACCAUGAUGCCCCUAAAAUACUUAAUUAAAAUAAAACACACGUAAUUAAAUCACAAGAAGCUUAAAUACAUAAAAGUAAGGGUGUUAGUAAGACUUGAAAUGUAAAAUAACGAUUUUCUCCUUUAUAAAUAUACAUUUUCUAACACUCAACGAUGGUAUGUUGUGCAAAUUUUAUUAUACUCGCAAGCGCACGAAUCUAUUAUAGAAUAGAUUUUGUGGUGACGAGUGUUGUUCCUACGAGGAGGUAGAUUUAAUUGUGCAUAGGGUUAAUUGUUUGAAUGUAUAUUUGAGUUGGUUGGUUGAAAGUGAUUUUUUAUCUUAAAAUUUAAAAUAAACUGGCGGGAAUGAAUUAAAGAUGAAAAUAAUGCAAAUGAAACACUUGAGUCUCUAGAUUCACGCUCAACAUUUCACCAUUGGCUUAAUUCAUGGCAAGGUAUUUCUACUCCCCAUAAUCCUCACUCCAAUAAAUAUGCUAUCAAGCACUCACUGUGACAGAGGGUAAUGAUCUUACACUAGGUAUGGUAUUAAGAACACGUGUUGCCAGAAGAUAAUAAUCCUUCUGUCGAUAACACAGCAAGACCAUCCACUAAAUAGCUUAGAUGCACUGUGUAUCGACACUGAGUCAAAACAAUCCACAAAAUACUAUAGGAGAAUUUCUCUCUAAUAAAUAUGGUGCCCAUGCAUUGUAUUAAGGCUUAACCUUCAACGCAAACUUAAAAUUAAACUAGGUACUCAUAAUUGAACUACGGGUAAAAUAGUAAUUUUAUUAAAAUACAUAGAAAAUAAAAGAUGAGGAGAGAAUUACAGAAAAUAGAGCUAAAAAAUGGAUUCAAGGGUGUCAAUUGCCAUACUGAGUUGAACAUGUGCAUCCUUCAAGGUUGCUUCAACUUUUGCCCAUCCCUCAUAAAAUUUGAGAAGAUAUCUCUAUGGAUUUCAUUGAUGGUCUUCUCCCUUCCAUAGGAAAAACAGCUAUUCUUGUUGUAGUUGAUCAUUUAUCUAAUUACUCCCAUUUCAAUGCUUUAUCUCAUCUUUAUACAACUGUUAUUGUCGCUAAAUUUUUUUUGUGUUGGAUGUGGCUUUUUACGUGGAAUGCCACUAAUUAUUAUCAACAACUGUGAUUCUAUAUUUAUUAGUCAGUUUUGGGAAGAAUACUUUCAGUUAUAGGGCAGUUCUUUGUGUCGUAUCUCUUUUUAUCAUCCUCAAACAAAUGGCCAAAUUAAAGUAGUUAAUCACUCUUUUGAAGGAUAUUUAAGAUGCUUUGAUGGCCAUCAAUCUUCUACUUGGACUAACAAGCUGCCUUAGGCUGGAUAGUGGGAUAACACCACUUUCCAUUCUGCCAUCAAAAUGAAUCCAUUAGAAACAGCUAAUGGUCCGCCGCCAACUUGAAUAGAAUCUUACUUGCCAAGCACAACUAGGGUUAUGCUGUCAACUUGGCUUUUUACAAUGGGGAUUUGAUUUUGCGCCUUCUUAAAGACAAUUUGGAGGCUGCUCAAUCACAAAUAAACUUUUUUUUUCUGAUAAAAACCAAAGUGAAGGGGAUUGGGUGUACUUCGUUUUCAACAUUAUCGACAGUCCAUUUUACAUUCUAAUGGUACUCAUAAGUUGUCUCUGCACUACUAUGCCUUUUUUCGAAUUCUUUCUUGCAUUGGAACAGUGGCUUACAAAUUGGAUCUCCAGCUACAAGUAAAGUUCAUUCUACUUUUCAUGUUUCAAGGUUAAAGCAAAAUCUUGUGAUUCAUACAUCUUUUCAACAACUUCCUGAUUCUCCUCAUUUUGUUGCUUGGGAAUGGCAGCCUUUGACCAUUUUGGAUCAUGUGCUUUUCAAAUGUUGCAAUUACCCUGUUACUAAGCUCUUUUGUUCAAUGGCAAGGUUAGUCUAAAGAGGAGGCUACCUGGGAGGAAUAUUAUGAGUUCCUAGCCUAUUUUCCUUCUUUUCAGCUUGCAGACAAGCUUCUUCUUAGGAAGGGAGGAUGUUAAUCCUUGUCCUAAUCCUAUAUUGUUUUUUAUUUUCUUUUUCAUUGAGGAUUAGUUAUUAUAUUUCUGUUAAUAAGUCUCAAUUAUUUAAGAAUUAUUAUUUUAGUAGAAUUGAGUUAUAGCUCUAUAUAAGGAGUGUUUUAUUUGUUUAAUAAAAUAACAAUCAUUACCCUAAAACUCUCGUUCCCUCUCUAACCUAUUGUUGGUGUAUAAAUACUAAUGCUAUUGGUGUCAAUAUGUAAGUAUACACAACAAGUAAUAAAAUAAUGAGUAUUCAAGAUCGUAUCCACGGGGAUUGAUGUUAUCAGAUUUGCUACAACAAUCUUAACGGUGCAUAUUUUUUGCUAAAAUAAAAUAAAACAAUUAAUGAAACUAAUAUACUAAUUAAAAUAAAAACGUAAUAAAUAAAAUGCAACAAAGUAAAUUAUCACGUCAAUCUCAAGGAUAAAAUCAAUGGGAAUAUAAAGUAGUUGAGUGAAUAAACUCUCCUAGUGGUCUUGACUAUUUUCUAAUGGUUGGCUCGGUUGCUGCAGUAUCUGCUACAGCACUGGGCAGAAUCUUUAUGCAUUCUUAGCCGUCACAUGUUGGAUAUUUUAUAUCUAUAUGUAACCUAACAGUGAUCAAUUGUUAUGCCAACAUAAGAUAUAACAUUACACGCUUAGGUUCUAUUUACCCUACAAGGUCAAUCCCUAUGCCUAGUUCAUCACUAAUUUUAGAUUAAGCAUGGCCCUUUUGGGAUAAGUUAAACUCAAUCCAGGAAACCCAAUCUAAAACCAAGUAUUGCUCUGAUAUGUUCCACUAAGAUAGGCCAUUUUGCGGCUCUCUCCUAACUUGUAUCAUUAAAUGGGUGAUCAACCAAAAUAAUGAAUAAAAAUAAAUACUAUCAAAACAAACUGCUACAGCAAACAUGCAGCAACACAUAUAUUCAGUCAAUAAACCAUCAAGAUUGUUUAUCACUCAACCACAAAUAAAUUUAGUUCAUAGUUUGCAAAAGAAAAAUAAAGAACAAAGUUUCAGCCAUGAAACACAUCCCCAUGAAUAAAUAGAAAACACGAAAACAAGAGAAUGAUAAGAAGGAUUGAGCUCCCAAUUGAUCUCUGAAUUUUUCCUCUUGUGUAGCCCUUGAUCUCUCUCUUGAAUCUUGUUUUUUUUUUUUUUGUUUCUUUGUGUUUUUCUCCUUGGGUGACGACCCUCUUUAAUCCUUAUGAUGUGUGCUUCUUUUAUAGUUGAAAAUUAGGGUAAACAGAAGCCUAGGGCGCGCAUAAGUCAGAUUAGGAAGCUGCAGAUCGCAAUUCUGCAAGUAUCCUGUGCGGAAUUUUCUCUAUCGUUGUUCCAGGAUUGCUACAGCAACGGCUACAGCAACUACACUGUUCCAAAUUUGUUUCAAUUCUUUUGUAGCUAAGUUCUUCCUCAUUUUUGCAAGCUUAUUGCAUCAACAUUCCUUCCAUGAAUUAUAAGCUUCUGGAAACCUACAAUUAAGCACACAAUUUAAGCACAGAUUACUUUAAAUUAAAUAAAACUCAUUAAGACUAAACUAAAAUGAAUAUUUAUGCAAAAUGUAACAAAAAUGCAAUAGAAACACAUCAUUUACUCUCUAAGGAAUAUUAAUUUAAGUCUAAAAGUUCCAUGAUAACUCUCAUUUCAUAGAGUUAUCACACCUGCAAACUUAAACCAUUACUUGUCCUCAAGUAAUGACAACAACGCUAACACUUCAAUCACACUCAGAUCACAUUCUUAAUCAUGCAAAAUAGCCUUAACAGUUCAGUUUUAGACUUAGGCCUCAUUAUGUCCAAAGCGUGUGUGUGCUACUUUGAUCAAAUUCCAGAGGUACUAUAGCAUUACACAGACAUAUAUAAUUCAAAGAUAAAACACAAAUGUAUACACAUAUGGGGGAGCAGAAUUCACAAAUAAACUCAAACUGUGCUACAACAAACAUAAUUAAUUUUUUUUAAACCCUUCAAUGCAACAUUGAGCUUUCAUGUGAAUGCCUAUCACUUAUAAUGACGACACCCAAUUACUCACUCAAAGUACAUGUCAGAGUUGCUACAACAACGCAUUCAGGAUGUUAUAUCUAAGUCUUACCUUUGGACGCCUUUGACUCAAGGCUGAACAUGGGGCUCAUGAAUAAACCAGGUUACUCAGUAUCCUAGAUAGCAGACCUCUUUAUUUUUUAUUCCUUCAUCACUAUUUUUUUUUUUGCUUUUUUUUAUAUAUAUAAUUGCUGCAGCACUGCUCAUAGCUCUUGUUGCCUUUGGACUCAAGUUUGCAUAUAGGGUGCAUACUCAACCUUAGUUACUCAACAACUUAAACCAUUGGAGCAAAAUUUAUUUCAUAACAGGCACAAUCCAACAAAAAGUUUCCCCCAAACUUGAGAUAUUUUCUACUUUUUUUUUCUUGGCUCUGCUACAGCAUUCUCAUAAAACUUAACCAAAGUCUAAGUGUCGGGACAGAAUUUCAACAUUCGUCUAUAACUAUCUCUACUUGGCAUUCUCAUAAAUACUGAAUAACACUCAAUUUAUCUUCAUUAGGUUUUCAAAUCCAUAUACAAAUAUUAGAUAACAGAGCUUCACACAACACACAACACAAGCAUAAACACAUGCACUCAGAAACACAACCCCCCCAAACUUGAGUGGUGUUGUGUCCUCACAAGCACACAAAACAAAACCACAUAAACCAGACAUGAAUACACUAAAUAAAAUGACAUAUAGAAUGAAUUGGAAAAUUAAAACUAAAUGAAAGAAAAUUUUUGCAAAAAAAAGUAAAAUAAACUAGCGGUAGGGGGGUACUCCCAUGUUGCUGGAAGCACUGCUACAACAUAGGCUGUAAAGGGUCACUUUUUCUUUGAUAUACUUCUCAAACGCUCCUUAUCAUAAAAUCUGAUCAAUCCAUUUGCUACUGUAAAAGCAAGAAAUGCCUCUGUUGUUUGAGAAUCUUCUGUUAUAUGUCAUGUUGUAAGCGAUGCUGCAGCAAUUCCUUCCUACUCUUUUUUUCAUUUUUUGUUUUUUUGUUUUUGCCUGCUACAAUUUAACACAAAGACAUAAAAAAUUAGAUGCACACUUAAAAUAACAAGAAGACAAAUUCAAUAAUUUAAAAACUAAAUUUAAUGCUUUAAAGAGUUAAAAACAACUUCCCUUAUUGGGUUGCCUCCCAAUUAGCGCUUGAUUUUAGGUCUUUCAGCCUGACCUUUCUUGUUUCCUCAACCUGGAUCCUUCAAGAACCGAUCCUUCUUUAGGCUGUUCACAUCAUCUCCCAUAUAGUGCUUUACUCUUGGCCCAUUAAUCUUGAAUUCUUGUUGGUCUGGAGUGAGUUCCCUUUGCUGGAUUUGCUCGUCAAUUCUAAAGGGUUGCUUCUCCCCUGACCAUGCUAUGUUAGCUGAUCCAUGAUCUUCAUCAUCAAGUUCUUCAAUUGUUAUAGCAUUGAUUUCUUCCUUACUGCAGCAACUGUGUAAUCUCUCCGCUACAACAAAGUCCACAACACUGAUAAAAUUACAAUCUUCAAUCUCAUUGGGACUUUUCAUGACAUCCAGCACAUUGAAUGUAACUUGCUGGUCAUUCACCCUCAUGAUUAAUUCUCCUUUUUGAACAUCAAUUAGAGUCUUUCUCGUGGCUAAGAAAGGUCUUCCUAUAAUGAUUGGCACUUUUUUGUCUGUCUCAAAGUCUAGCGCAAUAAAAUCCACUGGAAAAAUAAAUUUAUCCACCUUCACCAACCCAUCUUCAAUCUUUCCUUCCGGAUAUGCAUGAGAUCUGUCAGCAAGUUGUAAAGACACUGUUGUUGGUCUACAUUCACCAACUCCCAAUUGCUUAAAUACUGAUAAAGGCAUGAGAUUGAUGGUAGCCCCGAAAUCACAAAGUGCUUUGCCACUGUAUUUAGUGCCUAUGGAGCAUGGGAUUGUGAAGCUUCCUGGAUCCUUCAUCUUCUAUGGUAUCUUACUCUGGAGCAUUCGGCUGCACUCUUGUGUUAGAGCAACUAUUUUAAACUCUCUAAGUCUUCUUUUCUUUGUCAAAAUAUCCUUAAAAAAUUUUGCAUAAUUUGGCAUUUGCUCUAGAGCUUCCACAAAAGGGAUAUUGAUAUGUAGUUGUUUCAGUACUCCUAAGAUUUUGCUCAACUGCUUGUCUUGUUUUUGCUUCUGAAACCUUUGAGGAAAUGGUGGUGGAUGUCUAAAUUAUUGUGCUGCAGCAGGUUGUGCAGACUGCUUCUCUUUUGCCAUGUUCUGGGUUGGUGUUACAGCCUCGUUAUCCACAGGUGUUGGAUCAUCAUUUUCGGCAAAUACUGCAACUUGACUACUCUCACCAGUGUGCUGUGAAGUGGAGGAUUGUGACUCUUUUUCAAUUUGAGUUUCUUUCUAGAUUGAAGUGGGCUCAGCUCUUCUUUUUGGUACACCAACGGGACUAUGAACAUCCUUUCCAGAUCUCAAGUUAAUCACUUUGCAGUGCUCUUUCCCUUCUCUUCUUGGGUCCUCUGUAUUACUUGGUAAACUACCUUGAGGUCUGUUACUCAAUACUGCAGCAAGUUGUCCAAUUUGAUUUUCCAAGUUUCUCAAAGAUACAGUAUAAGUUUGGACAACUGCUUCAUUCUUCACAAUGUAAUCCUUAAUCAAACCUUCAAGGGAGCUGAGUUGAUCAUUAUUGAUGCUUCUUUACUCUUGAUUUUGCUGAUAAAAUCCACUAAAUUGAGCAAGUUUGUUCUAUCUACUGAAUGCUGCAGCAGUUUGUUCUAUCUACUGAAUGCUGCAGCAGGUUGAUUCUAAUUACUCCAUGAAAAGUUCGAGUGCUGUCUCCAUUCAGGGUUGUAAGUAUUUGAAUAUAGAUUGUCCUGGUUCUGUCUAUUGAAGCUGCCCACAUAAUUGACUGAAGUUGGAUUCCUAGGACAAUUGUCGAAUAAAUGCCAUUUUCCACAAUAAACGCAAGACACAUCAGAAAUUUGGUUAACAGUUGUUGAAGCAGUAGUCAUAGCCUUUACCAUAUUUGUUAAUGAGGCUACUUGGGCUAAUAAUGUUGUCAAGGCAUCUACAUUAUGGACUCAUGUUGUUCCUCUUGCUACAGCUUGUCUGGUUGGUGGCCACUGAUAGUUAUUUUUGGCUAUCCUCUCCAAAAUUUCAUAAGCCUCAUUGUAAGACUUAGAUAACAAGGCUCCAUUUGCUGAAGCGUCCACCAUCAAUCUAGUGUUUGGGUUGAAACCAUUAUAGAAAAGUUCCAACUGUAUGCAGCAAGGAAUACCAUGAUGAGGACAUCUCCAGAGUAACUCCUUAAAUCUCUCUCAUGCAUCACACAAGCUCUCAUCUUCAAAUUGAUGGAAAGAUGUGAUUUCGUUCCUCGACUUUGCAUUCUUGGUUGGCGGGAAGUAUUUCAUCAAAAAUUUGUCAGCCAAAUCAUUCCAUGUAGUGAUAGAAUCUGGUGGUAGAGAAUUCAACCAUGCUCUUGCUCGAUCUCUCAAAGAAAAUGGGAAAAGUCUGAGUCUCAAUGCUUCUUGCGAUGCUCCAGCAAUCUUGAAAGCAUUACUUACUUCCAAAAAUAACUUAAGGUGUAGAUGAGGAUCUUCGGAUGGCAAACCAUUAAAUUACCCCACUGUUUGAAGCAUCUGAAACAUCACGGGUUUGAGUUCAAAAUUGUCAGCUUGAACGUCGGGUCUAACUAUUCCCGGAUGUAUGGCUUGAGGAGUCAACAUUGCGUAGUCUCGAAUGGCUCUAUCUUUAUCGUUCGCCAUGUGAAUAAUGUUGUUGUUCCCUAGUUGCCUUUGAACAGAUUGUCCAUUCAGACCAUCAUGUACAUUGACUGGUUGUAUCCCCUCUCUACGGUUCAAGUUUCUCAAAUCUUGCAAAUCAUCCAUUGCUACAGCAGCUUGUAAUUCCCAAUACUCUCUUCUCAAUCUCCUUGCAGUUCUUUCAAUUUCUGGAUCAAACUGGAAGUCAACAGAUUUAUAUUUGCGCAUGCAAGGGUUGCUAGAUCACCUAUGUCAACAAAAUAAACAAAUAAAAUAAAAUAAAAAAAUUAGCACCGUUAAAACUAAUUUCAUAAAUCACAAUGAACAAUCAAUCCCCGGCAACGGUACCAAAAACUUGUUGGUGUAUAAAUACUAAUGUUAUUAGUGUCAAUGUGCAAGUGUACACAACAAGUAAUAAAGUGAUGAGUAUUCCAGAUCGUCUCCACAGGGAUUGAUGUUAUCAGAUUUGCCACAGCAAUCUUAACAGUGCAUCUUAAAAUAAUUUCUUUUAAUUGUUUUCUUAUAAUUUUUUUGUUUCUUAUUUAAAAAAAAAAGUGAAUCUGAAUUUUGAGGUAAGAAUUUCUUUUCUUUUUCUCUUCUUUAAAAUUCUCUAAUUUAAUUUUCAAGUUAUUUUUCUUUAUAGUUUUUCGUUUAUUUUAUUAAUUUAUUUUUAGUUAAUUUAUUUCGCGUAUUUUUUUUAGUGUGUUUUCAUAGUAAAAUUGUAACAGCUUGAUAAGGUUAGUAUCGUAAUUUCUCCUUCUUCUUUAUUUUUAUUUGUUUUGUUUUCAUUUCUUUUUGUAUUAUUUGCAUGCAUGGUCGAAGGUCACUAUUACCUAAUCUUAAGCCUAUAGACCUUAAACUGAAAAAAAUACUUUGCACACACAAACACGUCGUAAUUAAAGAUAAAAGUAAAAUGGAUUUGCAACAAUAACAACAAGCACCACAGGAGAGGCCAUUUAAGGACUACUUCAGUCCCUUAGCUAACUUGAGCACAUCAUGCAUAAGAUACCCAAAUGUAGCUGAUAGGAGUUUUGAGUUAAAACCUAGUAUACUAAAUUGUCUCCCAACAUUCUAUGGCCUAGAAAAUAAGGACCCAUAUAAUCAUUUGAAUGAUUUUCAUGCUAUUUGUCAAACUUUUAAAUAUGAGAAUUUUUCAGAUAAUGAUGUUAAACUUAGAUUAUUCCCAUUUUCUUUAAAGGAUAGAGCUCGUUCAUGGUUCAAUACAUUACCUGCUAAUAGCAUUACGUCAUGGGAACAAAUAGUAACAAAAUUUUUGAAUAAAUACUUCUCAGUGCAUAAAACCAAUGUUGUUCGCAAGGAAAUUCAGAGUUUACCCAGAGAGAAGAUGAGCAGUUUUUCGAAACAUGGGAGCGAUUCAAUGGACUACACUUGAAGUGUCCACAUCAUGGGUACGAGAAAUGGCACCAAUGCUAAUACUUUUUGGAGAGAUUAUUACCACAUGUGAAAGACUGGCAAAUGACAACAAGUGAAGGAGAGCUAAUGUCAAAAAGUGCAUCAGAGAUUUGGGAGUGACAAGUGGAUAAUUCCCAACAACAGAGUCGAUCAUUCAGGAAUACUAAAAGAAUUAAGGGAGUGAAUGAGGUUCACAUUGGUGAGUCAAGUUCGGAAAUUAAAGAAGUCAAAGUGAUAAUUGAAGAUCUUUCCCAACAAAUAGUAACGUUAAUGACUGCUAAAUCAAUAAAACCACAUGACCAUGACUCAUACUCAGAUCAAGCCAAUGCCAUAGGUGUAAUGAGAAAACUAUCAAAUUACAAUCCAUACUCCAACACAUAUAAUCCUGGAUGGAGAGACCACCCCAAUUUUUCAUGGUCUCAAGGAUUCCAAUAGAAUGGACCAGGAGCUCUAGCUCCACCAAUGUAACUAAUUCCUCAAGUUCCUCAAGCCUCUCAGCCACCAUUUAGACCAUACAAUCAGAACCCGAGCUACUUUCAACUCAGACCAUGGGAGGAUACAUUCCAGAAUUUGAAGAACCUUACUCAUUGCAUGAUUAAGCAACAGAACCGUACCAUUGAUGAACUACGAAAUGAGAUGAGAGUAGGCUUCAACUCACAAGCCCAAUCAGUUUCAAACCUCAAGAAGAUGGUGGGACAGCUUGCCUCUUCAGUUCAAACUUUGGCAAUGAUUGUUGAGAAAGGCAAAUUCCCAAGUCAACAAGUGCCUAAUCCUAAAGAAGUGCAUGACGUAAGUAUCAGUUCACCACAUCAGCAUCAAGAGGUCAAUGACGUCAUGACCUUGCGAAAAGGAAAAGAAGUCGACAACAAAGUGGAGAUGUCGAUGACAAAAACAUCUCAAAUUGUAAAUGUGAAUGUUGAGGAUUCAUCAUCGGAGGAGAAAGAAGAAACCAACCGACGAGAAUACAUUCUUAAAGCUCCCUUUUCCUCAGAGUUUAGUUGAAGGAAAGAAGGAAAAAUCCACAGGUGAGAUUUUUGAGAUCUUCAAUAAGGUAAGUGUUAAGAUCACUUUGUUUGAUACUAUAAAACAAGUGUCACCGUAUGCCAAGUUUUUUAAAGACCUUUGGACUAAAAAGAGAAAUAUUUAUGUUCAAAAGAAAACAUUUUUAACAGAAAACGUUAGUUCUAUACUCCAACACAAAAUUUCUCUAAAAUACAAAUACCCAAGCUCCCCCACUAUCUCAUGUAGUAUAGGGAACCACACAAUUGAGAAUGCUUUGUUGGACUUAGUAGCUAGUGUAAAUUUGUUGCCUUACUCAGUAUUCGUGAAACUUGGACUGAGAGAAUUACACCAAAUUUCAGUGGUGUUACAACUUGCAGAUCGAUCCACAAAAAUACCUCGUGGUAUUGUGGAGAACAUACUUAUCCAAGUAGAUAAGUUUUAUUUUCCUGUUGAUUUCAUUGUAAUUGACACUCAACUAGUUUAGGACUCAAAGAAGCACAUCCACAUUAUCCUAGGCCGACCUUUCUUGGCAACUGUCGAUGCUCACAUUCAAUGCAGGACUGGAAAUAUGCAAUUGUCCUUUGGUAAUAUGACUAUAGAGCUAAACAUCUUCAAUAUUGUCAAACAACCUUACAAUGCAGAUAAUGGAAUUAUUGAUGUGGAUUUAAUAGAAGCAUUAGUUGAUAAUACAUUUCUUUCAAACCUUAGUGAUGACCCUUUACAAACAUGUUUAACUCACUCUGAUUUGGAUUUUGAUAUUGACAGAUCAGUCGAUGAGGUCAGUGCCCUACUUGACUCAGCACCAUCUAUGGACACUAAUAAAUGGAAGUCAAGAGUUGAACAACUAGCACCAUUAGAGAAGAAACUCAAUUCAUCAUCAGAAUCACCACCGAAACUCGAGCUCAAACCAUUACCCAACACUUUGGAAUAUGCGUUCUUGGGAGAAAAAAACACUCUGCCAGUAAUCAUCUUAUCAUCUCUAAAUGACGAACAAAAAGAUAAGUUGGAAGUUUUAAAAAAGCACAAAAGAGCAUUAGGAUAGACCAUAGCCGACAUAAAAGGUAUAAACCCUAUAAACUGCAUGCAUUUCAUUCACCUUGAUGAAAAUACUAAACCUACUAGGGAAAUGCAACGUCGGUUAAAUCCUAACAUGAAAGAAGUUGUUAAAACUGAAGUCCUUAAACUAUUAGACGCAAGUAUCAUUUACCCAAUUUCUGAUAGUUCAUGGGUCAUUCCUGUGCAAGUUGUCCCCAAAAUGUCAGGAGUCACAGUAGUUACCAAUGUUGAUAAUGAAUUAAUACCCACUAGAGUGACUACAGGAUGACGUGUAUGCAUUGAUUAUAGAAAGUUGAAUUCUGUCACACGUAAAGACCAUUUUCCUUUACCAUUUAUCGAUCAAAUGCUUGAUAGAUUAGCAGGUCAUGAAUUUUAUUACUUUCUAGAUGGCUACUCAGGAUAUAAUUAGAUUCCCAUAGCACCAAAAGAUCAAGAGAAUACCACUUUCACUUGCCCUUUUGGCACUUUUGCAUAUAGGAGAAUGCCAUUUGAAUUAUGUAAUGCACCUGCUCCAUUUCAACGAUGCAUGUUAAGCAUUUUUUCUGAUAUGGUUGAACGAUUCCUUGAGGUCUUUAUGGAUGACUUUUCUGUUUUUGUUGAUUCAUUCAAGCAGAGAUGUAUAGAGAAGUACUUGGUCUUAAAUUAGGAGAAGUGUCAUUUUAUGGUAAAAUAAGGUAUUGUUCUCAGUCACAUAAUUUCGAGCAAAGGUAUUGAGGUUGAUAAAGCCAAGGUCGAUCUAAUUUCCAAUAUUCCUUCACCUAAAACAGUCAGAGAAGUAAGACCUUUCCUUGGGCAUGCUGGUUUUUAUAGACGUUUCAUUAAAGAUUUUAGCAAAGUUUAUAGACCCUUAUGCAAUCUACUUGCUAAGGAUGUACCUUUUAUCUUUGAUGAUUCAUGUCUUUGGAUUCCCUCGAGCAAUAAUCAGUGAUGGUGGUACCCACUUUGGUAACAAAUCAUUCAAAGCUCUUUUGACAAAAUAUUCCAUUACUUACAAAGUGACGACCCCAUAUCAUCCACAAAUCAGUGGCCAAGUUGAGAUCUCCAAUCGAGAGAUAAAGCACAUAUUAGAAAAGACGGUGAGGUCAAACAGAAAAGAUUGGUCUUUAAGACUCGAUGAUGCAUUAUGGGCAUAUAAAACGGCUUUCAAGACCCCGAUUGAGAUGUCACCCUACAGGCUAGUGUAUGGAAAAGCUUGCCACCUACCUGUGGAACUCAAGCAUCGUGUGUACUAGGCCAUCAAGAAAUUCAACUUUGGCAUGCAGCAAGCUAGCUCAGAAAGAAGAUUACAACAGGCAGAACUUAAAGAAAUUCGUAAUGAUGCAUACGAAAAUGUCAAGAUUUACAAGCAGCGAAUGAAAGUCUUUCUUGACAAGUAAAUUUUGAGAAAAUCUUUCACCCCAGGUUAGAAAGUGCUUUUAUUCAAUUCUCGCUUGCAUAUAUUCCCAAGUCAGUUACGCUCUCGAUGGUCUAACCCCUUUAUUGUUCACACUAUUUUUCCACGUGGAGCAAUUGAAAUUAAGGAUCCAAAGAACGGUGUCACUUUUAAAGUUAAUGAUCAAAUAUUAAAGUCAUAUCUAGAGUAUCAACCACAUGGAGAGGACACCGAAAUAAAUUUGAGUGACCCACCAAAUUAGAAUUGAGAUUUUUCUUUCUUUUCGGUGAUUUUAUUUUUUUCUUUUCUUUCUUUUCUUUCUUUUUACUAUUCUUUUGCUAAUUAAAAUUAUUUUUACAUAAGUGUGUUUGUUUAACCAUUAAGUUUUUUUUUAUCAUUAUUAAUCAUGAGUGUCUCAGCUAAACAGAUUCUCUUGGACCUUCUUAGACAACUUCAACAUGUAAAAUCUCAUCUCAUAAGCCAAAUUCAAUUUUGUAAAACACAUUAUAUUUGGGAUCUACAACUACCAAAGUUAGUAUCCUAUGUUGAGCUUUAGAAAGACAACUCAAAGACAUUGAGGGAGGUAUUUACGACAUCCAGUUGGAGCUUGAGGUAAAUUCAAUAAGAGGACAACUGUAAUUUUCUUUGUGUGUUUUAGUUUGUUACUCUGUUUGUGUGCUUUAGUUUGUUACCCCGGUUAAGUGGCGGAUAACGGUACUCCAUGACAAUCAAGUCGGUUACUUCAGUUUCCUAUAAUAACUGAUAUUCUGAGGCGAAGGUAUGGACAGAAAUGAGAUUCUAGCAGAGCUUCACAAUCGAUUGCCUUCACUUCCUCAGAAUACCCUCCUUACAAUCUAUAAAGUUCGGUCCGAACACAUGUGAUUGCUUAUAAGGAAUAACAUACCUGCUGACAUCCGCUGGUUAAUCGAGGCCAAAGUACAAUUGGCAGGUGAGUUGCCUCCCAAAUUUAUUGCAUAUAUGCCUGGUUGUGAUAAAGGAAAUUAUGCAAGAAAACGAAGAGCUCGAAGACUUUUUGUUGCUUGUCAUAAGUGUGCCAAAAUGAGAUGCGAUAAAAAAUCGUGUUCUUUAAGAAUGGUGUCUGAUAACAAGGAAGGCAAUAUUCAAUUCAUUAGGGAUGACUUGAAUAAAGAGUCAUUAGAUGAUAUCUUUUUGUCUCUUGAAACGCAUCUCAGUGGAUGCGUACAAAGAGCAAUUCUCCAGUUAUAGCCAUUAUUUCAGAAAGAGCAUGCACGAUACAGUCUCAGGAAUCUGACUAUAAAUGAUCAUGUUUGCUACUUUAUAAGAAAACUGGAUGGGAAGCCUAUCCUCGACUCAUAAAGGGUGUUCAAGCCAUUUCUGGACGCAAAACCAGAGGAAGAUGUGAGCUACAGUCGCAACUACCUGUAAAUAUCCUUUUAUUUCACUGUUGUUUUAUCAUUUGCAUUAUUGUCUUUAAUAAUUUUAUUUUAUCAUUAUUUGCUUUUUCUUUUUACUGUUCCUUUUUUUACUCUUGAGCCAUGUACUUUACACAUUAAUUGACACAGACAUGCUACCUCAUACACAGUUGUGACCCCUUGUCACCAAGAUUCUUAAAUAUGAUUUUUUUGUAAGCACUCAAAAAUUAUUUUUUGACAAGUAUCCCAAUGGCAGCUACUCCUAAUAAACAAUUCAAGAACAUUUGUGUGCUCUCUGGGUUUAACUAUGGCAAAUAUAAAGAGUUUAUUGAGACAGCCAUAGAUCUUGGUCGAAGCAUAGUAGCAAGGAAAUUACAUUUGGUAUAUGGAGGAGGUGACCGAGGGUUAUCAAAACUAGUUUCAGAAGCUGCUUAUAUUAGAGGGAGCCAAGUGUUAGGCAUCAUCCCAAGAACCCUAAAACCUUUGGGUUGUUUUUCUGACUCACCAACUGGUGAAGAGUUAAUCGUCUCAAGUAUGCAAGAGAGAAUAACUGAAAUGCUAAAUCAUGCUGAUGUUUUUGUUUUCCUACUAGGAGAUCUUGUAACUCUAGAGGCACUAAUCACAUUAGCAUCUUGGGCCUAUCUGAAUAUUCAUAAAAAACCCAUCGGUUUAUUAAAUGUCAAUAACUUUUAUGAUGGCUUUAUCGCAUUUCUUAAUCAUGCAAUAAAAAAUUUUUUCAUUCCUUCCACAGUGAAAAACAAAUUUAUUUAUGCUCACACUACUAAUUAGCUACUUGAUCUAGACCAUAACCAGACCUCAGGACCUUUGUGUUGGAGUGUCCAAAUAAUCACAGUAACAGUAACUGCAAUAAGAAGUGCAAAUUAAAUUUAGCUCUCCGCUUGUAAAUAUUUUCUUCUAUGUUGUAACACCCAGGUGAUGUCUUCUAAACUUUACUUAUUUUCUUUAAAAUAUUGAGGACAAUGUUUCGUUCUGAUUAGGGGGAGGGAAUAGUUCACAAUUGUGGAUCUUAGUUAAGUUUUUACUAAUUUUUUGUUGUAAAGACUAACCGUGGCUAACUUUUUGAGUUGAAAAUGGUUGAAUAUGGAGUGUAGUGACUCUAGAAAAGCUUCUUCGUAGUUUGGAAGUUAAAAAAAAAAAAACUAGACAUUUUCUUUUUUCUUUAUUAAGCUUGACAAUCAUUUUUUUCUAACUUCUUAUUUCUAAUUUCUCCUUUAUAAAUAUACACUUUCAACUUUUUGAGUCGAAAAUGACUGAAUAUGGAGUAUAGUGACUCUAGAAACGCAUCUUCUUAGUAAAAAAAAAAUUCCAGACAUUUUUCAUUUUUUAUCAUUUUAAGUGUGAUCUUUCUAAUUAGUUUUUCUACAUCAUUUUCACAUUUCUGCAUGCAUAUUUUCUUUUCAUGUUUAGAAUAGGUUGGGGGGUAGAAUGUCUUUUAAAAAAAAAUUUGUGUGCUUUUUUUUUAACAUUGGAUGAUAUGAUGACUUUCAAAUUUUAAUAUUUGUAUUAUCUUUGGUCUUAAGUGAUGUUACGCCAUGUUUGCUACUUUACAUAUUAAUGUCGGAGACAAAAAUGAGUUGCUUGAAGGAAUGCACAUGUCAUAAUAAAUAUCAAGUAAGUUUUUUAGCCUAUCAUUUUUCUUGGAGAGUAACCUUUUUUGCCCAUUCUUCAUACAACUUAGCAGUUUAUGAUUUCAUACAAAAUCUCUAGAUUUCUUUUGAGUCAACCCUUUAAAAAAUUGUAAAAUAAUAAAAUAAUAAUAAUAAAAUGUGUUGCUACAUCUGAAGGUUCAUCUAACUCGUAGAUAUGGAAGAUUAUUUAGAGCUCUAAAAGACGAUGGAAAUGUCAUCUUUACCCCGUUUGAGCUUUUCUAGCCAUUCCUUUUUUGAAAUAUCCAUAGUUAACCCUUUUUGAGCCUUUCAUAUAUAUGUUAAAAAAAAAAUUCUUUGUCAACUUAUCAUCUUGACCCACUCCGAUUUAGAGUAUUACCCGAUAUCUUAUAAGUUUCAUCACCUAUUUAUGUUUGAGAAAAAUAUAAAUAAUUAUUUUGUUCAGUAAAGUUGUGCCAUAUAAAAAACAAAAAAAAAGAAUAAAUAAUAAUAAAUAAGCGAAAUGCACCUUGUAAUUUUCAAAAGAUCUCAACUUUUUCUCAAACAUAUAUUUUGUUUUCCUUAUUUUUCCUCCUUUGUUAGUCAUGUCCUUAGUCUACGUUACGUCCUAAUAAAAGGACUUAGAAAUAACACGAUCUUAAGUCAAACAAAAUGCUAGUCAAACAAAAUGUUAGAAAUAACACGAUAUUUUGUUUGACUUAAGAUCGUGUUAUUUCUAAGCUGUAUGCAUAUUUUUUUUAUCUUGGUGAGAGUGUGUGAUAUCACUUCUUUAUUAUUUUCUCUCAAUUUACCAUUCAUUGGAGUGACUAUUUUUAUUGGGUUUAAUUCCUUUGUGAGAGUGUCACUACUACCAGUGAGAUUUUAGGGAUUGACAUUUCAUUCUUGAAAGUGGCUUGAUUACUAUAGUUGUGACAAAGUCUGCUGGACUGAUGCAUGUGGAUGGUUGAUGUGGAAGUGAUGUUUUUUAGACUAGAGAUAAUGCUUAUACUUUUAUUUGAUUGCUAUCAUUAGUCUGAUUGAGUAAACACGAUUGUUUUUUUUUAAAAAAAAAUAUCAUUUUGGAUUUGAAUUUUGUCUUCGCUUUAUUUGCUAGAGACUAGCAAUAAGCUGGUUGGGGGGUGUGUUGAGUAUUAGAAAGUAUAUAUUUAUAAAGGAGAAAAUCAUCAUUUUACACUUCAAGUCUCACUAACAUCUUUACUUUUAUAUAUUUAAGUCCCUUGUGAUUUAAUUAUGUGUGUUUUAUUUUAAUUUAGUAUUUUAUGUAUUUUAGGGGCAUCAUGGUCAUUUCACAAUGAACGAAAGAUCAGAGAGCAAAACGGACAGCAAUUUUGGACUCAAGACAGUCAAAAACCUUAUGAGGAGCAUAAAAGGGUAAACGACAUAGUUCACAUGUACGGUGUUGUAUAUGGUACUGUUCACGACAAUGUUCACAUAUACGGUCUGAUGACAUGGUGUUGACCGAUGACGUGGCACCGACCAAUGACGUGGCACCGACCAAUGACGUGGCAACAUUCGAUUGGAUGAAUGAUGUGGCAUUGACUGCUUAUGUGGCAUUGACUGAUGAGGUGGCGUUGACUGAUGAUAUGUCACGUCCUAUUAGACUAAAAUGUUGAUAUGGUGUUGACCGGUGACGUGGCAGUAUGUUAGUGAACCAAGAAACGUGUGUACGAUACAUGCAUUACACGGAAUGAUAGCCCUGAUUAGGCUUGGCAAUUUGGCCCGACCCUAUUUUUGGCCCGACAGACCCGACCCUAAUUUUUAGGGUUUUUGACCUGAAUUUUUGAGUCUCAGGUUGGGCUAGGGUCAAAAUUUUUAGGCCCUAAUAAAUUUCGGGUCAGGGUUGGACUUUAAGCUGACCCGGCCCGACCCGACCCUAUUUGAAAAAAAAAAAAAAAGCUAACACAAGUUUUACACACGCACACAUCAUCACCCAACUCAAAUUAUGAGUUUUUAUUUGUAUAGGACAUGUUUUUUUGUUUUUAAAUGUUUGGUUGUGAAACUAAAUUGUGUGUUUUUAUUUGUAUAAGACAUGAGUUUUUAAUUUUUAAUUUUUUAUGUUGGGUUGUUGAAUUGAAUUGUGUCUGGUUAAAAUGGUUGUGGAAUUCCAUGUGUGUUUUUAAUUUAAUUGCAUUAUGUGUUUUUCAUGUUGGAUUUUAAAAUUGAUUUGUGUGUGGGGUUGAGAUGAUUGUGGAAUUGAAUUGUGUUUUUUUUUUAUUUAAUCGCAUUGUGUGUUUUUAAAGUUGGAUUAUGGAAUUGAAUUUAAAAAAUUAUUCCUAUUAAUUGGUUGUUUUGUGAUUAAUUAUAUUGUAUAUUUUGCCUUUGUCUUGUUAAUUAUUUUAAAUUAGAAAAAUUAUUUCUUUUGUUUUAUAUUCAUGGUAUUAUAACUAGAAAGAGAACAAAAAUUAAAAAGUAACAUGAAUGAAUUUGGGAUGUGCUCAUAAAAUUACAAGAUAUUGACAAAUUUGAGUUGCCUAAAUUAUCGAAUUAAGGUGCAUGUAUAGAAGAAAACAUUAAAAUAACAUGUUUAUAAAACAAAAUAUUAAAAAAUAGUUUAAUAUUAAAAUAACAUAAAAACUAUUUCAAUAGGGUCGGGUUAGGCCCGACCCGACGUUGACCCGAUUCGGGUCAGGUCGGACCCGACCAUAACUAUAAAAUGUUUGGGCUUUUUUAAGGUCGAGCUUUAAAUUUUUUUGAUCGGGUCGGGCGACCUGACCUUUUGUCAUUCCUAGCCCUGAUGAUAUGUUCUAUCCAAUCAGAACUUGCCACGUGGCGCAAUUCUAAGCGUCCAAAUUGUUUUAAUCUGAUUGUCAUGAUCUACUCAUUGUAUCUAUAAAAAUGGGGCUCUUCCCCCUAAUUCGACACCCCUAAAUUUAUUUUUGAGCUCCAUUUUAUGUAAUUCCUUCUCCAUCUUGUAUUUUCUACGUAUUUUAAUAAAUUUUCAUUUUACCCCUAGUUCAAUUAUGAGUAGCUAAUUUUCUUUCAAGUUUGGGUUAAAGGUGAAGUCUCAACAUGUUCCAUGAGCUUUAUUUGGUAAAUUUAUUUUCUCUUCCCCUCUGAUUUAUGUGGAUGUUUUGACUUUUCGUCGACAAAUAGUAAUAAUCUUAUCUAGAUACCACAUUGGUAUAACUGACUCCCUAGUGCAAGGUUAUUACUAUUUGGCAUAACAAGCUCUUAGCACCAUAUUAAUUAGAGUGUGGUUCAUAAAGAAUAGAAACUCCCCUCAUGAUUUAAUUGACACUAAUAAGGAAUAUUAAGCCUAUGGUGCAUGUUGAUGCAGAUCUAGAUACUAAAGCAUUUCUUUUUAAUAGAUUUUACUUCAAUUUAUUCCCGCCAUUUUUAUUUAAAUUUUAGGAUAAUCUAAAUCACUUCAACCACAAAUCCAAUCACCCACUUAGAAAAUUAAUUCUACACAUAAUUAAAAUCCACCUCCUCGUGGGGUCGACACUCGUCACCAUUGAUCUAUUUUACAAUAGAUUCGUGCACUUUCGAGUUCAAUAAAAUUUAUACAACAGUAGCCUAUCACAAGCACGCACCUCCCAAAAAUGCAGGGAAACUAUAACUUAUUUGUGCAACAGUGGCAAAUCAUGAACGUAACCAGAGGUUUGGUUAGCAUAUUUUGAUCUACCAUGUAAAGGUGUAGGUGUAUCCCAUUUUUAUUCCAUUUAAUGACCGCGUUGAGGUUAGGGAUGACAAAAUCUGAAUUUGGAUCUGCAUGUAGGUGCAUCCAAAUGUAGAUCUAGAUUGAUAUUUUUAUAUUCAGAUCCACAAAAAAUUAUGCAAAUCCAUAUGUGGGUAAUAUCCACAUAGAUUACGAGCGAAUAUCACAGAUAUCUAAAUCCACAUAAAUUAAAAUUUAAUAAUUUAGAAUCUAAUUUAAAAUUCAACAAUUUACCAAAUAAAAUCCAAUCAUAAUUCAGCAAUAAACAAUUUAAUACCUAGAAUAACAUACAACACUAUAAAGUCACAAAUAAAAGUACCAUAGCAUAAAUCAAACAUCAAGAAUAACAUAAAUUUAAGUCUAACACCACCACAAAUCCACAAAUAAAAUUAUAAAAUCACCACAAAUCCACAUAAAAUAAUGCAGAUUUCGAUAUUUUUCUUAAUUUAAUUUGACCUCUAUAUUUUAAUUAAUCAUAUUAUUUUUUAUUUAACUUCUAUAUUUUUCAUUUAAUUUUAAUUAAAUAAAUAAUUUAAUUAAAAAAUAGUGUGGAUUCGGAUAUCCAAUUUUUCAAAUAUAUAUACAUUCAUAUCUCGAUUUGGAUUUGUACGCAUUCUAAGUUUUAAGAUCCAGAUCUACAUUUUUUAAUGUGUGAAUCUAAUUUUUUUGGAUCCGAAUCUUCUGAAUCUUUACGAAUCCCGACCAAAUCUAGAUAUUUUUGCCAUCUCUAGUUGUGGUGGCAACCAUACUCUUGGGGGCGUAUUCGCGUCCAUCUCUUCUCUUUUGUCACCAAUAACAUUAUCAUUGGGUGUGGUAUAGGGGGUUUCGCAUUAUGAAAAUUUUGCCGCAAGAGACAUUGCCAGAGUAAAUUACCUUAUUAAAAGGGAUAUAAUUAGAAAUAUAUUAUUGUUGAGGCUAAUUUUGGUAUUAUAUAUUCCUAACAAUUGUGAUUUGCAAAGUUACUUCAACCAGCUUACAGCAUUUUAAUACAAAAGUAGAUUAUUUAUUUGAGAAUCUAAUUUUCAAAUAAUCCAUCUUAGGCGUAGGGAUGGCAAAACUUCGGGCCGGGUCCGGGUAUUGCAAUGACCGGACCCUGCCCGGAUGCAACUGGUCCGGGUACCCGAAUUUUAUAUUUUUUAAUAUUAUGUGUAUAUAUUUUUUUUUAUUUUUUGGUAAUUUUAUAAGUUUUAAAUUUAUUUCAAUAAAAUUUGACAUGAAAAUAUAAACUUUAAGUGUUUAAAACUUUUUUUAUAUAUAAUAAAUGAGUCAAAUAAAUAUAAAUAUUUAAAAUAAUAUAUAUUUUAUAAUAUUUUUUUAAUAAAAUCCGAGUUCCAGGUUUAUUAAGUGAUGCCCAAGACCGACCCUGCUUCAUACCCAGGCCGGGUAAUACCCAACCCACAACGCCCAGAUACGGUCUCCCAGUCCGGAUCAUACCCGGUCCACAACGCCAAGGUACGGUCUGAGUCUGGACCGAACGGGUACUUUUACCACCUCUACUUAGGCAUAACACUAUCAAAUCGAAUCGAAUCCCAAAGAGUCAUUGCAUAUUAAUACCUCAUUCCGCUCAACUCUUCAAACAAAAAUAAUUAAAGAAAGAUCAUCAUCUAAGAAGUUACAUGUUCGAUGUUCGUUUUCAUUUACGGUCUAGAAUUUCAAUUCAUUUGCAUUUGGGAAAAGAUAUGGAGAUUUAGAUUUGCUAGCAUUUGCAUUUGAAUUUUGGAUUUGAUGAUAUAAAUUCAUUGUUUGAGUUGUUUACACGCUUUUGUUUCAUUGAUUUGACUUUUUAAUUACUGAUGAUCCAGUUCCGAGGAAUUUUGAUUUAAGUGUUGAACUGAUCAUUUUAUUAAAAAGAUAUAAUUAGUAAUUAUUGGAUAAAAAUACAAGAUUAAUUAAUCUUAACCAUAUAUAAUUAUAAAUAUACGUAUGACAGAGGAUUGUGAAGAUUUAAGCAUAAAUCAACUCAAUACUAAUACUGAAUCCAAAUCUAAUUCUAAGACUCUUUAGAUUGCUAGAGCUCGACAAAAGAAGUGCAACUAAUUAACCGUAAGGUUGUAUGACUUGUCUGUCAUUGUCAAAAAUAAUAAAUGAUACCAGCAAAUAAAAAAUGUUAAAUUAAUGGCUACCCACAGCAUCUUAUAAAACUAAUAUUUUUAAAGGAAAAACCAUCUAUGAGAAGGCUGAUCAGCUUAAUACUUGAGAGGAGGAUGUAGUUUUUGAAGAAUUCCAUUGUUUCAUGCUUGAUCAAGAACAAAACCACACGUCUUUCUACACCCAAGUAGUAGGCACUGGCACCAUUUUGUUGAUUAAAAAGGGGACAACUUCUAAGAAUAAUCAGAAGUUCAGAGGUGUACCGAUAAUCCCAAACUGAAAAGGUACAUGAUCCAACCUAGAAAUAUGCAACAAGAAGAAGAAGAAGAAGACACUUGAAAAUCUUCUGAUAAGACUGUUUCUCUUGUGUUUGACAGAGGUUACAGUAAUUGAACCAAAAAAGAAAAAGAAAAAAAAAAGAUAUCCGUUGCAUCCAGAUUGAAAAAUGAUAAAGGCUGGAUGGAUACUUACCACAAAACCAAUAAUAAAUUUGAAUACACCAUUACAAGUGAGAAAAGAACACUAACCGUAUUUACACAGGCUAAUGGAAGGCGUGACCCUCUUAGUUCGACAAGGACUGAUACAAUAUCCUAUGCCACGACAACAAUUUCACCACGUGAACCUGUCAUGUCCAAAACAAAAUAUGAAUACAUAUAAAGUACAAAUGAAUGACCCUAAAGAAAAAGGGAAGAAUGAUAUUUCUGAUAUUACAUCUCUCUAAAAUCUCUUUGGCUAGCUGUAGCAGAGAAUCUGUAUCUUCAGCCAUUCUUGAAACCCUCUCUGCCUCUUUAACUGCUUCAGCUGCCACAAAAGACUUGUUUUCGGCAUCAGCAACCUGGCCAGCUGCAGCAGCAGCUGCUUCUUGUACUGUAUCAGCAGGGCUUAGGUCAUUAGUGCUAUGCAACAGCUUAGGUCGGGUAUCCUUCUGUUUUGGGUUUGGCGUUUUUGUUCCCAAUGAGGCAUCUUCUUUUACCUUAAAGCAAUUUUGGACCUGUAGUAUCAUGAUGUAAUGAACAACAGCUUUAGCAUUACAUCCUGGCCUAAAAGUUGGGAAACUCAGUAUUAAUUCUAUUCAUUUCUAUUUCUUCAAAUAUGGCUUUCCUGCUCACACACAGCCAUCUUUCUUGUUUAGUGGCUACAAGAAUACUAGUUAAUUAUUUAUUUGAUCUGAUGGUGGGUUAUUUGGUGUCUUUCAAGGGAGGGAAUGUGCCAGGAAAUUAAACCCAUAAUCUGUGCAUCUUUAAUCUUUUAUCCCAAUCAUGUCAGAAAUAGUAAAGCAAAAGAAAAGCUCCAAAGAAGCAUAACACUUAGAGAUGAUGUUGCUAUGCCUAAUGCAUAUAUAAAUUACACUUAUUGUACAUUAUUGAAACUAGAGCCUUUUUUGGUUCAUCAUGAUUCAUGAGCCUCAUGAAGUGUACUACCUCCAUAGAUAUUGACCAGAAAAGAUUUCAUGCUGCGCAACUUUCUAUGUUUGACUCUAAAUGUUCGAGAGACUGAUAUCUAUGAAAUAAAUAUUAGGAAUUACUAUAGCUGUAUUAUGGCUAGACCUUCAACUUUUUUCUGAAAAGCUUUAUUUUUCAUUAGUGUAAUUUUUUAGUAUCAAAAGGCUACCUAGAAGUUCAAUCUGCUAAGGAGUUAAUCUACCAGGACUGAUGUGCCCAGGGGUAUGAAAAGGACAUUUGCAAUGUCUAAACUGUAAAAUCAAUUGUUAAAUUAGGUACUGUUCACUUCAACCAAAAACAAAUUACGGUAGGGGAAAUAUCAUGGUGAAAAAUAGUCAGCAUAUGAAUUGAAUGGAAAAGCAAAAGCCAUUCACCUUUUCAAGUUUUUCUUGUGCAACCAACCUUCUCAGCCUCGAACUUAACAGCCUCCUAAAAUUUGGAGGCACCUCAAGCCUUUGCUGCAAAAAUUAUUAAAGAAACAAAACGAUUGACAUCUCAAAUCAAAAUUUUCUUUCCAGACAUUUUGUGUGAUACUACAUAACAUGAUUAAUAAGAAAUGGGAAACUGGUGAAAUCCCAGUAAACCCUCAAAAAUGAGAAGAUAAUAACAAUUAUGUAAAUCUCACUCAAAACAUCUAAGUGGACCAAUAAUUAUCAUUCAGAUGUUAUUGUAGUCUUAAACAAGCUCGAAAACAACAUAUAGUAAAAUUAUCAGCUAUCAUUCACCUGAAUGAUGGCAAAACUGUCAUUGCGUAAGAUCAAAUAGAUGAUGCCCUAUUUUGUUUCUACAGUUAAGUUGAAAGGAGCUCUGAAAAACAACCAAGGCCAAGCACUAAGCUAGAAAGCUUACUCAAAAUGAGGAUAGCAGCUUUUCUAAAAACAGCAGGUUUCUCAAAGGCAGCUUGUGACCAUAAGUUAUGCAUGUGAUUGACACAAUUCUUUCCAGUAAAAUCUUGAGAAAAUAAGAAUACUAUCAAAUUGAGUUGCAAAUGUAGGGGAGAGUAGUCGCAAAUGGGAAAAAUCAAAAUCCUAUUUUCUUAAGCCUGUAGGUUUUUUUCUAACAUCAGUAAGCUAAUGGAGAUAUUCAAUUGUAAUACAAAUAAAUAGUGUCCCCCAUCUGGCAGGACUAAAUGUUGAUACAGAAACAAAUGAGAAUGAAAAUUAUAUUGCACCUCAAUAUAGCUGAGAAUUGCUGAAACGUCAGAUCCAUUGGGCUCUUUCAAUGCAGAAAUUGCUUCAAAAAUCAAUGCAUUGUACCUGGGAGAUUGAUUAAUUAUUUUAAACAUCACAAAAUCAGAAGGAAUGAAACAGAUCUGAGAGGAGAACUCUUCGUAUUAAGAGCACAUGGCUCCCAUUAUACAAAAGUUAAAAUAGAUGUAACUUAUAGAUGUUCCUAAAUUAAUAGAGAAAAAGAGAAGGUGAUUACAUUGCAAUGUGACUAGGGUAUAAACUAUCUGCUUCAAGAAAAAGAAAUUAUUAAUGCUUGCUAAGCCACAUAUGAUAAAGUAUCCUGAUAUGUGAAUGCAUCAAUUGUUACUAUAAUACAUUACACAUUAAUCUUCCCCGUUCUCAAGGAAGUGCUCAAAAGACAUCUAGUUGUGCUUCAGUUAUAGGUUCUGGUCGAUUUGUAUAUGCUUUUAGAUCUUUGGAAAGGGCACCAAACAUAUUGAUAUCCUCCCCACAAAACAGGCUAAGCAUGAAAAGAUCUCAGAAAUCUAAUCAUUGAAAUAUCUUUAUUCUUACGAUCUACUUCUCUGAGAAGUUGAAGCACUUAACCUAAUAUUCAUCAUUAAUAGGUCUACAGUAUAGUCAAUAACAGGACUACAGAAUGGCUUUGAGGACAAGGAGUCCACUUCCACGUAUAGAGUAAUGUAUUUCCUUUUCCAUAAGUAGUUAAAACCAUUGAAUCACAGUUCUGCGACAAGCACAAACAAGUGCAUAAAGAUAUUUGAAAUUAAUAAAUAACUGUGAUUUCCCAGUCUUCUAAUCCAUGGACAAUCUGAAAUGUUUUAAUUAACCGGCAGAAAGCGGUAGAUCUUCAUGAUAAAUGACAUAGCAUGGUGUAACUGUUUUCUUCCUUGUUAUACCACAUGAAAACAGCCAAAAUUAAGAGGGAAAACUCUAUACUAGUAAGAAAUCAAAUAAAAGAGAGACAUGCCAUACUUUGGAGCAGAGCUUCUUGCAGACUCGUCAGUGAUUGGAUCUGCUGAUGCAUCAAUUGGAACUGCAGCAGGAAGAGCAGAAGUCUGUGGAGUGGACAAGGGCACAGCAGGAGCAUCUGAGCCAGCUUUUGGUUUCAGUGUCCUUGAUUUUUCUCGAGGUGCACUAACACUCAUAUUCCGCCAUUUAUCCUACCCAAGUACGCAAUAACAGGUAAGAGAUUAUGGAGUAGAGAUGAGAUUUUAUAAUUUUUUUUGGAAUAAAUAUUCUCAGGUCUUAUUAGAUCGAAACAGGUGGGAAUCUUUGACUUCAAUGAAGCUACAGUAUAGAAAAAUAAAACCAAGGAAUAUAUUCAAUAACCGGAGCUUAGAUCUACCAACUAGUCAGUUAAUGAGCAUUUUAACCAACCGGAGGUAGCACAAUCAGAGAAAUCUAAAUCCAAUUCUCAAUAACCAAUAACCUCUUAUUCUUUUCCAUUUAAUUAGCAGUGGCACAAGCCCUGAUCCUAUCCUUCUCAAUUCUCUGCCAUACGAUUCAGCAAGCAGUUUCACUCCUUGAGUAGUGCAAAAUUUCAACCAAAAAAAAAAUGCCCAAAGAGAGGUUUCAUUGAUGGUGAGUUUGAGUACUCGUACAGAUAGAAUUGCUACAAACAAAUAAACAUCUUGAUUUCUGUCUAUUUUGUAUCAAAAGCACUUGAAAUGCUUCUUGGACACAGUUUGGUCAGAAAGUAUUUUAAGUUUACAUAGGUGCUUUUCUAGACAGGGCCUGCUGGUGCUUCAGUAUAAAGUGCGUUUUACAAAAUAUACCACUCCCAUACACACCGUAUGUGAAGAGGCUUCUAAAAUACAGAAAUCUUUUUGAAAUUAAUUCACCUACUGCAGACUCCAAUAAUGAUUUACAUCUUUGGACAUUAUACAGUUAUAGCAGAUACACAAAAAAUCAGUUUAGGUUGGCAUCCUAUGAAUUCAGAACCUGCAAUCUUUGUCACAGUUUAAUCCUCCAACAUGCAAAUUAAUUUUGAUUAGUGAAAAGCUAAGGAGUUCUCAAUUCAUGUACAAUUCUUAUACUGAAUUUCCUAUGAAUUAACAAUAUAAGAGCUUAAAAUCCGCAAGAAAUAGUUCAGACAGGUCUUUUCUUUUUUUUGAUUUUUAAUUAUCAUCACACAGCAUUUUCAUGCUUCAAACACAAAUGGAGUUGAGCAGCUCAACUUUAGCAAUAAAUUCCCGCUCAAUCCAUCAAUAAUAAUAAAAAAAAUAUUGUUUUUCUUUGAUUAAUACGACAGCCGAACAUUGUAGAAAAGCAUUUAAAAGGAAAGAACGAGAAAGAAGACCUUGAGAUCAAUAUUGGAGCGGGAGAAGAGGAAGGGAUUAAACUCGGGGUCUCUUUGUAUGUUCUUCCAUUUGCCUGUGCCAUGUUUGGCUACUCCAGCUCUUAGUGCCUCUUCCUCCUCCGCUGUCCACUUCUGCUUCGGAUUCCCCAUAUCACUUUGCUACAAGUAACCAAACACGCUCCUUUUUGCAAGCUCGGUUUCUGUUUGGGUCGGGAGAGUUCUUUUUACUUUCUUUAUUUUCUCGGAAACUUUUGCUUGUAAACGGCGGGUCGUUUAGGAGAGUAAUUUUAGUUCCAGCAAGUAGCACUAACCGUUUUGAGUUUUUACUAAUUGGAGGGUCAAGAAGCGCGUAUGACUAUUGAAGGCGUCGAACUCGAAAUAUUGAAACACCAUUCUAUUAGUUUAUUAACUGUGUUAAUCGUAUUAAUUUAUUUAAUAUAUAUAAAAAUAAUAAUAAAGUCCUACUUAACAUUGAGAUAUUGUAUCUUUCAAUCUAAAAUUACUUUGAAAAAAUAUAUAAUUAUAAAAAAAAUUAUUAGUAUGUAAUAAAUAUAAUUUUUUAAAUGUAACUUUGACAAAAUUAUUAAUAUAGUGAAUUUUUUAUCAUAUAAGUGUAACACUAAAUCAACUUAACUUAUAAGUUACAGUAGCUGUUUACCAAACACUUUAAUACUAAAACUUUUAAUUUAUAACUGCUCAAUCUCAAUCCCAAAGAGGCCUAAAUAUAUUAAUAUCAUUCUUAAAAAUAUAUCAUAAACUAGUUAACAUGACAUAAAUAUUACAUGAAUAAGUUUAUAAUGUAAUAUAGAUAUUACACGCGAAUAAUUAAUUUAGCAUUCAAUAUAUACAUACAUACAUACAUACAUAUCCAUAUAUAUAUAUAUAUAUAUAUAUAUAUAUAUAUAUAUAUUUGUUAUUUUUAAUAAUAUUACCGCAUAUUAAUUAAAAUUUGUAUCAUAAACAUAUGAUCAUGUUGAAGUCGCACAAUAUGGAUAUGACGUGGUUAUUCAUCAUAUCGUGCAUUUCAGCCUAUUUAUUACUUGUAUUAAUAUUUCUCAACACAAAUACAGAAAAAUCAUGUCAUAUCAUGUCAUGUAAUAAUAUUGUAACCUAUUUUGCCACCUCAAGUUAUGAUUCUUGGGCUACACUAAAAUUCUUGUAUCUAGGCAUGUAAUAUCUUGUUCUUAUUUGAGAAAGAGUUGAACAUUCAAUUAUUUCGAACACUUUAUUAUUUCGUAUACUCAUGUAUCGGGGUAAAAGCUCGUUUAGUCCCUAUAUUUUGAAGUUAGUGCCCGUUUAGUCCCUAUAUUUUUAAAAAUACCUCAAACCAUCCCUACCAUUAAAUUAUUGACACUUUUGCCAUUAUCUUUUGUUCCUUUUAACUUAUUUUUAUCAUAUUGCCCUAUUAUAAUAAUUUUUAGACAUUAUUAAAAAGAAAAAAAUAACCCUAUUAUAAUAAUUUUUUUAGACAUUAUUAAAAAGAAAAAAAUAAAUUACCAGUUUAACACCAAAAAAUAAAAUAAAAUAAAAUAAAAUAUAUUAAUUUUUGUGGAACACACUCUUGAGUUAAAAUAUUAAUUUUUCUAAAAAAAUUGAUAAUUUAAUUUUUUACGAUAUUAAUUUUUUAGACAUACGUGACCUUUCACAAAAAUUAAUAUAUACAUUUUUUGUUUUUAUUUUAUUUUUGAGUUUAAUUUGAUAAUUUGAUUUUUUAUUAAUAUCCACAAAAGAAACAUUAUUGUAAAAAUGUAAUAUUGUAAAAGCAAGUUAAAAUAAAAAAAAAUAAUGGCAUAAGUGUCAAUAUUUAGUAGCAGGGACGUUUUGAGGUGUUUUUAAAAAUACAGGGACUAAAUGGAUACUAACUUCAUAAUAUAGGGACUAAACAAGCUUUUACCCCAUGUAUCGAUUUUUCAAAAAAUUAAGUUUUACUUUGUCCACUCUUUAAAAUUUCAAAAACAAACUUUAUAUUAUUUAAACGAAUUAAUUUUAUUUAAUUAAAACACCAAUAAAACUAGUAUAUACACCCAAUUUUAAGAGAUUUAACACAUACUUAAGACAAAUAACCAAGUCAAUUUGUUAGCAAAUUAUUUAACAAAAUUUUAGUUAAGACAAAUAACCAAGUCAAUUUGUUAGCAAAUUAUUUAACAAAAUUUUAGUUAUUAAUUUUAUUGGAUGUUUAAAAUUGAAUUUUACACUCAAAACACUUGCAGUGAGAAUAUAAUAAUAAUAAAUAUUUUACAAAAAUUAUCAAAAAAAAGAAGUGAAGAAGUAUAUUAGACCUAAUAGAUUUCUUUUACUGCGUCCAAACUAAUAUGAAUAUAACCAGUUUUAUGAAUAAAAUGUGACCAAUUGAAAGAUGAGAAAAACGAAGAAGAAGGGGCCAAAAGCUAAAAAAAGAAUGGCUAUUUUACAAUACUUAUCUUUGUUUUAUUUUUGAAAAUAUAUAAAUUUGUUUUACACAUUUUUUAGUCAAAAUCUUUGAAAAUAUUGAUUCUCUCAUUGUUCAUCUUAGUACUGAAUAAGAUGUUUGAAAUAAAAGUUUUUAAGACAUGAGCAUUAUACACUAAAUCACUAUAAGAAAAUUGAUAAUAGAUAACAGUCAUUUUAUAACAGAUUUUAUUAUACCAUAAAAGUAUGGGACUCAACUAUCUUGCAACAGUUGUAAGGUACCACUUGAUUUUGUUUUUUUGUGGUUUCAAUUAUUGGUAAUUGGAUUCAAUGAAAAAGAAGAAUUAAGGGUAGAGAUUCAUUUAUUUGAAAUUUAUUUGAAUAUUAACAUUAUGCUCCCUACUAUUUAUCAAAAACGUAAAAGAGCUUAAAAAUUAAAAUUUUUAGCACAUACAUCCAAAUUGUUUAAAAUUUUAUGUUGUUUAAUUAGUAGCGAGUCUUAAAAAAUAAAUUUUAUUUUAAUAUUAUAUAUUUUAUUUAAAAAUUAAUGUUUAAUAUCAUUUAUUUAUUAAAAAUAUUAAUUAAUAUUAUUUAUUCUCAUUUCAUUUAAUAUUAUUUAUUUGCAGGCUUAUUGUUGUAUUUAAUCUUUCAAAAAACUAAAAAUUUUAAAUAAAAUAAAAUAAUCAGUAGCGAGCAUUAAAAAACAAAUAUAAUUUUUAAUAUUAAUUAUUUUUAUUUUAUUUUAUUUUAUUUAUAGUAUUUGUUUUAUUUUAUUUAAUGUUAUUUAGUUAUAGACUUAUUAUUAUAUUUAUUCUUUAAAAAACUAAAUAAAAUAAAUAAUCAUUUGUGAGUCUUAAAAAAAUAUAAUUUUUAAUUAAUAUUAUUUAUUUUAUUCAAAGGGAUAAAUUUUCAAUAUUAUUUAUUUUAUUAAAAAUAAAUAUUUUAAUAUUAUUUAUUUGAUUUUAUUUAACGUUAUAUAGUCAUAGACUUAUUAUUAUAUUUAUUCUUUCAUGAAACUAAAUAAUUUUAAAUAAAAUGAAAUAAUCAGUAGUGAGUCUCAAAAAAUUAAUAUUAUUUUUAAUAAUAUUUAUUUUAUUUUAUUUUAUAUUAUUUAGUUAUAGCUUAUUAUUAUAUUUAUUUUCAAAAUUAAAUAAUAUUAAAUAAAAUAGAAUAAGCAAUUUUGAUUCCUAAAAAAUAAAUAUUAUUUUUUAAUAUUAUUUAUUUUAUUUAAAAGAAUAAAUUUUUAAUAUUUUUAUUUUAUUAAAAAUAAUAUUUAAUAUUAUCUAGUCAUAGGCUUAUUGUUAUAUUUAUUCUUUUAGAAAGUUAAAUAAUAUUAAAUGAAAUAAAAUUACAUUUUAGCAUAUCAACAACCAAAGCACAUAAAGUUAUAAAUAAAAAUUAAAUAAAAUAAAAUUACAUUUUAAAAAGUCACUUGCCAAAACAUAUAAUGUUAUAAAUAAACGGUAAAUAAAAAGGAAGUUAAGGGGUUAAAUGAAAUUUGACAUCACAAAAGAUAAAAAUGGGUAGUACCUUGCAACUGUUUCAAGGUACCUGGACCCAAAAGUAUGAUGGACUUGUGAUAGAAUUUUCAUUUACCAAAAGAUUGAUGAUAGACUUAUAAUAGAAUUAUAAUAGAUGGUAGACUUAUAAUAGAAUUAUUGUCUAUCAAUAAUAUAUGAUAGUACAAUGAUAGAAAUUUUCUCUAUCAAAGCUUUAUGAUAAAAUUUUUUACCAUAUUUUAAAUUAUAAAUUUAUCAAAAAAUCAAAAACAAAACGCAGCAUUUUAAGCAAAAUAAUCUUAAAAUAAGAAAUCCAUAUAUAUGAUAAAAUAAAACACAACAAUUUACAAUAAGUUUGUUUAGUGCUUGUUUGGUAUGACUCAUCUAAAUACAACAACUUAUUUAAUUAUAUAAACUCCUACCAAAUUUUUUUAUAUUGUUUGGUUGUUUUCUUAGGAGAGCUUUUAAAGAUUAAAUAAGCUAUUUUGCUUAUAUUAGUAAAAGUUCAAUUUUGAACUUUUAGGAGUUGAGAUUGAAAAACUUAUUUUAAAUGUUAAAAUUACUAGGAUAUUCUCUGCUUAUUUGACAAUUUUAUUUUAUUCUUUACAUAACAUAAUUUCAAAAAACUUGCCUACUAAAGUAAUUUUAUAGUUUUUAGUAAAAACUCUCAUUAACAACCAAACAACUAAAAUUUUUAAGUAAAAAUCUUUACUUAUAAAAACUUUAAUAAUAAAAACUCUACUUAACUAAGUUCAUCCAACUUAUCAAAAAAAGAAAGAAAAAAAAAAGUUCCACUUGAAAACUUAUACCAAACAUAGCCUUACUCAUUUACCAAGCCGCUCUCCAUUUGCCGGGAAAUUUACCAAAAUAGCCAAACAAAUUAAGCGUUUUUCAACUUUAACCCCCCCAAAUUUUUUCUAUCAACAUUAGCCAAAUCACCAAAUUGUGGACGAAAUUGCCCUCAUCAUUCUCAUGUUUCCCUUAAGCAAAUUCCUCCCAUUCUCACCAAAAUCUCAUCACUGGAAUCUCGUAUACAUCGUCGGCAGCGGAGGAAGUUGUCGGCGGCUGAAACAAGCUAAAUCACGUUGAAAAUCUUCAGAGAUCUCCAAAAUCAAAGACAAAAAUUGGAAACCCUAGGUGAGUUGUUAUUGCAUUGUUGUUGUUGUUGUUGUUAUUGAUGAUGUUGUUGUUGUUUGGGCUGUUGUUGUUGUUGUUGGUGUUUAAUGGCGGUGGUGGGUGAGAUGCAUGUGGGAAAGGGAAGGGCAGAGAAAAGGAAGAAAAAAGGAAGGGAAAAGGAAGUGAAGGGGAGCAUCCCGCGCGCAAGGCUGCGGCUAUCGCACGCGAGAUGCAAGCGGCAUGCACAUCUCGUUCGCGCGAGGCCGCUGCUGUAGCACACAAGAUCCGCGCGGCAUGCGCAUCUCGCGCGCGAGGCUACGGCUGUCCCACAAGAGAUGCGCACGGCAUGCGCAUCUCGCGCGCAUGAGGCCGCGGCUGUCGUAUGCAAGAUGCGCAAUUCGCGCUAAUCUCGCGUACGACAGCCGUGGCCUCGCGCGCGAGAUGCUCAUGCCGCGCGCGAGACGCGUGCCAGCCUGGGUGCGCGAGCUGCGUGCCAGCUUGCACACAACUCGCGUGCACUUGGCGCAGCCUCUUGGUGCCUGUCGCACCAAGAGGUGCUGCCUCUUAGUGCGACAGGCACCCCGUCGCACCAAGAGGCAGUGAGCUUGGUGCUGCCUCUUGCCCGUCGUACCAAGAUACAACGCGUUGUUUGGUGCUGCCUUUUUUUUUUUUUUUGCUUUUGUUCAUAAUUUAUUAACAUAUAAUACUUUUAACUUGAACCAGAUAAAUAGGCAAAUCAAAAAUAGCAUUGCAUAACCCACCCGGACCGACGAAAGAACCAGAAAUGAUGAAGAUACCUUAUGCUGAUCACUUUCCCAGGCGUAUCACGAGUAUGUGCAAAUUCGAUGUCAUUGUUAAUGCCAUCUGGGAAAAAUUAACAAAGCAACAGUUGCAAAUGUUCAAAGACAAUAUAUUUGGGCAUUUCUUACAGUGCCGAAGCUAUCCGUUUAGUGGCGUUAUUGUGCACAAUAUAUUGCUUUGGCAAGUGUCCCAUGGUGCUGGAAAUGAAAAGAAUGAGUUAUGGUUUCAAGUUGGCGACCAUUUGAUACGGCUAUCGAUUGGAGAGUGGUGCCUAGUAACGGGACUUUGCUAUGGCAAAAAUGUCUUCCUGACGAAGCAUAAAAUAAUGCAUAGGUUACUUAAGAAGUACUUUUGAGGCAGGAAUCGCGAUAUAAAUCUUGGCCAGUUCGAGGAAAGAUUUAUGAACUUAGACUUCAAGACUAUGGAUGACACCGAUGCGCUAAAAAUUGCCAUGUUUUACUUUGCUGAUAGAGUACUAAAUGGAAGAAAAGAUUAUUGUCAAAUCAAUUUCAAGUUGCUUAAUGAGGUAGAUGACAUAAAUCCCUAAUGGUAACACAUUUUCUUCAACAUCCGCUAACAUAAUGCCAUUAUCAUCAAUAGUGUCAUUGUUUUCGUUGACUGGUGAGUAACGUUGCUGGAAUGACAUUUGUUGUGGUAACACCUCUCCCUCAAUAUCGGGAACAGACUCGUUUGCUCUAAACGAAGUUUCACUUUCCACAAGUGGCUCAGGAUUUUCAGCCGGAACUAGAGGAUAUGUGGUGACAAAUAUAGGGAGGCAUCUACAAUUGACCACAUCAGAGGCCAUGUGCAGCACAACAUUAACCAUUUCAUCUUUAAAUAUGUCCAUAGGUAGUGAACAUGCAUGAUACAUUGUGUUACUAGACCUCAAAGUUGUCUUCAUCGUCAAACUAUAUUCAUUAGGAUUUAUCUGUAAAACUUCAUACACCCUUGCCAAAAAUUGUUGAAACGUACAAUCUUUCUGAACUAAAAAUGAUGUAUUCUUCGCAUUCACGUACUCCGUAUGGCCAUCUGCUAAUGUCUCCCACCAACCGUCUUAACAUAAUUGAAGUACAACGAAAUCCAUUAAACCUAAAAAUUAUAAAAACAAAAGAGAUAAGAUUUCACGCUACAAAACCUAGUAAAGUGAAUAUGCAGUACAUUUAUGUGGAUGAAAUGAAGUAUACAAUUUUGGAUUUGCUUCGUCUCAUCGUAAGCUUCGAAACGAUAUAUUAUACGCCUAAAACGGACACAUGUAGCCCAAGUUAUUACUUUCGGAAAAUAGCUCAAAUUUAGUGAGACAUGCAAUAGGACAGGUGCCUGUCUCACAUAAAACUAGUGGGAGCAAGUGAGACAUGCGCCUGUCCCACUUGCCUGUCUCAUAUAAAACCAGUGGUAACAAGUAAGACAGGCGUCUGUCUCACAUAAAACCAGUGGGUUUAUAUGUGCGACAGGCGCCUGUUCCACUUUCCUGUCUCACUUGUUUUGGGCUUCUGUUUUGCUCGAUUUUUCAGGAGUUUCAAUGAUUGAUCUUCAUUUCUCAACUCAAACUAACUACUUUAACAAGUCACAUUGUUUUAUUAAUGAAAAAUAACAACGUUUGCAAUAAAAACUCACUUCAAUUUCGAACUCAAAUGAUAAAAUCAAUAGAUUAAAAGUUUAGGUUAUGGUAAGAGUAUAAACUAACCUUAAGAAGCUCUCCAAUUGAUAAUUAUAUCUUCAAUUAUGUAAUGCUUGUUUGAUGAAAUUUGUUAAUUUAUUGCGAGUAAUGGAGUUUGUUGAGUGAUGAAGUUUGUUGAGUUGAAAAGGGAAAAGUGGUGGAAGUGCUGGAAUUGAAAAGGGAAAAAUGGCAUGCCUUUGUAAAUUUGAUGAAAGUGAUGAGGGUAAUGUAGUCUAAAAAUAGGGUGUUUGGCUAGUUAUGAUAGAAAAAAAUUUUGAGAGGUUAAAGUUGAAAAAAGCUUAAUUUUUUUGGCUUUUAUUGUAAAUUUCCCCCAUUUGCCUCGCUCUCUCAUCACUUGAAGGGAAAUUUACAAAAAUAACCAUAAAAUUUUUGUUAUUUUCACAAUUAAUCCUCUCAACUUUUUUCUAUCAACAUUAGCCAAACACAUGCUUUUCUCCGCAAAUUUUACCCUUCUUUACAAACCAAAAGCAACAUUCUUUCUCCCCUUUCGUCAAACUAAUGGCAGCUUCCACUCUUGAAUCAUCAACCAACAGCAACGGCAAAAGGCAACGAUAAAAAGUGAAAUUCGAUCAUAAUUUAUCUGGAUCCAACACUAAUCGACAUCACAUAGUGGUAUGAGUUAUUUUCUUGCUCGUAAGUUUGACUGAACUGCGGAUGAUUUCGUGGGUGAAUCUGGCGACAGGUUGUUUGUCGCACCAAGUUUGGUGCGACAGGCUCCCUGUCGCACCAAAACUUAGAGCGACAGGUGUUGAGUGUUAGAAAAUGCAUAUUUAUAAAGGAGAAAACCGUCAUUUUAUAUUUCAAGUCUUACUAACAACCCUUAUUUUUAUGUAUUUAACCUUCUUGUGAUUUAAUUACAUGUGUUUUAUUUUAAUUAAGUAUUUUACGUAUUUUAUGAGCAUUAUAGUCAUUUCACAAUAAAGGAGAGAUCAGACGGCAAAAUGGACAUUAUUUUUGAACUCAGGACGGUCGAAAACCUUAGGAGGAGCAUAAAAGGAAAAAUGGCACUAUUCACAUGUACGGUACUAUUCACGUGUACGGUACUGUCUACGUUACUGUUCACAUAAAAGGAUCGAUGACGUGGUAUUGACCGAUGAUGUGGCAUUGACUGAUGAGGUGUCACGAUCCUGUUAGACUAAAAUUCUUAUGUACUGUUGAUGGUGACGUGGCAGCAUAUUAGUAGACGAAAAAUCUCGCGUACGGUACAUGCAUCACACAAGAUUAUUUUCAACCAAACCGCAUUACUGUUCAACCCGGGUCAAACCGUGUUACUGUUCAUCCGCGUGGUCAAACUGCGUACUGUUGACUGAUGACGUGGCGCAAUCCUAAGCGUCCAAACUGUUUUUAAUCCGAUGGCCAUGAUUUACUCCAUGUAUCUAUAAAAAGGGGGCCUUCCCCCCCUAAUUUGAUAUCUCUGAAUCCAUUUUUGGGAUCCAUUUUCUGUAAUUCCUUCUCCAUCUUGUAUUUUUUUUGUAUUUUAAUAAAUUCUCAUUUUGCCCCUAAUUCAAUUCUGAGUGGCUAAUUUUCUUUUAAGUUUGGGUUGAAGGUGAAGUCUCAACAUGUGUCAUGGGCUUUAUUUGGUAAAUUUAUUUUCUCUUCCCCUCUAGUUUUUGUGGAUGUUUUGACUUCUCGUCGACAAAUAAUACUAAUCUUGUCUAGUACCGCCUUGGUUUCACCGGCCCUCUAGUACAAGGUUAUUAUUAUUUGGCACGAUAAACCCUUAGCACCAUAUUGAUUAGAGCGUGGUUCAUGAGGUGUGAAUUCCCCCCUCAUGAUUUAAUUGGCAUUAAUACGGAUUAUUUAGCCCAUAAUGCAUGUUGAUACGGAUCCAGAUACCAAAGUACGUCAUUUCAAUAGAUUUUGCUUCAAUUUAUUCUCGCCAUUGCAAUUCCAAUUUUAGAAUCUCAAUUCCAAUUUUAGGAUAAUUUAAAUCACUUCCACCACAAUUUCAACCACCCAUUUACAAAAUUAAUUCUACAUAUAAUUAAAAUCCACCUCCUCGUGGAAUCGACACUCGUCACCAUUGAUCUAUACUACAAUAGAUUCGUGCGCUUGUGAGUACAUUAAAAUUUGCACAACAAGUUUUUGGCGCCUUUGCCGGGGAGGUAAGUAAUUUUAAUUCAUAGAAUUAAUUUUUGUGAAUAAUUUCUUUUAAUUGUUUUCUUGCAAUUUUGUUUUUAUUAAAAAAAAAGAAUCUACAUUUAAAGGUUAGUAUUUCUUUUCUUUUUCUCCUCUUUAAAAUUUUGUAAUUUAAUUUUCAAUUUAUUUUUCUUUGUAAUUUUUUUUAUUUAUCUUAUUAAUUUAUUUUUAGUUAAUUUAUUUCACGUAUUUUUUUUGUGUAUUUUUAUAGAAAGGUUUUAAUAGCGCAAUAAGGUUGGUAUCGUAAUUUCUCCUUUUUCUUUAUUUUUAUUUGUUUUGUUCCCAUUUAUUUUUGUGUUCCUUGCAUGCAUGGUCGUAUGUCAUUAUUUCUUAAUCUUGAACCUAUAGACCUUGAAUUAGAAAAAACACUUCGCACACACAAACACGUUAAAAAUAAAAUGGAUUUACAAGCACCACAAGAGAGGCCAUUUAAGAACUAUUUUAGUCCCUUAGCUAAUUUGAGCACAUCAUGUAUAAGAUACCCAAAUGUAGCUGCUAGGAGUUUUGAACUAAAACCUAGUGUGCUAAAUUGUCUCCCUACAUUUUAUGGCCUAGAAAAUGAGGACUCAUAUAAUCAUUUGAAUGAUUUUUAUGCCAUUUGUCAAACAUUUAAAUAUGAAAUUUUUUUAGAUGAUGAUGUUAAACUUAGACUAUUCCCAUUUUCUUUAAAAGAUAGAGCUCGUUCAUGGCUUAAUACAUUGCCUGCUAAUAGCAUUGCAUCAUGGGAACAAAUGGUUACAAAAUUUUUGAAUAAAUAUUUCCUAGUGCAUAAAACCAAUUCUAUUCGCAGGGAAAUCUCGGAGUUUACCCAGAGAGAAGACGAGCAGUUUUUCGAAACAUGAGAGCGAUUCAAUGGGCUACUCUUGAAGUGUUUACAUCAUGGGUACGAGAAAUGGCACCAAUGCCAAUACUUUUUGGAGGGAUUUUUGCCAAAUGUGCAAGAAUGGCUAAUGGCAACAAGUGGAGGAGAGCUAAUGUCAAAAAGUGCAUCAGAGAUUUGAGAAUUCUUCCAGAGACAAGCGGAUAAUUCCCAACAACGGAGUCGAUCACUCAGGAAUACUAGAAGAAUUAAGGGAGUAAAUGAGGUUCACAUUGGCGAGUCAACUUCGGGAAUUAAGGAAGUCAAGGAGAUGGUUGAAGGUCUUGCUCGACAAAUAACAUCGUUAUCGACUGCUAACUCAACAGAACCACAUGACCAUGACUCAUACUCAGAUCAAGCCAAUGCCAUUGGUGUAAUGAGAAAGCCAUCAAAUUACAACCCAUACUCCAACACAUAUAACCCUGGAUGGAGAGAUCACCCCAAUUUUUCAUGGUCUCAAGGACUCCAACAGAAUGGACCAGCAGCUUCAGCUCCACCAAUGCAACCAAUUCCUCAAAUUCCUCAAGCCUCUCAGCCCCCAUUUAGACCAUACAAUUAAAACCAGAACUACUCUCAACCCAGACCAUGGGAGGAUUCAUUCCAGAAUCUCAAGAAUCUUACUCACUCCACGAUUGAGCAACAGAACCGCACCAUUGAUGGACUACGAAAUGAGUUGAGAGCAGGCUUCAACUCACAAGCCCAAUCAGUUUCAAGCCUCGAGAAAAUGGUGGGACAACUUGCUUCUUCAGUUCAGACCUUGGCAAUGACUGUUGAGAAGGGCAAGUUUCUAAGUCAACCAGUGCCUAAUCCUAAAGGAGUACAUGAAGCAAGUACCAGUUCACCACAGCAGCAUGGAGAGGUCAAAGCAGUCAUGACCUUGCAAAAAGGAAAAGAAGUCGACAGCAAAGUGGAGAUGCCGGUGACAAAAGAAAAUCAAAUUGUACCUGUGAAUGUUGAGGACUCACCAUCGGAAGAAAAAAAAAAGAAACCAACCCACGAGAAUAUGUUCCGAAAGCUCCAUUUCCUCAGAGGUUAGCUAAAGGAAAGAAGGGAAAAUCCACAGGUGAGAUUCUUAAAAUCUUCAAACAGGUAAGUGUUAACAUCCCUUUACUUGAUGCUAUUAAGCAAGUUCCAUCUUAUGCCAAGUUUCUUAAAGACCUUUGUACUAAAAAGAGAAAUAUGCAUGUUCAAAAGAAGGCAUUUUUAACAGAAAACGUUAGUUCUAUACUCCAACAUAAAAUUCCUUUAAAAUGCAAAGACCCAGGCUCCCCCACUAUCUCAUGUAGUAUAGGGAACCACAUAAUUGAGAAUGCUUUGUUGGAUUUAGGAGCUAGUGUAAAUCUUUUGCCUUACUCUGUAUUCGUGAAACUUGGACUUGGCGAUUACACCCAACUCCAGUGGUGUUACAGCUUGCAGAUCGGUCCACGAAAAUACCUCGUGGUAUUGUGGAGGACGUGCUUAUCCAAAUAGACAAGUUUUAUUUUCCUGUUGAUUUCAUUGUAAUUGACAUUAAACCAAUACAGGAUUCAAGGAAGCACAUCCCCAUUAUCCUAGGCCGACCUUUCUUGGCAACUGCGGAUGCUCACAUUCAAUGCAGGACUGGAAAUAUGCAGUUGUCCUUCGGCAACAUGACUAUGGAGCUGAACAUCUUCAACAUUGCCAAACAACCUCAUAAUGCAGAUGAUGGAAUUGUAGAUGUGGAUUUAAUUAAAGCAUUAGUUGAUGACACUUUUGUUUCAAACCUUAGUGAUGACCCUUUACAAACAUGCUUAACUCACUUUGGUUUUGAUUUUGAUAUUGAUAGGUCAGUCGAUGCAGUCAAUGCCUUACUUGACUCAGCAUCAUCCAUGGACACUAAUAAAUGGAAGUCAAGAGUUGAACAACUAGCACCAUCAGAAAAGAAACUCAUCCCAUCAUCAGAAUCACCACCAAAACUCGAGCUCAAACCAUUGCCCAACACUCUGGAAUAUGUAUUUUUGGGAGAAGAAAGCACUCUGCCGGUAAUCAUCUCAUCAUCCCUUAAUGACGAACAAAAAGGUAAGUUGUUGGAUGUUUUAAAAGAGCACAAACGAGUAUUAGGAUGGACCAUAGCAGACAUAAAAGGUAUAAACCCAGUAGACUGCAUGCAUUACAUUCACCUUGAUGAAAAUGCUAAACUUACUAGGGAAAUGUAACGUCGGUUAAAUCCUAACAUGAAAGAAGUUGUUAGAACUGAAGUCCUUAAGCUAUUAGAUGCAUGUACCAUUUACCCAAUUUCUGAUAGUUCAUGGGUCAGUCCUGUGCAAGUUGUCCCCAAAAAGUCAGGAGUCACAGUAGUUACAAAUACUGAUAAUGAAUUAAUACCCAUUAGAGUGACUACAGGAUGGCGUGUAUGCAUUGAUUAUAGAAAGUUAAAUUCUGUCACACGUAAAGACCAUUUUCCUUUACCAUUUAUCGAUCAAAUGCUUGAUAAAUUGGUAGGCCAUGAAUUUUAUUGCUUUCUAGAUGACUACUCAAGAUAUAAUCAGAUUCCCAUAGCACCAAAAGAUCAAGAGAAAACUACUUUCACUUGCCCUUUUGGCACAUUUGAAUAUAGGAAAAUGCCAUUUGGAUUAUGUAAUGCACCUUCUACAUUUCAAUGAUGCAUGUUGAGCAUUUUUUCUGAUAUGGUUAAACGAUUCCUUGAAGUCUUUAUGGAUGAUUUUUCUGUCUUUGGUGACUCGUUUGAUCAAUGUUUACAUCAUCUAACACAAGUUCUGCAGAAAUGUAUCGAGAAGAACUUGGUCUUAAAUUGGGAGAAGUGCCAUUUUAUGGUAAAACAAGGUAUUGUUCUCGGUCACAUCAUUUCGAGCAAAGGUAUUGAGGUUGACAAAGCCAAGGUGGAUCUCAUUUCUAAUCUUCCUCCACAAAAAACAGUCAGAGAAGUAAGAUCUUUCCUUAGGCAUGCUGGUUUCUAUAGACAUUUCAUUAAAGAUUUUAGAAAAAUUUCUAGACCCUUAUGCAAUUUACUUGCUAAGGAUGUACCUUUUGUCUUUAAUGAUUCAUAUCUUGUGGCAUUUGAAAAGUUAAAACAGUUGUUGACAUCAUCACCCAUCAUUCAGCCCCCAAAUUGGAGCUUACCAUUUGAGCUCAUGUGUGAUGCAUUUAAUUAUACAGUAGGAGCAGUAUUAGGACAAAGAGUUGAUCGAAUUCCCCACGUUAUUUACUAUGCUAGUAUGACAUUGAAUGAUGCACAGUUAAACUAUUCAACUACUGAAAAAGAAAUGCUAGCAGUAGUGUUUGCAUUAGAGAAAUUUCGAUCUUAUUUCAUUGGUUGUAAAAUAAUCGUGUUCACAGAUCAUGCUGCUCUUAAAUAUCUUAUCACAAAGAAAGAUGCAAAAGCUAGACUAAUUCGUUGGGUGUUACUUUUGUAGGAACUUGACUUGGAGUUCAAAGAUAAGAAAGGGACAGAAAAUAUUGUGGCGGACCACCUCUCUUGUCUCCAUUUUGACACAAUUACAGAGCCAUUAAUAUUGAAUGAGUCAUUUCCAGAUGAACAAUUAAUGAGUGUGGAAGUAUUACCUUGGUAUGCUGAUAUAGUUAAUUAUCUUGUUACAGGUAAACUUCCAGAGCAUUGGACCAAACAAGACAAGGUUAAAUUCUUUGCACAGAUAAAGAAUUUCUUUUGGGAUGACCUGUAUUUGUUCAAGUAUUGUGCUGAUCAAAUUGUUAGACGAUGUGUCCUAGAAAAUGAAAUUCAAAAUAUUCUUUCAUUCUGCCAUGAACAAGCUUGUGGAGGCCAUUUCAGUGCUAAGAAAACAGCAACUAAAGUUUUACAAUGUGGUUUCUAUUGGCCAACUAUAUUUCGAGACGCUUACACUUUCUGUUCUUCAUGUGAUAGGUGUCAACGAAUGGAGAGCAUUACGCGAAGGAAUAUGAUGCCACUAAAUCCAAUUUUAGUGGUUGAGAUUUUUUAUGUAUGGGGUAUCGACUUCAUGGGAUCCUUUCCCCCUUCUUUUGGCCAUCAAUACAUAUUGGUUGCUGUUGACUACGUAUCAAAAUGGGUAGAAGCAAUUCCAUGUAGGACCAAUAAUCACAAGGUGGUGAUAGCAUUUUUGAAAAGCAACAUUGUCUCACGCUUUGGAUUCCCUCGAGCAAUAAUCAGUGAUGGUGGUGCCCACUUUUGUAACAAAGCAUUCAAAGCUCUUUUGACAAAGUAUUCAAUCACACACAAAAUGGCGACCCCAUAUCAUCCGCAAACCAGUGGCCAAGUUGAGAUCUCCAAUCGAAAAAUAAAGCACAUAUUAGAAAAGACGGUGAGGCUGGACAGAAAAGAUUGGUCAUUAAGACUUGAUGAUGUAUUAUGGGCAUAUAGAACGGUUUUCAAGACCCCGAUUGGGAUGUCACCCUACAGGCUAGUGUAAAAAGCUUGCCACCUACCUGUGGAACUCGAGCAUUGUGCAUAUUGGGCUAUCAAGAAAUUCAACUUUGACAUGCAGUAAGCCAGCUCAGAAAGAAGAUCACAGCCGGGAGAACUUGAAGAAAUUCGCAAUGACGUUUACGAAAAUGCCAAGAUUUACAAGCAACGAAUAAAAGUCUUCCAUGACAAGCAAAUUAUGAGAAAAUCUUUCACUCCAGGUCAAAAAGUGCUUUUAUUCAAUUCUCGCUUGCACCUAUUCCCAGGUAAGUUAUGCUCUCGUUGGUCUGGCCCAUUUAUUGUUCAUACUGUUUUUCCACAUGGGGCAAUUGGAAUUAAGGACCCAAAGAACGGUGUCACGUUUAAAGUUAAUGGUCAAAUAUUAAAGCCAUAUCUAGAGUGCCAACCACAUGGAGAAGACACCGAAAUAAAUUUGAGUAACCCACCAUAUUUGAAUUGAUUUUUUUUUCUUUUCGUUGAUUUGAUUUUUUUCUUUCUUUAUAUUAUUCUUCUGCUAAUUGAAAUUAUUUUUGCAUAAGUGUGUUUGUUUAACUAUUAAGUUUUCUUUUAUCAUUUUUAAUCAUGAGUACCUUACUUAGACCGUUCCUCCUGAACAUUCUUAAACAACUUCAACAUGUCAAAACUCAUCUCAAAAGGCAGAUUCAAUUUUGUAAAACACAUCGCAUUUGGGCUCUACAACCACCAGAGUUAGUAGCCUAUGUUGAGGGUUUAGAAGCCAACCCAGAGACAUUGAGAGAAGUGUUUACGACAUCCAGUUGGAGCUUGAAGUAAAUUCAAUAAGAGGACGAUUUUAAUUUUCUUUGUGUGUUUUAAUUUAUUUUUCUGUUUGUGUGCUUUAGUUUGUUACCCCGGUGAAGUGGCGGAUAACGGUACUCCGUGACAAUCAAGUCGGUUACUUCAGUUUCCCAUAAUAACUGAUAUUCUGAGGUGAAAGCAUGGACAGAAACGAGAUUCUAGCGAAGCUUCACAAGCGAUUCCCUUCACUUCCUCAGAAUGCCCUCCUUACGAUCUAUAAAGCUCGGUCCGAACGCAAGCGAUUACUCAUGAGGAAUAACAUACCUGCUGACAUCCGUUGGUUAAUCGAGGCUAAAGUACGAUCGGCAGGUGAGUUACCUCCAAAAUUUAUUGCAUACAUACCUGGUUGUGGUAAAAGAAAUUAUGCAAGAAAACGACGAGCUCGAAGAAUUUUUGUUGCUUGUCAUAAGUGUGCCAGAAUGAGUUGUAAUAAAAACCCAUGUUCUUUAGGAAUGGUGUCUGAUAACAGAGAAGAUAAGAUUCAAUUCAUUAGGGAUAACUUGAAUAAGGAGUCAUUAGAUGAUAUCCUUUUAUCUCUUGAAACGCAUCCCAGUGGAUAUGUGCAAGAAGCGAUUCUCUAGUUAUGGCCAUUAUUCCAGAAAGAGCAUGCACGAUAUAGUCUCGGGAAUCUGACUAUAAACGACCCUGUUUGCCAGUUUAUAAGAAAACUGGAUAGGAAGCCUAUUCUCGACCCAUAGAGGGCGUUUAAGCCGUUUCUGGACGUAAAACCAGAGGAAGAUGUGAGCCACAGUCGCAACUACCUGUAAAUAUCCUUUCACUUUACUGUUAUUUUAUUUCACAAUUGUUUUAUUGUGUGCAUUAUUGUCUUUAAUAAUUUUAUUACUGUUUGCUUUUUCCUUAUUACUGUUUACUCUUUCCUUUUUACUGUUUCUUUUUUGACUCGCGAGCCACGUGCUUUACGCGUUAUUGGACACUGACAUGUUACCUUAUACAGAACUGUGACCCACUGUCACCAAAACUCUUAAAUGUGAUUUUUUUUGUCAAGCACUCACAAAUUAUUUUUUGAGAAGUAUCACAAUGGCAGCUACUCCAAAUAGACAAUUCAAGAACAUUUGUGUGCUUUCUGGAUUUACCUAUGGCAAACAUAAAGAGUUUGUUGAGGCAGCCAUCGAUCUUGGUCGAAGUAUAGCAGAGAGAAAAUUACACUUGGUGUAUGGAGGAGGUAACCGAGGGUUAUCAAAAAUAGUCUCUGAAGCAACUUUUGUCAGAGGAAGCCAAGUGUUAGGCAUCAUCCCAAGAGCCAUAAAACCUUUGGGCAGUUCGUCUGACUCAUCAACUGGAGAAGAGUUAGUCGUCUCAGGUAUGCAAGAAAGAAUAACUGAAAUGCUUAAUCAUGCUGAUGCUUUUAUUUUCCUUCCAGGAGAUCUUGCAAUACUAGAGGCACUUAUCACACUAGCAUCUUGGGCCCAUCUGCACAUCCACCAGAAACCCAUCGGUUUGUUAAAUGUCAAUAACUUUUAUGAUGGUUUUAUCGCAUUUCUUAACCAUGCAAUAAAAAACUAUUUCAUUCCCUCUAAUGCGAAAAACUCUUUAUUUGUGCUUACACUGCUAAUGAGCUAAUUGAUAUGUGUUGGAGCAUCCAAAUAAUGAUGGUAACAGUAGCCGCAGUAAGAAGUAAAAAUUAGAUUUAACUCUCAGCUUGUAAAUAUUAUUUUCUGUGUUGCACCACCCAGGUGAUGUCUUCUAAACUCUACUUCUUUCCUUUCAAACAUUGAGGACAAUGUUUCGUUCUAGUUGGGGGGAGGAAAUACUCGACAAUUGUGGAAUUUUGGUUAAGUUUUUACUAAUUUUUUGUUGUAGAAACUAACUGUUGCUAACUUUUUGUGUUGAAGAUGGCUGAAUAUGGAGUGUAGUGACUCUAGAAAUGCAUCUUCAUUGUUUAAAAAAAAAUUAAAAAACAAAAAAAAAUUCAGACAUUUUCUUUUUCUUUAUUAUGUUUUUAUGUUUAUUUUUCUUCUUUUUAAUUUCUCCUCUAUAAAUAUACAUUUUCUAACUUGUGAGUCGAAGAUGGCUGAAUAUGGAGUGUAGUGCCUCUAGAAACGCAUCUUCUUAAAAAAAAAAAACCAUUUUCGUUUUCUAUCAUUUUACGUGUAACUUUUCUAAUUAGUUUUUAUGCAUCAUUUUCACAUUUCUGCAUGCAUAUUUUCCUUUCAUGUUUAGAAUAGGUUGGGGGGUAGAAUGUUGUUUAAAAAAAAAAUUGUGUGAUUUGUUUUAACAUUGGAUGACAUGAUUAAUUUCAAAUUUUAGUAUUUGUAUUAUCUUUGGUCUUAAGUGAUGUUACAUUAUGUUUGCUACUCUACAUGUUGAUGUCGGAGACAAAUAUGAGUUGCUUGAAGGAAUGAACAUGUCAUAAUAAGUACCAAGUGAGUUUUUGAGCCUAUCAUUUUUCUUGGAGAGUAACCAUUUUGCCCAUUCUUUAUACAGCUUAACAGUUUAUUAUUGUAUACAGGAUCUCUGGAUUUCUUUUGAGUUAACCCUAAAAAAAAAAAUUGUAAAAUUAAAAAAAAAGAAAAAAAAAGUGUGUUACUACAUUUGGAGGCCCAUCUAACUAGUAGAUAUGGAAGAUUAUUUAGAGCCCUAAAAGACGAUGGAAAGGCCAUCUUUGAUUUGUUUGAGCCUUUCUAGCCAUCUUUUUUAUCAAAUAUCCAUAGUUAACCAUUUUGAGCCUUUAAAAAAAAAAAAAACCUUUCUUUGUCAAACUUAUCAUCUUGAUCUACUCCAAUUUGGAGUAUUACCCAAUGUCUUAUAAGUUCCAUCACCUAUUUAUGUUUGAGAAAAAUGUAAAUAAUUAUUUUAUUUAGUAACGUUGUGCCAAGCAAAAGCAAAAAAAAAAAUUCAAAAAUAAUAAUAAUAAUAAUAACAAUAAUAGGUGAAAUCCACCUUGCAACUUCCAAAAAAAAAAUUCCUCUGCAUUUUUCUCAAACAUACACUUUAUUUUCCUUAUUUCCCUUCUUUGUUAACCAUGUCCCUAGCCUACGUUACAUCCUAAUAAAAGUCCUUCUUGAUUUUAGGGAACUAUAAUCUGAAGUAGAAGCUAGUUAUGUGGGCUAAAAAGAUGUAGUGAUGCAUAAUAAUAAUAAUAAAAAAGGAUAAAUAAAGUGGGUUGACUAGCAUUUUUGUUUGACUUGAGAUCGUAUUAUUUCUAAGCUGAGGGCAUAUUUAUUUCAUCUUGGUGAGAGUAUGUGAUAUCACUUUUUUAUUUUCUCUCUCAAUUACCAUUCAUUGAAGUGACUAUUUUUAUUGGUUUUAAUUUCUUUGUGAGAGUGUCACUACUUCUAGUGAGAUUUUGGGGUUUGACAUGUCAUUCUUGAAAGUAGCUAUAACAAAGUCUACUGGGCUUAUUCAUGUGGAUGGUUGAUGUGGGUGUGAUGUUGCUUUAAACUGGAGAUAAUUCUUAUACUUUUAUUUUAUUGCUAUCAUUAAUCUGAUUGAAUAAACACGAGUGUUUCUAAAUUAAAAAAAAAAUCAUUUUGAAUUUGAAUUUUAUUUUCGCUUUAUUUGCUAGGGACUAGCAAUAAGCUGGUUGGGGGGUGUGUUGAGUGUUAGAAAAUGCAUAUUUAUAAAGGAGAAAACCGUCAUUUUAUAUUUUAAGUCUUACUAACAACCCUUACUUUUAUGUAUUUAACCUUCUUGUGAUUUAAUUACAUGUGUUUUAUUUUAAUUAAGUAUUUUAUGUAUUUUAGGAGCAUUAUAGUCAUUUCACAAUAAAGGAGAGAUCAGACGGCAAAACAGACAUCACUUUUGAACUCAGGACGGUAGAAAACCUUAUGAGGAGCAUAACAGGAAAAAUGACACUGUUCACAUGUACGGUACUAUUCACGUGUACAAUACUGUAUACGUUACUGUUCACGACACUGUUCACAUAGAUGGAUCGAUGACGUGGCAUUGACCGAUGAUGUGGCAUUGACCGAUGAUGUGGCAUUGACUGAUGAGGUGUCACGAUCCUGUUGGACUAAAAUUCUUAUGUACUGUUGAUGGUGACGUGGCAGCAUAUCAGUGGACGAAAAAUCUCGCGUACGGUACAUGCAUCACACAGGAUUAUUUUCAACCAAACCGCAUUACUGUUCAACCCGGGUCAAACCGUGUUACUAUUCAUCCGCGUGGUCAAACUGCGUACUGUUGACUGAUGACGUGGCGCAAUCCUGAGCGUCCAAACUGUUUUUAAUCCGAUGGCCAUGAUUUACUCCAUGUAUCUAUAAAAAGGGGGCCUUCCCCCCCUAAUUUGAUAUCUCUGAAUCCAUUUUUGGGAUCCAUUUUCUGUAAUUCCUUCUCCAUCUUGUAUUUUCUUCGUAUUUUAAUAAAUUUUCAUUUUGCCCCGAGUUCAUUUAUGAGUGGCUAAUUUUUUUUCAAGCUUGGGUUGAAAGUGAAGUCUCAACAUGUGUCAUGAGCUUUAUUUGGUAAAUUUAUUUUCUCUUCCCCUCUAGCUUUUGUGGAUGUUUUGACUUCUCGUCGACAAAUAAUACUAAUCUUGUCUAGUACCGCCUUAGUUUCACCGGCCCUCUAGUACAAGGUUAUUAUUAUUUGGCACGAUAAACCCUUAGCACCAUAUUGAUUAGAGCGUGGUUCAUGAGGUGUGAAUUCCCCCCUCAUGAUUUAAUUGGCAUUAAUACGGAUUAUUUAGCCCAUGAUGCAUGUUGAUACGGAUCCAGAUACCCAAGUACGUCAUUUCAAUAGAUUUUGCUUCAAUUUAUUCUCGCCAUUGCAAUUCCAAUUUUAGAAUCUCAAUUCCAAUUUUAGGAUAAUUUAAAUCACUUCCACCACAAUUUCAACCACCCAUUUACAAAAUUAAUUCUACAUAUAAUUAAAAUACACCUCCUCGUGGGAUCGACACUCGUCACCAUUGAUCUAUACUAUAAUAGAUUCGUGCGCUUGCGAGUACAUUAAAAUUUGCACAACAACAAGCAGCCUUUCGCACCAAGUUUCGUGUGACAGUCAGCCUGUCGCACCAAAAGCCAGAUUCAUUAUAAUUAACUAUUAAUUUGAUAGGGCUGAAAUAAUUUAUUUAUUUUUAUAAUUUCAGGCUUAAUGGAUUUAGUUGUACUUGAAUUAUGUUACGAUGGUUGGUGGGAGACAUUAGAGGAUGGGCGUAUGGAGUAUGGAGUAUGUCAAUGGUAAAAAUAGAGCUUUUUUUGUUGGGAAAAUUUGUCUUUUUGAUCAGUUAUUGGCAAGAGUAUACAAUGUGUUACAAAUUAAUCCUAAUGAAUAUAGUAUCACAAUGAAAACAACUUUGAGGUCUAGUAACACAUUAUAUUGUGUAUGUGCACUGCCCAUGGAUAUAUUUGAUGAUGAAAUGGUGAGGGUUGUGUUACAUAUGGCAUUCGAUGUAGCUAAUUUUGGAUGCAUUCCUAUAUUCGUUACCACAUCACCUCGAGUUCCGAGUGAAGGUAUUGAGCCACAUGUCGAUACAGAAACUUCGUUUAGAGCAAAUAUGUCUGGCCCCAAUAAUGAAGAAGAGGUGUUGCCAAGGACAAUAUCACUGCAGUAAUAUUACUCUCCAAUCCACGAUAAUUAUGACAACAUUAAUGAUGACGGAAAACUUCAACACUCCAAGAAAUGUCCAAAUAUAUCCUUUUUGAACAUACUCAACUGCCACUUUGUUAAUUUUCCCUCGAUGGCUUUUACGACCGAAGAUCACUUACACAUGCUCGAAAUUCGACCAGAAAAGUGAUCGGCAUAACGAAAAUACAUCUUGCCUACUUCGAUAUCCGGUGAUUCUGAAUUCGCCAUGUAUCUGUAAUAUUUAUAAAAUUAUUACAUUACGUUUACAGAAAAAAAAAUGACUCGUUAAAAAAAGACACUCUAAUUUUUUGUGCGAUAAUGGGGCGCGCAUGGGCGCGCUCUGCUGCCCAAUGAUGGGCGCGCGCGCGCCCUGCCCCCCUCCAUCCCCACCCCCAAAAUUAAGCCACAACACUUCAAAAUCGAAAAACAAUACUCCCAAACACCACCAACCACCACAAACACCACCACCACCACCACCACCAUUAUUCUCAAGCUAUAACUAUUAUUAUUCUAAAAUGUCAUUUUAAAUUAAUGAAUAUAAGAAAAAUGACUAACCUAGGUUUUGUUGAAGGUUGUAGAUCAUAGAUCGGAUGCCAGUGAGAGAUGGAGCCGUAGCCGACGAGGGUUGAUGUCGCUGCCGAUGAUGGGAGUUGGAUCGGUUUGGGAGAGAUGAGUGAAAGGGAGUGUUGGGGGAGAGAUGAGGGAGGGGUAUUUUGGUCUCAAAAGUUAUUUAAUGGCUAAUGUUGAUAGAAAUAUUUUUGGGGGGUUAAGAUGAAAAAAAUAAAACUUUAAUGGUUAUUACUGUAAAUUUCCCUCACUUGAGCGCUAGAAUUAAAAUUUCACCCCCAAUCGAUUAAAAAAAUCUCCACCAGUUUGCCAUUCAAAACGCCACCAUUCUUCCGCGGUUUAAACCGCCACGUUUGAUUGCACACUCGUUUGACGUUGUUUAUUAGUCUUCAUCUUUUGGUCGUCACCCCAAGCAGUUCUACCACCGCCGUUCGAACCAGUAAGAUCCCUUAUUCUUGUUCUUAUUUGUUUUCUUCUUUUAAAUUUUUGGUUGCUGGGCCAUACCAAAUGAAUGAAAUUUGUGAGCAUCAAUUUUUUUUUUUCAAUUUUGUUGCUUGAUGAAUCAUCGAUAUUCAGGUAAGGUGUUGAUAUUUUUUUUUUUUUGAAAAAAAUUUAAAACUGACAUUGGGGUUUAUGUAUUAAAACCUGUGAGUUUAAUUUUUAAAAAAAAUUGAGAUUUGGGUGCAGAAAUUGAUUGGGUAUGAUUUGCAUGUGAUUGGAUAUGUUGUGAAGUGGUAAGGUAGUGGUGGCUCGUGGCUGUCACGGUGGUUAGGGUUUGGCUUUAUCUUGAAAAAAUUUGAUGGUCAAUUAUCUUGUACAUUUUACCUGUUAUCGUUUAAGAGAUCAUGAUUUCGGAAACUUUGAAUGUCAAUUGAUGAUUUAACAUGCUUAAUUGGUUCACAAUUUCGAAUGAUUUGGGCACAUGUAAUCUGUUUGAUUAAAUGUCUAUUAGAAAUUUGUAUAGUUCAAUUACUAUUUUUCUCUGCAUAAUUUAGGAGAAAAUGGUUAGAACCUGAUACUUUUUCCAUUUUUCCCCCUUUCUUGGUGGUUCAGUUACUUUAACCGAAUAAGACAAGUAAUAUCAUUGUUUAAUGAUGUUUGAUUUCCAAUGGGUCAUUUUAAUAAUAUUACCUUUAAUAUUAGAUGUACUUUCUAAUUUAUUUUGGACUCACCCACAAGACAGAGGCUGAGACAAAGGCUUUAUGUGAAAAAUUCUUUGCUGGUGUUAGUAAGUUGCUUUAAUUUCUUUCACCCUUCAUUUUUUUGGUUCUCUGAUCAAUUCUCAAUUAUUCAGAGCACUGAUCUUAAAUUUCUAUGCUUGUAUGGUUGACUUAAAAGGAGCUUGACUCGGUGAAAAUUAACUUUCAAAAAGGUUUGUGCUCCUACAUUUUGCAAAUUGUUAGAGUUGCUUCAAAUAUAUUAUGUUGUGAUAAAAUAAAUGUUAGCUAGCUAAGCUAAAGCCUCAAGCCUUAUAUUUUUUGGUCUGCAGUCUCUCCUACCCCUGGAAAUUAUUUGUCAUUCAUAUAAAUUAAAGUUGCUUUUCUUUAACUUUAUUAGCUACAAAACCUGCAAUUUUGGCAACAUAACCUUUUGAAAAUCACAGCUAUAUUUCAUUGUUUUGACUCUUCUAACUUUACUGUUGGUUGCAGCAUCAAAAUAUAGAGAAUUAGAAAUAACAAGGCUCUCUAGCUUUUAAUGGCUUCUCAUUCAUAAUUAGAGCAUCAUCAAAAGCCCUUUCAAAUAAGAUUUUACUGCUUAUUUGAAAAGUUACAUCAUCAUUUAAGACUCCAAAAACACUCCACAACUAAGAUUCUUCAAAUAAAAAAUGCUUCUCUGUCUUCAAUUUUGUAAAGUGUUUUCUCUCUCUUUAAUUUAUAUUUUAUUACUUUUUAUUAGCGAGAGAGAAAGAAGUGAUUUAAUUACUAUUUAUUUUUCCUUUGCCUUUUGGUGGUGCUCUUAUAUUUUGAGAUGGAUUGCCUUCUUUUCUGGCAUAUGAAUUAAAUUUGGGAGAGAUAGUCUCUUUUCUAUUUAAUAAAAAUAUCAACUCAUGCUGUAAAUUUUUUGUUUUUGUGCUUUUAUUUUAGGAACUAUUUCAAUAAUUUCAUUAUUAUUGAAUGGCAUGAAACUUGCAACAUUCAUAGACCCUUUUCUGCUAUACAAUACUUGUUGGAGAUAGCAAUGCCACAUUCUGUGAUUAAUUGUAUUUGUUAAUUACAUGUACUGUAAACUGAAAUUGAUUUUUAUUUGUGGAAUAUUGUUUUUAGGUAGUGAAGAAUUUGGAUCUUGUAGCGGAAUGAUGUAAGUAUCCCAAUAUAUGUUGGACUUCGGUGCAAGUGUUUUUGGUGAUUGCUUAUCUUAAGAUGUCUUGCAGAAUUUGGCGAUGGUGUAGUUUGUAUAUUUCAGCUAUUAGGGUGGUUGUACUUUGUAUGAUUUAAAUGGAUAUUGUAGUCAUAAUAUAUAUUAAAUUUCAUGUAUUUUUAUUUAUUAGAUUUUAUAACUAUUAAUAUUAGAUUUUAUUUUUAUUUUGGAUUUGUAUUUUUUUAAAUCAAAUUUAUAAAAUUUGGGGAUUUACAAUAAUAAUAAUAAUAAAGUUUAAAAUAAAGGUAUCAUAAAUAAUAUUUUUAAAAUAUAUAAAAUUUUCUACCAAAAAAUAAAAAAAUCUGGAAAAUUCAAAUAAAUUUAAAUCUCCCUUAAAUCAAGGUAUGACGUACUUGUGCUUACAAAAUUCUACAUAAAUUGCAUGAUAAUUUUUUUUUUUUCUAUCAUGAGAGAGUGACAAGUACAUAGACGAUACAUAAAUUCUCUGUCAUCGAUCCCUAUUAUGACAAUUUUUUCUCGUUAUCUAUUUCUUGUUUUCUUAUAAGUAUGUUAAUUUUUAUAAUGAGUAUGUCAAAUAGGACCUUUCUGGACGGUAACCACCCGAUUCGGAACGGUAGNNNNNNNNNNNNNNNNNNNNNNNNNNNNNNNNNNNNNNNNNNNNNNNNNNNNNNNNNNNNNNNNNNNNNNNNNNNNNNNNNNNNNNNNNNNNNNNNNNNNGUGCAAAAUAGCCUCCACUCUUAUUAAAACUACAUGUUUUUAAUGCUUUUGGUGGGGAUCUACAUCAUAUAACAGAAUGAUUCAUUAAAUUAUGUAGUAUUAACUUUUAUAAUUAUGUAAUGUUAACUUUUAAUAAAUUAUUUUAUUAAAAUUAAGUGUUUAGAGUAAUUUUUUUAAGUGUAAAUAGCCUCACUCUUAUUAAAAUUACAUGAUUUAAUGCUUUUGGUGGGGAUCUACAUCAUAUAACAGAAUGAUUAAUUAAUUAUGUAGUAUUAACUUUUAUAAUUAUGUAAUAUUAACUUUUAAUAAUUAUUUUAUUAAAAUUAAGUGUUUAGAGUAAUUUUUUUAAGUGCAACUAACCUCACUCUUAUUAAAAUUACAUGGUUUAAUGCUUUUGGUGGGGAUCUACAUCAUAUAACAGAAUGAUUCUUUAAUUAUCUAGUAUUAACUUUUAUAAUUAUUUAAUGUUAACUUUAAAUAAAUUAUUUUAUUAAAAUUAAGUGUUUAGAGUAAUUUUUUUUAAGUGCAAAUAGCCUCACUCUUAUUAAAAUUACAUGGUUUAAUGCUUUUGGUGGGGAUCUACAUCAUAUAACAGAAUGGUUCAUUAAUUAUGUAGUAUUAACUUUUAUAAUUAUGUAAUGUUAACUUUUAAUAAAUUAUUUUAUUAAAAUUAAGUGUUUAGAGUAAUUUUUUUUAAGUGCAAAUAGCCUCACUCUUAUUAAAAUUACAUGGUUUAAUGCUUUUGGUUGGGAUCUACAUCAUAUAACAGAAUGAUUCAUUGGGUUUCGUGGGUUAAGUUAUGUACUCUUAGAAGGAGGGUGGUCUGUGUUUUCGUCACUUUUGUUGUUUCAAUUGAUCAAUGCCAGCUAAAGAACGUUGGUGUUUAUUGAUUGGUAUAUCCACAUACACUUGUUACUAAGGUCCUGAUCCAAGCCAGAUAUCUUUCACAUUGGAAUAUUUUUUUAUGCGAGGAUUAGCAUUAAUCCAUCCUAUAUAUGGCAAAGUAUCUUACGGGGACAUGGUGUGCUUAAGAGGAGAUUCGGUGGCGCAUUAGGAGUAGGACAGUGGUGGAUGUAAUCGUAGUAGUUGGAUUCCUCGAUGCUACUGCUUUUGUUCAAUCUCCGGAGUCUCGCUUCCAUUAGAUGCUAAAAUUUCUUCAUUGUUGAAAGAUAAUCAUCAAUGGAACAUUUCUUUGAUGCACCAACAUUUUCUUCUAAUAUAUAUUGAAGCCAUUAUGCGAAUUCAAUUCCCUUAUUCUCCUGAACUUGAUGAGGUGUUAUGGUCUUUUACAAAAGAUGCAAUGCGGCUAUGCAUAUAAAUAGAUCACGUGACGCUAGGUGCUCUAAAGGCAUGGGCGGAAGCCCCUUAAGAGCCAUUAAUUUUUCUUUUAAAUAUACUUCAAGUUUCUUCUGAAAGAAUUAAAUAAAAAGAAUUUAGAUAUAUUUUUUACAUAAUAAAAGACUUAUAAUUCAAUAGUAAAAAUGUUAUUUUGAUGGUUUUAAAGUUUUAGUUCAAAUCCCAAUAGCUACAUUAUUAUUUUUGAAUAUUUUAUAGAAACUACUUAAAAUAAUGAUGCUUUCAUGUAUUUAAAAUAAAUAAUUUUUUAUUAUUCUUAUUAUUUAGAAUUUAAAAGAAAGUAAUACAAUUUAAGUUUAUGAGAGUUAAAAUGUAUUUAAAUGAAUAUUAAAAAAAACCUCAAAUUAAAUAAAAAAUUUUGAACUAAGUCCGCCCUAAUUUAAGUGUGUAGGUCCGCCACUAUCUAGAGGAUUAGUAAAAGGCUUGGAGCCUUGGUGUGCCGUCGAAAGUCAAGAAUAUUUUUGUUGCGUGUGUUGUCUGAUGUCUUACCAACAACUUGUAAUUUGCAUCGUUGAUAAAUUAUCCCAGACCUAGUUUGUGGGCAAUGUGGCUCUGACUGUGAGUUUUCACUUCAUGUUUUGUUUUUAUGCAAGUCUUCUAAGCAUGUUUGGUGUCAAACUCCUUUUGAGACUUUGUAUUUAAUUUAUCUUCCAUGGCCGCUCGGGAUUUGUUUCUAAAAGCAUUUUCUAUUUUUGGGCAAGAGAAGUUGGAGCUAUUUAUAAUGACUACGUGGGCAGCUUGGAUGUCUAGGAGUAGAUGUCUAUUUUCUCAUGAAGCCAAGCCACCUACAAUUCUUGCACCUAAAGAUGAGACCUACUUGGCUUCUUUUCAGAGUGUAAGCAUGUGAAUGGUUUUGUUGCUGGCCCUGUUGUAGUGGCACCUUACAUAUGGUAAGCGCCACCUAGUGCUGGAUUAAGUUGAAUGUCGACGCCGCUAUUGAUUAUGAGCAUAAUGUUGUGGAUUUAGGUGUUGUGAUGCGUGAUUGUCAUGGGUAUGUUAGGGCCACUAUUAAUUCCCAGUAAGUGUUUCAUGAUGUAGCCUUUGCUGAAGCUGAAGCACGUUGGUUUGGGCUUGUAAAUUGCUCAUGAUGUUAGACUAUCACCUUUAGUUGCUGAAUCUAAUUAUCUGUCUAUUGAGCAUCUUAUAAACCGUCAAGCUAGUUCUACAACAGAAAUUUUUGGGUUAUUGCUAAUAUUUUUCAACUCAUGGAAUAUCGAUGUGUUUUUCAAGCUCAUCAUGUUUCCUGUAAUUGUAAUAGUUCAGUCCAUGUGCUAGCUGAGUCGGCUUUUUGAAAUUCUGAUUCUGUUCAGUUGGGAUGAUUUUGUGUCAAAGCUAUUAUGUACUCUUUGAUUACAAUGAAGUUAUUGGUUGUUUUUAAAAAAAAUUGCAAAAUGUAAGUAAUAGUGGUGAUAUUAUUUUAAGCCAAAUAUAUUUUGCCCUUUUUUCUUCAAAUGAAAUACUAUAACAACCUCUAUGAUUUCAUUCACCUAAUAUCGUAGACUCCAAUAAUCAAUUACCUUUUAGGGCAUUACACAAUUAUAUCAAAUGCUCUUAAUCAGCUUAGAUUGGCAUCCUAUGAAAUUGAUUUUUGUUAUGGAUUUAUGCGGAAGUAUUUUCUAAUAUUCAAAGAAAAUAGAGAGAAACAAAGAGUGGACUCUUAUUUUUAUUCAAUAGUCUUUGAAUGAACUAUAAAUCUAAAUGUUUACAUUUAUAACUCCUACUAAUAGGAAAAUGUAACCAACCACUGGAAUUCUGAAUUUUAGAAUACAAAAUUUAGCACUCAGAACAUAGAAUUUAGAGCACAGAACUUAGAAUACAUAAUUUGGAACUCAGAACUCAUAAUACAAAAUUUAAAACUUAUGUACCAAUAAGAAUAAAGUAGUGGAUAAAUAAAUAAAUUUACAACUAUCCCACUUAGAUAGCUACCACUUUAUGGUAAUUGUAUUUGACCUUUGCUAGGGAAACACUAAAUGGGAUAAAAACCCAGCCAAGAGAAAUGCAAUUUGAUGAACCAGAAAGUGGUGUUGGACAUGCUUCAAAUUACCUCAUUAAAAACUUUUUCCAGUAAAAAUCCAGUGAAAAAAUCUGACCAAAAGGAAAAAGAGUAUAGUGCAUAUAUAUCCAAUUUAGGGGCCAUUUGUGUUUUUAACUUAAUGAUUUAAUUAACUUAGGUGAUGUUUGUUUUCUAUCUGAAAUAUGAAUAGACCUGAAUUAGUCUGAAUUCUGAAUAGAUUUAAAUGUCUGAAUCUGAAUAAUAUAUUUGUUUUUUUGUCUGAAUCUCUGAAAACAAAUAUUAAGUUAUUAUUUUUUUAAACUUAAAAAACUGAAAAUAUGUACUUUUACAUUUGUAUCCUUAUUAAAUUUGAAUGUCAAAUAAAAAAUAUAUUAAAUUCCAUAUUAUUUUAACAUCUAUAAGUAAAACUAAAUUUAAGUGAAUACAUAAUGAUUUGGGAAUUUUAAUAUACAAAAUACCAUAAAUGUUAAAUUUUAUCACUAAAAAGAUUAGCAAAGCUAGUUGAUUAGUAUAUAAGUGAAUGAUGGAAAACAUAAUUGAAAAGAAAAAAAAGAAAAAAGAAAAAAGGUCCAAGUCAAGUGCUUGCCUAGCGAGAAAUUAAUGGGAGAUUUAAGAAUUAGAUGAGAGAAGCAAAGUGAAGAGGGAUUCCAUGACGGCUAAAAAAAAAUAUAAAGAUGAGAUUAUGUGGGGUAAACAUCUGUUGGUGAGUUUUGGGAUAGGUAUGAAAAAUAAAUUAUAAAGUAUGGAUAUUUUUGACAUUAGAAAGUAACUGACUUAAUUCAAAUUUCUUCAUUCAGUAAAAAGCCAAAAAAUUGGCAUAUUUUAUUAAGUCAAAAUUAUCUAAAAACUCCCAUUAAGUUAUAAAAACAAACAUAUAAAAUUAACUUAAUUAAUUAAGUUAAGUUACUUUAAGUCAUUAAGUUAAAAAACAAAUGUCACCUUAAUUUUAAUCAGUUAAGUCAUUAAGUCUGUUUUUUCAACUUAAUAAAAAUUUUCAGCCAUUAAGUCAUUAAGUUAUUGUGCUAAUUUUUUUAGCUUUUUGCUUAAUCUAAAAAGUCUUAAUAAAAUCAUUAAAAGAUAUUUUUCAAAAUAUCCCUAUCUAAUUAAUUAAUUUUCAUUUUUAUCUGAAUAAAAUUUAAUAAUUAGCAUUAUUAUCCAUCUCUAUAUAACUUGUGGUAAUAUACAAUGGUAGACUAUUAUGAUUUUUAUCUUUUUAUUUUCUUCAAAUUAGCAUUAAUUAAAUUCAUAAUUUUUUUAAUGAAUAUUUUUCAUAUAAAACAUCAUAAACUAUAAUAAAAUUGAUUAACAUAUAUGAUAUACGAUAUUAAAGAGUUGUAUUCAAUUGAAUAUGAUUUAUGUUAUGAUAAUAUAUUAUCUUAUUCAUAUUCUUUGAGAUGUUUAUUAUUUGUUUAACAUUUAUAAUUUGUACGGGUAUAAAUGUAAAAAUAUUAGUUUUCAGAUUUUUUAAGUUAAAAAAAGUUAAUAUUUAUUUUUGUCGAUUUAGACAAAAAAACAAAUAUAUCAUUCAAAUUCAGACAUUAAACUCUAUUCAAAAUUCAGACUAAUUCAAGUCUAUUCAAAAUUUAGACAAAAAAAAAGCACCACCUUAGUUGCAGAAUGACACAACUCAAAAGUCUUUAAUUUACUCCCAAGUAUAAGAGUAUUAAUUAUAAUAUAACCCUGUGAGUCUGGGUCAAUUCACAGAAAAAUAUUUAAUUUUUUUAUUUCCUUUAAUUAUCUAAAAACUAAAAAUAUAAUUUAAAUACACAAUAUUUAAUUUAAGUGAAACUAUGAAAAUAAAUUAGUUAGGCUUAUAUAUCCACUCAUACCAGUAAACUAUUUAAUAAAUUCUUUUUAUCAUUUCUUUUUAUUUGCUGAAAGGAUUAAUUACAUAAAAUAUCAUUAUUUUUUAAUUAAUUUUAUUAUGGAUUAAAUACUUAGUGUACCAAAAUUCAAUUUGUCUACAAUAAGUUAAAAUAUCAUUUUAGCACACCUUAUAUUAAGAUAUUAAGAAUUUAUUGUACCAAACUCUUUUGUUUGUCUACAAUAAAUCAUGAUUUCAAAAUGUAAAAUAUAGAUAAAAUUAAAUAGAAAAUAAUUUUAUUUGUCUAAUUAAAGAUAGAAUUUGAUUGAACCAUUUUUUUUUUACUAUGAGUUUCACUUUACCCUAAUUAUUAUUAUUAUUUAGUUAAACAUAAUUGAAAUAAAAAUAAUUGUUAGAAUUAAAUUACACAUAAUUAAGAUAAAAUAACUAAAAUUGUAAUAAAACUAAAUAUAUCAUGAAAAUUAUUUCACGAAACAUUAAAAAGAAGUAUUAAGAAGAGAUGAGGAGAAGAAUUUGGGGAUAAAAAAGCAAAAAACAAAAACACAAGGAGUAAGAAUUACAUAAAAUGGAGCUAAAAAUAAGAUUCAGCACACCUAAUUUAGAGGGAGAGUCCCCUAUUUAUAGAUACAAUUGAUGAUUCAUGGCCAUUAGAUGAAAACAUUUCGGACGCACAUGAUUAUGCCACGUGGCGCUCUCAGAUUGGUUGAAACAAGUCAUCAGGGUUGUCAUUCUGUGUUUGUGCAUGUAUGGUACGCACACUUUUGGCCCACUGAUACGCUGUUAUGUCACCAGUCAAAUGCAAGGUCAACAAGCUUACUUCAGUGUAUACGCAUGUACCGUAUGUGAGUUCUUCGAUCCAAUAAUAUGCCACCAUGUAACUAAGUUCCACCAAAUCAGCAUACAUCCUGCCACAAUAGAUCUUGACCUUUUUAAAUCUUGUUUUAUAUAAUUCAAGUCCAUUUUAAUCUUGGUUUCUGUCGUUCCGUAGGCUUUCGGGGCCUUUGAAUCCAUUUAUGAUGUUGGUGCCGCCAUCCAGGACCUCAACAUGAAUAAAAUUAUGGUUUUACCUUUGUGCCUUUCCGAAGGCUUUUAAUUAUUCCGAGCUAAAAAAUAUUGUCUGUUUUGCCGUAUGAUUUCUUGAUAAUCUAAAAUGACCAAAAUAUCUUUGAAAUACAUAAAAUACUAGUUAUAAUAAAAUACACACAAUCAAAGUUUAAGAGACUUAAAUACAUAAAAGUAGAGAUGUUAGUGAGAUAUGGAGUGUAAAAUGAUAAUUUUACACUUUGUAAGUAUACACUCUUUAGCACUCAUCACACUCCCAACCAGGUUAUUACUAGUCCGUAGCAAAUUAAGUGAUAAUAUCUAGCAAAAUUCAAAACCAAAUUGAAUUUUUAUUUUUUAGAAAAAUUGUGUUUACUUCUUUGAUUAGAUUAAUGACAACAAUCAAAUAAAAGUAUAAGCAUUAUCUUCAGUCUAAAAAAUAUUACUCCCACAUCAACCAUUCACAAAAAUCAGUCAAGUAAACUCAUGCAAAAUGAUCAAUUACCAAAGCUACAUUAAUUAAGCUAUUUUCUAGAAUAAGAUGUCAAACUCUAAAAUCUCACGAGUGAGAAUGAUGCUCUAAAAAAAACAAAUAAAAGCAAUCACUCCAAGGAAUGGUAGAUUGAGAGAAAAAUAAUUUCACACACUCUCACUAAGAUGAAAGAAUAAUGUCUACAACUUAGAAAAAUAUGAUCUCAAGUCAAACGAAUUGCUAGUCAAACCAAUAGCAUUAUUUAUAUUUAUAUUUAUGCAUCACCACAUCUUUUAGUCUAUAUUAAUAGUUUCUACUUCAGAGUAUAGUUUCCUAAAAUUAAGAAUUACUUUUACUAAGAUUUAAUAUAGGCUAGAGACAUGGCUAAUAAAUAAGGAAUUUUAUAUAUAUAUAUAUAUAUAUAUAUAUAUAUAUAUAUAUAUAUAUAUAUAUAUAUAUAUGUUUGAGGGAAAAAAAGAUAUCAUUUAGAAAUUACCAGGUGCUUUUCACUUUUUUUUUUUAGUAAAACGUAACAUAGGCAAGGAACAUAGUUAAUAAAGAAGGGAUAAUAGAAAAAAAAUGUUUGAGGAAAAAAAAGAGAUCAUUUGAAAAUUACAAGGUAUUUUUCACUUUCUUUUAUUUAUUAUUUAUUAUUUAUUUUUAUUUAUUUAUUUUUUAUUAUUAUGUAUUUUUUUAUGCACUAUUUUUCUAAAGAAAAGAAAUCAUCUAUAAUGAAUAAAUGACGAAAAACAUAAAACAUAGGGUAAUACUCCAAAAUUGGAGUGGAACAGAAUGAUAAGUUAACAAAAGAAAGCUUUUUUAUUUUUUAAAUAGGCUCAAAAAGGGAUAAUUAUGGAUACUUCACAAUAAGGAUAGCUAGAAAAGACUUAAACAAAUCAAAGACGACAUUUCUGUUAUAUUUUAGAGUUGUAAAUAGUCUAUCAAAUUUCCCAGUUCAAUGGAAUUUCAGAUGUAGCUAAAUAAACCCUUUUUUUAAUUGGUUAAAUCAAAAGAAAAAUAUAGAGAUCAUGUAUAAAAUAAUAAACUAUUGAGUUGUAGAGGCAAAUAGGGUUACUAUCUAAGAAUAAUAGGCUUAAAAAUUCACUUGAAACUUACUAUGAGUUUAUGACAUGUACAUUGUUUUAAACAGCUCAAUCAAUUUCACUUAUCAAAUCACUUAAUUCACAUAUGUCACCAACAUCAACAUGCAAAAUGGCAAAUAUGGUGUAACAUAACUUUAAGAUAAAUAUAAUAUAAAUACCAAAAUUUAGAAGCCAUCAUGUCAUCCAAUGUCAAAAGAUCACAUAAAUGCCUUAAAAGUUAAUUUUUUUUUAUAAUAAACAAAAUAAAUACUAUUUCCACCUCCAAACUCUGAACAUUGUUCCUAAUGUUUUAUAAUCUAGAGAUAUGCAUGCAAAAAGGAGAAAAGAAUAAAGAAAGCAUAAUAAAAGAAGAUGUUGGAGAGAUCACGCAUGAAUUGGCUGUAGAAACUUAAAAGAUGAUGACAAGGAAGAAGAAAAUGCUAAAAGUAAUUUUUGUUUUUUAGGGGUAACUAAACUCUAAGAUAAAAAAGAUGUGUUUCUAGAGUGACAACCCUCUAUAUUCAACUACCUUCAACUCAAAUUUAUCCAAAGUUAGUUUUUACAAUAAAAAAAUCAGUAAAAACAUCACUUAACAAAUACAACUAUCAGUUAUUCCACAAUUGUCAACUAUUCUCUCCCAUCUACCAAAACAAGACAUUGUCCUCAAUAUCUUAAAGGAAAUAAGUAGAGUUUAGAAAACAUUAACUGAAUGCUGCAAUAAAAUAUUUACUAACGGAGACUUAAAUAUAAUUUGCACUUUUUAUUAGGGCCACUACUAUCAUCAUCAUUCAACCAAUCCAACACCAAGGUUAUAAAAAAUCAAAUAACUCAUUAGCAGUAGAAGCAUAAAUAAAGAGCUUUUUUGCUAAGAAUUGAAAUGACUCUUAAUUGUAUGGUUAAAAAAUGCUAUCAAUCCAUCAUAAAAGUUAUUAACAUUUAACAAACCAAUGAGUUUUUUAUGAAUGUUCAAAUGGGCCCAAGAUACAAAUGNNNNNNNNNNNNNNNNNNNNNNNNNNNNNNNNNNNNNNNNNNNNNNNNNNNNNNNNNNNNNNNNNNNNNNNNNNNNNNNNNNNNNNNNNNNNNNNNNNNNNNNNNNNNNNNNNNNNNNNNNNNNNNNNNNNNNNNNNNNNNNNNNNNNNNNNNNNNNNNNNNNNNNNNNNNNNNNNNNNNNNNNNNNNNNNNNNNNNNNNNNNNNNNNNNNNNNNNNNNNNNNNNNNNNNNNNNNNNNNNNNNNNNNNNNNNNNNNNNNNNNNNNNNNNNNNNNNNNNNNNNNNNNNNNNNNNNNNNNNNNNNNNNNNNNNNNNNNNNNNNNNNNNNNNNNNNNNNNNNNNNNNNNNNNNNNNNNNNNNNNNNNNNNNNNNNNNNNNNNNNNNNNNNNNNNNNNNNNNNNNNNNNNNNNNNNNNNNNNNNNNNNNNNNNNNNNNNNNNNNNNNNNNNNNNNNNNNNNNNNNNNNNNNNNNNNNNNNNNNNNNNNNNNNNNNNNNNNNNNNNNNNNNNNNNNNNNNNNNNNNNNNNNNNNNNNNNNNNNNNNNNNNNNNNNNNNNNNNNNNNNNNNNNNNNNNNNNNNNNNNNNNNNNNNNNNNNNNNNNNNNNNNNNNNNNNNNNNNNNNNNNNNNNNNNNNNNNNNNNNNNNNNNNNNNNNNNNNNNNNNNNNNNNNNNNNNNNNNNNNNNNNNNNNNNNNNNNNNNNNNNNNNNNNNNNNNNNNNNNNNNNNNNNNNNNNNNNNNNNNNNNNNNNNNNNNNNNNNNNNNNNNNNNNNNNNNNNNNNNNNNNUAACUUCUGAGACAACUUUUGAUAACCAUUGAUUAUCUCCUCCAUAUAUCAAGUGUAGUUUCUUGUCAGCUAUGACACGACUAAGAACUAUAAUUGCCUGAAUGAACUCUUGAUAUUUCUCAUAGUGAAAUCUAGAAAGCACAUAAAUGUUCUUGAACUGUCUACUUAAAGCUGUUGCCACUAGGACAAUCUUAAAAAACAAUCUAUGAGUGUUUGACAAAGAAGCUCAUAUUUAAAGACCGUGGUGGUAGACACAAUAAUACAUGUAUGUAAAUGAGGUGGUGUGUUUGUCAAAUGAUGCGUCAAGCUCAUGUUUGAAGAUUCAAAAGAUUAAAAAAAAAAAAAGGCAAACUGUAAAAAGAGAAAAAAUAAUGAUUAAAUAUAAAAUCACAUCAUUCAAAGCAAUAAUGCAAAUGAUAAAAUUAUUAAAAUAAAAUGAUAUUGACUAGCAGUUGCGAUUGUGGCUCAUAUUUUCGUUUGAUUUUACAUCCACAGCUUGAACGCUCUUUAUGAGUUGAUGAUAGACUUCCCAUCUAGUUUUCUUAUAAAUUGGCAAAUAGGGUUGUGUAUUUUCAGAUUCUCGAGAUUGUAUCGUGCACAUUCUUUCUAGAAUAAUGGUAAUAAUUGCGUAAUUUCUCUCUGUAAGUAUCCACUAGGAUGAGUUUCAAGAGUUGAAAGGAUGUCAUCCAAUGACACUUUAUUCAAGCCAUCCUUGAUGAAUUAAAUCUUAUCUUCCUUAUUAUUGGACACCAUUCCUGAAGAGGUACAAGGAUUUCUAUUGCAGUUUGUUUGGGCACACUAGUGACAAGAAGUGAUGCCUUUAUCUCCUCGUUUUCUUGAGUAGUUUCAUUUUCCACCACCCAACACAUAGACAACAACUUUGGGAGGUAAGUCACCUGCCAACCAUACUUUUGCUUUGAUUAACCAGCAGAUAUUAUUCACAUAAGCAAUCGCAAGCUUUCGGACCAAGCUUUGUAAAUUGUAACGAGUGUGUUCUGUGGGAGUGAAUGAAAUCACUCGUGAAGCUUUAUAAGAGCUAUAUUCCUAUCCAUACCUUGGCUUGAGAAUGUCAACUAUUAUGGGCAACUAAAAGGAUAGACUUUAAUAGUCACGAAGUACUGUUAUCUGCCACUUAAUCGGUUAACAAAUUACAGCACACCAAAACAAAUUAACUCCGUAAAAUCAAAUCAAACGUGAAAGUGAGCAAAACGACAAAGUGAAAACACAAUGUAAAAAAAUGAAUAUAAUUAAAUACUUAACUCACCAUCGUCCAUUUAUUGAGUUAACUUCAAGUUCCAAUAAGAUAUCAUAUAUACCACCCUCUAUUUCCCUGAUUCGUCUUUCUAGAUCAUCAACAUGAGAUACUAAUAUUAGUGGUCGUGAAUUCCAAAUAGAAUGUAAUUUACAAAAUUGUAUUAGGUCUCUUAGGUGAAUUUUCACAAGUAGAAGUUCUCUAAGAUGGUUGAAGAAGAUCUGUUUCAUUGAGGUACUCGUGACAUAUAUUAAAAGUGGUGAAAUGAAACACAAUUGUCAAACAAUCACACUUAUAUGAAAAACAACAUAAUGCACAUCAUUCGAGACAAAAAAAAGAAACAAUUAAACAAUGUAAACAGUAAAGUAACAAUUAAAAGUCGAAUCACCCAUUAAAAAUGACAAAGAGCUAAUCAAAAUUUGGUAGGUCAUUCAAAUAUAUUUUGGUGUCUUCUUCAUAUGGUUGGUAUUCUAGAUAUGAUUUUAAUAUUUGACCAUUAACUUUAAACUUGACAUUGCUCUUUGGAUCCUCAAUUUCAAGGUCCCAUGUGGGAAAAUAUUGUGAAUAAUUAAUAGAUCAGAACAUCAAGAGAGUAAUUUAUUUGGGAAUAGAUGUAGGCGAGAGUUGAAUAAAAGUAUUUUCUAUCCUGGUGUGAAAGAGUUUCUCACGAUACGCUUGUCGUGAAAGACUUUCAUCCGCUACUUGUAAUUUUUGAAAUUUUCAUAUGCAUCAUUGUGAAUCUCCUCAAGUUAAUUCAAUUGUAAUUUACGCAAAUUACCAACAUUAUCAACAUCUGAAUUAAAAGAUUUUUAAAAGCCCAAAAUGAUUUAUGCUCCAGCUCAAUUGGUAAGUGGUAAGGUUUAUCAUAAACUAACUGAUAUGAUGACAUUCUAAAGAUGUUUUUAAAUGCAGUAUAGUAAGUCCAAAGUGCGUCAAUAAGUUAAAGAGACCAAUCUUUGCAAUUUUGGUCAACCAUCUUUUCCAAAAUUUGUUUUAUUUCCUUAUUUGCUAACUUAACUUAGCCACUUGUUUUAGGAUGAUAAGGGGUAACAACUUUAUGUGUAAUUUUCAUAUUUCUUCGUUAAAAGCUCAAAUGACUUGUUACAAAAAUGCUUAUCUCCAUCACUGAUAAUGGCUUGAGAGAUUCUAAAUCUACUCAAAAGAUUUUCUUUUAAAAAGUGGAUCAUAGUUUUAUGGGUGUUGUGUCGACAAAGAAUCACUUCAAUCCAUUUUAAAACAUAAUCAACAGUAACCAAAAUAUAUUCAAAUCCAAAUGAUGGUGGAAAGGAGCCUGUAAAAUUAAUUCCCUAAUGAUUAAAUAUUUCAACGACAAUGAUGCAGUUUAAAGGCAUCAUGUUUGACUUUGAGAUUGACCCUAACACAACUUUUAAACAUUUUACAAAAUGCAUGUGAUCUUUAAAUAAUGUCGACCAAUAAAAUCCACACUAUAAUAUUUUUGCAGCUGUCUUCUUUAUGGAAAAAUGGCCACCAAAUGCUUCAGAAUAACAAAAUUGAAUGACAUUAUUUACCUCGUCUUUUGGUAUGCACCACCGAAAAAUUUGAUUAGAAUAAUACUUGAACAGUUAAGGAUCAUACCAAUAAAAACCUUUCACCUUUGUUAAGAAUUUCUUCUUAUCCUGAGAGCUCCAAUCAAUUGGCAUUUUACUAAUUGCAAGACAAUUAACAAUGUUAUCAUACCAAAGGCAUAUUGUGUAUAGAAAACAAAAAAUCAUCAAGGAAAAAAUCAUUAAUAGGUGUUGUAUCAAUUAAAAACUCAUUUGUAAGUCUUGAAAAAUGGUCUGCGACAACAUUUUCGACACCCUUUUUAUCCUUGAUUGUGAGAUUGAAUUCUUGGAGCAACAAAAUCCAUCAUAUUAAUUUUGUCUUGGUAUCUUGUUUAGGCAUUAAAUAUCUAAUGGUAGCAUGAUCAAAAUAAACAAUAGUGAAUAAGCCAAUUAAAUACGAACAAAAGUUAUCCAAUGUAAAUAUUAUAGUAAGUAGUUCUUUUAGUGGUGAAGUAAUUCAUUUGCGCACUAUUCAAAUUUCUACUUACGUAAUAGAUGAGAAAGGGCUAACCUUUCUUUCUUUAUCCGAAAACAACUCCAAUAGUAUAAUUAGAGUUGGCAAAAUGGGUGUCGGGUCGUGUUUGUGUUGUGUCAGUUUCGUGUCGUAUCAAAUUUAAGUUGACUCAAACUCGACCCAUUUAAUAAUCGUGUCAAAAUAUUGAGACCCAAACUCGACACUGAAAACAAAUGGGUUACCGAAUAACCCGUUUAAUAUCUAUAUAUUUAACAAAUGUUAUAUACUCAUACACAUACACACUCACAUAUACAUACGCACCCUAAAAUAUUACACAUUUACACUAUUAAAAUUUUUAAUUAUAGAUAUGUAAAUAAGACCAUAUAUCGAUAUCAUAAAAUAUACAUGUGUACUAAUAUUUUACACACUCACACUAUUAAGGUUCUAAAUCUAUGUAAAAUUUUAUAAAUAAAACAAUGUGUAUAUAUCUACCCUUCCAAAAAAAAAACAGAGAAUUAUAUCUAAUAUUUGAGUUUUAAUGACAAGAACUUAUAAAUUAAUUUUUAAAAAAAUAUAAUCGUGUCAUUGGUGGGAUAAAUGGGUCAUGAACUUUAACCAUAACCCGACAUAGAAAAAAAAUCGUAUUGACCUAAACUCGGCCCAUUUCAUAAUCGUGUCAAAUUUGAUGAUGCAUACCCAUUUGUUUGUGUUGUGUUCGUAUUGAAUAAUUGGAUCAUGUGAAAUUUUGCCAGCUCUAAGCAUAAUCACUAGCAUUACACAUUAACUCAAAAGGUAAAGACCAAUCGCGACUGAUGUUAAAAGAUUAAUUAUCUUUUCAAAGAUUUUCUGAAAAUAACAUUAAUUUUUUUAUAUAAACCUCCUAUAAAACCCGACACGUCCAAAAAGAAACGAACCUCCCUAACUGUCUUUAGUGAAGGUAAAUUUGAGAUGACUUCAACUUUGGUUUCAUUAACUUCAAUUCCAUUAGAAGACACUGCAUGGCCCAAAACAAAUUUAGAAAUAGUCAUGAAAUGACAUUUUUCCUAAUUUAAAAUAAGUCUUUUUUUCUUUACGCCUUUCCAAAACUCUUUCCAAAUUUUCAAGACAUUUAUCAUAAGAACUUCUAAAUAUAGUUAAAUCAUCCAUAAAAAAUUUCAAAUAAUUUUCAAUGAUGUCUUUAAACAUAUCAUCAUGCAUAUUUGAAAGUUAAAAGAGCAUUAUAGAGUUCAAAAGACAUUCUCUUAAUUGUAAAUGUUCCAAAUGGGCAUAGGAAUGCGGUCUUUUCUUGGUCUUCUAAGGCUAUAGAAAUUUGAUAAUAGUCUAAGUAGUCGUCAAGAAAGCAGUAAUAGGGGUGCCUUACUACUCUCUAAAAAUUUUGGUAUAAAAAUAAAAUGGAAAAAAUAGUCUUUUCUAGUGGCAUUAUUUAAUUUUUUGUAGUCAAUGCACAAGCACUAGCUAGGCAGGAUUCCUCUUGGUAUUGGUUGCCUUUUUUAUUUUUUCUACAAUAGUUAUAUUAAAUUUCUCCGAUACUACUUAUAUUGGACUUACCCAUUUACUAUUAGAGAUAGGAUUGAUAAUUCCUACAUAUAGUAGUUUAAAGACAUCAUUUUUUACCACUUCUUUCAUAUAAGAAUUUAGUAUUAUGUGUGACUGAUAAGUUGUUUUGGCAUUUUUCUCUAAGUGUGUUAUAUGUGUGUAAAUUAAAUGAUUAAUGCCCUUUAUGUCUUUCAAGGUCCAACCAAUUACAGUCUUAUGUUUUUUAGGAAUAGUAAAUAGCUUACCUUUUUGGUCACUUGUGAGUCAGGAAUAAAUUACCAUUAGAUAGAUUUACUGAUUUCUAACAUAUGUACACUUUGUUUCUUCUGAUAAAGGCUUCAAUUCAAGCUUUGGACCUUCUUCUUCCUUUGUCUCUUCGAGUUGGAUUAUGUCUUCAAAGUUCAAUUGGCCAAUGUCAUCUUUAAAUACCUACUUAGAAUCAAGUAUAGAACAUAUAUUAGCAGUAGCACAUUCUAAUUCCUUACUAGAUUCAAACGAACUUCCAUAGAAUUUAUAAAAGGGAUAUUAUCAUUCGUAUACCUUAUAGACACUCUGUUAUAAAAAAUGCUAUAACAUUUUGAGGAUGUAUCAAUCGUCCACCCUAUUGACAAAAGCAAUCUGCCGACUACCAAAUCGUUAGUUGUCGUUUGAAAGCUAACGGAAUUAUAGCGAAUUGACGAUUUUACCCUUAAAAAGUAUACUUGUAUACCCUUAAAUUCUUUUAUUAUCACUUGUAUACCCUUAAAUUAUCACUUGUAUCAUAUGAAAAGACCAAAUUACCCCUCUGGCGUUAUCCUAUUUAAACAGCAAGUAACGUUUUGGUGGAUGGUAGAUACAUUUUAUCAACUUAGGGUGGACGAUUGAUACACCCUCAAAGUGUUGUAGUAUUUUUUUAUAAUAGAGCAUCUAUAAGGUAUAAGAAUGAUAAUUUCCUUUUAUAAAAUUUCCAUCCUGAAUGUGUUCUUUAAUGAUUGGUUUAAUGAGUUGAAUAUCAUUAUUCUCACUACCAUCACCUUCUUUGCUAUGAAGUCGUUUACACACGUCGAACACAUUGAAUUCCAACAUCAUGUUAUUGAAAGAUAACUUCAUCACUCCAUUCCUACUAUUAGUUAAAGCGUUAGCAUUGGCUAGAAAUGGUUGACCUAAUAAGGCAAGAAUUUGCUUGCAUUCAUCAAUAAUUGGUUUAGUUUAUAAAAUAAUGAAAUCUAGAGGAUUUAUGAAUUUAUUGGCUUAGACCAAUAUAUUUUUAAUUAUCCUUUUUGGUAACUUAAUCGACCUAUCGGCAAGUAAAGGAGUGGUAGAAGUUGGCUUUAACUCCCCAAGAUGGAGUUGUCAAUAUACUGAAUAUGGAAGUAAAUUGACACUUUCACUAAGAUCAAGUAAAACAUGUUCAAUUUUAUGGUCCCUAAUAAUGCAAGAAAUAGUUAGAUAACUAGGAUCUUUAUAUUUCAAGGCAUUAUUAGUUGAAUGAAUGGAACUUACCCGUUCUGUUAUAAAACCUUUCUUUUGCACUGUAUGUUUCCUUUUUAUAGUGCACAUGUCUUUCAAAAAUUUAAUAUAAGAUGGUACUUGUUUAAUGAUAUUUAGUAAAGGAAUGUUGACUUUCACUUGUUUAAAGACUGCAUAAAUAACUGGACUGUAGUUUGAUUUCUUUGGCUGGAUUAGUAUUUGAAGAAAUGAGGGGAUAAGAGGAGUAAGUUAUCUCUUCAUAGGUCAACGGUUGAUGAAACUCCUCCCUAUUCUCUGAAAUUAACUCCUUACUAAUUUUACGAGGAUCAAGAGUUUUGCAACAAUUUUACUAGCACGAAGGGUUAUAAUCGAUUUGACUUCUCUUGUUUUAUUUCCUGUACUAUCCAUUUGAGGAUGUUGUUGAAUUUUGGAUAUUGGUUCUAAUUGACAAGCCAACAUACUUUUUGCAUGCAUGGUGAUGGUUGAUGUAAGUUUGGAGACGGUGUCGAUCAAAUUAGUGAAGGUCUAAAUCAUUUGGUUAUUGUUUGAUUCUUGUCUUUUAAUAAAUGAAUUAUCUUCGAAGGUUUUUUUUUUUAGGUGCGACAUAAGGUGAGUAACUGUAGGAAUUUUGAAAAUUUUGACCUAAAAGAUGUGGUUGUAAAGUUUGUGCAUGAUUGUCAUUUCUCCAACUAAAAUUUAGGUAGUUUCUCCAACCAAAGUUAUAGGUCUGUGAGUAUGGAUUAGGAUUUGACUUUUUUGAAAUUAUCUAUCACAUUCACUCAUUUGUGCAAAAAACUUUUCAGAGUUGGCAAGGUCUAACAGUCCUACGUAAGUGGUACUGCAAAUAUAGCAUGAAAUAUCUGAAACCGAUUUAACAUGAUUAUUUUUUUUGUUGACUCUAAUGCCCUGCAUUUUUUAGCUAAGGAUGUAAAUUUGGCGUGAAAGUCAUAUUCUUCCCUAAGGUUGUACGUAUCUCCACCAGAUGGAGAUGACUAGGGUUUACUAGAUGAUUGAUAAGAAUCAAUAUUGUCCUAAUGUUGUGCAUUAUCUACUAUAUAAUCAAGAUAAUCUAAUGCAUCUUUAGGACUUUUGUCUCUAAACACACCGUUAUACAUCAUUUCAACAACUUGUCUACCUUGGGAUUUUAGUCUCUCGUAGCAUCCUUGCUUCAAAACCAUGGUGUGGGCAAAUGUUAAAUAAUUCAUUGUACCUCUCCCAACAUUGGCAAAGAGUCUCUCCUAACUUUUGAGUAUAAGUAGUGAUUUGUAUUUUGAAAGAAUUUAUCCUAGAGUGUGGAAUUUUUUUUUCAAAAAUUGUUCUUUCAUAUUAUUCCAAUUUUUUUAUUUAUCCAAAUUUAAGAUUUUGUAGCUAAGUUCUACCUUUAUUUUUCAAUGAAAAGGGAAAGAGCUUUAAUCAAAUUUGUUCAUGCUACAAUUUUGGUCUAUGUAUAUAUUACAAACUUCCUCAAAAUCCCUUAAAUGCAAGUACGGAUUCUCAGAUUGUAAACCAUGAAAUGUUGGUAAAAGUUUGAUAAUACCUAGUUUAAAGUUGAAUCGAGAUGUUUCUGGAGGAAAUACUAUAUAAAAGGGUACUCUAUUUCUAGUUAGAUUCAUAUAGUCUCUCAAAGUCCUUAGUUGAUUCUUAUCACGUGCAUUAUGUUGAGAAUGAUUGUCUCCUUGAUCAAUUUGAGGAUUAAUUUUUUCCAAAUGACUUUCUUCUUAGAUUUCUUCCAUGAUUAGUAGAGAUGAUUGAGAUCCACAAAUUAAUCUACUACUUGGAGUUCGAGACUAACUCCUCACGCAAAUGUUAAUGAUGUGUAUGUGAAAUUAGAUGAUACACAAACAAAUGAAUAAUGUACAAAAAUUACAAAAAAUUAAAAUUAAAUAUGCAAAUAAUAUAAAUGUACAAGAAUAAAAAAAUUUGAAAUAGGAUAAUUAAUUAACUGAAUUUAAAAUAACUAAAUAGGCAAUUAAACCCACCAUAUAAACAAAUUAAUUAAACUAAACAAGUGUACGUAUGAAAAUUUAAAAAAUAAAAAAAUAAAAAUUAAAUAUGCAAAUAAUACAAAUGUACAAGAAUUAAAAAAAAUUAAAAUAAAAAUUAAAAACUAAAAAUUAAUUAACUGAAGUUAAAAUAACUAAAUAAGGGGUUAAACCAACCAUAUAAACAAAUUUAUUAAACUAAACAUAUUAAUAGAAUAAUAAUAUAUUAACAAAAAUUAAAUAAAAAUUUAGGUGGUUAAACCGGCCUUAUAAAUUAACACAAUAAAAUAAAUGCCAAAAAAAGAGAAAUUGCAAAGGAAACAAAAUAAAAAAAUGCUAAAAUUAAAUUGCAAAAAUUAAAAGAAGAAAAAGAAAAGAAAAGGAAUUCUUACUUUAAGAUGCGGACUUUUUUAAAAUUUAAAAAAUUACUAGCCAAUUAGGUAAUUAAUUCAAAUUACUGUGCUGUUAUUGUUGUUUUUAAAGUAAAUAUUCAUGUCUAUUCAGUCUAAAUCGUGUCCAAAUUGAGUUCAAAUAAGUUCAAGUUGCAGGUCCAAUCGUUAUUGUUACGGGAAAUUUUGGUUGUGGACUUAUUCAAAAAGUUUCCAAAUUUUGUGGUUAAACGAUAAUUUUUAAAAGUAUAGAACAUAAAAGUGUAUGAUGAAAGUGAAGUUACUCAAAAUUUGUGUGGGUAGAGCAAAAUUUAAGAAAAGAAGAAAAGGGCAAAUAAAAAAAAUGAAAAUAAACAAAAUAAAUAUUUUUUUCCAGUAAUAACGCCAAAAACUUGACACAUCUCAAAGGUAUAGUAGUGUCUAGUUAUAAUAUAACCCAGUGAGUUUAAGUCGAUCGACACUAAAAAGAAUUAAUUUGUUAAUUUCCUUUAAUUAUCUAAAAACUAAAAAUAUAAUUUAAAUACACACUAUUUAAUUGAAGUGAAACUAUAUAAAUAAAUUAGUUAAAAUUAUGGAUUCACUCAUAGCAGUAAAUAUAACUUAAUAAAUUACUUUUAUCAUUUCUUUUUAUUUGCUGAAAAAUUAAUUACAUAAAUUAUCAUCAUUUUCCAAUUGAUUUUAUUAUGGAUUAAGUACUUAGUGUGACAAAAUUCAAUUUGUCUACAAUAAGUCAAAAUACCAUUUUAACAUACCUUAUAUUAAGAUAUUAAGAAUUUAUUGUGUCAAACUCUUUUGUUCGUCUACAAUAAAUCAUGAUUUCAAAAUAUAAAGUAUGAAUAAAGUUAAAUAUAAAUAAUUUAAUUUAUAUAAUUAAAAUAAAAUUUGAUAACUAUAUUUUUCUACNNNNNNNNNNNNNNNNNNNNNNNNNNNNNNNNNNNNNNNNNNNNNNNNNNNNNNNNNNNNNNNNNNNNNNNNNNNNNNNNNNNNNNNNNNNNNNNNNNNNAUUUAUAAAUACAAUAAAUAAUUCAUGGCCAUCAGAUGAAAUUAUUUUGGACGCACAAGAUUGUGCCACAUGGCGUUCUUAGACUGGUUGAAACACAUCGUUAGGUUAUCAUCCAAUGCAUGUGCAUGUAUGAUACAUGCAUUGUUCGGUCCACUAGUACUCUGCAAUAUCACUAGUCAAAUGCAAGGUCAACAAGCUUACUUUAGUGUAGUUGCAUGUUCUUCGGUCCAAUAAUACGCCGCCACAUCAUCGGCCAAUGCAAAGUCAACUAGGUUACACCAAAUUAGCAUACACCUUGCCACAUUAGAUUUAGACCUCUAUAAAUCUUGUUUCAUGUAAUCGAAGUCUGUUUUAACCCCGAUUUCUGUCAUUCCUUAGGUUGACAGGGCUUUUAAAAUUGGUUUAUUACAUCAGUACCGCCAUCCAGGACCUGAAUAUGAGUAAGAUUAUGAUUUUAUCCUUUAUAUCCUUCCUAAUAUUUAUAACUAUUCUAAACUAAAAAAUAUUGUCUGUUUUGCUGUCUGAUUUCUUGAUAAUCAUAGAAUGAUCGAAAUACCUUGAAAUAUAUAAAAUACUCAAAUUAUAAUAAAAUACAUACAAUCAAAGUUUAAGACACUUAGAUACAUAAAAGUAGAUAUAUUAGCGAGAUUUGUAGUAUAAAAUAAUAAUUUUACCCUUUAUAAAUAUAAACUCUCCAACACUAAUCACAGAAGUUCAUUUGCAAGAUUGUGCUCCACCUAAUGAUGCUCCUUUUAAUGGUCAACUUGAUAAUCCAUUCAAAUGGCGCAUGCCAAUGCCAUAUAUUAUUUUCUCAAAUGUUGAAAUGGGUAAAGCUUUAGUGAAUAUAUCUGCAGAAUUAUCUAUGGAACAUAUCUGCUUGAUAUCAAUCUGUUUAUCUUGCUAGAGCUUAUGAGUGUAGAAGAACAUCAGCAACAUAUGCUUUGUUUUGUCUCCUUUAAUAUUAUCCUCCUUUGAGUUGAGCAAGACAAGUAGCAUUGUCUUCAAAUAUUACUAUUGAGAUGUCCACAUUUGAAGAUAAUUUAUAGGUGAUCUAAAUGAGAUGAAUGACAGACCACAACCAUAUAAAUUCUCAACUCGCUUCAUGUAGCAUGAUGAUUUUAGAGUGAUUUAAGGAUACAACAACAAGAUUCUGCUUCUUGGAAUUUGAAGAAAUUAUUGUACUGUUAUAAGUAAAAACAUAUCUUGUCUGUAAAUGAGUUUUAUAAGGAUUAAGUAAAUAAAUUACAUUAGUAUAAACAAUAAGAUCUGAACUUUCUUAGAACAAAAUAAACCCAAAUCAAUAGUCUUAUGAAGAUAAUUAAAAAUAUGCUUAAUGCCAUCUAGUGUUCUUUAGAUAGUUCAUAAGUAAAAACCUAGCUAAUAUGUUUACUAAAAAUGUUAUAUCUGGUCUAGUACAUUGUGUUAAAUAUAUCAAAGCAUCUAUGGCAUUCAAAUGUGAUACCUUAUGUCUAAGUACUUGUUCAUCAUCUCCUUAGUACGAAAAUGAUCCUUUUCAGGAUCAAGAAAUCGAACUAUUACUUGACUGCUCAAUGGGUGAACUUUAUUCAUAUUGAAACUCUUCUCAGUAUAAUUAGCAAUAUUUUGGAGAUCCUUUGGAAUUUCAAUGAAAUUUAUAUCAUCAACAAAGAAUGCUCUAGUAGCAAAUCCAAAUUCUAACUACUUUAUGUAUACACAAGGAUAAAUAAGGUCAUUCAUGUAUCCUUUCUUAAUCAAGUAUUUGCUAAAGCGAUUAUACCACGUGCAUCUAAAUUCUUUAAACCCAUAAAAAGAUUAUUAUAGCCUUAUAGAAUGUAAGCUAUAAUGUGGGGAUAAAAAUGCUUUAGCUAUUUUGAAUCCUUAAAGAAUUUUCAUAUAUCAGCAUAUAAUAAUCCAUAAAUAAGUUAACACUAAAUCCAUAAGACGCAUGGCAAACCUCUCAAAUAUAGCCAAACUAAUUAAAUAUCAAAAUAUAACUGUGCAUAUUAUCAAUAAACAAGUCUCCCUAUAAUCUAUACCAAGUCUUUGUGAGAAACCUUGUGUAAUCAACCAUGUUUUAUAUCUAACAAUCUCAUUCUCUUUGUUACAUUUUUGAAAAAAUACCUAUUUAUAUCCAACUAGCUUAAUGUAUCUAACUAGUUUAAUAAACACAAGUGUUUAGACUAUCGGUCCAACAACAUCACAUCUGGCUAAGAAGUCAAUUUCGCAUGGAUUGCUUCUUUUUAUUUGGGCAAUGUAAACAUAAAAACAUGACUAAUUAGUUUAUAUUUUAGUCUACAUUCAUUGAAAUUACAAUUCGAUAUCAUAAUUUAAUAAGUCAAUGGCCAAUGUGAACAUAAAAACAUUGUCCAUUACUAUUUCCACAUGACUCCACACAUUUUGUCUAUAACCAAAGUUUGUAGAUUUUUUCUUCAUUUUGAGCCACAGUAAGGGUUUGACCUAUAAAAAGGGCUUGCCUCUUCAUUAUAAGGACAUAUGUCUCAUCGAGGAUUUAUAAUUUACUAUAAAUGAAUUAUCCUCUACAUUGUAUCAUCACUUUGAACGGUGCAGGAAUCUACAUAAGAUAAUUUUGUCGCUUGCCCUGGAAGCUCGUGUCCAUUAUCAUGUAAUGGCUUUCUCUCUCAUAACAGAAUAAAUUUUGUCUCAUCAAAAUAAUAAUAAGCAAAACAUGCAGUAUAAAAUCACUAGUAGUGGACUAAAAAUAUCUGAUAAUAGAUAGUGAGUCAAAACCUACACAAAACCUUAAAUGUCAUUGGGUCCCAUUUUAGUGCAUUAGAGAGGUGUAACACAUACUUGUACAAUGUGGCCAAAAGUACACAAAUGGAGUAUAUCAAGUUGAUGCCCCAAUACCAAUUACAAUGGAAAAUACUAGUGAGAAACAGUAAGCCUUAAGAAAGUCAAUGCUAUAAUAUGCGAAAUAGCAUGUUCCCAUGUAGAAAUAGAUUUUUGAGUAUAUAAUAACAAAAUUCUUACAAUUACUUGAAAAUGUUUAAUAAAAGAUUCUACUAAUGCAUUUAAAGUAUGAAUACAUGGUAUUGGGUGCUCCAAAAAUCCAUUAAGGAAAGGGCGACAGUAGAACACCUUGCUGAACACCUUAUCAAGGAGGAAUAUGAGUUUAAGGAUUGCUUUCCAGACGAGGAAAUAGUUGUCACAAAAGAGAAUGGAAGUAUGAAUACAUGGUACUGGGUACUCUAUGUCAAUUCUGACUGACACGAAAGAGUUAUCAAAAGCUUUAGAAGUGAACUCACUAGUGUUAUAACGAUUAAUAUGGUGUUAAGCGCUCAUUGUGCCAGACAAUAACGAUUCUUCACUAUGAAGCUAGUAUACCGUGUAAAAUCUAGAUAGGAUACAUUGUCUGUCGAUAAUGACUCAAAACAACCACAUAAAUUAAAGAAGAAAAGAAAACAAACUCACCUAAUUAAACUCAUGGAUCAUGUUGAGGCUUCACCUUCAACCCAAGCUUGAAACUAAACUAGCCACUCAUAAUUGAACUAGGGGUAAAAUGAUAAUUUUAUUAACAUACAUAGAAAAUACAAGAUGAAGAGAGAAUUACAAAAAAUGAAGCUCAAAAAUGGAUUCAGGGGUUUUAAAUUUGGGGGGGAGCCCUCUAUUUAUAAAUACAAUAGAUAAAUCAUGGCCAUCAGAUGAAAACAUUUUAGACACUCAGGAUUGCGCCACGUGGCAAGUUUUGAUUGGUUGGAACAUAUCAUUAGUCAAUACCACAUCAGUAUUUCGGUCUAAUAAGAUGAUAUCACGUCAUCGAUCAACGCCACAUAAUCAAUCAACGCCGUAUAAUCAGUCAAUGCUCCAUCAUUGGUCUAGUAGGAUGCUGCCACAUCAGCGAUCAAUGCUACAUCAUCGGUCAAUGACACGUUAUCGUACCGUGUAUGUGAAUAAUAUCAUACUUGUAAAUAGUACCGUAUAUGUGAACAAUACCGUAUACAUGAAUAAUACCAAAUGCCUUUUUACGCUCCUCCUAAGGUUUUCAACUGUCUUGAGUUCAGAAAUGCCAAUCAUUUCACUAUCCGACUUUCAUUAGUCAUGAAAUGGCCAAAAUAUCCCUGAAAUAGCCAAAAUAUCCCUAAAAUACAUAAAAUACUUAAAUUAUAAUAAAACACACCUAAUAAAAGCUUAGAAGAUUUAAACACGUAACAAUGAAAAUGUUAGUGAGAGUUGGAGCAUAAAAUGACAAUUUUACCCUAUACAAAUAUACAUUCUCCACUACUCAACAUGUCUUAAGUAGAUAAUCUGAUAACCUAUGCACGCAAUCUAGCAAAUUUAACAUUAUAUGUAUAUAAUAAACAAACAUAUGACUAACUUACAGAUGCAUUACUUAAAAAAUAUAAAAUAAUGAAAUGGACCAUUAGAUGGGUGAAUGGAUCCAUAUAAUUCCCUAAGUCCUUUGUAAGAAUGAUGAAGAUUCAAAACCAACUUUAAAAAGAGAUGAUUUUAUGACUAAUUUACAUUAGGAACAAAUAGUGCAACAAUUCUCAUUAACUAAAAGAAUCUUUAUUUUAAUGGUUGUCCACAAUAAUUGUCAACAAUUCUACACAUCAUAGUUGAUCUAGGGUGAUCUAGAUCUUCAUGCCGAAGCAUAAAAACUUUUAGAUCACAAAUUGUUUGGUUUCAUGAUUGUGUAGUUAUCAAUUACUUUUAUUGUUGUAUGAUAUAAGCUAGAUGAGAUAGCUGGAAGCUUCUCCAAUAUACGUUUCUAGCUCGAGACAUUGAAACUAAUACAUAGAUAUUUUGUAUUAUUUUCUUUUACUAUCUCUACAUGAAACUCAUUAUAAUGAAUAUCUUUGAAGCUUAAAAAAUUUCUUCUAGACUUAGUUGAAGACAAGACAUCAUGUAUACAUAAUUCUGCACCAUUCACAAAUGUGAACAUGGCUCUUCCAGAUCCCUCAAUCAGAUUUGCUGGACAUGAGAUGGCAUUUACCUUACGUUUAGUUAAUGUUAAACUCAUGAAUUAUUUUUUAUUACGAAGAAUAAUGUGUGUUGUUGUACCAUCAACUAAACAUAUCUCUUCGUCAUGCAAUCCUCUUUGUUGUACCAUCACCUAAACAUAUCUCUUGAUCAUGCAAUCCUCUUGAACAUCCAUAUCCUUUUACAAAAAGAAAAAUAUUUAUUAGACAAUAUUAUAGUAUAAUACAUAAACAAAACAUAUAAACAAUAACUAAUAAAACUUAGUAACCAAGCUUAAUCAAUAUAGAUGUCUCCAUUACCAAUUUGGUCACUUGUGUUCUUAUCAUGGUUUUUGAAGAAAUCCAGAUCAUCCAAAUGGCCGUCAUCAAUUAGAAUAGCAUAAUUUGUCUUGAUAUUCUUUCCUUUCUUCGAAGAUGGUUGAUAUGGAUCAAUAAGAUGCCUAUAUGCUUGCUAAAAUCGUUGGAAAUGGCCUAUAGCUUCACACAUAUUACACGCACUUUCUUGAAUCUUAUUUUGAGUAGAUCUCCCUUCAUCAUUCUUCCAGCUAUGAUGAUUACUAUUAUAACCACCAUGAAGUUGAUAAUAAUUGCAAUCAUGACCAUGACCAUGACCGUGUCUGCAUCCAUAUCCUUAAUUAUUGUUGUGGCUAUAUAGAAUAGCCUUGGCAUCAGAGAAAGCAUUCGCUUCAAGAAAUGAUUUUUCGCCAAUUGGAUGAGCUUGGUGAUUCUUCAUUAUAAGUUCAUUAUUCUUCUCAGUGAUGAGGAGGCAUGAAAUCAAGUCAGAAUAUUUCUUAUACUCAUAAUUUCUACAUUGUUGCCACAAAACUAUGUUUGAAGCAUGAAAUAUUGAGAGGGUCUUCUUUAACAUUUCUUCAUUGGUGAUUUUUCCUCCAUAUAGCUUUAGUUGUGAAGUGAUUUUAAAGAGUUCAGAAUUGAAAUCAUGGACUGACUUGAACUCUUGUAGUUCAAGUUAGUCUCACUGUGGCAUUCGCAAGAAUGACUGACUUCAGAAAGCCGUAUCUCUCAUGUAGACUAUUUUCAAAGGACAUGUCAGUUCUUUACAAUUAGAUAUUCUAUCCUCAGUGAUGAAUGAAGAUGAUGACAGAAGAAGAUCAUAGCUCAGAUUGGAUUGGCAUUGCUGAAGCCCAUGGUAUCAAGGUGGAUAUCCACAUUAAGGAUCCACAAUAAGUAGUUUUCAUCAUAGAUAUCGAGGGUGUCAAAUUCAAGCUUUGUGAGGUUAAACAUCUUCAAAUUUUGAAGUUAAAAACUUCAAUCUUCACUUCAUUUCUUCAAAUUCUUGAAGUCUUAAAUCUUUAAUGUAUAACAUUAGUAGAAAAAUGAACAAAAACUAAACCUUCCUUUCUGAUGUGGAAGAUCCAAAUUAAUGGCAACCACAUAGCAUAUUUGUAAGGAUAGUUGUAUUAAAUAAACAAAUAAAAUAAAAGAGUAAAGGGAUAUAAUACUUCUUAUACUAAAGUGAUCUCGUGCUGAUAACAUAUUCUAGAUGUAUAUUGAAGUAUUCUGAUAUCCAAAAAAAGAAAAAUAGACAAAAAUUAUUAUUACAUUCAAUAUUCUCUGAAUGAAUUAUGAAUGUUUACAAUUGAUAGCUUCUAUUUAUAGGAAAAUGUAAUCGACUAUUUUAAUUCAAUCGAUCAUUGAAUUUUGAAUUUCAGAAUAAAUAAAAUUGAGAAUUCAAAACUCAAAAUACAAGAUUCAGGCAUAACUAUUUAUGUACCAAUAGGAUCAAAGUGGGGGAUGGACAAAUAAGUUCACAACAAUUUUCUUAUUUUAUCCUAAAAAAAUUCUUUUGUUUUCUUUUUUUUCGGAAAUUUAUUUGUUGAACGGUGCGUCGUUUGAGAAAGUGCUAGCAGCACACGUGGCCGUUUUGACUGUGACGAUUCCUGGGCUGGACUACGAUUCCGGGCUCGUCUAGGCCUCUUGCACCGGUUUCUGAUAGGAGUUGCCUUUUCUCCCACUAGCCAGCCAAUGAAUUCUAUCCACGUAACAGUUUAAAGAUGACAGCUUGAACAACUCAGCAAUCUUAUGGUUCACCAUAAAAGUCCCUUCCCUAUCUUCAAGCACAAACUUCGUCGUGACAAAUUCUUCACUUUGCAAACACACACUAAAAACGUUUUAGUGAGCAAACUCAAAAGAAACAACACAAACCAAAAUUCAUUUUGUGAAAAAGAAAAAAUUAGUGGCAUACAACGUCUCUAGAGACGCACAGCAAUGGCGUGAAAACUGAAAACCGAAGCUUUUUAUGAGAAGCGGAAGAGAAUUAAGAGAAAAAGCAGAAGAAGAAGGCAAAAAUGGAAUACUACUGUCUUGGAGCUCGAAAUUUCGCAGCAAUGGCGGUAUCUCCUUUCCCAACAGGGCGGACGCGAAGGAAAGCACUGAGAGUGAAAACCAAACAGAGUGCUGUAGAUUGUAAUCAUAGUUCCUAUAAAGUGACAGCUAGAGCUACUAGUAAUAAUGCUGGUAGUGAGAGUUGCGUAGCCGUCAAAGAAGAAGAUUAUAUUAAGGCCGGUGGCUCUCAGCUUGUUUUCGUACAAAUGCAGCAAAACAAGUCAAUGGAUAAACAGUCUAAAUUAGCCGAUAAGGUUUGCAUUCUCUCUCUUUCUUAUAUAUAUAUAUAUUAGUAUUUUGGUUUAAAAUUUUAAAGCGUGGAAAAUUUUGAGAAUUAAAUUAAAGCAUUGAAACCUCAUAAUUGUAAAUUUUUAAAAAAACUUUCCGCUCUUUAAAAUCUUGAAUUGAAAAUUUCUAAUAUGUAUAUAUAUAUAUAUUAUGUGCGACGCCUUACCCUUUUUUUUUAACGAGCUAUUAGACUAUGUACUACAAUAGAGUUAACUUUUAAUAUUUCAUAAAAUAUUAAACUAUUUGAUUUACCGGAGUGUUUAUAUGAAAAAAAUAAAAAUAAGAGCGACCGCAUGAAAAGACUGUCAUAUAUAAAUAGUAAGUUGUUAUUAAAGGGAGUGUUUUACUUCAAAUGAAUGCUGUAUAUAAUCUUUAGGUUAAACCGCACCUCAAGUUUGUUCUUUGUUUACUUUUUCGCAAAAACCACUUUUGCUUAUGUCAGCCAAACACUAGAAGGCAGACAAAAGAGAUAACUUUUUGCUGUUUCAGAGCAUUUCAGUUAAAUAAAAAACACUGGCAAAUGCUCUAUUAGUACAGUGUUAUUAAUGGACAUGUUUAUAGUAUCUUUCUUGUUUCUUUUCCUAUAUGUAUUAGGUUCUCAAUUAUGAAUUUUACUUCUGUUGACUGUUGUCUGUACUAUGGUCCGGUUUAAAUUUAAUUUUAAAUAUUUACAUUUUUCAGCUACCGCCAAUAUCAAUUGGUAAUGGUAUUUUGGAUUUGGUGGUGAUUGGUUGUGGCCCAGCUGGUCUUGCUUUGGCUGCAGAAUCAGCGAAGUUGGGAUUAAAUGUUGGACUUAUUGGCCCGGAUCUCCCUUUCACAAACAAUUAUGGUGUGUGGGAAGAUGAAUUUAGAGGUACCGAUUUCCUUCAAAUCAAAAUCUGUUCCACGAUCUGGGAUGAGUUUUCAUGUAUAUUAUAUCCAAUGAAUUUCGUUUAUAGUUCAUAUUACCAAAGGUUGUAUAAUGCUAACAAUAUUCACAAGGUGAAAAACUCCCUUCACGGCUUGAACCUACCAAAAAGAUGAAUAUAGUUUAUUAUACUUUCAGAUCUUGGACUUGAAGGGUGUAUCGAACAUGUCUGGAGAGACACAGUUGUAUAUAUUGAUGAAGAUGAACCCAUCUUGAUUGGUCGUGCUUAUGGACGAGUUAGUCGACAUUUGCUUCAUGAAGAAUUAUUAAGAAGGUUUGACUGCUUGUUUUUCUUAAUACUAUAAUUAUUGUUAUGAACUCUACAGUCCUUUCAAGUUCAUUGAUGUGUAAUAGUAUUCUGUAAGAUAUAUAAUCUAUAUUAAUUUCCCCUAGGUGUGUCGAGUCAGGUGUUUCAUAUCUUAGCUCAAAAGUGGAAAGCAUUACGGAAUCUACCAGUGGUCAUCGUCUUGUAGCUUGUGAACAUGAUAUGAUUGUCCCCUGCAGGUAUGAUGGGGUAUUGUGCAUUCUUGACUUAUGUUUAUGAGUUUCUUAAAAUUUUAGCGAUACACCAUAGCUCCUAAUUUAUUAUUUUAGGCUUGCUACUGUUGCUUCUGGAGCAGCAUCAGGGAAGCUAUUGGAAUAUGAGGUGGGGGGUCCCAAAGUUUCUGUCCAAACAGCUUAUGGUGUGGAGGUUGAGGUAUGAGUAUACAAUUUCCUAUCUAAAUUACUGCACUGUUUAGUUAUUGGUUUAUGAUUUUCUGCAUCACACUCUUACUGCAUUGCGAAUUUACAUUUUGUCCAGAUUUGGAUUUGCCUACAGUUGUGUAUACCACAGAAGUUUUUUUCUUUCUUUUAAUUGGUUAUGCCUUUUUCUCCUUUUCCACCUUCAUGGGAAAAUCAUUAGGCGCUACUCUUUACUUUGUUAUGAGUGGAAUCCACCAAAUUAUUUAGUUGUUCGUUAAAAGAACAUGAAAACUAUCACGAGUAUGUUUGUAUAUCAUUAGAAGUAUUGUACUUUGUACACUUCACCUUGCUGUGAAAUUGAGUUGCGCAACUGUGAUGAUCUCCUUUUUCUUUUCGUAUCGCAAUCAGCAUGCUAUGUUUAUGUUUUUGUUUAGUGAGGUGUUGAGAGAUAGGAGUGAAUUCAAUUAUUUGAAGUUUUCUUCUAAUCAUUCCAAACCCAACUGGACUUUUAAUUUUUUGGUGAGUUUGUUUGUCUGCACUCUUGCUUCUUCUCUAUGAUAUAUAAGAUUUUUGCAAUUUCUUUGGUACACAUUUUGAUCAUUUGUCAUGAAUAUUGUUUUGUAAUUCUAGGUGGAAAAUAAUCCAUAUGAUCCAAGCCUUAUGGUUUUCAUGGACUACAGAGACUGUACUAAGCAAGAAGUUCCAUCUUUUGAAUCUGACAAUCCAACAUUUCUUUAUGUCAUGCCCAUGUCUUCAACAAGAGUUUUCUUUGAGGUCUGUUUAUUGUAUUCAUUGUAUUCUUUUUUACUUAUUAACAUUUGGUCUUUGACAAUUAUCUGCAAAAUAUUUAGAAAAUAUGCAUUGCAGGAAACUUGUUUGGCAUCGAAAGAUGGUUUACGUUUUGACAUAUUGAAGAAAAAGCUCAUGGCAAGGUUAGAGAGAUUGGGAAUCCAGGUUUUGAAAACUUAUGAAGAGGUAGUCAUUAUAUGCAGUUUGUUUGUUUCUUUAUUACUUCAUAUUAGAACUACCACUAUAGUUUGCUCAGUCUUCAUGUCCAAAGUUCAUUCUUUUUUAAGCCAAUACAUAGUGAAGUAUAUUUGUGAAAUUGGCGUUAUUAUUCUCUUUUUUUUUUUCUGGCAUUAUCAAUCUUGUAACUUAUUCUUAAAUCAUUUAAUUUAGAUAAUUAUUUCGCUCUCCUCCCACAAUCUGAUUUUUAAAAGACAGAACAAGCUCAAAUAUAGAAUUUUCCUCUAGGUUGUUACAAUAUAAAUCAAUGUUAUGAUGUGGCUUGCUUUCAUCCUAGUGUCUAGUGGCUUGAAGAGUACAAAAAUUUUACGUUCCUGUGCUUAAAAGUUGGAAAUUUAGCAAUUGUCAGUACCCACUUAAUAAUGUACAUUCUGCAGCAUCUUGUGCCAAAAUUCCUCUCCUGCACCAAGCACCUUUGCUCUAUGUGAGAAUUUACAAUCAUACUCUGUUCUAUUUUUAGUUUUAGGGAACAUACAUGGCUUUCUAUCAAAAAUUUCUGUGAAUACAAAACCAUAAUUGCAACAUAUUUGUUAGAUUAAAGUUAUAUGGGUGCAUAAGAUUUCAAAGGCACACUAUACAAAUCUCUUAUGCAGGAAUGGUCAUAUAUUCCAGUUGGUGGUUCCUUACCAAAUACAGAACAAAGAAACCUCGCAUUUGGUGCUGCUGCUAGCAUGGUGCAUCCAGCCACUGGUAAGAAAAAGAAAGAGUUAAUCCAUGUUCUUAUUCAUUUAAAAGUGCCAACUCAUUUCUCCCAUUAUCAAACAGGCUACUCAGUAGUCAGAUCACUGUCAGAGGCUCCAAACUAUGCUUCUGCAAUUGCAUAUAUAUUGAAACACGAUCAUUCCAGAGGUAGACUUACACAUGAACAAAGUAAUGAGAAUAUCUCAAUGCAAGGUAUGCUAGUGUGAUUAAAAGCUUUUCAUUUCUAUAUUUAAGAAAGGUCCUAAUUCAGAAGUCCUUGACAACAAUUUGCAACUUCAAUUCAAAGGUUAUCUUUGAAGCUCUAGUCAAAGUGGACACUGUUGACAUGGAAAUUGCAUAGUGAAGGGAAAUAUGAUUUAGUCAUGAAAACCUAGUAUCUAGCUUUUAGGAGCGUUUUAUUAAAUCAUUUCAUGUCAUUAGGAUUGUGUUUGCCAUUAGGUCAUCAUCAGGGGAAUCAGACUCACGAUUAUUUUCUUAUACUUGAACUUGAAAUUUAGUUUGGAAGUUCUCCUCUAUGUCUCAUUAUCUGUUCCUUUUCAGCUUGGAAUACUCUCUGGCCACAGGAAAGGAAGCGCCAAAGAGCUUUUUUCCUCUUUGGACUAGCACUCAUUUUGCAACUGGAUAUUGAGGGCAUCAGGACAUUCUUUCGCACUUUCUUCCGAUUACCCAAGUGGUAUUAAUGAUUCUUUAUUUUAUUAUUAUUAUUUUUCUUUUCAACUGACGUGUCUUUUAAGAUAAGCAGAUUGGACUCUUAUGCUUAAAAGACAUUAGCAUCUUGUGAAAACAUUAAUUCUUAAUCAUGAGAUAUGGAGAUGUGGCAUUAUGCAAAAACCAAAUCAUUCUCAAAUACGUGUAACAUGAAUGAAAGUAUUGAAGUCUCUUUUGACUUAUGAAUUGUGAAUAUCUUAUUGAGGUGGCAGUCCGGCAUCUAAAGUAAUUUACUCCAUAACAAACUUUGCAAUGCAUUUUAUUAGAUAAUUUGGUGGUUCACAAUCAAUUUUAAUUGUGUAGCACAGACGUGCUCAAUCACCUGGAAAAGGUGUAUUUGUAUGAAUUCCCAGUGGCAUUAUAAUAGCAGUUUUUUUUUUUUUUUGAGAAGCAUUAUAAUAGCAGUUAAUGUUAGGUUAGUCAUUGUUGACAUCGGAGAUAGUUAAAUUGCAACUAUUUUGUUGUUUUAACAUAAUUUGUAAAUAUUUAGAAUCUGAAAAUACUAUUUUCUUAUUUCAUUCAUUCUACAAGUUACACUUAAAUAGAAUGUAGAAAACAAACUUCUAAUAGAUAUCCCCUAAUUGUAGGAUACUUAUCUAAACUUGAAUUUAAAAAAUGAUUAUCUAAAACUUUAUUCCGAUAAGACUUUAAAACUAAACUAAUUAUCUAAAACUUUAUUCUGAUAAUCAAACUAACUGAAAAAUCCUAACUUCACGACACUCCCCCUCAAGUUGGUGCGUAGAUGUCAAUCAUUCCCAACUUGCUGACAAGAUGUCCAAAGUUAGUUUUGAGGAGUCCCUUGGUUAGGAUAUCUGCUGUUUGUUGUUUUGUUGGAACAAACAAUAGGCAGAUAAUCUUAUUCUCAAGUUUCUCCUUGAUGAAGUGACGGUCAAUUUCAACAUGCUUGGUCCUAUCAUGUUGCACUGGGUUAUGUGCAAUGCUGAUUGCUGCUUUGUUGUCGCAGUAUAACCUUAUAGGUAGAACUAUAGGUCUUCUCAAAUCCUCUAGAACUUGUUUCAGCCACAAUACUUCACAAAGCCCAUGUGCCAUAGCUCUAAAUUCAGCUUCAGCAGUACUUCGUGCAACCACAUUUUGUUUUUUACUCCUCCAAGUCACUAAAUUACCCCAUACAAAAGUGCAAUAGUAAGUAGUAGACUUCCUGUCUAUAACUGAACCUGCCCAAUCAGCAUUAGUGUAUACCUCAAUACCUCUAUUCUCUGUUUUUCUAAACAAAAGUCCCUUUCCUAGAGUACUUUUUAGAUAUCUAAGAAUUCUGUAAACAUCUUUAAGAUGUUCUUCCCGAGGAUGAUGCAUGAAGCGACUUACUAUACUGAUUGCAAAAGUGAUGUCUGGUCUAGUAUGAGACAAGUAAAUAAGUUUUCCCACCAAAUUCUGAUAUCGUCGUGCAUCCACUAAGGCUUUUUCUCCUUCACCUAGUUUUAGAUUGUACUCCACAGGUGUAUCAAUUGGUUUGCAGCCACUUAUUCUAGUUUCCUUCAAUAAAUCAAGGAUGUAUUUCCUUUGUAAGACAACUAUACCUUUCUUGGAACGAGCAACUUCCAUUCCAAGAAAGUAUUUCAAGGCACCUAAGUCAUUGAUUUCAAAAUCAGUGGCUAGGCUUUGCUUCAAUCUGUCCAUUUCAACUAAAUCAUCUCUAGUAAGAAUAAUGUCAUCCACAUACACUAUAAGCACAGUGAUUUUACCUUUAGCUGAAACUCUAGUGAAUAUUGUGUGAUCAGCCUGACUUUGUCUAUAACCUUGUCUAUUCACAACUGUAGUAAAUUUCUCAAACCAAGCCCUAGGCGAUUGUUUGAGACCAUAGAAGGACUUUUGCAACUUGCACACAUUUAACCUUAAUUUUUCAGAGAAACCAGGAGGAGGAUCCAUGUAUACUUCCUCUUUUAAAUCUCCGUUGAGAAAUGCAUUCGUCACAUCCAAUUGUUGUAAUGGCCAAUUUAGGUUUGUAGCAAUAGACAAGAGAACUCGUACAAUGUUUAACUUUGCUACUGGUGCAAAUGUCUCUGAAUAGUCAAUCCCAUAGGUUUGAGUAAACCCCUUUGCCACUAGGCGAGCCUUGUAUCUCUCAAGUGAACCAUCUGAAUUGUAUUUGACAGUAAAUACCCACUUGCAGCCAACUGUUGACUUCCCUUUAGGCAAAUUGACCACCUUCCAAGUCUGAUUCUUCUCAAGAGCAUUCAUCUCUUCAAGGAUAGCUGCCUUCCAUUCAGGUACACUUAGAGCAUCCUGUACAUUCUUUGGAAUUUCUACACUAGAAAGUUGUGAGGUAAAUGCAUAGAAAGGAGGUGAUAGGUUAUGAUACGAAACAAAGUUAGACAAUGGGUAUUUGGCACAACUUCUAGUACCUUUCCUAAGAGCAAUAGGUAUGUCCAGAUCACUAAGAACCUGGGAAUUUGAAUUUAACUCACAAGAAAGAUUAGAAUUAGAAUUACCUGAGGAAGAAGAAGUCUGAUUUGACCUUGGAUUGGAAUCAUGGCCUUGCUGCAAAGUAGGGUUCUCUCUUCUUUGAUUAGUACCCUUUCUUGAGUAAACAAUAAACUCAAAUUGUUUAUUACCCUGUCUUGCACACAAAUCUGGUUCUAAUGGCACAUUAGAGGGCUGUCCAGGUUGAUUAGCAUUUACAUUAUCAGAUUUAGUGAGGUUUUCUUGUGGUUCGGGUGCAUUAGGUUCUAACAUGGGAUCAAGAAUGGUAGAACCAAGUAUAGCAGUGUUUGGAACAUGUACGACAAUAUUAGGUUCAGGUAUGGCAGCCUCAAGACUUUUUUCUGGACAGAGUGAGUCCAGCACAGAAGAAAUAGAAGGGGUUUCUAGGUGAAUAGUGUUAAAGAUAGAAUCUUCACUCUUAAUUCUUUCCCUGAAGAUGAUUAUCUACAUAAUAUCUUCGUUUUUCAAAAAAUGUAACAUCCAUUUUUUAAAAAAUAGGAUCAAAACAUUUAUAACCCUUUUGUGUUGGAGAAUAUCCAACAAAAAUGCAUUUUCUAGCCUUUGGAGCAAGUUUGCCCCGAUUCUGGUUGUGAAUAUAGACAAAAGCAACACAACCGAAUAUUUUGGGCGGAAGUGUGAUUGAAAUUCUUGAAGUAGAGAAACAUUGAUUAAAGAAAUCAGAUGGAGUUUGAAAUUGUAGAACUUUUGAAGGCAUUUGAUUUAUCAAAUAGGUAGCGGUGAGUACAGCUUCCCCCCACAAAUACAUAGGAACUUGAGUUGUAAAAAGUAAGGAUCUAGCAACUUCAAGGAGAUGUUUAUUUUUGUGUUCAGCAAUUUCAUUUUGUUGGGGGGUAUCCGUACGUGAACUUUGAUGAAAUAUGUCAUUUUUCACAAAAUAAUCUCCCAAAAACUUGUUAAAGUAUUCUUUCUCAUUGUCAGUUCAGGAAACUUGAAUUUUAGUUUGAAACUGAGUUUGUACCAUGUUGUUAAAAGUUUUAAAAAUCAUUCCCACAUCUGAUUUUUCCUUCAUUAAAUAUACCCAAGAAAUACGGGUAUGAUCAUUAAUGAAGGUAAUAAACCAUCUUUUUCCUAUUAAUGUAGAAAUUCUAUUAGGUCCCCAAACAUCACUAUGAAUCACAGAAAAAGGUUUUGAGGCUUUGUAGGGUUGGGAAGGAAAUGAUGCGUGAUGAUGUUUUGCUAAUUCACAAAUUUCACAUUUAAAGGAAGAAGAACUUUUAUUAGCAAACAAGUUGGGAAAUAAAUAUUGCAAAUACUGAAAACUAGGAUGGCCUAACCUAAAGUGCCACAACAAAACUUCAUUGUCAUUAUUAACAACAGAAACAGAAUUGAAACAAGUACGUGGAGGUUGUCGUCUCAAACUUGGUACUUCUUCAAAGAAAUACAGCCCCCCACUUUGUCUAGCACUGCCAAUCAUCUUCCCCGAGGUCAAAUCCUGAAAUUCACAAUGAUUUUGGAAGAAAUUAGCACAACAGUUCAGGUCAAAAGUUAAUUUGCUAAUAGAUAAAAGAUUGCAAGAUAGGUUAGGAACAUGCAGAACAUUAUGAAGAGUGAGAGUGGAAGAAAGAACGAUAGACCCUUUUCCAGCAAUAGCCGAAAGGGGUCCGUUAGCGAUCUUAAUUUUUUGAUUUCCUGCACAUGGCUUAUAGGCAGAAAACAAAGAUGGAGAGUCUGUCAUGUGAUCGGUUGCUCCUGAAUCAAUAAUCCAAGAACAAGGAUUCGAAUGAUGACAAACAAGGGCACCAGAAAGAUAAUCACCUUUUUGAGCUAAUGAACAAGAGGGAGUAGAUGAAUUGAAGGAUGAGGAUUGAAACAAUUUAUACAAGUGCUCUAAUCGAUCCUUGGUGAAAGGUGAUGACUCUAAAGAACCUGAUUGCUCUUGAUCUGAAGUAGCUUGGAAGGCUUGUCCAUCACCUCCUUGUUUCUUCUUCACAUGAGGAGGCUUGCCAUGUAGCUUCCAACAAGUUUCUCUUGUAUGCCAAGCCCUUUUACAGAAGUCGCACCAAGGUUUCUUUGAAUUCCUUCGAUCUCCAUCAGGUUCAAGUGCCUUUGAAAUAAGAGCAGAACUCUCUGAACUCUCUACUUCACUGGUGGCUUUAACAUCAUUAAGCAUGAUAUUCCGUCGUGCUUCUUCUCUUCUUACCUCAGAAAACACUUCUCGAAUAGAUGGAAGGGGUUUCCUGCUCAGAAUUCUGCCUCUCACUUCGUCUAAAUCACAGUUUAGCCCAGCCAAGAACACAUAUACUCUGUCAUUUUCCAACAUCUUCUUAUACCUUACACUAUCACUCGAACAGUCCCACUGCUCAUCAUAGCAAAGAUCUAAUUCCUGCUAAAGGAUCAACAAUUCAUUAUAGUAAGUUGUGACCUCCCGAUUACCUUGCUUGGACUGCCACAGUCGAGUUUUCAACUCAAAUAUCUGAGAUGAAUUUUCUAAAUCAGAAUAGGUAUCUCGGACUGCAUCCCACACCGCCUUGGCUUUCGGUAAGAACAUAUAAGGCUUACCAAUCCCAGGCUCCAUUGAGUUUAUCAACCACGCAAUAACCAUCGAAUUUACUGAUCUCCAGCAGCUGGUUUUGUUACUUCACCAGUCAAAUGCCCCAGCUUUCCCUCUCCAUCAAUUACCAACUUAACGCACUGUGCCCACUCUAAGUAAUUUUUUCCAUUCAAUUUAUGAACAAUUAGUUGCAAAGAAGACUUAUCUUGGUUAUAUUCAGACUGCUGCUGUCAAAGGAAUUAGCAGAUUCUAUGCCUGUACAGUUGUAACAAUUAUCUGUAUGAUUGUAAAUCUUUUAUGUUUUCCUUAUUUAGGAUAUACUAGCUGUAGGCUAAUUUAGAUAGUUCUGUAUAUGGUAGUUUAGCUAUGUUUAGGGCUAAACAUAAGCUUGUAUUCAUAGUAUAUAAUGGGAAUUCUCCUCCAAGAGAAAAACAACUUUUGCUCAAAAUUCUCUGAGUUUAUCAUGGUAUCAAAGCCUCAAUUCUGAAUUCUCUUCUUCCUAGUUCAUUCUCUUGUUCUUAGUUAUUUUUUAUCAAGUUAUCUCAGCCUCAUGUCUUCAGACAAGUAUGAUGCCUUUUUGAUCCGUUUUAAUGGCACAAACUACUCAGCCUGGGCAUUUCAUUUCGAGAUAUUUGUCAAAGGCAAAGAUCUAUUGGGACAUGUUGAUGGCAGGAAACCUGCCCCUGACAAAGACAUAGACCAAGAUGGGCACGCCAAGUGGGAAGUCAAGGAUGCUCAAAUCAUGGCAUGGAUUCUAGGAUCUGUGGAAUCCAACUUCAUCUUGAAUCUUCGACCCUUCAAGACCGCAACAAGAAUGUGGAAUCAUCUGAAGAAACUCUAUAGUCAAACCAACACUGCUCGUCGAUUUCAGCUUGAACAUGAGCUAGCCAAUCUCCAACAGGGCAGUCUCUCUAUUUUUGAUUUUUAUUCUAGCUUCAUGAAUCUUUGGGCUGAAUAUACUGAUAUAAUCUAUGCUACCUUACCUCCCGAAGGUCUUAGUUAUGUUCAAUCUGUACAUGAAACUACUAAGAGGGAUCAGUUUCUAAUGAAAUUGAGAUCUGAAUUUGAAAGCACUAGGUCUAAUCUUAUGAACCGAGAAUCUGUCCCUUCCUUAGAUACAUGCCUCAAUGACUUAUUUCGUGAGGAGCAACGACUUCUUAACCAAAACACCAUGGAACAACAAAAAUCCACUUUUGUUCCUAUGGUUAUGCAGCUCAAGGCAAGCCAAAAGGUAGGGACAUAAGUACAGUUCAAUGUUUUUGUUGCAAAGGAUUUGGACAUUAUGCUUCAAAUUGUUCAAAAAAAUUCUGCAACUACUGCAAAAAAGAUGGCCAUAUCAUCAAGGAAUGCCCUACUCGACCCCCCAAGAAAUUUGAAACAGCAUAUGCUACCUCAGUUGGUUCUUCUAGUGCUGGUAGUUCUGUCGAUACAGCACAUUUGACACAAAGUGCUCCUGCUCCUGUUCAGUCUGUGACCCCAGAAAUGAUUCAACAAAUGAUCAUUACUGCAUUCUCCUCAUUAGAACUCUCAGGUAAAUCACCCACUACAUCUCCUUGGUACUUUGAUUCUGGGGCUUCCCAUCACAUGACAAACAAUGCUAAAUUCCUCACCAAUGUAAGUAAAUACCCUGGAAAUCUAAAAAUUCAUACAGCUGAUGGCAACUCUUUACCUAUCACAGCCACUGGUGAUGUUUCUUCUUCUAUAACCAAUGUCUUUGUCUCUCUUAGUCUUACCACUAAUCUUGUUUCAGUUGGUCAGUUAGUUGACAAUAAUUGUAAAGUAGAAUUCUCUAAAUCUGGUUGUGUUGUGCAGGAUCAGCAGUCAGGGAAGAUGAUUGCCAGGGGGCCUAAAAUAGGACGUCUUUUCCCUCUCAAAUUUGCUGAGUCUCCAUGUUUCUCUUUGCCCAUCAUCACUUGUAAUUUUACUAAUGUUAAUUAUCGAGCAUGGCAUAAGCGUCUAGGACACCCAAACUCUAAUGUACUUCAUGCUUUUCUAAAUUCUGGUUUACUUGGGAAUAAAAAAUCACCAUCUCUUAGUGUUGUUGAAUUUGAUUGCAAUUCUUGUAAGCUUGGAAAAAGUAAAAUUCUGCCAUUUCCCACUCACACACCAAAUGUUGUCCAGCCUUUUGAUUUGAUACAUAGUGAUGUGUGGGGUAUGGCGCCCGUUACAUCUCAUGUUAAUUACAAGUACUUUGUCACUUUUAUUGAUGACUAUAGUCGCUUCACAUGGAUUUAUUUUCUACAUUCUAAAGAUGAAGUGUUCUCUGUUUUCAAGCUUUUUCAAGCACAUAUUCAGACCCAAUUUUCAACUAAUAUAAAAAUUAUUCGCUCUGAUAAUGGGGGUGGGUAUAUGUCUCAUUUAUUUCAAGAAUUUUUGCACAUAAAUAGUAUAAUUUCUCAAAGAUCUUGUCCUUCAACCCCCCAACAAAAUGGGGUGGCUGAAAGAAAGAACCGUCACCUUCUCGAUGUUGUACACACUCUUCUAUUAGAGUCAUUUGUACCCUCUCGUUUUUGGUGUGAAGCUCUCUCCACUGCUGUCUAUCUCAUCAACAGAUUGCCCUCUCCUUCCUUGAACCAUGUCUCCCCUUUCUUUCGGUUAUUUGGCUAUACACCAAAUUACUCCCAUCUCCGUACCUUCGGUUGUGUGUGCUAUAUUCAUCUUCCUCCACAUGAACGCACAAAACUCACAGCCCAAGCUGUGAAAUGUGCUUUUCUAGGAUAUUCUAUGCACCAAAAAGGUUUUCUUUGCUAUGAUCCAAAUUUGCGUCGUAUACGGGUUUCUCGAAAUGUGAUUUUUUUUAAAAAUCAGUAUUUCUUUUCCGCACACCAGGACGAUUUUUCCCCUUCAUUUUCUGUUUUGCCAAAGUUUACUAACCCUUCUGCAGAUUUUGUACCUUUUAAACCUCUCAUAGUCUAUCAGCGACGCAAGAAUUCAGUACCUCUCAGGCCCCCUCCAGCAACUUUCCUAAAUGCUGAUCUAGUUUCAGCAACUGCACCUGAACCUCUCAGACACAGUACUCGAGUUCAUAGACCACCAGAUAGGUAUGGUUUCACCUAUCCAUUAUCUUUGACAGCCACUUUGUCUUUUAUUCCUAUUCCUUCAUCAUAUAAACAGGCAAUGGAGCAUGAAUGUUGGCGAAAAGCUGUUGAAUCAGAACUUCUUGCACUUGAGGAAAACCAGACUUGGGAUAUUGUUUCAUGUCCUCCAUCUGUGAAACCCCUUAGUAGUAAAUUAGUGUUUUCUAUCAAGCUACGUUCUGAUGGAUCCAUAGAUCGUUACAAGGCUCGGUUGGUGGUUCUUGGCUACAAGCAAAAAUAUGGCCUAGACUACGAUGAGACCUUCGCACCGGUAGCUAAAAUGACCACUGUUCGAACAAUAUUAGCUCUUGCUGCAUCACAAUCAUAGUCUUUAUAUCAAAUGGAUGUAAAGAACGCUUUCCUACAUGGUGAUCUCAAGGAGGAAAUUUACAUGAAACUUCCCUACGGUAUGACUACUUCCUCACCUAAUGAUGUUUGCAAACUAAAACGUUCUUUGUAUGGGUUGAAGCAGGCACAGCGAGUAUGGUUUGAGAAGUUUCGAUCAACUCUUUUCGGUUUUUCAUUCACUCAAAGUCAGUAUGACUCCUCCCUUUUUUUCCAGCAGACAUCUAAGGGCAUCGUUGUUCUCCUUGUUUAUGUGGACGACAUCGUUAUCACUGGUUCUAAUAUGGAGGCAAUUUCUAAACUUCAGAAUUUGUUGCACUCCACUUUUCACAUGAAAGACCUCGGUCAACUCACCUAUUUUUUGGGGUUAGAGGUGCAUCAUCGGACUCAAGGUAUCUUCUUGAAUCAGCACAAGUAUAUUCAGGAUUUAAUUCAAUUAGCUGGACUUAUGGACACAAAUUCUGUUGACACCCCAAUGGAACUUAAUGUGAAAUAUCGACGAGACGAAGGGGAACUACUUCAAGAUCCUACUUUAUAUCGGAAGCUGGUUGGUAGUCUUAUCUAUCUAACUAUCACCCGCCCAGACAUCUCUUAUGUUGUCCACGCCGUCAGCAAGUUCAUGCAAGCCCCUCAACAUCUCCACCUAUCCGCAGUCCGCCGCAUCAUUAGAUAUAUUCUUGGCAUUCUUAGCCGCGGUUUAUUCUUCCUUACUGGUUCUUCACCCCAACUACAAGCCUACAGUGACACAGAUUGGGCUAGCUGCCCGGACACGAGAAAAUCUACUAUGGGAUGGUGCAUGUUUCUUGGUGAUGCCCUUAUCUCUUGGAAAUGCAAAAAGCAAGACUCAGUAUCCAAAUCAUCCACCGAGGUAGAUUAUCGCGUCAUGUCUGCAGCCUGCUCCGAGAUCAUUUGGUUGCAUGGUCUCUUAACAGAGCUUGGUUUCUCACAACAUCAACCUACUCCCCUACAUGCUGACAACACUAGUGCCAUCCAAAUUGCAGCCAACUCUGUCUACCAUGAGCGCACGAAAUACAGAGGUUGACUGCCACUCUAUUCGAGAGGCCUAUGACCGCCAAGUUAUCACCCUCCCGCAUAUCUCCACUACUCUACAGAUUGCGGAUAUCUUGACCAAAUCCAUGACACGUCAGCGACAUAACUUUCUUGUUAGCAAAUUGAUGCUUGUAGAUUUACCAGCAUCAAUUUGAGGGGGGAUGUCAAAGGAAUUAGCAGAUUCUAUGGCAGAUUCUAUGUCUGUACAGCUGUAACAAUUAUCUUUAUGAUUGUAAAUCUUUUAUGUUUUCCUUAUUUAGGAUAUACUAGCUGUAGGCUAAUUUAGAUAGUUCUGUAUAUGGUAGUUUAGCUAUGUUUAGGGCUAAACAUAAGCUUGUAUUCAUAGUAUAUAAUGAGAAUUCUCCUCCAAGAGAAAAACAACUUUUACUCAAAAUUCUCUGAGUUUAUCAGCUGCAACAGUGGCUGAGGAGUUCUGGUGUUACUAUCAUCAUCUUCGGCAGUAGAUGCCGAUGAGCUCUUUGUAGCUCCAGUCAUGGUAGUUUUCACCAUUGAAAAAUAGACCUCUAAAUAUUCAUUGCUCUGAUACCAUAUAAAUAUUUAGAGUCUGAAAAUAUUAUUUUCCUUAUUCCAUUCAUUCUACAAGUUACACUUAAAUAGAAUGUAGAAAACAAACUUCUAAUAGAUAUCCCCUAAUUGUAGGAUACUUAUCUAAACUUGAAUUUAUAAAAAUGAUUAUCUAAAACUUUAUUCCGAAAAGAUUUUAAAACUAAACUAAUUAUCUAAAACUUUAUUCUGAUAAGACUUUCAAACUUACUGAAAAAUCCUAACUUCUUGACAUAAUUAAUAUGUCAAUGUGAUCUUAACUUGUUCAUAAAUAGUGACUAGCUGGCUUGCAACUUGAAUUUUAAUUAAUUGAUAAUGAUUUUUUCUUGCAGGAUGUGGCACGGUUUCCUUGGUUCUAGUCUCUCAUCAGCCGAUCUCAUUCUAUUUGCCUUCUAUAUGUUUAUUAUAGCACCAAAUGAUCUGAGAAAGUGCCUUAUCAGACAUCUAGUUUCAGAUCCAACUGGAGCAACUAUGGUAAGAACAUACCUGACUUUAUAGUUAGUUUGUAUUUUCCAUAUUUCAGCCCUUGUUUGGUAUAUUUUGGAUUGCCAUACGUGACACAUAAUGAGCUUGUAUAUAUACUCCAUGUAUACUGUAAACUGUUAGUUUGACAAAUGAAGCCCUUUUUUAUUUUUAUUUUUAUUUUUAUUUUUUUUCAAAAUGCAAAACUUGAUGCUACUGUUUACAAAGCCAGUGUUAGACGUGGAGAUGCUUUGAAUCAGAUUCUUAUAUGUUCCUACAGUAUCCAACUAUUUCUAGUCAUUGGCUAACAAUUAACGAGAUUCUGUGCAAGUGAAUUUAGUAAUGCCCGGUGUUUGGAUUUGAGUUUGUUUGGCUUUUAGUCCACGACUGCUGUGAAAUGAAAUUACCAGUUAUCAAAAGUUGCAUAGUUUGAUUGUAAUAGCAAAACCAGUUGAGUGUCUAUUUGGUAUAACUUAUCAAAUGGAUCUUAGUGCUUGUUUAAUCUCAUAAGUUCUCUUUAAUUUUUUCAUUGUUUUUUAAUUAUUUUUUUAAAAGGUUUUAUUUUUAGUUUUUUUUAAUAGAGCUUUUGAAGAUUAAAUAAGUUAUUUUGUCUUUACUAGUAAAAACUCAAAUUUUAGAUUUUUAAGAGUAGAGAUUGAAAUUUUUUUCCAAAAUGUUAAAAUAUCUAAAAUAGUUUUUACUUAUUUGACAAUUUUAUUUCAUUCUUUUCAUGACAUAAGUUUAAAAAAUUUAUCUAUUAAAAUAAUUUUAUAAUUUUUAGUAAAAUCUUUUAUUAAUAACCUAACAACUAUAAUUUUUUUAAAUAAAACCGUUAUUUAUAAAAGCUCUACUUAAAUAAACUCUAUUUGAAAAACUAUGCAAAAUGAAGUGCUAGUUAUUGAGUAGAGCUUUUGAAAAUUAAAUAAGUUAUUUUGUCUCUACUAGCAUAAUAUAUUUUAUCUAAUAGUCAUAAGCGUUUAUUUAAUCUAAUAAAUUUUUUGUAAAUUUUUUGUUGUUAUUUGAUUGUUUUUUGUGUAGAGUUUUUGAAGAUUAAAUAAUUUAUUUUAUCUCUACUAGUAAAAACUUAAAUUUUAGAUUUUUUAGAAUAGAGGUUAAAAAUUUUUAUAAAAUGUUAAAAUGUCUAAAAUAUUGGAUGGUUUAUCUUGUUGCCUACUAUAGAACUAACUUUGUAUUUAGGAUACAAUCUCAUUUUAAUAAGAUACUAAUGGAAAAGUACAAACAUUAUAUCACAAUCCAAAUACUAGGACCAGCCCGGACAGUAGAUUUAAUAAAGAAUUGAUGACUUACAACAGCACAUUAUAGGGAAGACCUCGUUACAAUACAAAGAUUCAGUUUCAGUGAAUUUUCAUUUGGAAAAUUAUCAUUGUACUACUUUUCUUUUGUUUUAUUUUCAUUUAAUUAUUAUAAAACUUUAACAUGUUCUUUAUAUCACAUUUUUUUAAAAAUUUGUAUCAAUUAAUCACUUUUUCACUAACACCCUUAAAUAAUUUAAAUAAAAUAAUAAUUUUAUCCCUAAAUAAAUUAAAAUAUCAUUUUAUUUUUAAAAAAUUUUGAAAAUAAAAAAUUAUAGUUAUAAAAAUACCCCUAAAUUUAAUAAAGAAAUAAAUCCCAAAAUCACAAUUUUUAUUUUUUAAUAAAAAAUUAUAAUUAUAAAAAAAUUACAAAAUUUUAGGAUUUAAUAGAAAUCUCCUAAAUUAAUAAAAUUUUGGGAUUAAUAAAUAAAUUCAGUUAUUUUAAUAAAAUUUUGUCAAAUUAUAAUUUUUAAUAAAAUAAAUUCAUUUUAUUUUAAAAUUUUGCAAAAUCUAAAUUUUAUAAAAAUAACUGAGCACCUCUAUUUUGAAUUUAUUUUUAUUAAAUUUAGGGGUAUUUUUAUAAUUAUAAUUUUUUUAUUUUUUAAAACUUUUAUAAGAUAAAAUAGUCUUUUAAUUUAUUUAGGGAUAAAAUUAUUAUUUUGUUUAAAUUAUUUAAUGGUGUUAAUGCAAAAGUGACUAAUUAAUACAAAUUUAAAAAGAAAGGUGGUGCAAAAAAUAUGUUAGAAUUUUAUGGUGGUUGAAUGAAUAUAAAAUAAAAAAAGGUCGUACAAUGAUAAUUUUCCUUUUCAUUUUAUUUAUUGAUAUCUCCGGUUGACUGUACAAAAAUAUAUGGAGCUAAGUACGUUUGGAAGUGCAAGAGAAUGUUUCUUUGCCUAUAUUUUUACUAGUAUUCGAUAGUGGGUGAUUUAAAACAUUAUUAUACCUUCCCUUUCAUUACGGGUUGGUUAUUUAUCAGCACAUGAUUAACUUAGGAUGUGUUUAGAAUCCCUCGGCCAAACGAGUAUUUUAUAGGGGUGUACAGAAUCCAAUUUGAUCCGCUUAAUCCGUCUGAUUCGUAAAAAUUCGAUCCGUAAAAGUCCGAUCCAUGAAUUGGUGGAUUGGAUAUGGAUUUACUUCUAUAAAUUCGUAAAUCUGUAAAAACAAUUAUUUAAUUAAAAAAUAUUAUAAAUUUAAUUAAAAAAUUAUAAAUGUGACAUUGUAUAGUUACACAAGUACCAUAACAUAUCUUAGCCAUUACCCAAUAAUAGUAUAAAAUAAAAAAUAAUUAAAUAAUCAAAUAUACAAAUAUAACUUGUAAAAAUUGUAAAACAAAAUAAAAAUUUUAAGCCAAAAGCAAAAUAACAUACGCCAAGUCACCGACAAUUUGAAGGACGUCGCCAAGUCACCAACAAAAUAAUAUACGCCUAGUCACCAAGCAAAAUAACAUUGCCAAACAAACAACUUUAGGGUGCGUGUGAUGGCGGGGAAGCUUAGAGUACCAUAACAUAUCUUAGUCAUUACCCAAUAAUAGUAUAAAAUAAAAAAUAAUUAAAUAAUUAAAUAUACAAAUAUAACUUGUAAAAAUUGUAAAACAAAAUAAAAAUUUUAAGCCGAAAGCAAAAUAACAUAUGCCAAGUCACCGACAAUUUGAAGGACGUCGCCAAGUCACCAACAAAAUAUUAUACGCCCAGUCACCAAGCAAAAUAACAUUGCCAAACAAAAAACUCUAAGCUUCCCCGUCGUCACACGAACUAGCAGCACCUAAUACCAGCUCCAUACACUCUCGAUGACAAUUUGAAGGACGUUGGCUGCGCGAUUCCAACGAGCCACUUCACAAGCACUAUUUCCAGCUGAAUAAUUGGAAUGGUGCAAACUUGUGGGGGGGGUGUCAAAAUAUGCAUUUGAGGUGUAAUGCACAUAUAUUAAAUCUUAUCGUUGCGGAGGGGUUAAAAGAGUAUCAUGAGUCAAUUGCUAAAAUUCGCAAUGUUGUAAGAUUUGGUAGAUCCUCACCUUCUAGGACACAAAAGUUUAAGGCAUAUAUUGAGCGAGGGAAAAUUUCUUCAAAUAAGUUGUUGUGUCCAGAUGUUGUAACUAGAUGGAAUUCCAUUUAUUUCAUGUUAAAGGCUGCAGAAAAAUAUCAAAAAGUAUUUGAUUGAUUAGAGCUUCAUGAUGCACAAUACAUUUGUGAGUUUUGUUUGAGCGAACCGAAAACAUGUCCUUCUUCAAUUGAUUGAAAAUAUGCUCGUUACUUCAUUAAAAUUUUGAAGGUUUUUUAUGAUGCCACUUUGACACUUUCCGGUUCUUUUUUUACGCCAAUUAUGUUUGAUUUAUACACAAUUGCAAGUUUCGAGGGAUAGUAAGGAUUUAUUUUCGAAGUUAAUGGCUGAAAAUAUGAAAAAGAAGUAUGAUAAGUAUUGGGGAAAUUACGAAUCAGUCAACUCUUAUUUGUUUGUUUCUAUAUUGCUUGAUCCUCGGCAGAAAGAGCAUUUUUUGAGAUAUUGUUUUGUAAUGCUGUUUGGUAAAUUUAAAGCUAAUGAGUUAGUUGUCAAAGUGAGGAAUAACUUACGUAGUUUGUAUGAUGAAUACAAAUUGCUUUAUUGUGAUGAUGUGGAAGUAAUGGAAGCUAUGAAUGAUGAAAAUGAGUUAGAGGUUGAUAAUGAGGUUGAUGCUAAGCUGAUGUUUGAUUCGGGUUAUAUGAAACUUUGAAUGUAUUAUUCUAGAUUUAUUUGAACAAUUAGUUUCGAGGUGUGUUGUAUUUUUAAAUUUUUAGUGUGUUAUUUUAACUUUAUUUAAAAAACUAAUUUAUUUAAAUCUUAUUUAAUUUUGAAUUUGAUUGAUAGUAAAAUUAUUUUUAUAUUAGAUUUUUUUUAUUUUAUUAGUUUGUGGAUCGGACAAAAUAAAAAAAUUUAAUCCACAAACCAAUCUGUAAAACGAUGAAUCAGAUAUGGAUUUGAUCAAAUCCGCAUCCGAUCCACAGACUUAUAGAUUGGAUUUGGAUUGAAGAUAACCAAUCCGUCGAUUGGAUUAGAUUAAAAAUUUGUAAUCUGCAAAAUCAUGGAUUGAUAUUCAAUCCGUAAAAUCCGAUCCGCGUACACCCCUAAUAUUUUACAAAGAGCCGCCAAGAACAAAAUUGAUUGUACCACAAGUUAAGUAUCUCGGUCCAUUUAACAAGAAGUUUCCCAGCUCGACCAGCAGAGCAACUACAAUGAGAUAACAUGCCAAAAUAACGAUGUUUAUUGCGAAAACCUGUAAAUCCCACCGAUCUAUGUUUGUAUUUUGUUCUCAGUCCAAUUAAUUUGAUCACAUAAAACGAAUAGAUAUAUACAUGAAUUAUAUAACCGACCUGAAACCUUGUGUAGCUUUUUGACAAAAAUUCCUUGUUAAGCAAACCUUUUUCCGAUUUCUUUAACAAUUUCUCCAUCUUCUGAAGCUAUUCUUGAAGAAUGAGGCAAAAUCAGAUUUGUAAUAGUGCAUAUCAUACAAUCCCCCCACACCCCCCCCCCCCAAAAAGAAAGAAAGCUCCAUAAAUGAAACAUCCCAUACUAAUAUUGAGUGAUUCUUCAUCUAAAUUUUCUCGUUACCUAUAUUAAUGUCUUCCUGAAAAUUUAAUGAAGUGAAGUCCCUUAACCACAAAAUCAAUUUCGCAGUGGAAGAAAAAAAUUAAACUUAAGAGAAUUUCUUAGACAUAACAAAUAAAGUUUAUCUCUACUAAUACACAACUUUUAACUAAUUAACCAACACAUGAGUUCAUCGCUAUUGAUACUCAAUAUUUGAGAAUUAACCAGCAUAGGAGUUCAUCUCCACUAAUGCACAUCAUUUUUUUUUUUUUAACAAAUAACCAAACACAAGUUUUCAAACACUACACAAGAAACUAAAGUAGAGAUUCACAUCAGACUUCUGCAGUUCAACUUUUCCUCGUUUUCGUAGGAAAAAUGAAAUUCAUAAGCGGUGAGCUAUCAUACUCAUUAAGUAGAAACAUGCAUAAUAAAUAGAAUGGUAUCUUUACUCAAUAUUUUCUAGUUUCUUAAUAUUUUACAAGGGGGAGAUAUAAUAAGGAAUCAUAUUUUUGUUGUUACAAAUUUUGUUAAAUUGGAAACUGUUUUUGAGCUUACAUAUAAGGGGAGCUUACAUGCAAGGGGAGCAUUUCUUGGAAAUUUUUAAGAACUUGUAAAGUUUGUCAUCUUCAAAAAGAGGGAGAAUGUUAACAUACAUAUAUUUAUAUUGAUUUUAAUGACAAUAAACUAGGUUAAUAUGUUGGAGAUAUUAUUGGUUAAGUUCUUAAAGUCAUAUGAUGUUUUUGGGCAAGUUUAAGAAUGAUAAUCUUGAAACGGCAAACCGAUUUUAUAAGGAAAACAUAAUAUUUCUGGUACUGGAAGAUAACGGUGAACCGUUUAUUGGAUAACAUAGAUUUCAGAGAGCAAACUCUAUGGAAAUGGCAAACCGUUUACUGAUAAUAGCUAAUCGAUAAAUUCCAAAGAGGAAUUAGUUUGCAAUCGGUGAACCGUUUAGCACAAACGCUUAGCCGAGUAUGUUUUGUAGGUAUCUGAAAUUAAAUGGCAAACCGACAACUCCAAACGGUGAUUUAAAAAAUCAAAAAUUAGCAUAACAGUAACUUGGACAAAGUCAAAACAGGGAUCCAAUAGCAGAUAACGCUAAUCUGAUUAUUCCCAGAAAGUCAACAACGGCUAGUUUUCUUCUCUAACUACAAAAGGCUUAAUCAAAUUCAAAUUAAAACUAUAUUCAACAAUUAUCAUUGAGCUUGUCAUUGUGUAUUCAAUCUCUAUUGUGCUUAAAACUUUUUAGUCUUGUUAACAUGUAUGUAUCCAUAAUAAUGAUUUUGACGAUUGUUGAGUGUUAGAAAAUGUGUAUUUAUAAAGGAGAAAAUCGUCAUUUUAUACUUCAAGUUUUACUAACACCCUUACUUUUAUAUAUUUAACCUUCUUUUGAUUUAAUUUCGUGUGUUUUAUUUUAAUUAAGUAUUUUAUGUAUUUUAGGGGCAUCAUAGUCAUUUCACAAUAAACGAGAGAUCAGACGGCAAAACGGACAUCACAUUUGAACUCAGGACAGUCGAAAACCUUAGGAGGAGCAUAAAAGAAAAAAUGACACUGUUCAUAUGUACGGGUACAAUUCACGUGUACGGUACUGUUUACGUUACUGUUCACAACACUGUUCACAUAGACGGAUCGAUGACGUGGCAUUGACCGAUGAUGUGGCAUUGACUGAUGAGGUGUCACGAUUCUGUUGGACUAAAAUUCUUAUGUACUGUUGAUGGUGACGUGGCAACAUAUCAAUGGACCAAAAAUCUCGCGUACGGUACAUGCAUCACACAGGAUUAUUAUUUGGCACGAUAAACCCUUAGCACCAUAAUGAUUAGCGUAUGGUUCAUGAGGUGUGGAUUCCCCCCUCAUGAUUUAAUUGGUAUUACUAAGGAAUAUUUAGCCCACGAUGCAUGUUGAUAUGGAUCCAGAUACCCAAGUACGUCAUCUCAAUAGAUUUCUCUUCAAUUUAUUCUCGCCAUUUCAAUUCCAAUUUUAGAAUUUAUUCUCAUCAUUUCAAUUCCAAUUUUAAGAUAAUCUAAAUCACUUUCACCACAAAUCCAACCACCCUCAUACAAAAUUAAUUCUACAUAUAAUUAAAAUCCACCUCCUCGUGGGAUCGACACUCGUCUCCAUUAAUCUAUUCUACAAUAGAUUCAUGCACUUGCGAGUUCAAUAAAAUUUGCACAACAAGUUUUUGGCGCCGUUGCCGGGGAGGUAAGUUAUUUUAAUUCGUAAAAUUAAUUUUUUGUGAAUAAUUUCUUUUAUUUAUUUUUUUGUAUUUUUUUUAUUAUUAAAAAAAAGGAAAAAAAGUGAAUCUACAUUUAAAGGUUAGUAUUUCUUUUCUUUUCUCUUCUUUAAAAUUCUGUAAUUUAUUUUUUAAUUUAUUUUUCUUUGUAAUUUUCACGUAUUUGUUUUUGUGUAUUUUUAUAGUAAGGUUGUAAUAGCGCAAUAAUGUUAGUAUCGUAAUUUCUCCCUCUUCUUUAUUUUUAUUUGUUUUGUUCCCAUCUUUAUUUUUAUUUUAUUUUCUUUGCAUGCAUGGUCAUAGGUCAUUAUUUCCUAAUCUUAAACCUAUAGACCUUGAACUUGAGAAAACACUACGCACACACAAGCAAGUUAAAAAUAAAUUUGAAAUGGAUUUACAAGCACAACAGGAGAGGCCAUUUAAGGACUACUUCAGUCCCUUAGCUAAUUUGAGCACAUCAUGCAUAAGAUACCCAAAUGUAGCUGCUAGAAGUUUUGAAUUAAAACCUAGUGUGCUAAAUUGUCUCCCCACAUUUUAUGGCCUAGAAAAUGAGGACCCAUAUAAUCAUUUGAAUGAUUUUCAUGCUAUUUGUUAAACAUUUAAAUAUGAGAAUUUUUCAGAUGAUGAUGUAAAACUUAGACUAUUCCUAUUUUCUUUAAAGGAUAGAGCUCGUUCAUGGCUUAAUACAUUGCCUGUCAAUAGCAUUACAUCAUGGGAACAAAUGGUAACAAAAUUUUUGAAUAAAUAUUUUUCAGUGCAUAAAACCAAUGCUAUUCGCAGGGAAAUAUCAGAGUUUACCCAGAGAGAUGACGAGCAGUUUUUCGAAACAUGGGAGCGAUUCAAUGGGCUACUCUUGAAGUGUCCACAUCAUAGGUACGAGAAAUGGCACCAAUGCCAAUACUUUUUGGAGGGAUUAUUGCCGAAUGUGCAAGAAUGACUAAUGGUAACAAGUGGAGGAGAGCUAAUGUCAAAAAGUGCAUCAGAGAUUUAGGAAUUCUUCCAGCGACAAGCAGAUAAUUCCCAACAACGGAGUCGAUCACUCAGGAAUACUAGAAGAAUUAAGGGAGUAAAUGAGGUUCACAUUGGCGGUUGAGUUCAGAAAUUAAAGAAGUCAAUGCGAUAAUUGAAGGUCUCUCUCGACAAAUAGCAUCAUUAUCGACUGCUAAAUCAACAGAGCCACAUGACCAUGACUUAUACUCAGGUCAAGCCAAUGCCAUAGGUGUAAUGAGAAAACCAUCAAAUUACAACCCAUACUCCAACACAUAUAAUCCUGGAUGGAAAGACCACCCCAAUUUUUCAUGGUCUCAAGGAUUCCAACAGAAUGGACCAGCAGCUCCAGCUCCACCAAUGCAACAAAUUUCUCAAAUUCCUCAAGCCUCUCAGCCCCCAUUUAGACCAUACAAUCAGAACCAGAACUACUCUCAACCCAGACCAUGGGAGGAUGCAUUCCAGAAUUUCAAGAAUGUUACUCACUCCACAAUUGAGCAACAAAAUCACACCAUUGAUGGACUACGAAAGGAGUAGAGAGCAGGCUUCAAUUCACAAGCCCAAUCAUAUUCAAGCCUUGAGAAGAUGGUAGGACAGCUUGCUUCUUCAGUUCAGACCUUGGCAAUAACUAUUGAGAAAGGUAAAUUUCCAAGUCAACCAGUGCCUAAUCCUCAAGGAGUACAUGAAGCAAGUACCAGUUCACCACAACAGCAUGGAGAGGUCAAAGCAGUCAUGACCUUACGAAAAGGAAAAGAAGUCAACAACAAAGUAGAGAUGCCGGUGACAAAAGAAAAUCAAAUUGUACCUAUGAAUGUUGAGGACUCAUCACCGGAGGAGAAAGAAGAAACCAACCCACGAGAAUACGUUCCCAAAGCUCCAUUCCCCCAGAGGUUAGCUAAAGGCAAGAAGGAAAAAUCCACAGGUGAGAUUCUUGAAAUCUUCAAACAGGUAAGUGUUAACAUCCCUUUGCUUGAUGCUAUUAAACAAGUUCCAUCUUAUGCCAAGUUUCUUAAAGACCUUUGCACUAAAAAGAGAAACAUUCAUGUUCAAAAGAAUGCAUUUUUAACAAAAAACAUUAGUUCUAUACUCCAACACAAAAUUCCUCUAAAAUGCAAAGACACAGGUUCCCCCACUAUCUCAUGUAGUAUAAGGAACCAUACAAUUGAGAAUGCUUUGUUGGAUUUAGGAGCUAAUGUAAAUUUGUUGCCUUACUCUAUUUUCGUGAAACUUGGAUUAGGAGAAUUACACCCAACUCCAGAGGUGUUACAACUUGCAGAUCGGUCCACGAAAAUACCUCGUGGUAUUGUAGAAGACGUGCUUAUCCAGAUAGACAAGUUCUAUUUUCCUGUCGAUUUCAUUGUAAUUGACACUCAACCAAUACAGGAUUCAAGGAAGCACAUCCCCAUUAUUCUAGGCCGACCUUUCUUGGCAACUGUGGAUGCUCACAUUCAAUGCAGGACUGAAAAUAUGCAGUUGUCCUUCGGCAACAUAACUAUGGAGCUGAACAUCUUCAAUAUUGCCAAACAACCUCACAAUGCAGAUGAUGGAAUUGUUGAUGUUGAUUUAAUAGAAACAAUAGUUGAUAAUACUUUUCUUUCAAACCUUAGUGAUGAUCCUUUACAAACAUGUUUAACUCACUUUGGUUUGGAUUUUGAUAUUGACAGAUCGGUCGAUGAGGUCAACGCCCUACUUGACUCACUACCAUCCAUGGACACUAAUAAAUGGAAGUCAAGAGUUGAACAACUAGCAUCAUCAGAAAAGAAACGCAUCCCAUCAUCAGAAUCACCACCGAAACUCAAGCUCAAACCAUUACCCAACACUUUGGAAUAUGCAUUUUUGGGAGAAGAAAGUACUCUACCGGUAAUCAUCUCAUCAUCCCUAAAUGACGAACAAAAAGGUAAGUUGUUGGAUGUUUUAAAAGAGCACAAAGGAGCAUUAGGCACUAAAUGGGUAUUUAAAAAUAAGAUGGAUAAGACCGGUGUGGUUGUAAGAGAUAAGGCUAUAUUAAUGGCUUAAGGUUACAACCAGGAAGAGUGAAUUGAUUUUGAUGAAACUUUUGCACCAGUAGCUAGAUUGAAAUCUAUUAGGAUGCUAUUAGCAUUUGCAUGUCAUAAAGAAUUCAUUUUAUGUCAAAUGGAUGUCAAAAGUGCAUUUCUAAAUGGUUAUAUUGUGGAGGAAAUUUAUGUGAAACAACCCCCUGGUUUUGAAAAUGAAAAAUUUCCAAAUAAUGUUUAUAAAUUGUCAAAAGUAUUGUAUGGUCUAAAACAAGCACCUAAAGCAUGGUAUGAUAGACUGAGUAAAUUUCUUUUGGAAAAUGGUUUUUCAAUGGGAAAAGCAAAUACUACACUUUUUAUUAAGCAUAAAAAUCAAAAUAUAUUUAUUGUUCAAAUUUAUGUUGAUGAUAUUAUAUUUGGAUCUACUAAUGAGUCUUUAUGCAAUGAAUUUUCAUCUUAUAUGAGAAAGGAAUUUGAGAUAAACAUGAUGGGAGAAUUGAAGUACUUUCUUGGACUUUAAAUAAAACAAGCUAAAGAAGGAAUUUUCAUCAAUCAAGGCAAAUAUCUGAGGGAUUUACUCAAGAGGUUCGUACUUGAUGAUGGAAAGAUAAAAAGUACUCCAAUGAGCUCAAUAAUUAAGCUCGACAAGGAUGAAAAAGGUAAGAAAGUCGAUGUUAAAACUUAUCGACGUAUGAUCGAAUCUUUUUAUUUAAGUGCUAGUAGGUCUAAUAUUAUGUUUGGUGUAUACUUGUGUGUAAGAUUUCAAUCAUGUCCUAAAGAAUCUCAUUUGCUUGAGGUGAAAAAGAUUUCUCAUUACUUGGGUGGAACCAUAAAUCUUGGCCUUUGGUAUCUUAGGGGAACACAUAUCAAUUUAACAUGUUAUUCGGAUGCCGAUUUUACUGGUUACAAGGUCCACCGAAAGAGUGCUACUGGAACAUAUCACUUGCUAGGUCACUCACUAGUCUCUUGGUUUAGUAAAAAGUAAAAUUCAGUUGCACUUUCAACCACCGAGGCGAAGUAUAUUGCAGUCAGUAGUUGUUGCGCACAAGCCCUUUAGAUGAAACAAAACCUUAGAGGUUAUGGCAUUUACCUUGAUAGAGUUCCUAUCUUAUGUGAUAAUACUAGGACUAUAAAUCUUUCAAAGAAUCCUAUCUAACACUCAAGAACCAAGCAUAUAGAAAUUAGACAUCACUUCUUAAAGGAUCAUGUUAAAAAAAGAGAUAUGGCAUUAGAAUUUGUUUCCACUGAAAAUCAGCUAGCAGAUAUCUUUACAAAACCUCUUGGUGAAGAUCAUUUCACUAAAAUUAGGCAUGAGCUUGGAAUGAUGAAUAUUGCACAAUAGCAUAGCUUCAUACGGUAUCAAAUCUAAUUUUUUUUCCAUGAUGUGAUUACUUGCUUGAAUUAGUUGUUUGAAUUGUGUGAAUUCAUGAAUCAUGCAUUAAAUUAGCCUUUAAGACAUUUCAUAUCAAUGAAAUGGUCUUAGAAUGGAUUAAUUGUUGGCCACAAAUCAAAAUAAAUGUACAAAAUCAUUAUUAAAAAUUAAAAAAAGAACGGAUAGUUGUUUACUUAAUAAAUGAAUAACCGUUUUACGACAAACUUAGGGCAUGCAUUUUAGAUACUUAUGGCUCACCGAUCCCUUAAUAAUGGCUCACCGAUAGCUAAAUAACAGCUCACCGCUUUCGAAGAUAUAUUCAAGAUGCAUUUUACCUAUUAUCGGUUCACUAUUGACAAGGAAACGGUCAACCGAUAUUGCAUUUUAUAUUUGUAUAUGGUUCUGGAACCUAACAGCUCGCCGAUAAAGGAAAAACGGCUCGUCAUUUUCGUGCAAUAAGACACUUUUCCUAGGUUUUGUUCCUCACUUUCCAAUUGCCUUCUCACUGUUUUCUCUUUAUUCGCGACUGUUAUUCUCUCUUUCCUUACAAUUUUUUCAUUUUCUUACCUUUUCUUGCAAAAUUGAUCCCAUAGAAUUCUUUCUAAACACUAUUAAAGCAGUUAUAACUUAUCAAAACAUAAAAUCAAGCCUCAAAAUUACAAAUCCCCAAUUUCAAACCCUAGGUUUCGCGACACGUUAUUCACCAAAUCUGACUAUAUUUUCUUCCAUUUAUGAUUAAAUUGAAUACAUAAACACCUUCCUAUACCUUUAAAUUUCCUUUUUAAUCGGUUCUUUUUGUUAUAAACCCAAGUUUUCACAAAUCACUCCCCAUGGCUAAUGAAGGGCCUUUAAAACCAAACAUACAGGUAAAACAGAGGACUGGCAGAAGUCCUACUCGUCCCCCUCCAGUUCCUGAGUUCGAGAGGAUUCACUUUCCCUCUCCUUUUCUAGUUAAGAGAUUCUAGACUCGGUUUAUGAUGAGAAAGGUAACCGAUUCUUUUUAUGUUGAUUUAGAUGAUUUUGAGGAAUUAGUUGUCUGUAGUAGUAAUGUCAAAGAAAUGUUAGAACCAUAGGAGAAUGCUUUGAGUAUAGAGGAGAAGAUGUAACUAAACUUAGUUAGAAUUUUCUACUCUAACACAGAGCUUUCAGCUACUAGGUUGGAUAGAUUAGUCACCAAUGUUAGGGGAGUACCUAUUGAGUUCAGUGUGGAGGAUUUGAAUUCUAUUCUAAGGACUAAACAUGCAGGACUAAAGCUAUAUGCCUCUCGGAAAGAACUUCAAUUUAACCGUUUUUCUCAUGUAGAUGCAGUUAGGACCUUAUGUAGACAUCAAAAUCUUUUCGAUGAUGUGUGUUCAUUGUCUUUUUUAGCUUAGUUGUUGCCCUUGCAAAUUAGAAUUCUUCAUAGCAUUCUGCAGCAUAUAGUCACUCCUAGGAAGGGACAUAGUAAUGAGGUUACUCGAUUGGAUGUUGGUUUGCUUGAUUGCCUUCUAAGAAGGUGUCCGGUUAACCUUGGGCAUAUUAUUCUUCGUCACAUGUUGACUCCUCCUGCAAUGAACAAAAGGCUACUUUCUUAUGGUAGCAUUAUCACUAAUAUCUUGAGACAUUUUAGGAUUCUCAUUACUGAGCCAGUGUAUGACGAGACCAAGAGGUUGGGAAGAGAGAUUAUUCUAAGGAUCGGUUUUCAUACACAUAAUAGAUAAUGGGUGAAGACCACUUCGUUUAAAUACAAGGAUAUGAAAUGCAAGUUAUGCAACCCAAGAGAGGGGUUGAAUUGGGAUUUUAAAAUUAUGCAAUACAAUUCGCACAACUAUUUAAUCUAUUGCCUUAAUCAAAUCAAAAACAAUAAAUUCAAUCAUGCACAAUAUUAAAAGAGUAAGGGAAGAGAAAACAAACACAAGAAUUUUUACGUGGUUCGGCUAUCCUCGCCUACGUCCACACCUCCAAGCACACCCGGCUUGAGGAUUUCACUAUCCAAGCCUCCCAAGGCUUCAAAUGUUUACAAUUGACUUCUAAGGUGUCAUGGACCUUUACAACAAGAGAUUAUCUCCCCAAUCUCUUCACCCCAAAUGUUUCUCACACUUGUACACUCACAAUUUGAUGAGAAAUAAAAAUCAAAACAAUGAAACUCUCUUUAAAAGUAGAUAACAAAUUAUAGCUCAAUGAUGAUUUAAUAAAUGAUGAUUUACGAAAUGGAAGCUCAAUAUAUGUUAUAUGAUCUUCUUUAUGCUUGUAUUGGUUCUUAGAAUGAAGUUUGAGUUGAGUUUUUAUAGUUAAAGCCCGAAAACUAGCCGUUAUAGGCAAAUUCUCGCCCCCAAGCGGUUAGCCGCUUGAUUUAUCUGGCUAGCCGCUCAAGAACAGUGAUAUUACCGUUAUUUUUGAAUUUUACUACGGUAAUAUUGUUUACUAAAAUUACACUUUGGCCUAAAACUUUCUAUAAUUAUACUACGACCUAAAACGUCAUAAAACUUUAUAAAUAGGUCCAAUUUUAAAAUUUUCUAAGAAUAGUUGUCUUUCCAAAACUUUCUGAAAUUAUGAGAUGGCCCCAAAGAUAUUAUUAUUUCAUAAAAAGAUCUUUUUCAACAUAAUACCCAUAUUUUUCAAAGUUUCUCAAAACCUUUCACUUUAGUCCAAAAUAUUCAUAAAUUAUAGUAUGGCCCAAAACAUUUCAAAUGUUUGUAAAAACGUCCAACUCCGAAAUUUAAUAAUAAUAAUUAUUAAAAUCAAAGAUUUCAAAACUUUGCAUUUAAGUCCAAAUUUCUCAAAACCACAAGGUACUUUAUCUUAUAAAAAUAAAACAUUUUAGUUUAUGAAAAGUAAUUAAUUAAAUUAAUCUCUUAAGCUUCUCAAAUGCUAAAUUAUGCAUCAAUUAAAUCAUACCGGCUUUACAAGAAUUUAUCGCACUAAUUUGUCUGUUGAGCUCUAAACUUUAUUCUUGAUUUCGUCGUUGUCCGUUGAGUGUCUUGAGCUUGAUUUCACUUGAUUCACUUGCAUAAAUAUUACCCUUAAAAAACUAGUGAAAAUGUGAAAUACAAUAUUUAUUAAAUCACUUAAUACAUAUGUUUGUUAUCAUCAAAAUUACAUUAUGUAUAGCCCUUCAGGCUAACAGGAUACACUUGAAGCUCCAAAGGAUGAUCUCAUGCUUAACGAUAUUUAUCCCACCGAUCUGCUACCUAACUUUAGACUAGGAGCUAGACCUCGAGUCCCACAUUGAGCUAUAACUGCACAAGCUGAGGAGCCAAUUGAGUAGAAGGAGCAUGAUCUGGAUAUCGAUGUGCCUCUAGCUCCUGAGGAUCCUCCAGUUUCUGAGGGCUUGGUGCAACAGUUACUUGGAAAGGUUCGGACUAUUUCUGAGCAGCAGCGGCAACUCUAAUCUCAGUUCAAGGCAUUUCAGACUUAGCAACAGUAGAUUUUGGAUGGUCAACAAUACAUUCUCUUUAUACUUAGUUUCUCUCAUGCUGGAUCCUUAUCUCAGCCCCCUCAUUAGUUUGUCUUUGUGAUUUUCACACAUACAUUACUGCACUCAUUAUGUCAUAUUUUGGAUGAUAUCAUUAUGUCAUAUGUAUUUUCUAUAAUGAUAUUUGGAUUGCAUAGUUAUUUCUAAUUUAAAUUGAUGAUUUUGAUGAUUAAUGAUUGAUGAUUAUAUGCAUCUUGAUUGUUAGGUUGAAUACUGUUAUUGGUGUCAAUGUGCAAGUGUACACAACAAGUAAUAAAGUGAUGAGUAUUCAAGAUCGUCUUCACAGGGAUUGUUGUUAUCAGAUUUGGUACAGCAAUCUUAACAGUGCAGAUUUUGUGCUAAAAUAAAAUAAAAUAAUUAAUGAAACUAAUAUACUAAUUAAAAUAAAAACGUAAUAAAUAAAAUACAACAAAGUAAAUUAUCACGUCAAACUCAAGGAUAAAAUCAAUGAGAAUAUAGAGUAGUUGAGUGAAUAAACUCUCUUAAUGGUCUUGACUAUUUUCUAAUGGUUAUCUCGAUUGCUGCAGCACUGGGCAGAAUCUUUAUGCAUCUUUAGCUGUCGCAUGUUGGAUAUCUUAUAUCUAUAUGUAACCUAACAGUGAUCAAUUGUUAUGCCAACAUAAGAUAUAGCAUUAUACACUUAGGUUCUAUUUACCCUACAAGGUGAAUCCCUAUGUCUAGUUCAUCACUAAUUUUAUAUUAAGCAUGACCAUUUUGGGAUAAGUUAAACUCAAUCCAAGAAACUCAAUCUAAAACCAAGUAUUGCUCUGAUAUGUCCACUAAGAUAGGCCAUUUUGCGGCUCUCUCUUAACUUGUAUCAUUAAAUGGGUGUCAACCGAAAUAAUGAAUAACAAUAAAUACUAUCAAAACAAACUGCUACAGCAAACAUGCAGCAACACAUAUAUUUAGUCAAUAAACCUCAAGAUUGUUUAUCACUCAACCACAAAUAAAUUUAGUUCAUGGUUUGUAAAAGAAAAAUAAAGAACAAAGUUUCAGCCAUGAAACGCAUCCCUAUAAAUAAAUAGAAAAUGAGAAAACAAGAGAAGAAUAAGAAGGAUUGAGCUCCCAAUUGAUUUCUGUAAAUUCUCCUCUUGUGCAGCCCUUAAUCUCUCUCUUGAAUCUUGUUUUUCUUUUGUUUCUUUUUGUUUUUCUCCUUGGGUGACGGACCUCUUUAAUCCUUAUGAUGUGUGCUUCAUUUAUAGUUGAAAAUUAGGGUAAACGGAAGCCUAGGGCGCGCAUAAUUCAGAUUAGGAAACUGCAGAUAGCAAUUCUGCAAGUAUCCCGCAUGAAAUUUUCUCUGUCAUUGUUCCAGGAUUGCUAUAGCAACGGCUACAACAACGGUUGCUACAGCAACAACUACAGCAACUGUACUGUUCCAAAUUUAUUUCAAUUCUUUUAUAGCUAUGUUCUUCCUCCUUUUUGCCAGCCUAUUGCAUCAGCAUUCCUUCCAUGAAUUAUAAGCUUCUGGAAACCUACAAUUAUGCACACAAUUUGAGCAUGAAUUACUUUAAAUCAAGCAAAACUUAUUAAGACUAAACUAAAAUGAAUGUUUAUGCAAAAUGUAACAAAAAUGCAAUAAAAACACAUCAUUUACUCUCUAAGUGAUCUUGAUUGAAGUCUAGAAUUGCCAUAAUAACUCUCAUUUCAUAGAGUUAGCAAAUACCAUUUUGUGUUGUCACUUGGAUUUUGAUGAAGUUGAGAUAAUUUUAUUUAUUGUUGGAGUUGAGUUAGUUUGAGAAUAUUUUGAGGUGAUUUAAACAUUUUUUUGUAUUUGAGUAUAUGCUCAUUUUUAAGGGUAGAUUCUGCAGAAAUGUUUUCUCACAUAUUGGUAAUAUCUUUCACUUAUCUCUUUAGUCCUCUUGUUUCUUUUCUUUUUUAUGAUGAAGGGGGAGAUAGAUUCUUAUAAUGUUGUAACAAUGAUUAAUUGUAUAAAUAUACUUUUGGUUAAAAAUUGAUUGGCCAUAUACUAAGGGGGAUCAUAUAUUUAGGGGGAGUAAAAUUGCAUAAUCUUUUCCUAAUAUCUUGUAAGGUUUGUCAUCAUCAAAAAAAGUGAGAAUGUUAACAGGUAUGUAUCCAUAAUAAUGAGUUUGAUGAUAACAAACAUGUUUUACAUUGAUUAUGUUUCAAAAAGUCUUUAAUCGGAUCAAAAUAUUUAAGCCAUAUCAGCAUAGACCCUCACACAAUUUGUAUCAAAAUUGAGAGAUCUGAUGGAAAUAUCAUUUUGCAUAUAAUAAAAUGACGUUAUUGAAACUACACACUAUAAUCGAAACUCUUUUUUCAAAUGCAAAUUAAAACAAAUCAAAAUUUUCAUUAGCAAAGUUACUGAAACCUAUUUAUCAAUUUCAAAUAGCAAACUAAAAAAUCCAAAGAGCAUAUGAAAGAAAUGCAUACCUCUUUGUGAUUAAAAUCAUUGUCAAUAUUUUUUUGCAACUUCAUAAAAUCGAUAUGAAUCACUUUAUAUGUGUUAUACGUAUUUAAAAAUAAGGAAUAUCAAUUUCGGGUUUAACAAAAAUAUGUUGAAUGAUAAAGAUUCAAAUUUUACUUCUUUUUUUAAUAUAUAUUAAUGUCUAUAAUUGUAAUUUGAUUUAGCGGUAUUUUUAAUCAUUCAAAAUUAUUUUCAAAAAUGGAUUUAAUGAUUAGUUUCGUAGGUUCAAAUAGCAUGACCCUCUUAGAUGUGUAUGCUAAAAAAAGGUGAGAAAUUUGGGUAGUCUGAUCGAGGCUUUCUAGCCUAAAUAAAUAAACCAAUUGACCAAGUCGAGACUGGCAUGACAUCAUAUUAUGGGAAAAGCUAAAAAAUAAGUUAUAAAUAGAGUGAUAUUAGAACCCUUUAAUUUAUUUCAACAUCCCUACUUCUAAUUUUUUUUAUGAAUUUAUUAAAAUAAAUGUGGAUGUUCAUCACUUACAUCGCUCGGUAUUUCCACUAGCAACUCUUUGCUUCGCCAUAUAUGCCACUAUCUCACAAGAAGUUAUGAUCUAUAAUGUUUCCGUAAAUUUCACGUAAUGCUUGUAUAAUUAUAUAAGGAGAACUCGUCUCUUUGUUUUGGACACACUUGGAAUAAAUAAAAUCAUUCUAUAAUACAUUGCUCUCUUAUUUAACUCUUUAUUUUGUGUUGCUUCUUUAUCUUGUGUUGUUGGCUAAUAGGUUUUCUAGCAAGUUAUCAGCUCGGGACUUUAAUCAGGAAUUAAUUCUUUUGUUUCUUAUUUCUAGCAAUUUUAAUUAUUAUAUAACUAUAUUUUUUUAUCAAUGAUAGCAUGUUAUAUAAGCUAUUAUUACCAUAUAUGUGUUUGCAUUAAAAUUGCCUUCCUAAGGCUACAUAUACAUUGCUUUUCUAGAUUUUUUUGUUUCUUGAAAUAUGCACAAUUGUUGGUAUAAAUUUGAAAAUGAAUUUUGUGACAUGAAUAGUAUGAUGUGCGAUGGUUACAGAAUUUUACUAUGAUUAUAUUACUGUGAGUGAUUAUAUGACAUAUCUAAUAUUUACUUAUUAAUAAUGAAUCAAUUAUUUACCUUUGUUUAUAGCUAUCCGAAAAUGUUAAACCUUGCAAAACUUAAAUUUGUGGCACUUGAAAUCUCUGGCGAUAAUUAUCUAUCAUGGGUCUCGGAUGCUGAAAUCCGUCUUGAUGUAAUGAAUCUUGGAGAUACUUGUCACGCCAAAUUCCCAUAAUCUUAAAUUAUGGAAAUUUUAUUUUCUUAGAAUUGUAAAUGGCAUUGUUACCCUUAUUAAUAAGGAUAGUUAAAUUCAUAAUUAGGAUUCAUGGGGCAAUUUUGGAAAAUAUUUAUUCUUUCCAAAAUUAAUAGAGUUCCCUAAGGUUCCCUAUAAAUUCACACUUUUUGCUUAUUUUUCCAGAACAGUAAAUUCAAGCGUUCUUUUUGAAUUUCUCUCAGCUGCUCAUCACUCUUUUCUCAUACCUUAGAAUUUGAAAUCUUGCUUAGGAGAGAGAGUUUUAACAAGUGGUAAGCCUUACUAUCCCUAUGCUCUACUUGAUUUCUAAUCAUUGUGCUCUAUUAAAGGUUUCAUUUCAUGAUUUUAGAAUAUUACAGGCUUCUUGGCAUGAUCUAGGAUGUGUUUAAUUUGUGUUUAGUGAGUUAGUUAUUGUUGAGUCCCUUUAUUAACCCAGGACAAAAUAAUUACACUGAACAGUUUCUGGACAGCAUGGAUAUUUCUUAAUAAAACAUAUAUUUUAAAGAUGAUUCUUGAAAAUUUCUUACUUUUAUAUGAACUAGACAUGUAAGGCUUAUUGAAUAAAUUUUGUUUCAUCAUAUUUAACUUUGCUUUCGAUUUUAUAUGAAUUUUCGAAUCUGAGAUUGAUGCACUAGAAAACUGUGAUUUCAGCAGAAUGACCAAAUUUACAAAAUUAUUUAUAUUGCCAAAUGAACUCAAAAAAUACAAAAAUUUUACUAGUACUUCCAAUUUUAAUUUCAUAAUUUUUUGAUUAAUCUAUAAUUUUAUAAAAAUCUCGGAACCCAAACUGUUUCAUUAAAGAACUAUGAGAUAGUUUCUAACUUAUCAAGAAACAAAUAGUUUUGAAAAUGCUUUUGGUAUCGGAUCCUCCUAAAAAUUUUGUGGGAGAUACCCAUGGAUGUCCAGAAUAGUUUUGUAUAAUAUUUUAUGAUUCUGAGUAUUAGAUUAAGAGUUAAUAUUCGGAGAAUUAGACUUUUACGAGUAUGAAUUAAAAAAUCAAGUUCUAAGAAUAAGUUGUUAAUAAUUUUGUCUUGUAUUUGUUUAAGGUGUUGGAGGUGUUUGAAGUUGUUAGAGGCGUUUGAAGUUGUUAGAGGCUUAGAGGUGUGUUUAAAUCAUUGCUUUUAUCACGGUAAGCAACAUCAUUCCUAAUGCAUUUGAUAUGUAAGAUUAUUUUGAUGCUAUUAUAAGUACAUGUGUUUUUAUAGUUCUUUAAAAAUUAAUUGAUUUUCAUAACAAAAUUAGUUUAUGUAAAUGUUUUCAGAACUGAAAAACUUUGUUAUUUUAUGGUUUUAACAAAUAUUAUGAAUGCCUUCAAAUGUAUGAUUUAUUUUGCAAAUUAUUAUCUUUUAUGAAAUUAUCCAUAAAAUGCGUGCAAGCUUAAAAUCAUUGUUAUGUUCUUUUAUGAAUCUGAUAUGAAUGUUUUGUGAAAUACUAGUUAUGCAACCCAAGAGGAGGGUGGAUUGGGUUUUUAAAACUUAAGCUAAGCAAUUCUCACAAUAAUUUAAUCUAAUGCCUCAAUGAAAUCAGAAACAAUGAAUGUAACAAUGCUAAAAAAUAAAAGAGUAAGGGAAGAGAAAGCAAACACAAAAAUUUUUACGUGGUUCGGCAAUUCCCGCCUACGUCAAUGCCUCCAAGCAAAACAAGCUAGAGGAUUUCACUACCCAAGCCACCUAAGCUUCAAGUUCUUACAAUUGACUUCUAAGGUGUCAAUAGACCUUUACAAAAAAAGAUUAUCCCUUAAUCUCUUAAUCCAAGUGUUUCUCACACUCAAAUUCUCACAAAUUUGAUAGAGAACUAGAGAUUACAACAAAUAACUCUCUUUUAGAGUGGAUAUACAAAUGAUAGCACAAUGGUGAUUUAAUAUAUGAUGAUUUGUGAAAUGGAACUCAAAAUAUGAUGUAUGCUCUUGUUCUUGCCUAAAAAAGUUCUUAAAAUUGAAUUGGAUUUAAGUUUAUAUAGUUUUGACAGAAAAAUUAGCCAUUAUGGAUAAAACCAGUAACCAAGCGGGUAGCCUCUUAAUUAGUCGGAUUGCCGCUUAGCACAGUACAAGUUACCGUUGCAAUUUGAAUUUUGCUAUAGUGAUGCUACAAUAACACUAUUUUCUAAAAUUAUAUUAUUUCCCAAGACUAUAUAUAAUUUGACUAUGGCCCAAAACGUCAUAAAACUUUGCGAACAUAUCCAAUUUCAGAAUUUCUAAAUAAUGCUCGUUAUCCCACAAAAUAUUCUGAAAUUGUGCUAUGGUUCAAAACUUUAUAAUAUUUUUUUAAAAAAAGAGGUUCUUUUUAGAAAUUUAACAUAAUGCUUAUUGAUUUCAAAGUUCUCAAAACUUUUUCAAUUUAAUCUAAAAUUUCAAAAACACUCAAAUCCACAAAAUGCUUUAUCUUAUAAAUAUAAAACCUUUUAGUUUAUGAAAAUUAAUAAUUUAUUAAACAAAAUCUUUAGCUUCUCAAAUACUAAACCAUGCAUAUAUUAAAUCAUACUAGCUUUAGAAGAAUUUGUCACUAUAAUGACUCUGUUAAACUAAACUUUGUUCUUAGUCAAGCUGUUGUCCAUUGAGUGUCUUGAGCUCAAUUUCACUUUAUUCACUUGCAUAAAAAUUUUCCUUCAAGAACUAGUGAAAAUGUGAAAUACAAUAUUUAUCAUAUCACUUAAGACACAUGUUUAUUAUCAUCAAAAUUACAAUGUGUGUAGCCCUUUAGGCUAACAUUUUGUUCACUUAUUUGAUCAAGAUUAUUUAUGAAAAUUUGUGCAGGGGCCACCUCUUAAAGCUAUAUGGGACCACUUCUUGAGGACCAGAGUGUCACGAAAUGCCACAUACAGUACGAAAUGCCACGUGCAAGUCGUUAUUUAUGAAAAAUUGAAUUGAAAUAUUUUGGCUUAUUGUUCGUAGUUAUUUAGAUUAUGAUUCUAAUCGUAUUGAAUGAUACAUAUUUGUACUAGACCAGUAAUGAGUUUUUGUUCUGAAUGUGUACACAAUAUUCUAAUUAUAAUUCUAUUUUUGGCUGGGCCACUAGGAGUGUAGAUGACAUUAUGUGAAAUGAGUUAAACUUCUGUUUUAUAUAUAUAUGCUAUACGAUUUACUCCCUUGAUUAAUUAUGUUUUUGAUAUUCUGAAAUACUAUGAAUUUAUGUCAUCUUAUUGUAAUAUGUCGUUUUACAAAAUUUAUGAUUUAUAACGUAUGUUUUGACAAAAAGAAGGCUUGUAAUAUUUUUGGUACCCGAUAAGUCUAGUGUGUUGGAAAUGAUUUUACUUACUGAGUUGAUGGCUCACCCAUCGUCAUUACUUUUUGUAGAUUGAGUAGCUUCUUGAGAGGUGUACUUAUCUUUAGAGCAAGAGAUUUAUUUACUUUUGGCUACUUGAAUAAGAAAUGAUGAAUUCUUGUUUCGUUUAAGUUUGUUUAUCUUAUGAACAUGAAAUUAGAGAGUUUUGAGACCUAUGUUAUAUUUAUGUCUUAUUCGACUUGUGAAAUUAUUGAAUUGGUUAAUAAAAUUUGAGGUAUUUCAGUUCAAGGUUUCUUGUGUAAAUAUUAUAAUUUGUGAGUAAAUUAAUUUACCACGUGCUCCACACAUGUUUGAUUUGGGUACUACAAUACUAUUAAGGAAAAUAAUAAUGCAUUAACACAACGCCGUGCCAAGGCGAUGAUUUUUCUUCGCCAUUAUCUUCAUGAACAAUUGAAAAGUGGGUCUCUGUCAGUCAAAGAACCAUCUAUCCUUUGGGAUUGUCUUAAUGAAAGAUAUAAUCACAAAAAAAAAACUAUUAUACUUCCAAUAGCUCAUUAUAAUUGUAUGAUUACAAGAUUUUAAAUCUCUCAAUCAAUAUAAUUCUGCAUUAUUCAAAAUUGUUUCUCAAUUAAAAUUGUGUGGUGUGGAAAUUAUUGAUAUAUAUUUGGUGGAAAAGACAUUAUCUACUUUUCAUCCUUCAAAUUUGCUCCUGCAGCAGCAACAUUGAGAGUUGAAAUUUAGAAAGUAUUCUGAAUUAGUCUCAUGUCUUUUAGUGGCUAAAAAAAUAAUGAACUUUUAUUGAAAAACCAUCAGUCUCAUUUGAUUGGAUAUGUACCUCUCCCUAAAGUGAAUGGUAGUUCAACCAAUAAUUGUAGUGCUAAUCAAGGCCAUGGUGGUUAUAGCAAGAAAUAUCGAUCAAACCACUCGAAGUGGAAUAACAGUAAUGAGAAGUAAGAAAAGAUCCAUGAAAGAAAUCUCCCAAGGAUCAUGAAAAUGUUUGCUUCAGAUGUGAUACAAAAGAACACCGAUCUCAUAUUACACCAAAACAUUUAGUUGACCUUUAGCAAGCAUCCAAAAAGGCAAAAGGAAAAGAAAAUGGGACAAAUUUCAUUGAUCAUGAAAGUCCAAUUGAUAUAACUCAUUUGGAUGUUUUAGAUUUUAUUAAAGAUCCAAAUGGUAAAAUUGAUCAUAUCAUUUGUGACGGACAUGUGAAGACCGAAUAAAAGUGCUAUACUUUGAGUGUGCUUUUAAAGUGUAGUGUGUUUCAAAUUUAAAAAAUUAUUGGCGUGUUUUAAGGUUUGGUGUGUUUAAAUUUAAGUUGAAAGAGUGUUUAUUAUUUUCAGUGUUUUCUGAGAGUUUGGUGUGUAAUUUUUCAAUUCCCCUAAUAAAAUAGUUUCUAUAAUGUUUUCUUCAUAUUAUUUAAAUAUUCUUUAUACUCAAUUGAUUUAUUUUAUAUCCACGUGUGAAGAUAAACAAUGAAUUUAAACAAUCAAUUGGUGAAUAAUAAAGAUGGAUGUUUGGUAGAUAGUGCGACAACGCACAUAAUUCUACAAAAUAAAAAAAAUACUUUCUUAAUUUAAAAUUAGAUAAAACUAAUUUUAAUACAAUAUUUGGUUCUGUUAAUCUAAUUAAAGGUAAUAUUAUGUUACCAAAUGGUACAAAAUUACAAAUAAAUGAUGCUUUAGACUCCAACAGAUCCAACAGAAAUCUAUUUAGUUUCAAGGAUAUUUGUCAAAAUAGAUACCACAUUGAAAUAUCUACUGAACAUAAUUCUAAAUUUCUUUCUAUUACUUCAACUAUUUCAUGCCAAAAGCAUGUAUUGGAAAAAUUACCUUCUCUUUCUUCUGGGUUAUAUCAUAUAAAUAUAAGAACAAUAAAAAUAAACUUUAUAGUGGACUUGAAGUUCUUUGAUCCAAAGAUUUUUAAACUUUAGCGUGAUCGACUUAGGUAUCCUGGAUCAAUCAUGAUUUGUAGUAUUAUACAAAAUUCGCAUGCACAUAAUUUAAAGAACCAAAAGAUUCUUUUACCAAUUGAAAGUACAUGUGCUGCUUGUUUUCAAGAGAAAUAAAUAAUUCGACUAUCUCCAAUGAAAGUAAGUCUUGAAUCUCCUAAAUUUCUAGAAUGAAUCAAAGGGGAUAUAUGUGGCCCUAUACAUCAAGUUGUGGACCGUUCUGUUAUUUCAUGGUCUUAAUAGAUGCAUCAACUAGAUGGUCACAUGUCUUUUUACUUUCAAAUCGCGAUUCUGCAUUUGCUAGAUUUCUUGCUCAAAUAAUUAGAUUAAGAGCACAAUUUACUAAUUUUCCUAUUAAAAAAAUUAGAUUUGAUAAUUUUGGUAAUUUACAUCUAAAUUUUUUAAUUAUUAUUGCAUGUCUAUUGGAGUUUAUGUUGAACAUUCUAUUGUACACACUCAUACACAAAAUGGUUUAGCUAAAUCUUUAAUUCAACAUUUACAAUUAAUUGCACGACCAAUAAUUCUUAGAUUAAAUUUGCCUUUUUCAUGUUGAGGGCAUGCAGUACCACAUGUUGCAAUAUUAAUUCGCAUUCGCCCAAGUUCUUAUCAGACACAUUCAUCUUGACAACUUGUUUUUGGCCAACAACCAAAUAUUUCUCAUUUGAAAAUUUUGGAUAUGCUAUUUAAUGCCCCAAUUGCUUUCCCACAAAGAAAUAAAAUGAGUUUGCAACGAAGACUUGGAAUUUAUGUUGGUUUUGAUUAUUCAUCAAUAAUUAGACAUCUUGAACCUUUAACUGGAGACCUUUUUACAGCAAGAUUUGUAGAUUGCCAUUUUGAUAAACAAGUUUUCCCAUCGUUAGGGGAGAAAAGACAAAAAUAAAUUAUCGAUGUGAAAUUACAUUGUAUACAUUGUUAUUAUCUUAUCUUGAUCCUUGUACAAAUCAAUGAGAACUUGAAGUUCAAAGUAUCAUUCAUUUAUAAAAUAUUACAAAUCAAAUUGUUGAGGCAUUUACUGAAUCAAGAAAAAUAAUAGAAUCACAUAUUCUAGUUGAAAAUGUCCUAACACUUGUUAAGAUUCAUGAAGGGCAACACGACCAAACUAAUGAAAGUAAAGCACAUCUGAAAUGUGGAAGACCAAUUAGCUCAAAAGAAAAAAUUCCCCGAAAGAGAAAAAUAAAAACAAACUGAAAAUAGCACUCCAGAAGAGUCAUUGCCUACUAAUCAAAUAAUAGAGAUUGAUCAAUCAAAUAAUAUUCAUCCAAUUGACCCGGAAGAAAAACAUUUGCCAAUAACUAAAGAACUAUCAGUUUUUUCUAAAGAAACACAAAAUAAUGAAAUUACUAUUGGCUUUAUUAGUAUAGAAAAAUCAUGGGAUCGAAAUAAAAUAAUUAUUGAUUAUAUGUUUUCAUUUAUUGUUGCUCUUAAUAUCAUAACUGGUGAUGAAGAUCCUGAUCCAAAAACUAUUGAAGAGUAUCGACAUAGAAAUGAUUAGCCGAAGUGGAAAAAUGUUGUUCAAGUAUAGUCAUAUUCACUUGCAAAACGUAUAUUUGGACCAGUAGUCCUAACACCUGAAGAUGCCAAACCUAUUGGAUAUUAGCGGCUAUUAGUUAAAAAAUGAAAUGAGAAAAAUGAGAUUGUGAGAUAUAUAACAAGAUUAUUAGCACAAGUUUUUUCUCAAAGACUUGGCAUUGAUUAUGAGGAGACAUAUUCUUCGGUUAUGGAUCCAAUCAUACUUCAAUUUAUGGUUAGUCUCACAAUCACUAAAGGGAGUGAUAUACGAAUUAUGGACGUUAUGACUAUCUAUCUAUACGGUUCUAUCGACACAUAUAUUUAUAUGAAAUUCCUUGAAGCAUUAAAAAUGUUGAAAGCAAAUAAAUUUAAGUCUCGUAGUUUAUAUUUUUUGAAACUACAACGAUCUUUAUAUGGAUUAAAAUAGUCUGGGCUUAUAUGGAACAGUCGUCUAAGCAACUAUUUAUUGAAAGACAAAUAUGUAAACAAUUCAAUUUUUCAUGUUUUUAUUAAAAAUUUUGAAAUUGGAUUUGCAAUAGUUGCAAUAUGUGUUGAUGAUUUGAAUCUCAUUGGAACUCGUCAAGAGCUUUCAAAAAUACCUUCUUGUUUGAAAAAUGAGUUAUAAAUAAAAGAUCUUGUAAAGACAAAACUUAGUCUUGGUUUAUCGCUUGAGUAUUUGCCAAGUGGAAUACUCUUACAUCAAUCAACAUAUACUAAACAAGUUUUGAAGUGUUUUUAUAUGGAUGAAGCCCAUUUAUUAAGUACUCCAAGGUGGAAUGAUCACUUGAUGUGGAACAAUGUCCAUUUUGUCCUAAAAAAGAUAGUGAAUCAAUUUUUCAUCUUAAAGUACGAUAUUUAAAUUCAAUUAGUGCACUCAUGUAUCUUGUAAAUUGUACUCGACCUGAUAUUUUUUUUCAGUUAAUUUAUUAACAAGAUAUAGUUUUGCACCAACUCGUAGGCAUUGGAAUAACGUAAGCCAUAUAUUUUGCUAUCUUCAUGGAAUGAUUGACAUGGGUUUAUUCAUCCAUAAGCACGUGCCUAUACAACACGGCACGACACGAGCACAUUUAGGUAGGGCAUGCGGCACGACACAGUAUGCAUGUGGGCUGGGCCGGGCUUAGAAUUUUAGGCACAAGGGCCUUAAAAGCACGACACAAUUAGAGAUGGGCUAAGCACGGUGCAGUGAAAAAGCCCGUAAUAAGCACAUUUUAUUUGUUAAUGAAAGUAAAGUUAAAAUUUUAUGAUUUUACAAAUAAUUUGAAAUUAAAUUUUUUAAAUUCAUUUAAUUCUUAAUUUUAAAAAAUACUAUAAUUGAUUUAUAUUUAUAAUUUAUUAAAUAAAUAAUUGAUAUCAUGAUUUCAAUAAAUAAAAUUAUAAAUAUCAUGAUUUUAUAAAUAUACAUUAAUAUUAUUGUGAACUAUGAUCUAUAACUUUAUGUAAGUCCAAGUUACAAUUAAGCUAACCCUUAAGAAAAAUCUAUUAUUAUUAUCAUUGUUAAAUGGGAAAUUAUCUUCAUAUACUCUAUAUUUGCUCUGUUAUCAAAAAUACUACAACACUUUCAGGGUGUAUCAAUCGUCCACCCUUAGUUGACAAAAUGUAUCAGCCGACCACCAAACCGUUAGUUGCCGUUUGAAAGUUAAUGGAGUUACAGUGAAUUGACGAUUUUACCCUUAAAAAUUAUCACUUGUAUACCCUUAAAUUAUCUUUUUAUCACUUGUAUACCCUUAAAUUAUCACUUGUAUCAUAUGAAAAGACCAAAUUACCCUUCUGACGUCAUCAUACUUAAACGGCAACUAAUGGUUUGGUGGUCAGCUGAUACAUUUUGUCAACUUAGGGUGGAUGAUUGAUACACCCUCAAACUGUUGUAGUAUUUUUGAUAAUGGAGUAAACUAAGGGUAUACAAAUGAUAAUUUCCCUUGUUAAAUAUUUAAAAAUUACUAUAAGGUCAAACUUAGUAAUUAAUAUUAUAUUCUCUUACUAUUAUUAGUUUAUUAUUAUUGAAUAUGGACUUGAGUUUUAAAUUUUUUAUUCUAUUAAAUUUAAAUAAAGGCAUAGACCUAAAAAAAGUACAUAAACUUGAAAAAAGCACAACAAUAACUUGGUAUGCGCUCCUAAAAAAUUAAAAAAAAAAAGAGAAAAAGCUUAGUGGCUUUUUUUCUUAGGCACGGCAUGUGUGGGCACAGUACAUGUGCCGAGUCGGGCCUAAGUAAAAGAAGUUAGGCACGGUACGGCAUGGCCGAAACACAUAGUAGGCACCGUACGGUACGGGCACGAGCACGCAUGGGCCUUGCUUUUGUGCCAGCCCGACCCAUUAGCCAUCUCUACCCACAAUAUUAUAUGAGGAUAAUGCAGUCUGCAUUGUCCAAAUUAAAUGUGGUUAUAUAAAAGGUGAGAGGACCAAGGAUAUAUCACCAAAGUUCUAUUAUACACUUGAGCUUCAAAAGAAUGGUGAUAUAUAUAUUCAACAAAUGCUCAAGUGAUAAUCUUGCAGAUUUAUUUACAAAAUCCCCACCAACUACAGCACUUUAAAAAAUUGGUACAUAAAAUUGGGAUGUGUCAACUCAAAGAUUUUUGUCCAAAUCUUGAAGUAUCUACGUCAAUAAGGGGGAGUAUACUUGUUGGGGAAAAUAAUUUAUUUUGAAGAAAAUUUAUAUGUUGUGUUGUACUUCUUUCCUAACUAGGUUUUUAUCCUAUAGGAUUUUUCCUAAUAAGGUUUUAAUGAGGCAACUUCUCAUCUUCAAAAUAAUUUAAUGUACUUUGUUUCUUUUACUAAUAUUGUUUCCCAUAAGGAUUUUUCUUAGUAAAGAUUUUAAUGAGGCAUUUUUCUUUUGUAAUGAACAUCCGAGAGCGAGUGUUAUGAAUUUAUUAAAAUAAAUGUGGAUGUUCAUAACUUACAUCGCUUAGUCUCCCCACUAGUAACUAAUCUUUACUUCUCUAUAACUCCUACUAUCUCACAAGAAGUUAUUAUCUAUAAUGUUUCCUUUAAUUUCAUGCAAUGCUUGUGUAACUAUAAAAGGAGAACUCAUCUCUUUGUUUUGGACAUACUUGGAAUGAAUGAAAUCAUUAUAUAAUGUAUUGCUCCCUCAUUUUACUCUUUAUUUUGUGCUGCUUUUUUAUUUUGUGUUGCUAGUUAAUAUGUUUUCUAAUAAUUUUUAAAUUAUCUCUAUUUAAUUAUUUUUUUUAAAGUACCAUUGUUAAAAAAAAAUUAUUAUGUCAACGGCUCCAAUAUCUAGCUGGCAAAAAGCCUCAACCACCAAAAUGUCCACUCACACCACUUGUAUGAGAAAACAUGUGUAUCAUUCACUAGAACUAUAUGAGCAUUGACAACACCAUUGGGGUUAUGUGAAGCAUAGGCGUAGGCACUGACACUGCGCCAAGAGGGAGUCCAACAUUGGACUUUUGGUCAUUUAAGGUGCAAUAAAACAUAUAUAAUAGAGAAAGAGGGAAAAGGAGGCCAACAUCACACAAGAGAAAGUGAGCAAGUGGAAGAGAAAAAGUUGUUGACUGAACAUUGAAGAGUUGUUGUUCUUCUAAAGUUCACUAAAAGAUCAAAACUUCUACAUGGCCUCGAGGUGUAGCGGCUUAUAUUUUUCAUCUAAGCUCUGCACGUUAUGAUAUAUUAUUUAGUAAAGUUAAAGUUUUCUGAAUUACCAAAUUUUGUUAUGCUUGUAACAUAGCCCCAUUAGUCCUCCUGAAAAUUUGUUCUGCUAAUCUUUAUAUAUUUGUAGCUCUAACACUAUUUUCUUUGUUUAUUUGGGUAAUUUUUUCUUGUUUUCAAUCUCUUUUGAUUUUUUCUAUGCUUAGAUUGAGAAGAAUAUAAUUUAUUCAUAUUGUUAUUUGACAGAUAAUAGGUUUUGAAAAUAAGGAUACUUUUGCAAAUAAAUAGAGAUAAUUUAAAACUAGGCUGUUAAGAUAAAGGAUAGGGUUAUAUAAAUCCACUAAAUUCCUCCCUACACACAUUUUAAAAAAUAAUUCUUUAUUAAAAAUUUAAAAUUUCAAAUCUCAAAAUUAUCAUUCACUAUUCUUUUUCUCUCUCUACCUUAUAAUUGCUUUCUCUAUUAUUAUAUUCUAAAACAAAAAACUCAAUCUCACUCUCUUUUAAAUUCACUUUUUUGGUCCUUUUUAGUAUAUCAUGAUCUCUAUUUCAUGCUUUUAAUGUAUAAGAAUUAUUUUUGUUUUCAUUAGCUUUUAUUUUUGGUAAAAAUUAAUUUCUUAAUAUUCAUUAACUUUCACAAUUAAUAUAAAUUUAUUGAUGUUCAAUUUUUAAAUAGUGGGUUUUGUUCCUCUUAAUUAGUGUUAUUUGUAGCUAAAAUAAUAUAUCUGAACAAAUCGAUGAGUGUGAUAUUGAGAAGAGAAAGAAAAGAAAGUGUUGGAAGAGAAAGAAAAGAACGGGUUAAUUAAGUAAUUUUCAAAAAUUAUUUAAAUAGUAAAAUUCUUAAUUAGAAAAAGGGCAUAGAAAGCAAAGUGGUGGGUUUAAAUAGUCUCGUCUAAGAUAAAUUAAGGGUUUAAAUUAGGUGUUUGAGUUCCUUAUUUAUAUAUGCCACCAAGUUACCAUAUUUUUAAAAAUAUACCCCCUUUGUUAUUUAUUCAUUUGUAUAACAAAUCGACUUCAGUCAAUACUAGAAUACUCUUACUUGCAAAAAAAAAAGUAAAUAAUCUUAGCCCUAAACGCCAUUUUCUUCUUUUUUUUAAUCGCCCGAACACACUUAACAUAAUCAAAACACUGAAAAUCAUCUUGUUUUCAUCAUUUAGGAACAUACAUUGGAUGAAUGUAGGUCCGGUAAAAGUAAUUGUAUGCUCAAACUUAAACUUUGCGGUUUAUACGACUCUUUUGAAGUGACUAAAUUACUAGAGAGUUGUAUUUACUAAAAUUUAUGGUUCAUGUGUACUAUUUUUGUUUAUUUAAGGUAAUGUAAUAAUAAUGAGGUUAUUCUAUAGAAAUAUUAAGCUAUUAUUGUGAAAAAGUCAAGAUUUGCAGCUAUAUUUUGUGAAAAAUAAAAUUGUUGUUCAUAAAAAAUUAAACGAUUGUAUGACUCCAGGUCAGGUAAGUCUAGUAGCUAUGUAAAUACUUGAGAUGCAGGUAAGGGUCGAGUUAUUAAUUGAUUGAGUUAUUAAGUAAUUAGGUUGGUAAUUAAGCAGAAAUGUGAUUUUAUACCUAUUAAUAUAGUACUUAUUUCUUGGUUCUAAAAAUAUGGACUUCAUUUACGUAGCUAUGGGAUUCUAGCGUGACUGAGUCAAGACAAAUGGUGAUUAUAAAAUAAUUUCAUUUCACCUUAUGUUAGGGAAUCAAGGUGCAUUGUUCAAUCACUCAUGAACAAUACUCAUUGGGUUGGACCUGUAUGAAUAUGAUGUUACCAUGAAGUUUAAAUAUAUUGUUCUAUAACAUAUGGAUUGUUACCAAUAGCUUCAGAUGUAGAUGUUACUUUCUUUUUGGGUAAAAACUGUAAUUUUAAAAACUCGAAUGGCUCUUUGCAUGACAUAUUCACCUGAGUUUAAUCCAUCAAUACAAAUGUCUGAUAUAGGGAUAGAUGACCUGCGAAUAGAGACUAUACAUGAUGGAUAAAUGAAUGAUAUACCAAUAGAGAAUAUAGAUGAUAGACAAGUACAUGUAUAUGUACCUAUAGCAAGUAGAUUUCAAGAUGUUGAAGAUAACUCGAUAGAUGAAUAUUUCCCCAACAUGUAUUCUAAUUUUGAGACUCGUUCCUUAGUAGAUGAUUUAAAAGGACCGGUAGUAGAACAAUUAGCCCAUACCAAAGAUUACUUACCUAGAAUAAAUUCCAUAACAAGGGGUAAUAAUUGCUAAAAGCUUCAAUGUUAUUGAGAAAAAGUACAUGCUUAGCCUUGAAAAGAGUCUUGUGAUCCUUCCCUAACAAAAAAAAAACAUUCCAAAAAAUAUCGUCUGGCUAAUUUCACCCUUUUCAAGUCAUUUAUUGAUGAAGCUUCUUGAAAAAAAAUUUCAAAUUUUUUUUUUUUUUGCAUCCCUCUAUUUACCAUUAAGAAACUCCCUAAAAAUUGUCAUUACAAUCUAUCUUAUGUGUACGACGUCAUCAUAUUAUUUAUAAUUAAAAAUAGUUACUAUAUCGAAUUCUUUCUAUGAAUCUAACCACAUCGCAUUCUUUGUGUAUCGGGUUUGCUUAAGUAACAGUUGAUGAAGGAUUUGAGUAGAAAAUUGAAUUUCUUGAAGAUCUAGUAAGUGACCGAAACAUGAUUUCUUAAAUAUAUUUUCUACCCCUUUUGCAAUGACGCAAGUGUUCUUUAAUUUUAUCCACUAAUCUAAAAUUCGUAAGCAAGAUAUCUUUACAGAGAAAUAAUAGUCACUUUCUGCUAUCUUAUACUGAACAGUCACUGGUGCCAACCUUUUCAAAUCAAUAAAAAUUAAUGAUCUUUAAGUUUGUAAACUGCAUACUAUCAAAAAUGAGGAACGAAACAUAAUUCGGUUAAAAUGCCCGACUAUAUUACCCAACAUUAAAAUUUUGUAUACCAGGCCUCAUUAUGUAAUCACCCGACCUAAAAUUUUAAGUACCAAAUCUAAUCAAUAACUUAUUACCCAAUCUACAAAUAUACAACGAUGUACAAUAUGUUACCUAAAUACUCAAUUACUUGACCUAAUAUCUAUACAGCCGACCCCUUCUUUAGUAGGCAAACUUAUUGUGGUCAAGUAGUUAUAUAAGUUCAAUAGGAAACCCUAACUCAACCUCACCAUUGUCACCUUAAUUUUUUUUUUUAUUCUCAUAACUACUAAUAAACCAAUCAACCAAAGACCAACUCAAUCCAAAUUCAUCCAUUAGCCAAAAUAUAUAAAGAAAUUAUUAAUUUUUUUAAUAAAUAACUAAAAACUAUUCUUGAUUUAUUCAUUGGGUAGUGAUGAAAGUGAAAGAGCAAGUGGAAUGAAUUAUAUGAAUUGAGUUUUUUUUCUAUUUUUUGUAUUAUGAAUCAUGUGUAGAUUAGGAGUGAAAAUGGGAGGAAAUGAUGAAUUUUUAAGAUUACGAAUUACCAACUAUUUUGAGUUACAAGUAGAGCAUUAGUAAAUGAGCAUGCAUGUAGAGAGUACUGAAAUAAGUGGGGUAAGGUUUGAGCAAUUGAGAGUGAAUGGGGAGAGUGAUGAAGAUGGUAUGGUAAUUAAGAGAUGAUGAUAUAGAUGAUAUGCAUGAGUGCUGAGAAUGAAAAAAAAUAAGGGUAUUUUUUAACUUUCCUUGAAUUAUUAUCAUACUGUGUGGAAAACUGGAAAUAUUGGUUAUGGAUUCAUAUGUGGAAAUAGGAGAACUUUUAUGCCAUGAAUAAUUUUUUAUACCUCCCCGGAGUUUGAUUUUGCUACAUUUGGAGACAUUAUAUUCAGAUAUUGAACUAUCAUUUCAUGGACAUGCAUAACUGUUGGGCAGCCAUUUGGCAGUUAAGGGCAAUUACAUAGUAGCAUAAAUUAAUAAUUUUUAAAUUUUAAAAAAUUGAUGAUAGUGACUGAUUGAACAAAUCACCACACAUUCAGACUUCACAAUGAUACAAAGCUUUGAACCUGGUGAAAACUAAGGUUUCAUUUUGUCAAUUAGCUUUAGUUCAAAGCAUAUAAUACCAACUCAUUUUAGCUUAUAUGACUUUGUGAUGCAGUAAGCAAUAUUGUUUUAGAUCAAACAUGUUACGAACUGAAUUCCGACGAUGGCCAACGUCUGACCAGUUAGUGAUUGAAAAACAUGCUAGAUGUGUAUUUCAGUCGUAUCUUAAAACUCAAUUUUGGUUUAAUUUUUUUGUUGUAAUUUGUUUGAAACGCUAUUAGUUUAGUUACUUGAGUUUUUGUUUCAAUUAAUUGAGAAGAAUUUUGGGGUUUACAAAAAUUGAAGCAGUGAUUGAAAUAAAUUGAUUUUUGAGUUGAUAACCACUAGAAAUUAUUGUGUGAAACAAGAAAACGAAUUGAUUUUUAAGGAGAUAUGAAUGCGGAUAUGUGACUACAUGCUAAAAUUUACUUGACAUGCUCUUCACAUUGGAAAAAAUCCAAAAUUGUUGCUAAAAAUGCAAACUUGUUGCUAAAAAUGGAAACUUCUUGUUAACAAUGCAAACUUCUUGUUGAGAAUGCAAAUUUAUUGCGGAGAAUUCAGACUGUGUACUAAAAAAAGCUUAGAAAAAAUAGUUUUUUUUUUUGUAAUAGUUUGUACUUCAUGCUAAUAAAAUGAUGCUUGCCUAUUGUUUUUUAAGUUGACCAUAAGAUAUAUGACAAACAUUAGUUAAAGAGUUUAACGACAGUGAGUUUAUUGGGGAACAAGUACAGUGAGUGAAGAAUGUUCAUAUUAUUUAUUGAGUUGAGAAUUUGGAAGAUUGUUUAGUACAUUUUAUCCAUGUAUGUUAGUGUCCUUUUUUUUGUUUCAAUAGUUCUAAAUUUGCAAUGUUAGAGUUCAUGUAUUCUGUGGAUUUUUUUUUUUGUUAUAUUUAAAAUUGUUGAUGUAGUACAUUGCAUUUAUUAAGAUGUUAGGCAAAUUAUUUUUUCAUUGUUUAUGCAGCUUUGUAUACUUUAACAUUGAGGUAGUGACAGAUAGUAAAGUCUUUAUGGUUGGUCUAGCUAUUUCUAAGCAAUAUAGCUUGCACAAAAUGUGGAUUAAUAUUAGGGAUACUUGUUGAGGUCAUCCUAUUAUAACCCAAAUGGGAUAGGUUCAAGUGAUGUUUCCAUGGUAGACUAAGCAGCAAAUAAUACUGACUGAUAAAGAUUUGCUUGAGGCAUUUAUACAGCUCAAAGUAAAGAGGUACAGUUGGGCUAGAUUUAUAGUGAUUCCUGAUAAAGAUUUUGUAUCAUCUUUCUCCUCAAUAGUCCAACCAAGGAGCAAGUCUAUUGAUGUUGAUCAAUAUCACGCAUGAAGACCAAUUCCCACACGACUUAGAUCAAGACACAAAGUUGCAAAGGCUGUAGAUACUCUCUUUCUUCAUGAUAAGGAUCCAAGUGAAGUAACACAAAAGUGGUCCCGGAUUUGAAUAAAGAUGAAACUCAACAAAUAAGCACACACAACUGCUGAAUAAUGAUGAGGAAGUGGAAGUGAAGAGUUGUAUAAUAGUUCUAAGGAAUUUGCAAAUGAAUUUGAUGAAUUUAAAAAUGAUUGUGAGGUUGAUCCAUACGGUCCUAAUCCAAUUGGCUCUAAUCCAGAUGGUUUGAUCCAAAUUUCUCUGUUCUAAAUAAUGAUUUUAAAGUUAGAUGUGACAAUGGUGAUGAUCUUAAUGAUUAUGAAUAUGGGGAUGACAGGGAAGAUAAGAUGGCUGGUGAUGUUGUCAAAAACUAAGCUUGCAUUAAAUAUGAAGAAAAUCCAUGUGGUUUUGAGAUCCGUUAUGUUGGUGAUGAAUUAAUGUUGAGGCCUAGAUAGUUAUUGUUCAUAGUGUAAAAGUUCAGAAAGGUUUUUAAGGUGUUUUGAUGAGAUUAAGGAUAAAACUAUCACAAGCACGUGGGAAGAGGCAUAUUCAAAUCCUAUUCAAGUUUCUGUCGAACUCGUUUCAAGAGCUCGAGCAAAGAAAUUCAAAUAAGUGCUUAAUGGAUUGAUUCAAGCAACUUGGGCUUAGUUAAAUUUGUCAAGGCCUGUUGAAGGAAUCGCACAUGAUAAAUGCAUGAUUCAGGCUCUUGAAGUUUCCAAUAAUCACUACCACGAAAUAGGGAGUUGGCUUGCACAUUAUGGUGAGAAAAUAUAUUAUUUUCCUUUUUCAGAUACUUUCUCAUUUCUUGAGGAGGCUAUUAAGGAAAAAAUCGGUUAUUUAUAUUUUAAUCGCCUAAUUUCCAUUUUAAUUGAUGUAAGGCAUUUAAGUCAAUUAGGAUCCUAAUUUGAUUUAAAUUCUUUCUUACUUACUUAUAUUAGGAUUCAGAUUUGAUUUAGAUUCUUUCUUAUUUACUUAUAUUAGGAUUCAGAUUUGAUUUAGAUUCUUUCCUAUUUAGGAAGAUUCUGAUUCUAAUUUGAUUUUUAGUUUAAGCUUUAUUUUCAAAAAUUCUUGUAACCAAACCUAUGUAAUGUAGUUGUAUCCAAUAAACAGAGAUAAGUUUUGAUGCAAUUAGUGAGAGAGUUAAUUCUCUUUGGUUCUUUACAAAAUUUUUGAACUUAUAGGAUUUUCGUGGCGUUCAAACUCUUGACUUAUCAAUCAGAGCAUCCAUAGCUGAUUGUGGCGUCUUCUCAUACCAAGGUUCGUGCUUUCAUUAAGAAUUGGGUCAAGAUUCCAUUCAAUUUUUUUGUUUAGAUUCAAUCUUGAGGACUAAAUUAAUUAAGGUCGCGUCAAUUCUUGAUGUGGUUCGUAUCAUGUUUGCUAUUAUAAAUGAAUUUAGACUAAAAAGUUUGAAAAAGGAGAAAAUAAAAAGUGACAUUUGUGAGCGCAGCAUUAGAUUGCAGUUAAAGAAUCCAUGCAAGCCUUAAUUGGAAUAGGAGGUCAUUCCAGAUUAAAACUCAUUGCACAGAGCACACCUAUCCUCGAGUUGAUAACAAUUAUGAAGCAAGUUCCAAUUAGAUAGUAGCCACAUAUUAGCAUCUGUUCAAAGCCAAUCCUAACAUCAAGAUAUCUAUUAUUUUUGUUGCUUUAAUGCAGAGAUAUGGAAUUGAAUACAACAAUUUCAUACUGUACAGGGCCAAAACGAAAGCACUUGAGUUACUUGGUGUUGUAUGAUUUCUAAUGCUAUUGGUGUCAAUGAGCAAGUGUACACAACAAAUAAUAUAAUGAUAAGUAUUCAAAAUCGUCUCCACAGUGAUUGAUGUUAUAGAAAUUGCUACAGCAACCUUGUUAGUGCAAUUUUAAAUUAAUUAUAAAAGAACAAUUGAUAAAAUUGAUUUCUUAAAAUUAACAAGGCAAUAAAAAAAAUGUAAUUAAGAAGAACUUAAACUUAAACACAACAACUAAUUAAUGAGAAUGGAGUAGUUGAGUGAUUAAAUUCACUUAAUAGUUUUGACUAUGUUCCUAAUUUUUUGUUCGGUUGCUACAACAUCUGCUACAGCGUGGACAAAAUCCUUAUGCACCCUCAGCUGUCACUUAUUGCAUAUCUUAUAUCUUGAUGCAACUUAACAAUAACUAAUUGUUAUGCUAACAUAAGAUAUAGCAUUACACGUCCAGGUUCUAAUUACCUAUAAGGUGAAUACCUAUGUCUAGUUCAUCAUAAAUUUUAGAUUAUGUAUGGCCCUUUUUUAAUCAAAUUAAACUCAACUCAGGAACCCAAUCUAAAACCAAGUAUUGAUUUGCUAUGCUCCACUAAGUUAGGCCUUUUUUAGUCUCUUUUUGAGCUAGUAUCACUAAAUGGGUGGUCAACUGAAAUAGAGAAUUAAAAUAAGUAUUAUCAAAAUAACGCACUAUAGUAAACAUGCAGCAAAACAGAAUAUCAUUCAAUUACCAUCAAGAUUGUUUACCACCCAACCACACAUAAUUUUAGUUCAUAAUUUAUGAGAAAACAAAAACCAAAAUAGUUUUAGCCAUCAAACAAAUCUUCAUAACAAAAUAAAAACAAGAGAACAAGAACAAGAGUUGAAACACGCUUGAUGUUCUUCUUGAAUCUGUUGUUGCCGUCCUCAAUUCUCUCUCUUGAUCUCAGUUUUUCUUAUGUUUCUCUCUCUUCUUCUCUAAUUACGGCCCCAUUUUUCGUUGUAAUGUGCUCCUUUUAUAAGUCGAAAUUAAGAUUACCAAAAAUGUAUGGCAGUGAAUCUCUUAUUUUUAGAAACUUUAGAUUGCAAUCUUCUAUCUAAAACGCGAAAUCUUGUUUAUCGUUGCUCUAGUCGUUGCUGCAGCAACAGUGCUACAGCAUAUUGCUCAAGCAUCUUCAUUAUUCCAGACUUGCUUUAAUUCCAUUGCAUCCAAGUUCUUUUGUAACUUUGCACACCUACUUCGGUAAUGUUCCAUUUAUGAAAUUUGAGCUUCUUGGUCACCUACAAUUAUGCAUGUAAUUAGAGUACACAAUAAUCUAAAAACAUAUGAAUUUUAUUAAGAUUAAACUUAAAUGACUACUCAUGCAAAAUGUAAUUAAAAUGCAACAAAAACAUAUCAUUUACUCUCUAAGUAAUGUUGAUUUAAGUAUAAAAACACCAUGAUCACUCUCAUUUCAUAGAGUUAUCACUUGGUCAAGACCAUAAAACUAGUUACAGCAAAUUGUUUAGGUAUAUACAUGCCUUAUUAAAUUACAAUCCUAGUCCCCCUUUAUCUCUUAAAAUGGAUUAGCUAGGUGGUGCUCAGUUUCUCACAUUUAAGAGGUUUUUAUAUGUAUUGAUAGUAGUAGAAAGGAAUUUUCUGAAGGGGGCAGACCAUUCAUUGGGUUGAUGGCUAUCACUUAAAAAGACCAUAUAGAGGUGAGCUCCUAACAACUGUGAGCGUUAAUGCAAAUUAUGGGAUUUGCUUGUUAACUAUAUGUGUGGUUAAGAUAGAGAAUAAUGAGUCUUGGCAGUAUGUUAUGGAGAAAUUAUAUGAUCAAGUGGACUGUAAUGGUGGCAAAAGUUUAUGUUUUAUGAGUGAUAGGUGGUAAAAAGGUGUUCCCUCAUUCAUUGAAGAGAUGCUACAAUAGACACAUCAAUGCAAACUUCAAAAAGAAGUUUCUUGGAUUGCUACUAAAGAAAGUGUUCUAAAGAGCCUAUAGGAGUUCUAAUGUUGCUGACUUUAACUCUCACAUAGAAGAACUAAAAACUAUAAUUCUUAAUGGCCAUGAAUCAUUGAUAAAAAUUCCCACUAUGAGUUACGCAAAGUAUUUGCUCCUCCAUGCAUAAAAUGCAACCAUGUUACUAAUAACAUAACCGAAUCUUUUAGCAAUUAGAUCAACAUCUAUUGAGGUUUGCAAAUUGUGAGGAUGUUUAAGGAUAUACGAAGGAAAACCAUACACUUGAUUCACAGAAGGCAAGAACAACCCUUGGAUGGAAUGGUAAGCUUCCACAAGUAGUGAGAAAGAAGAUUAUUGGGGGAAGAGUAGAAGCAAGAUCUCUCCCUAUCAUCUUUGGGUAUAAUAAGACAUUUGAGAUACUUAAAGAAAUGUCAUGAUCAUUGUUGUUCAUAUAUUGAAGAAGAAGUGUGAUUAUAAUGAGUGGGCAUUUCUCGACUUUCUUACAAACAUGCCCUUUGUUACAUAGAUACAAAGAGGUGUCGUCUAAAAGAAUAUGUGCAUUUGUAUCUAAAAAAGAAAACUUUCAUUGGCACUAAUAAACAUCAGUUUAUACCAAUUCCUAAUAGGAAUAAAUGGCCACUUGAACUCAAGGAUAGCUCUAGAGAGUUUGAGUGUUAAGCUUAAUAGAGCUCUUAAUAUAACUCAGGUAAGCUCAUAUACGAAAUACAAUCUGAGCAUCAAAACUAUCAUAAUAAGCAGAGAAUAAGUGUAAAGAAUAAAGAAUGCAUAGAAUGUUAUGUGGUUCUGCCCUUUGGCUUACAUCCCCGAGAGUGACUCUUCUUCAAUCUAUUAUAUAUGUGAAGUAUUAUAUGAUGUGCUUUAUAACAUCAACAAAACCUCAACAAAGGUUGUUUAUGGUGAAAAAUAGUCUUAUGGAAAUUAAAAAGUUUUCUAAGAUAAGAACAAGGGAAAUGGCUUAUUUGGGAGAUCAAAUGGUCAACAUCUUCUAUGGAGGUGUAAAAAUACAGGAAGAAAUCUUAAAAUUGGAGGAAGAAAAAGAUGAAGCAGCCUCAUGAGAAAUCAGAUUUGGAAAAAUGGCAUAGAAUUGGAUAGAGAAAAAGGAAAAAGAAAGAGAACUCCUUAUAAUUGAACAUGUAUAGCAUAUAUAGGAAAGUUUUUUAGGGUAUUUUAAUAAUUUUUUAUAAUUGGUGAAUUUUCAUUAGUUUAUCCUCCGUAAGAGAGGUUAUUUUUAUAUUUAUGCCUUUCAUCUUUAUUUUAUAGUGACACGCGUAGGCUCAGGAGGCAAGUAAACCUUCAGCCACCUUUUUGCCUCUACAACUGGACAUGUGGCAACCUCUCAAUCUUGUGGUCUUGCUGUUUUUUAAAAGGUAGCAAAAGAUAGUUGACUUGGCUCUCCCUCAUUGCUUAGUUAAGGAAUCUUCAUUCUCAUUGGCUUCUUAUUCUUAAUAAAAAAGAAGAUAUUUCAUUCUCUUUUAUGAUGGCAUGCAUUUGUUAACAUGUAUAUGUUCAUAAUAUUAAUUUUGAUAAUAACAAACUUUAAAUGAUUUUUUAUUAAAUAUUGGAGCUAUUUCAUUAAUAAAAGGAAGCCUUAUAAUCUUUCUUAUUAGAAUUCAUAAAAGAUGGAUAUCUGUCAAACUUCAAUUGGAAAAUAACUUCCUGCAAUUUUUGGCUAAAACUGUGAUUUUGGAGGUAAACGGUUCACCGUUUACUUUUAAACGGUUAACCAAAUCCAAAAAGUAACAAAUUACUUAAGCUCCAACCGGUUAAGAAAAACGGAAAACAAAAAAUGCUGGGAAGGCUACUGGAAUUUAACGACAAACCGUUUAUUGAAACGGUUAACCGAUAAAAUUCAGAAUGGAAGAUUAUACUCAUCUGGCACCGUUUAACAGAAAUGAAAACAAACGGCGAACCGUUAAUGACAAACAGCUAACUGAUAAAUUCUAGAAAAGUCAUCUCGUGCAAAUCUUUAACCAUUUUGUGUAAACUGAUAGCUAAAGUUUAUAUUGCAGGUCUUUGGAAUUUAAAGGCAAAAGGUUAAGCCUAAACGGUAAACCGUUUAUUUGAAAUUUAGCCCAACGGUAACUUUAACCAGCCUAAACAGUUAACCGUUAAUUGUUAACGGUGAACCGUUUUCGGGCAGACAGUCUGUAACGGCUAGUUUUUCAGUUCCAACUAUAAAUAAGCUCAUUCAAAUUCAAAUAAAGGUUAAUCACAACACUACCAUUGAGCUUAUAUUCGAGAAUACAAUCUUCAUAGAGAUUUAAACACAUUCUUGCUUCAUCUAUUCACACAUUGGGCAUUGAUUUGUAAUCUUAAAUAUUGUGUGAGAAAAAUAAUUUAUAAUCUUUUACUUUGAGUGAUUGUAAGUGUUGUGAUACACUUUGGUUAAAAGAUUGGGGAUAAUCUCUUGUUGUAAAGGUUCAUUGAUACCUUAGAAGUCAAGUGUAAGCAUUUGAAACCUUAGAGGCUUACUUAGUGAAAUCCUCAAACCCGGAAAGCUUGGAGGCGUGGAUAUAGGCGAGGUUGGCCUAACCACGUAAAAAUCUUCGUAUUUGAAUCUCUCUUCCCUUAUCUUUUUAUAUUGUGAUUGAUUUAAUUGUUAUUGCUUUAAAUUCGUUUUAAAUUUGCAUGGUAUUUUGUUUUAGAAUUAAAUAAUGUUUAGAAUUCCAAUUCAUCCCCCCCCCCCCCCUCUUGGGUUGCAUAACUAGAAUUUCAACAUUGUUCAUAUGUUGGCUCCAACCAUCAAAAUCUAGAUUUCGAUAAUACCCCUUGAUGUUGGGCAUAUUUACCGAAACUUUCCUUUCUUCAGGGACCUUAUCUCCUAAAUCCUAAUCUUUUGUAAGCUAUCCUGACAUUCGGUCAAAAAAAUUGACUUCCCUUGGUUGACUUUUCUUUCUAUGUGUCACCGAGUUAUUAGUCCAUGUCAUUAUCCAAAUUUCCCCCUAAACAAUAUUUAUUAGUGUCAUUAUUAUUAUAUUAAUAGUAAUAUUAUUUAAAAUUUAUCAAUUUAAUUAUUAUUAUUGUUGUUGUUAUUAAAAAUUUUAUUUUUAUUCUUACUAUUGUAGUUGUUGUUAUCGUAAUCAACAUUGUCGCCGUCAUUAAUGUUAUUAUUAUUAUUAUUACUACUACUAUAAUAACUACUACUAACAUUAAGUAUUAUUACUAUUAUUGUUGUUGUUGUUGUUGUCAUUAAUGUCAUUAUUAUAAUUAUUAUUUAUAAUUUUUUACUAUUAUUGUUGAUAAUAAUCAUAAUCACAAUUAUUAUAAUGAAGAUGACAAUUAUCAACUAAGGUCAUUUUAGAACUUGUAGUAAUUUAUUCUGAUUUUAAGAUAUAUUAAACACAUAAUAGUACAAUUCAUUCUGAUUCAUAUAGUUAAAGUAAACAAAUUAUGAUGAUACUCAUUCUCCUUUUUUAUUCUAAUAUGUUCUGAUUUCAUGGUGUGUUCACUUCCUGGAUUGAAUCGGGAAUUGGAAUCAUUAACAACGUUUAAUUUAAAAAAUAAGAAUUGAAAUCAAAAUCGAAAUCGUGGGCCCACCCCAAUUUAGGAAUGAGGAAUGGGAAAUUAAUUCUCAAAAAGGGCAUGGGAAUCAGUCUCUCAUUUGUAGAAUUACCAAUUUUGCCAUCAAAACAAAGGAAAAAAGUUUGUUUAGUUCUUAUAUUUUGAGGUUAGUAUUUGUAUAAUCCCUAUAUUUUUAAAAAUACCUUAAAACAUCUUUACAAUUAAAUUAUUGACACUCUUGCCAUUACCUUUUGUUCCUUUUGACUUAUUUUUACAAUAUUAUCUUAUUACAAUAAUGUUUCUUUUUUUAAGAUAUAAUUAAAAAGAAAAAAUUAAAUUACAAAUUUAACACCAAAAAAUGAAAUUAAAAUAAAAAUAUAUAUAUUAAUUUUUGUGGAAUACUCUCCUGAGAAGUUAAAAUAUUUAUUUUUCUAAAAAAAUUGAUAAUAUAUUUUUUUACAAUAUUAAUUUUUUUAGACCUAUGUGAGCUUCCAUAAUUUUUUUGUUUUUAUUUUAUUUUGGGUUUAAUUUGAUAAUCUAAUUUUUAUUAAUAUAAAAAAAAAUAUUGUUAUAAGAGUGUAAUAUUGUAAAAGUAAAUUAAAAAGAAUAAAAAACAAUAGCAUGAGUGUCAAUAUUUAGCAGUAGGGAUAUUUUAAGGUAUUUUUAAGAAUAUAAAAAUUAAAUGGGCACUGAUCUCAUAAUAUAGAGAUUAAACAAACUUUUACCCCCAAACAAAUACAGAAACCCAAUUUUACCUUAAAAAAAAAAAACUGAGUCAAACAAAGCAGCCUUGCUCGAUUCGUUGAGCCAUGAUCAAUCCUGUCACCGUCAUUAUAAAUUGUCAGCCUCACAUAGAUUGAUCUCAUCACUGUCACAAGCACAACCAUGCUCGAUCCCUUCACCGACAGGUGGGCAAAUUACCCGACCCGAUCCGACCCGACCCAAAAAAUUUCGGGUUCGGAUCGGAUCGAGUUAUGAAGAAAACCCGAUCGGAUCAAAACAAUGAAACCCGAUCGGGUUAUGAUCGGAUCGGGUUCGAUCCGAUCCGAAACCCGAUCGGGUUGCUAUAAAAAAAAAAAAAAACUAAACCAAAAGCAAACAGCCACAUACACGCCGCACACACAAAUCACAAUUCCCAUUUUCACAAUACACGGUUACUUUACACAAACACUCACAACUCUCCUCAAUCCCCAAUCUCACUACACAAAACACAUACACAGUCACCCCCAACGGCGUUGGGCCAACGCCAAGCCGCCAACGGAGGCCGCCGCAGAAGUCACAGCCUCACCCGCAUCUCCAUGGACGAUUUGCCGCGCGUCUCCAUGCCCGAUUUGCUGCAAGUGCCGCCGAUCUGCUGCUACGCGUCCGUCGGUCUGCUGCUACAAGUGUCGCGGCCACCGAUCUACUGCAAGUGCCGCGGAUCUGCUGCAAGGUGCUUUUGCUGCUCCAAUCCUUCAACCCGAGCUUCUCACCUUUGACUUUGAAUCUUGAGUUUUCACACUUUUUUUAAGCUUUUUUUUUUAAAGAUUUGAAUUGAUGGUGUAUAUGGUUAAAUUAAACAAUUAAUAUUUAGUAUUUAAUUGUUGUAAUUAUGUGUUUUUAAAUGGUUGUAACAAAAUCAAGGAAAUUGACCAACCUGAUCCUACCCGAUUUCAACCUGAAUUCACAACCCGACCCGACCCGAUCCGAAUAUAAAUCGGAUUGGAUCGGGUCGGGUGGGAAGUUCGGGUUGUAUUCGGAUUAAUUUUUGUUAAACCCGAAUGACCCGAAAUUCGAUCGGGUUGAUCCGAACCCGACCCGAACCCGGUUUUGCCCACCCCUAUUCACCGUCACUCGCAAAUUAUCAACCUCCUACCACUUAUCGUCGCUAGUCAUAUGUAGCAUCUGUUGAUCAUCGUUGCCACUUUUUGGCGUCGUUGAUCAUCACUACACUCUCUAAUCUUUGCCAAUUGUUAUUCUUUUGGUUAUCAUCACCAUCAGUAUCAAUUCAUCAUCAUCAUUUUUAAUACUAAUACAAUAAUUAUUAUUGUAUUAGUAUUAAAAAUGAUGAUGAUAACUAUAAUAAUAAUAUGGGUAAAAAUUUAUUUAAUCCCUAUAUUUUAAUAUUAUUAUUCUUUUACUCUUGAUAUUUCUAAAUAUCUUAAAAUAUCUCUAUCGUUAAAUUACUAACACCCCCUACUAUUAUUUUUUAAUCAUUUUGACUUAUUUUUACAAUAUUACCCGUUUAUAAUAAAUUUUUAAUUUAAAAAAUAAAAAAAAUUAAAUUACUAAUUGAAUCCUAAAAAAUAAUAUAGAAAUAAAAAGAAUAUAUUAACUUUUGUGAAACACUCUGCUAAGGAGUUAAUAUAUUAAUUAUUUUAUUAAUAUCUAAAAAAAUUAAUAAUUUAAUUUUUUAUAAAUACCUGAGCUUCCACAAAAAUUAAUAUAUUUUUUUUUAGAUUAAAUUGAUAAUUUAAUUUUUUAAUGUCAAAAAAGAAAUAUUAUUAUAAAAUGAUAAUAUUUUAAAAACAAUUUAAAAGGAACAAAAAAUGACAGUAGGAGUCUCAAAAAUUUAACAACAAAGUUGUUUUAAGCUAUUUUUAAAAAUAGAAUGACUAAAUAAAUAUUAACCUCAUAAUAUAAUAACUAAAUCAACUUUUACCCUAAUAAUAACAACAAUUAACUAACAACAUUUUAAUAACUUAAAAUAAUCUAUUUCAAUACCUAAACAAAAUAAACACAUCAAUAAAAAUAUAAUAUAUUAUAAUUUAAAUAACCAAUUUAUUCUAAUUCUUAUUUCAACCCAUUUAAAUUUCUAUCUAUUUUAACUUCCUUUUAAAAAACGCACCAUCAAUUCAUUCCUAUCAUCUCGAUUGCCAAUUAGUCAACCCAGCAUAACUAUUACCUUUCGUUUAAAUAACAAGUCAAGGCGACAGUUUCCUCGUCAGCUCGCUCCAGCUUCGAACUUCAAAAUUUCAAGCCUCCAAAAUGAGCGUAACUGCUUCGGCGAAGAUAACGUCAGUAGCAGUCGCUGUUAACGGCGGCAGUGGAGUCGGAGGAGGCAACGGGAGUCGACGUGCCGUCCGAUGGGCCGUGGAGAAUCUCAUGCCCAACGCUGAUCGUUUUAUCUUAGUCCACGUCAUGACCGCCAUCACUUCAAUUCCAACUCCGUGUACGUAUCACGCGUCCAUUUAUCACUUCAAUUCAUACGAUGUUAUAAUGAGUUGCGCAUUUGGACUUUGAAUUCAAUUUAUUGAAAUUGCAGAAACUUGAAUGAAACUGGGUUUUUAGAGAUAGAUUUAAUGGUUUGGUGACUGGCUUAGUUGUUGUAGUUAAUUGUGACGGUGUGUUCGAUAUAUAUAUAUAUAUAUAUAUAUAUAUAUAAACAAACAAAACCCUAUUUUGGGGUAUGGAAAAUAUCUGUCAAGUGAUUUUUCAAAAUUAUAUCUUAAUUGGUUUUCAGAAAAGUUCCUUCUUAAACCGAUUGCUUCUUAAAAGGGUAAGGUACUUUGGGCUAUUUGAUAGUUGCUUUCGGAUACCAAACGCACUCCUACAUGCCAAAAAUUUACUUGUUGAUGACAAGCUUUCUAGUUAAAGAAUAAAUCUUUUAGUGACUGACUGAUAAUAUCAAUUGGUGAAUGUGCCCUAUAGCAGGAGAAUGUAUCCCGCUUGCAGAGAUAGAUGAGAAUGUGGUGAAAGUGUAUAAGGAGGAUGUGAAAUUAAGGACUGAGGAAAUCUUUGAUCCAUAUAAGAAACUAUGCAAGUCAAAAAAGGUGAAUUUGAGUCUAUCUUGUACUUUAAGUUCAUUUCUAUGUUUGAUAUUUAUUAUGGGAGAGAGUAUGAAAUGAUAUUGAGUCUCAUGUAGAUGGAAAAAUUGGUGCUAGAGGAUGACAAUCCAGCAACUGCGCUUGUAAAAUAUGUUUCUGAGGCUGGGAUUAAUAAUUUAGUUUUGGGAUCUUGCUCCACAUAUUGUAUAAUGAGGUAUGAAAUUGUUUGACAAAUAUUGUCUAUUCCAGAAGGCCUGCCUUAAAGUGCUCUAGAAGGGUAAUAAAUAUCUUGAGUUUACGUCAAAGGAGGUUUAUAUGCUUGAAUCUACUAGCAUAGUUGUUCAAGUUUCGCUAAAUUUAUAAAGACAAAGAGAAAAUGGGGAAAAAAUAAAAAAAUAAGAAAGUUUAAUUACAAUCCAUUGCUGUCUCUGUUUCAUAAUUUGUUUCUGUUAAUAAUUCUACAUGCCUAUAUGGUAUUAGUGGUUCCUCUUUUUUAUUUCCUUCUCGCUCUAUUCGUUUGUGUGCUCUCUCUAUUUCUUUUUUCUUCCUUUUUUUUUCCCUUUUUUAUCCUUUGGAACUUAAUUAAUAUUUUUGCCAUACUUCUGCUAAGUUCCAAUUCACAUUUUCUUUAGGAAGCUGAAGGGACAAGGGGUACCAACAACUGUUCUGAAAUGUGCACCUAAAUCUUGCAAUAUAUAUGUUGUAUCCAGACACAAAGUCAUUACGAACUCAGCUAAUACCAAGUCGACUAGUGGUAUGUUAGAUGCAGUUUCUUUUGCCUUCAGUAUGCUGUCAGACUCCUGAUUGCUUCUUUUUCCAUUCUGUCUCACAGUGACCAGUACAAGGCCACAAAUGCUUGCUCCACAGGAUUUUGGAGAAAGCUCCUGUGGCUUCAAUGAACAAUCAUCCGACCUAUAUACUUCCUCGGUGGAAGCCAGAGAUGAUAAGAACUUUGGACCAUCAUUCACAUCCGAGAUCAGCUAUCCAAAUUCUUAUGCAGUUGCACGUAUAUGUUCUUCAACAAAUGGUUCUGUAGAUGUGAAGAGUAAUUGUCAAAACUCGGGAGAUAGCCUUGAAACUAAUUCUCUUGAGCGAUAUAAUUCCACAGCCUCUACAAAAUCUGAGCAGGUGAAUUGUUUUAAAGCAGUUUUUAAGGAAUAUUUCCAGCUCAAGGUGGUGAGAAGUUCUAAUUUUAAUGCAUUUUUGCAGUUGGCUGUGCUGACUGAAAUGGAACAGCUACAGCUGGAAUUACAAGCCACUAUUUCCAUGUAUAAAAGAGCUUGUGAAGAGCUAGUCCAUGCCCAAAACAAGGUGCGAGACAUUUUGAAAAUUGAAGGGAUCUUGAUAUUUUGGGUUGUUUAGUACCAAAUAAGGGCUUCUAGCAUGCGUUAUACUUUAAUUCUAGCACAAUUUCAAAUGUCAUAGUAAAUGCAUGAGCUUGAGCUUCAAGAAAUAAUUUAUAAUUCUCUAUGGCCCCAAGAAAUGUAUGGAUCUCAUACCCUGGGCCCUUUUUCAUUGGUACAGGUUCAUACACUUUCUCAUGAAUGCCUUGAAGAGAGAAGGAGAGUAAAUGCUGCCCUGGAAAGAAACGAAACUUUGAGGAAAAUUGCUUCCGAAGCUAAAGAAAAGCAUUUGCAAGCACUAAAGGAGGUUGAGGAUGCAAAACAUUUUCUUGUUAAAGAGGCCUAUGACAGGAAAAUAGCUGAAUUGAAUGUGCUGAAGGAGUCCUUGGAAAAGCAAAAAAUUGUUGAUGCACUCUUAUUGAAUGAUGGGAGGUACAGAAGGUACACUAGGGAUGAAAUAGAGGUAGCAACUGAUUUCUUCUCUGAGUUUUAUAUCAUUGGUGAAGGAGGGUAUGGAAAAGUUUAUAAGUGCAGCCUUGAUCAUACUCCUGUUGCUGUUAAGGUUGUUUCACCUGAUGCAGUUAACAAGGAAGAUGAGUUUCUAAAGGAGGUAAAUUAUAGCUCAUAAUAUUUUUUAAUAACAGUGGUGUGUUAAAAUGUAUUCAAUAAUCUGCCUGCUGUCAUGGUAAUUUGAAGAACCUUUAAUAGUUUAUCCAGGGAUGGACAAUGAUUAUUCAUCCAGGAUAUUUUCCAUUCUUUCUGCUUAUGUAUCUUAAUAGAAUACUCAAUUUCAAUGGUCUCAUAAACCCUUCACUGACAUAAUUUAUUACAGGUUUGUCAGUGUUGUGAAAUUCCUAAAACUAGCCCAUUGGCUGAAUUGAGAAUAUUCUCUGUUGUAACCUUUACUAGGACCUUUUUAAUGUUGUUGGCAUAAACAUUUUUUACUUGGACAUUAAAAUUUUACAAGUCUUUGGUAACCUUUGGCAUUUUCUCUUUCAUUGUUGUUAUAUCAGAUCAAGAAUAAUAUUCUUUUCCUAGGAGUAAAAAAAAAAAAAUGAGUGCUGGAUACUUUGUGAAUCCCAAGUUCAUAGAUAUGAUCUGACAUAAAAAUUUCAUUCCAAUUUGCAGGUUGAAGUUUUAAGCCAGAUACGACAUCCACACGUGGUUCUGCUGCUUGGAGCCUGUCCUGAGAUCAAUUGUUUGGUCUAUGAAUACCUGGAAAAUGGAAGCCUGGAGGACUAUAUUUACCAUCAGAAUGGGAAGCCUGCUCUUCCUUGGUUUGUUCGGUUCCAGAUAAUUUUUGAAGUAGCCUGUGGACUUGCAUUCUUACACAACUCAAAGCCAGAGCCUAUUGUGCAUCGAGACUUGAAACCGGGAAACAUCUUGUUAGACAGAAAUUAUGUGAGCAAAAUUGGGGAUGUUGGGCUGGCUAAACUCAUUUCAGAUGCCAUACCUGACAACAUCACAGAGUACAGAGAGACCAUUCUUGCUGGUACUCUUCAUUACAUGGACCCAGAAUAUCACAGAACCGGCACUAUUCGUCCCAAAUCUGAUCUAUAUGCAUUUGGAGUUAUUAUACUCCAGUUAUUGACAUCUUGCCUUCCGAAUGGAGUUCUACUGAAAGUUGAAAGUGCCAUUAAGAAUGGUUCCUUUGCUGACAUUUUAGACAAGUCAAUAACAGAUUGGCCGCUUGCUGAAACAGAGGAAUUAGCUUGCAUUGCAUUAAAGUGUUCAAAUCUUAGAUGCAGAGAUAGACCUGAUCUUGAUACCGAAGUCAUGCCGGUUCUCAGGAAACUCAAGGAUGUUGCAGAUGCUUGUGUAAAGUUGGAAAGCAGCAAUGUUUAUGCACCAAGCCACUUCUUCUGUCCAAUCCUUCAGGUGAAAAGUCACAGUCAAUUACAGAAACGUGAUUUACAAGUUACAUUUUCCAUAUUAGCUUGCAUCUCAUAUAGAUUUUUCUAUUUGCUUCAUCUUGGAUAAAUAUAGGAAGUCAUGGAAGAUCCAUACAUUGCUGCUGAUGGAUUUACUUAUGAGCAUAGAGCAAUCAAGGCAUGGCUUGAGAAACACAAUGUAUCUCCAGUGACAAAGCUUAGGCUCCAGCAUUUGUCAAUUAUUCCAAACUACACACUGCGUUCUGCCAUUCAGCAAUGGAGGUCACCUGUGACAUCUCUGUAAAUGAUAGUUGAAUUGUGUCCCCUUUUCAUUCCUUGUAUCCUUUCAAUGCCUUAUCAAGAUAAAUGAAAGGAAUAUACAUGAUUGGCACAAGGGAGUUAAAACAGUUUGUAGGUUGUAAUUGCUAUUUUGUGAUUUAUGCACGUGGAAGUUCAGAAAAUCUAUUAAAUGUAAUAAUUAAUGUAUGCAUUUAUGAUUUUCUGAGAUGUCUUUAUGGAGAAAUUACAUUUCAUUUCAAUUAUUGAUCCGAAAUUGUUACUAUACACCCUUAUAAUGCGUAUUUAAAUGGAGUAUAAGUCCCAAAUUUAAUUGCGCACUUUAAUUUUUCAUUAUGAGGGACAAACUAGUUUUUACUCUCACGUAAUCAGCAGUUUCCGGGUUCGCUUAGCAAGUUUGCUGAAACCAUCCUCCAUUUGUGAUAGACGUCCUCUGGUUGAUCCCACACUCAGCCAUUGAUUAUUUACUAGCACAAAGGAUAUCUUUGAAAUCAAGAUGGAAAGUAAUCAGAAGCAAAGCAUUUUUAAGAGCAAUAUGUAUCCAAAAGUCUUUAUUAACUUAAUUAUCCAACCAAAACACACCUCUGGUUAUUUCUUGACUAUGCAUUGCUUGCAGCAUCCAUUCGUAUGGAAAUCUAUAGCAGCUGUGCACCAUAAGCUAGUUGCAGUACAUUUGCCAUUAGCAACUAUAUAUAUACAUACUUUGUGGCUCAAGGAUGCCAGUCAUCAACCAUCCACUUGUGUAAAUUCUAAAGCAUUUGCAUCUGGAUCUCGUGUGAAGAUAGCUGGCCUUCCAGAUUUGCUGAGUGUGUAAGAAAUGCCUAGAAAAUAGAAAGGAAAAAAAAGAUGUCAAAGAGCAAUGGCAAUAGUAAUCCCAGCAAAGAAUAGACAGAUAAGGAUAGAUUGUAUUUGAGGUUGACAAGUGCAAGAGAGAAAUUUUACCAGCUUUGUCGAGGAUCAUUUUGAGUUUAGACACAUCUCGAAUGGCAAUACAUGUGUGACGAUCUCGACCACCAUGCUCGGGCCGUCCGCUUAAAGGGUCUGGAUUUGGAAGCUCCAUUAAAUGAAUCAUCUCAGCGCCCACCCACAACCAAGCGCCUCUGUAAGGGAGCUUAUCAUGUGGCCUUGCCUCGUUUAUUUCAAGACCUAACAAAUUGAAACGUUGAUGUUUAUUUAUUUCCCUUUUUUUCCGCUUAUAUUUAUAAAGCAUAUAUAUGUAUUCAAAGUGAAUAAGGCGCCAUACCUAAAAUAUUCUGAUAAAAUUCAAGCGACCUUUCGAGGUUUUCACAGAGGAUUCCAACAUGGUGUACACUAACAACCCCAUAAUCUAAACAAAUAUGAAAAAGUAAAUUAACGACCAUUUUACAGAAGCUAGCAUUUCACUACUUCACCUCUAAUUUCUUUUAUGUUAUGCUUGCCAUUAGUUGCUGUCUCUGCAAAGGGAUCGUAAGAAGACAAUGGUAAUACCAUUGAUGCAGAGACUUCAAUACACUACAAAGCAGAAAAAUAAUUUUUUUUAUGAACAUGUUGAUUGCCGUGAUAACAGUUUUUCAAAAGUUGUUUAUGUAUAAUUGCUUGAAAUUAACAAAAAACCAUAAUACACUCUAAUGAACAGGUUCAAUUUUGAAUAAAUUAGACAUCAGGUUUCCAGGACCCUAUCCCUUUUUCUUGGAUAACCAAGAUACAGCAUAAUAAAGAAAAUAUGUCUAAAUUUGUCAAAUCAGAAGAGUUACCAAUCUUAUCACUGUCUCUAAUUGGCUCUUUCUUGAGUAUACCUCCUUCGACAGACAUCUUCGCUUUAGUUGUUAAAAACUGCCCAUUGCACCUAUAUUUUCUGACAGUAGUAGUCUGGUAAAAUUGGGAUGAUGUGUAUGUUAAAGUGAAGUUAACACUUAGACGAUUGACCUGCAAUAAAAGCCAGGGUUCAAAGCUAAUCAAUUGUUACAAAAGGAAUUGACAUAAAUACAAUGUGAAGCAGAAAUGAGGUUUAUAUGCCAUCAUUUUAGUACAAAAGUGCAGUCAACUGAUUUAUCUUUAAAAAGAAAAAGAAAAAAUUAGGAUUCGUUGAUAUCAUGCAUCCCAAGCAGCUUCCACCCAACUACCCAACUUCAUUAGCGUGAACAGAAGCACACCAAUGCAAAUUUGUUGCCGGCACCAUUACGGUAGGAAGCAACACCCAGAUUCUAAAAACAUUCCGUGUGAAAAUUGCAAAGGUUUAUGGGUCUGUAGGACAUUGAAAAUGCGGGGUUUGACGUCAAGCCUUCUGUUAGUUAAGGAAUCUACUAAAGGGCUCACCAAGCUAUCCAAAUCAGAACUAAAAGCCUAAAUAUUUGCAGCAACAGAGUACAAACAAUUAUUAGCCACAAAAUCAAAAUGCCUUUUCUAUAUGAUUGCUAUUUGCUAAGAAGCUGAUGGAUUAAAAUUGAUAUCUUGCAGCCGCCAGCCAGAUACGUAAUUAUUGCAGAUUAUACUUGAAUCUUUACGCAUAGAGCCAUCUUUACUUUCUGUUGAAAAUUUAAAAACUAAUAUUAAUUCAACUGAAAAGAGUAUUAAAAAAAUUUUAAAUAGCCCCAUGUGGUACAAUAAAGUUCCAAGUCUUCAGCUCAUCUGGUAUUUACAAAUAAGAACAAGAUGUGAAUUUUAUUUUUUAAAUUACAAGAAAUGAUAAAGUCACCUGGUGUCGCACAGGGAUGGCCGUAGCAGGAGUGAGAACACACGCCAUUGAAGAUCACCGACCCUCGAGCCCUCUGGGUUUAAAUUUAAAUGAAUAUUUUGUGAACCAACUCAACCCGAAAUGUGAAAUGCCAAUACCUAACCCUUAUUUUUUUUUUGGGUGGUUCGUGCCUUCGUGGCUAACAAGAUAUUUUUAUCGCCAACAAGUACGUGGCACAAGGGAAGACAAAAAUCCCACGGGGCGGAUAUCUUUGAGAAUUUUCUCUAUUCAGAAAAGGUCUAGAGAUAAUUUUAGACCUAUUUUUUUUUUAAAGAAAAAAUAGAGAAAUUUUUUUAUCUAAUUUUUUAUUCAGAGAGGGGACAGAAAUGAGGUGGAAUCUUUAUUUUCUACCCAUUUUUUUAUUUUAAUUUUUAAUUUUAUUUUUAUUUUUUAAAAUUACUAAUAAAUAAAUUAUAAAAUUUGAAUUAUAAAAUUAUAAAUAUUGGUAAAAAUAACAAAUAUCAAAAUAUUUAUAUUAUUAAAUUUUUAGGCCCAAUUAAUUAAUUAAAGUCUUAAAUUUUUAUUUAGGAUAUUAAAAAAAUCAGGUAAAUUCCAUUAGCCCAAAAAAUUUAUUUUAAUUUUAAUAUUCAUUAAAUAUUUUAAACUUAAAUCUAUUUUUUUAUUUAUUUUUAGAUGUUAUAAUUACCCACAUCGAAUCACAAUUUUAAUAUCUAAUUUAAUCUAAUCUAAUAUUUGCCCUUGAUUUACUCCGACUUAACUAUUGUACUGUAAAGGGAAUAGUCCACAUUUAUAAAGUGCACACGCCACCAUUGAAAAAGUUAAUUUUGAAUCCAAAUUCGAUUUUAUUUGUAACAAUUUUAUAUUAUACUAUUAAUUUAUUUACGAUAGUUUGUAAAAGAAGUUUGUAUCCCUUACAUGCUGCGUUACUUACUAAUUUAAUAUAUGUGACUUUUGUAAUGGAUAUUAAUGUAAGAUAUAUUUCAAACUUUACUUUUAUUUGAAUUUUUUAUUUUAAUAUGAUUAACUCAAAAUCGAAAAAAAAAUAUAUUAAAUUAUUCGGGGAUCGGGGACCCUUGGGGAUCCCCUAUUAUUAUUCGAGGAGGGGAUGAGGAUUCUCUCAAGUAAUUCUAACGGGGACGGAGAGGGGACGGAGAUAUUCGCAAAAUAUAGAGGAUGGGUACGGGGAGAUUGGUCCCCUCCCUUCCCCUCUCCAUUGCCAUCCCUAGUGCCACUGCUUCAUGUCAGGGGUGUUUUAAUGAAACCAUGUAAGUUAUGUGUAUAAUAUGCAAAUAAACAAAAUCUAGGGGCAUUUUAAAAAAAUAAUAGUAAAAGUUUGGUUGAUAGUAAAAAAUUGGCCAUAGCUUAAUACAAUAAUUUAUUAAAAUGAGAAAUAGAUUGUUAGAGAUCUUAAUAUACUAAAAGUCACCGUCGUUAAAUAGUUCAGUAGUUAGGACUCUGUGAAAAAAUAAUUGUUAAGGAGUAAAAUAAUAACUGUAAGAGUCAUUAUCUCGUCGAGAGUAUAAUAUGGAGAUUUGUUGUUUAAUCAUAGAUUAGGAGAAAAAGAAUUAACCUCUCCUUCAUAAAACCUUUUUUUUUGUCUUACUUGUAAAAUAUUUAACUUCUAUCUUAACUUGGGGUAAUAUCCACUUUUAUGGGUGGAUAGAUUAGGUAAAAACCCGAAUUCAACAAAUAUAAUACCAAGUACUAACAAAAUAAAAUUAACAUUUGACAUUGUUGUGUUGACAUUCUGAGUUUGGUAAUUGGUAGUGGGUCAACACUCAACACCCUCAUUCAACAUUGAGACUUGAAAAAACGUGAUUCAAUGCGGCAUUCUAGAAAGGACCAAUCAUCAUUUUUAUUUUAUUAUUAAUGUCAAACUAGUUAGUCGGAUACUUUUAUUCUAAAUUAAAUUAAAUCUAUAAAAUAAAUUAUACCAUAUUUUCGAUUGGUUAGCACAGCUUUUGUUUAGAUUGAUUGGUACCUAAAGAAAGUUUGAAUCUUUCUAUUAACGUUAAAAACACAUAUUUUUUUUAAAAAAAUUAUUUUAAAUUUUAGUGGACUUCAAUUGUAUUUUGGUACUAAUUUGAAUAUUUAUACUAUGUGUUAGACUUGGUUGUCUUGUAUAUAAUAUUCAAAAUAGAAAUUAAGUGCCUAUCUUAGGCAUUUAUAUUUCAAUCCAAAAUUUAUUAUGUUCAAGAAUAAAUUCUUUUUAAGUUAAGAUUUAACUUCAAUGAUGAGGAAUAAUAUUCCUAGAGCUCAAGUCCUAGGUUUGGACUUUAAUGAGCGUGUUACUUAAUAAUUAAGAAAAGAUAAAUUUUUUUUUCACAAACUUUGAUUUAUAGUAUUUUAUUUUCAUCUAAAUAUACGUUUAUUGUACUUUAUUUUUUAAUUUAUUAAAGGAUGGUUAUCAUGUAAAUCUGAAGCUUUUAAGCUUCAUAUUCGGAAAAUCAACUGCCAUAGACUAAUCUUUGUAAAGAUUCAAAGAAUUUGUUAUUGUAUCAGUUGAGAUAGAGCCAACGAGAUAUAAUAUGUUACGAAAGAGUUGAGGGGUAUUCCUAGUAGAAUGUGUUAUAGGCUUGUUAAGUGAGGCAUCUAUUUAAUAUUUUAAUACAUCGAUUUUGUCCUUUUUAUCCGUUAAUCGUUUUUAAACACUUAUGUAACUGUUUUUUACAUUAUCUGAAUAUUAAUUAUAAAACAUCUAUAAAUCAACUUAAUUAGCUUGAACUAUUCUCUAUGAACGAAAUGCAAUGUUCUUAAUAAUUUCAAUCAAGUUAAGCUUAUCCCGUUUGAAUUUUGUGUUUUUAAUAUUAAUGAGGUAAGCAUGACAUUUGGCAUGAGGUGACAGCUCACUCAUCAUUUCUUAGAUAAUAAAAGGGAUGUGAUUCACGCACUGGCCCGGGGGGUUGCUAAGGUGUUUAAUUCCGCACGUGGCUACAAAAAAUUAAAAAGAUAUUUCUUAGUGUCUGUUUGUUUAUACUCCAUCUGUAGUCUGUAGUCUAGUUUAGAAAUUACAAUGUAAUUAGGGAUAAGAAAAUUAAUUUUAUUUUUUGAAAUCGCUAAAAUAAAUAAAUAAAUAAAUAAAGAGAUGGUUGUUGACUUGCCAGUUGCUUCAGUAGAGGGGUGGCAAUUUGAGUUGGAAUUCAUUUACUCAUAUUUCAUUCGAUGCGAAUUAAAUGAAUUUGAAUUUGAAAAAAUUGAUUUGUUCAAUAAAUAAAUAAGUUCAAUUCGACUCACUAAUUAAAUAAAUAGAAUUCAGGUUUGAAGACAUUUAUUGGUUUAUUUAUUUAGUAUUCAUUUAAUAAAUUAGUUAUAAACAAAUCGAAUAUGAUCUAUUCGUUUAAAAUUAUUUCUUAUUCAUUUAAUUAAAUUACAUAUCUAUCCUUAAAUAUAUAUGAAAAUUUUUUAAAAUUUGAAGGCUAAUAUAGUAAUUAUAAGUGAUAAUAAAUUUGUAUUUUCUAGGAUGUUAAGUUUGUAAUAUUUUUAUAUUUUAUUUUACUUGAUUUUUGUUUAUGAAUUAUACUUUUAUAAAUAAAUUUAUAUUCAAUUCGAUUUAUUAUGAAUUUAUUAUAGGGUAAACUAAUGAUAAAUAAAUACAAAUUAAAUUCGAUUCGAUUCAUUUAUUAGUUCUAUUAAAUUAAUUAAAUGAAUCAAAAUGAGUUUUUAUUUAAUAAACAAAUCAACUCUGAACCAAAAGAAUUUUGACCCGAUUUAGUUAUGAUUCAAUUAAAAUAUGGUUCAUUUAUGCAUUUUAUCACCCUGCUUUUAAAAUUCACGUGUAAGAAAAUCAGUUCGAAUGGAAGAUCAAGUUCAUUUGGAUCACGAGUUUUAUUUUUACAUAAAGCUCCCAAGUUACUGUGAAAGUGAAAUGAUAUGACUUGUUUUUUAAUAAGGAAAGUAAAUCCUGCAUGAUUUGAUUGAAUUGUCUUUUACUCGACAAUCACCUUAUAUGAUCGGCGGUGAUGGAGUAAUAAUUUUCCUUCAGGCCACGUUUGGAAGCCAGCAUUCCAUUGCAUUCGGACACUAUUCCUCAUAGGACCUGCCUAUGGUACAGAUUCUGUACCAAACAUCUCCCGUCAUCCCACCGUCGCAUUUUCUAUGGUUUAAUUUCUCACUCCACAUCCAACCACAUCCAACGGCUGAUGCUGCAGUCUGUAGGUUACAGAUUCUGUAAGCUAGUCGAGUCCUUCCUCAUAAAAGUAAUACUAUGCUAUGUUUCUUUCGAUUGUAAUAGAUUAAGUGCCUGUUUGGUAUGACUUAUUUAAAAGCCAUAAAUAUUUAUUUAAUCAUAUAAGCAUUUUUUAAAAAUUUUUAUGGUGUUUUGUUAUUUUUUUAGUAGAGUUUUUUUAAUUUAAAUAAGCUAAUUUACUUCUACUAACAAAAGUCCAAAAUUUGAGCUUUUGGGAGUAGAGAUCAGAGAGCUUUUCUAAAAAUAUAUAAUAUAAAAAAUAUUACACAGUUUAAUAGUUCAAAAGUAUUUUUUUUUAUUGAUAACCAAACACCCAAUGAUUUUUUGUCCAAAAACUCUAAUGGUAUAAGCUCUAUUGCUAUAAGUUCUAUUGUUAUAAGCUCUAUUUAAUAAGCUGUACCAAACGGAGCCUAAAGGGGUGCGCAAUGCGCUAAUGGAUUAAAAGAGCUAAAGCGGCGGUUGUGUUUUGUUUUUUAUUUUUUUAAAUAAUAAUAAGUAAAUACAAAUUUUUAGUUUAAUAUAAUAUUAUAUAGUAUUACUUUUUAUUUCUUUAUUUUUACAUUAUAAUUAUUAUAAUUCAUUAUUCAUAUUUUAAUUUUUACUAUAUUAAAAAUAUAACUAACUAAUGUAUUGUUUAAUUAUAAAAUAAAUUAAAAUAUAAAAUUGAUUAAUAUUUAAUAAGUUAAUAUAACUAAUAAUAAGUACUUAAAUAAUAUAUAAAAUAAAAAUAUAACAUAAUAUUACAUUAUAUAGUAAUUAAUAUAUAAAAAUUGAUUAUUAUUUAACAAUUUAAUUUAAUUAAUAAUAAAUACUUAAAUAAGAAUUUAAUAUAACUAAUAAUAAAUAUUUAUAUAUGAGUAAAUUUGAAUAAUAUUAAUUUAAAAUUAAUACCAAUUUAAAUGAUAAUAUAAAAUAUUAUUAUAUGUACAAUAGAAUUCUUACUUGGAUUAUUUAGCACAAUUCAUUUUGUUAGUAAAUACGUUACAACUAUUAUAUCACUUUAUUAUUAUUACUUUUAUUUUAUCAUACUAAAAUAAUUUUUAAACUAAUCUUGUUGGUUUUAACUAUUUAUACAUGCAGAAAUAUUAUUUAGAUAUUAUUUGAUUAAAUUAUUUACUAGAUCUUUAUUUCACAGGUUAUAUAUUUAGAAAAUACUAAAAAAUAAAUGUUAUACUGCAAAAAAAUGUAAGGCUUUGAUCUUUAUAAAUUAUUAUAUUUUUUAACAUUUAUACUAAAAAAUAAUGUUAAAUUUCUAAAAUUUAAGACAUUUAUAUUUAGUAUUUUUCUAAGUACUAAUAAAUAUUAUUUUCUAAAUAUAUAAUUUAAAUUAAUUAGAAAAGAAUUAAUACAGUAUGGUGUAGUAUCAAAUGUUGUACAACAUUAUUAUAUUAUAGUGUUGAUGUGAUACAAUAUAAUACAAUACACUUACAUUAAAAUAAUAUUAUACAGUAUAUUACAAUAUAAUGUACGAAAUACACCCUCAUUGAAUUAUUUGUUAUUUUCGUUAAAUUUUUUAAAUUUUAUUAAAAGUCAGCAGGGACAAAUUACAAUUAUAUUAUGAGCAAAUGAAAAAUUUGAUUGAAAUUGAACAUUUCAAAUGAAGCACCAUGUCGCUGCCACGGGCUCCUUUGCUGUGACUAGCUGGUCAAAGGAAUAGAUUUAAUUUGUAGUGAAAACUGAAAAAUAAAUGGAGUGCAAGGUGAAACAAAUUUAAUAAUAAUUUCCAUAAACAAAUUGAUACUCCUUAGUCCUUACAAUUUUUUAAAGAAAAGAAAAUUCCCUUACUCGUUUCACCUAUUUCCUCGCACCUUCGUUAAUAUUAAUCUCUUUACUCUUCUUCUUCAGCUUUAGCCCCUGUUCAAGAAACUUCCCAAUUCCCAACGUUUCUCAGAACCUCAGACUAUAAAAUCCCAAAAAACAAAACCGCGUAAAAAUUAGCCAUUUAGCAUAAUUAUCCAAAAAGUCAAGUCACCGUCAACCCCCCCCCCCCCCCCCCCCCAAAACACACCGCGUUCACACUUGCGCACACGCCUCUCUUUUCCAUCGCUUCACCUCUUCUUAUAUAAAAGCUCCCAUCUUAUCAUUUCUUGUUCAAUUUGAAAUCGAUUGUGUUCACAUUUUUCCGUUGAAGCAUUUCUUCAAACACUUGUCAACCUAACAAAUUCAAACACACACGCACUGUUUUGUUGCUUAAUGGAAAUAACUCGUUUCCCAUUUCUUAAUCAAGAAGAAGACUACUCCCAUUUAUUAGAUUUACUCCCUGAAAUGGAGAGUAGAAGCACCUUCAUCAACAACAACAACAGCAGCAACAAUAAUAAUAAUAAUAACAACAAUUUGAAGAAGCGGCGACGAAGCGACGACGUAUUAAACAAGAGUGCCGCGUGGAGUGAUAUACUUACCUCACUAAUCUUGUUGGACGAAGAAGAGAAACGCGAGCAGCAACAAUAUUCUAUCCACUCUCACCAAGAUAAACUCCUCGUCGAUGACAAUCACAAGCGAAAGGAAGAAGCAAUGAACGAUUAUUUCCAUCAAUUGCAAGACCAUUAUACCGAUUUGGAUGUAAUGGAUCAGUUGAGAACGAACAAAAGAUCUCGUCGUACGGCUUCGGCUGUCGCCACUGUUGCAGCGUCAGCAUCCGCAUCCGCAUCCGUGUCGGAAGACGCGUCUGCGGAUAACCCGACUACUGCGGGUGGGUCCGCUCAGCACCGUCGUUUGUGGGUCAAAGAUCGGUCAAAGGACUGGUGGGAUGAGCGAAACCACCCGGAUUUCCCAGAGGAAGAAUUUUGGAGAGAUUUUCGGAUGAGUAAAGCCACGUUUGAAAUGAUUUGCGAGGAGCUGGAAAGCACGGUGAUGAAAAAGAACACGAUGCUUCGGGACGCGAUUCCGGUUCGUCAGCGCGUGGCGGUCUGCGUCUGGAGGCUGGCAACGGGUGAGCCGCUCCGGGUCGUAUCAAAACGGUUCGGUCUGGGGAUAUCCACUUGUCACAAGCUGGUCUUGGAGGUUUGCUCGGCGAUCAAAACUGUGUUAAUGCCCAAGUUCCUACAGUGGCCUGAUGAGCUGAAAAUGAAACAAAUUAAGGAAGAGUUCCAGGGUAUUUCAGGGAUACCAAAUGUUGGUGGGUCAAUGUACACGACUCACAUACCAAUCAUAGCGCCUAAGAUUAGCGUUGCUUCGUAUUUCAACAAAAGGCACACUGAGAGAAACCAGAAGACUUCUUAUUCCAUCACAGUACAAGGAGUCGUUGACACCAAAGGAGUAUUCACUGAUGUUUGCAUAGGCUGGCCCGGUUCGAUGCCUGAUGAUCAAGUGCUUGAGAGAUCUGCUCUGUUUCAAAGAGCCGACCGAGGGCUUUUAAAGGAUGUUUGGAUUGUGGGAAAUUCUGGGUAUCCAUUAAUGGACUGGGUUAUGGUUCCUUAUACGCAGAAAAAUUUGACUUGGACGCAGCACGCUUUUAAUGAGAAGAUCGGGGAUAUUCAAGCUGUCGCAAAAGAUGCUUUUGCGAGAUUGAAAGGAAGAUGGGCUUGCUUGCAAAAGAGGACUGAAGUGAAGCUACAGGAUUUGCCUGUUGUUCUUGGAGCUUGCUGCGUUUUGCACAAUAUUUGCGAGAUGAGAAAUGAGGUGAUGGAUCCCCAGUUGAAGUUUGACCUCUUUGAUGAUGAGAUGAUUCCUGAUAAUAGUGUGAGGUCUAUGGCUUCUGCUCAGGCCAGAGAUCACAUUGCUCACAAUUUGCUGCACCAUGGCCUUGCUGGAACCUCUUUUCUACAUUGAUUGAUUUCAACUUUUUUCUUCUUUUGAUUCUGAAUUUUGUAAUUCUUUUUUUACUAUAGCUUGUUACAUUCACAGUAAUUAUAGCAGUACCGAAAAAAUCAUUCAAUUUUUUUUUUUAUAAUCAGUUGUAUAACUGAGAUACCUUUGAAAAUGAAUCGAUUGUGAAAGAGCAAUAGAAUGAUAUUAUUUCAACUUAUAUUUAUAAAAUUGUCACAAUCGAAAAUAUUACAUACAUACUCUCCAUCUUCAAUAAUUGAAGCUUUGUAUUCAAUACAAUUCUCAGCGAAGAUAAAAAAUGAAGUUUAAUCUUCGUACUAAAUAAUUUGGAGAUGUUAAAAUAGUUGAGAGUAUGGGAAGUAUUAAUAACAAAUGUAUGAAGUACUAUACCGAACAAGGAAUAGCAUUUGAUUUUAUUAAACUUCAUAAUUUUGUGAGUUGAGGAUUGUAUUGAAUACAAAGCUUCAUAAGCUUACUUUAGCUAACGAGGCUCGACUUCCUCUAGGAUAGGGAGCUAAUAGAUGUAAGUUUUUUUCUAAAAGACCAUGCUCGUAUCAUUUGUUUUCACACCUUAGCUAAUUAACUAAGUUUUAUAAGUAAGGGGAGGGCUAACUUACAGUUGUAAGGUACAGCUCUCUCACCUGAACAGUACCAAAUGUGGGUCCAAAUACUGUCUAUGUGAGAGGUGAUACCUUACCGUAACUAUAAGGUAACAGCCUCGUAUAAGUAAACAGGCUCUUGACUAACUUAGUUAACUAAAUCUUCUUAGGUAACUCUGCUAACUAACUUGAUUAGUUAUGUCUCUAUAGAUAAACUGACCUAAUUAGCUAAGACAUCUAUAUAUGUAUACUCAGUUAUUUAGUUAAUACUCUAUUUGGUAUCAAAAUCCUUUAACUUUUUGUUAUAAAAAAAUUAUAAUUAUAAAAUAAAAACUAAUAUAUAUAAUAAUAUAAAUUUUAUUUAAUAAUUUUGAUACAAAUAAUAUAGAUAUUAUUGAUCCACUCGCACAAUGAUUAUUAAUAAUUUUGGAGGUCAAUCAAAUUUGAGCAUUCACUGGUCUGAAAGUGGAAAUAGCUAAAUUUAUAAUCCAUUUAAGGAGUCUUCCUAUAGUACAGCGCUGUAUGUAAUAUAACCACUUCAACAGUAAAAAGGCAACUUGAACAACUAGUAUUUUACUGGUUGUUCAUUUAAUAAUUUUUUUAAAAUUAUAAUUUAAUACAUAAAAAAUAAAAUAAAAUAAAAUAAAAUAAAAUAAUUAAGAAAAUUUAUAAAUAUUUAAUACAAACAAUAUUUGAGUGAGAAAAAUAUUUUUAAUUUUAAUAAAAGUUUAAAAAAGUAUAAUAAUUAUGUCUCAAUUUUUUUGGUUAAAUGUCAAUAUAUUAGGUUAUUGGUUUGCUUAUUUCCACUUUCCAAUCCAUUAGUUUUAUGUUUAAUAUUCCUACUAAACUCGUUAAAUACUAGUAUUUUGGAUUAAAUUUCAAUUAAAUUUAUUUCUCGUUAGAUAAGUUUCUAAAUUCAGUUAAACUUUCUCCCCAUUUGGUUUAUGUGUUUCAACUAUUAUUCCACUAAUUUUGCGUUCAAUAUUCCAAUUAACUUAGUAAGAUUUCAAUUAUAUGGGUUAAAUAUCAAUAUUAAUUUUUUUGUUUGAUUAAUCACAUAUUUUGGUUAUGUUUUUUCAUUUAUAGGUUCAUAUGUUCAACUUAUUAGUCUACUAGUUNNNNNNNNNNNNNNNNNNNNNNNNNNNNNNNNNNNNNNNNNNNNNNNNNNNNNNNNNNNNNNNNNNNNNNNNNNNNNNNNNNNNNNNNNNNNNNNNNNNNNNNNNNNNNNNNNNNNNNNNNNNNNNNNNNNNNNNNNNNNNNNNNNNNNNNNNNNNNNNNNNNNNNNNNNNNNNNNNNNNNNNNNNNNAUCUUUCGCUCUAUGAGUUUAUAUGUUUCAACUAUUAUUCCACUGGUUUUGCGUUCAAUAUUCCAAUUAACUUAAUAAAAUUCUAGUUAUUCCUAUUAAAUACCAGAUUUAUGUCAUUUACACUUAAGGGUAGUGAAAUAAUAAUUAGAUUUUAUUUAAAAAUAUUAGAUUAUAAGUAACAAAAUUAAAUAUCUAAAUUAUUAGAUACAAUAACUCAUAUUUUAUUUGGGUAAUUUUUUUAUAUCAUAAUAAUAAAAUAGUAAAAUAAAACUUAUAUUAAAUUUUAAUAUAAUGAUUUAAUUGAUUAACUAUACAAAAAAUUUUUGAUUUGUAUUUUUUAAAAUUAUUGUGAACUCAUUAUAAUUAUUUUUUAGAAGUGGGGUGGAUUUACAAAUAUAGCGGAGUGCAAAUACCCCACCCGUACCAAAUAUGAUAAUAUUAAUAAGAUGAAUUAUAUGUGACCCCGUACUAUUUAAGCAAAUAUCAACUUAUCAUAUAAUAAUGAAAAAUCUUUAUUACAACCCUUAAUUUUUUUAAAAAUAUUUUGGGUCCAUAAUCUAAGUCCCUUUUUUUUUGUAAGGUUUUAAGUUUUAUAAGAAAAAAAANNNNNNNNNNNNNNNNNNNNNNNNNNNNNNNNNCACCAUAUUGAUUCUCAUUUUAAACAUUUUAAUUGAUUAUUUUUAGUCAUCAAAUAAAUUAAUAUAUUUAUUUCAGCUUUCUCUUUACUUUUUAAAUAUUUUCCUUAACAUUUGAAAACUUCGACAGUAAAUAAAAAAUAGCACAUAAAGAGUGCAUGCAAUUGCUAUGUUUCUCAUAAAAUUAAUUUUUUAAAAGUUAUGACAACAUAAGUUAUAAAAAUGUUUAAACGUACAAAAAUUGAAACUUUCUUAAUCUAUUUGUGUUGAAUUAUUUUUUUAUUUUUCUUUUGGGAUCAAAGUCAAAAUUUCAUGAACUUGAAUGUAUUUAUACUUAACUUUUGAUGUUUAUAAAUGUUAUGCCCAUUUUAUUAUUCAAUUAAUUAUAUUUAUUUAUCUUUGAACUAAAAUAAAUCAAGAAUUAAUAUUUUUUUGAAUUCUAAUUAAAUUUUUAGCGCUCUAUUUUCUUUUCAAAUUAGUUUUAUUAAUUUUUAAUUACUUCAACAAAAAAUUUAUGUUAUUAAUUAUAAAUAUUAUUCGUAUUAUUAUCAUUAUUAUUAUUUAUUUUUUACUCUUACUACAAUUGUUAUUAUUACUAUCUUGCCUCAUGAAAUUUGUUAACAAUCUUUUUUUUUUCUUUUGGUUUAAACGAGUAUCCUUCUUUUUAUCUUCAUUAUUUCAUGAGAUUUUUUGAGCUUGAUUGUACCUAUACCUGAACUUCUAAUCUUUAUACACAUUUAUUCUCAUUUUAUCAUUUUAAUUAAUAGUAUUUACUUAUAUUUAAAAUAAAUUGAUGCACUUAUUCCAUCUCUCUUUACUUUUCAAAACUUCAUAAACUUAUUAGACUUCACAAAUUUGAAUCAAAAUUUAACAAUAUAAACAAUCAGCACUUUCAAUUGUUAUUAUUUAUGAAUUACAAUCACAGAGAUUGACCUGUUCUUGUUUUUCUCUGAAAAAAAUUCUAAUUUGAAAAAUAAAAUUCUAUUUCAAAUUAAAAAAAAAAUGGAAAAUCAGGUUUUAGACCAAGAAAAAUAUCAACUGUAACUAAAGAAAAAUGAAUCACAUUGGUAAAAAUACUCAAUUAAACUGAAUCUUCAUUUACAAAUGCCUGACUACUAAUAGAAUCACCGGAGUAUAAUUGAAAAUUUGGACAAAGGAAAAUAAUAUAAAUAAUAGGAGUAAAAUAAUCCACAAUCCCUAAGAUUAGAGUACCAAAAAAAAAAAAUGAAAUUACAAGUAACAAGAGUUCAAUCUCUAUUUUUAUGUAUUUACAUUCUUGCUACAAAUUAUUGCUUCAUGUCAUAUUUUCAUUUACUCCUGCCACAAACAACAAGGUAGCAAGCAAAUCAAAAUCCUCCAAAUGAAAAACUAAAGAUAGAAACUCAAGAAAUAAAAAGAAAAAGAAUGAAAAAUUGGAGAGGCAAGAGCAAAGCGACUAAACAGAUGCCUUGAUCAACUCUAAACAUUCAUAUCAUUUGUGGAACCAAACAAAAUGUUUGCGCUUAACAAAUCAAAAAUAUUAAGAAACCAAAAAACAAAGUCAUCACACAACUAAUGCAAAUAAACAACACCAUAUGUCAAUCCAUAUAAACCAACACAUGUGCACAAGAGUACAAUCCAAAUGAAUAUUGAACAAAUCCAUCCGUCGUUUAAUCAAAUUUACAAAUCCACAAAUACAAUUUCAAGCUAAAAUGAGAAAGCCUAUCAUUCCAGUAGUGUUGAAAUAUACAAAAAUAAUAAAUCAUACCUUAUAACAUUGUAAUCAACACUCUCAGCUAGGAAAAUCAACAAGAAAAUUAUCUAACCAUUUCAUGUCAUUUUUAUGCUUAACCCAAAAGAAAAACAUAGUUGAACAAAUGGAAACAUUAAUUGAGUUCAUAAUUGACAAAAUUGAAAGCUCAUUUAACCUUAGGUUCUCUCACAAUUAUAAUGCAGAAACAACAUCAUAGUCUCCAUUUAAACCUCGUUGGAUCUACACAGGCCUAAAAACUCAACUAAUGAAAUUGUUUAUCUAUAAUAUUUUCAUGGUGAAAAUAGAAGAAACUCAUCAAUAAACAGAAUAACCAAACAAGAUCAAUCCCAAAAGAAUUAUAUUACAUGUUACAACUAUAAUCCAAGGAAUUAAGACAAGCAGAAAAAUCCAAUAAACAAUAAAACAAACAAAAUUAAAUCUAACAAUCAAAUAACUAUAAUUCAACUGAAAUAUUAAAGAUUAUGUGAGUUUUAGAUCAUUAAAAUAUCCCCUAACUAAAAUAAAAAUGCUAUUCAAUUACAUGGGAAAAAAUAUUCAAUUAAACUAAAUCUGCUUUACACAAGCUGAAACUCUAAAAGAAGUUCACAUUAAUAUUACCACUUAAACAUAAUUGAACCUUUAGACGAAUAGAAUUGGUUAAAAAUAAUAUGAAAAUUGGAGUAGAAAACUUCACAAUUCCUAAGAUAGAGUAAAGCCACAAAGAUAAACAAAUUAAAAUAACAAAAUUUCAAUCUCUAAUUUUCUACCAUUUCCAUUACUGCUAUAAAUUAUUGCUUCAAGUCGUAUUUUUAUUUUCUACCGUGAUUAAAGAACACUGUAACAAGCAGGUCAAAAUCCUUUCAAAUGAAAAGUUAAAGAUUGUGGAAACUCAAGAAACAAAAGGAAAAAUAAUGAAAAACUGGAGAGGUAACACGAAUGAUUGAACAGGGAAGUUGAACGCAGAACAUUCAUACCAUUUGAGGAAGCAAACAAAAUGUUUAUGCUUAACAAUUUAAGAAAUAUCACGUAAAAUCACUAGACCUCAAUCCAUACAAACCAACAAGUACUCUGCAAAGCCUGGUAGUGUGGCAAACAAAGCAAUUGACAAGAAUAAUAACCUACAAAGUAGAGAUAAUCUUAAAGUGUCUUAUCUACAAAAUUCAAAAAGAAGCUUUGCAUUCCAUAUGCUGACAAAGAUCAUAAUUAAUCAAAUCCAUGAAACACUUUCACUGUUUUAACAUGCAAGCCGCAGUAUCUUAAGUCUUUGUAAUGAGAAAAUUUAGAAGCACUUUUAAACAAGGUUCAGUUGAAUCAAAUAAUUGGAUCUAAUAUAUAAUACAAAUGCUAACUCCCAUACUAAUUUCAACAUAAUGACCUUUGCUGCAUACAUUAAAAUCAUGACUAUUACCAUGUCCUCAAUUUUGCGUCAUACAAACAAAUUUCAUCAUAAAACAAAGUACAGUGCUUUAAAAAAAAAGGCAUUACAGGCUGCUGGGAAUGAGGACUAGGGGCUGAUGGGGUUGUAACGAAGAUCAAAAUCAAUGCACUGAAAUGAAUAAUGACAGAACUCAUGCUAUGAAUUGUUUUAAAUCAUGUUUUACACCUAACAAAGGGUUAGUAUAUUAGAGGGAUUGAUACCUGGCAUGUACUUCAGCAAACCAGGACCCCUGAAAAUAAGAAAGAAAAGUUUUGCUCAUUUCAAAAACACGCAAGAAAAUAGAGCGUCUUCUCAGGUAUUUUUCAAAAAAACUAUUCGUUGUAACCUACGCAAAAUUCUACUUGGCACAAUCGUAAGGACCAAUCCUAAGAUUAAGAUAAAGGCCUGCUUGCUGCACCAGCUUGAUAAACUUCAAUAGAUCAUAAUACCCCUCCAAAUAAUACUAAAACCAAUUAAAAUAAAAAGAAAAAAAAUAGCAACACAUAUAUUGCAGAACUUAUUUAAAAUAUUACCCUAGAUUUGAGACCACAAGCAAACUGGGCCUCCUGAUAAAAACAAAUUAGAUGCCAUGAAUAAAAUUAUUACAAGUCCACCAGAGAAAUUGUCAGGAUUAUAGCGAUUAGAAACCUCGCGUAACUUCAUUUAUCUUCACCAAUGAAGAUAGGUCAACAUUUAACAUUCUUUCACAACCAAGUACACCAAGUCUUACACAUAAAGGUUUAAGGUUACAAAGUAUAGUUACUUAAGACUCUAGAUUUAUCGUAAGGCAACUUAGAAAAUUCCAUUACCACACAAAGACCUGCGUCUAUUUCUUAUAAACAUGGCAAGAAUCACAUCCAAGGUCAAGCAAAUUCAACAACAAGCCCAUACAACAUAUACCCAGCACAUACACAACUCAUUAGCCAAUUUGAGGCACAAAACAAUAGAAUAUUGUCAUAAAACCACCAUAAUAUCAUUGGACUCAAAUAUAAGAAUAAUAGAAAUAUAAUUAUUCAAUUGGAUCAUUACCCCAAAUCACGAAUACUAGCGAGACUACAUUAAUUCAUGCUAAUGUCAGCAGCACAUUAUUUAAUAAAAUCAUUCAAACAUAAAAAAUCAGCUACAUGCGAAUCUAGAAUUUAAAAGGAAAUAUAUAAUAAUUUUUUGGAGAGAAGAAAUCCCUUUCCACUUAUAUUGAAGAUAAUUCAAUAAAAUGACAAGCCCCAAUUCGCAGCUCAUCAAAACAAACCCCAUUACUUUCAUUUGCUUGAUGAUCGAUAAUGUGACCUUUUUUUUUUAAUUUCUGAUUUUUUUCCUCUUUGUGAACAACAGAAUCUCAAGAUGAAAUAUUGCAGUAUGACUUAAUUGUAACUCUAUCUAUUCAAAAGAAAAAAAUGACAAGCCCUAGCAAUUAUCAUUCAAUUAUCAAUCCCUAGAAAUCAUCCCAAUAUUUCAAGUAAUAAUUUCUCAAUUGUAAAAUCAAAUUAUUGAAACUGAAAUUUCAAGUAAUAUUCAUAAACUAAACUGAAACUUCAAGCAUAUUUAGAGACAUGAUAAGAUUUUAAUCAUAUAUUAAAUUAGAGAGAGAGAGCUCACCGAAAUUAUUGGAAGACAUAAGAGAGAGAUACAGCAAGAGAGAUGAUUCAUGACAGUGAAAAAUUCAAGCUGAGAGUGAUAGAUUGAAGCUGAGCGCGAGAAAUUGAGUGACGAAUUGAGGCGAGAGUGGCAGAUCGAAUAAAUGACACUCCUUCAACUACAUCGUUGCUCUUUGCUGUGAUGGGUGGUGAAUAUUCUUGAAUACCAAUUUCAUUCAUCCAAAAUUCUGGAUGUAGGCGAAAACAAUAACAAAGAGAAAACACAAAGGUUGAUAUUAUGAGAGAGAGGGUCAUCACAAUCCAACGGCAGUGAUUUUUUAGUUAAGUUAAUUGAUGAAAUAAUAACUGGCAUAUCCGGUAGCCAAAUGAGUAAUCACGCAUAUUAACCAUUGGAUGUAUCUACUUCUAUCUAACGGUUGUCUUUUUUUAAAAAUAAAAUAUUAAAUUUAGCUGUAUGAGAUACAGACGCUGUAUUACAAGCGGAACCCCAUUUAAGAUAGAACAACAACAACCGAUUCAAUCAUGCCCUUUUCUCCCUAAUAAAUUAUGAGUUCGGCUCCACAGUAUCUUGACUUGACAUGGGCCCACUAAUCAAACUGCUUCUUCUAUGUCAUUUUAUUUGAACUCAGCUACACUUUCAAGAAAUAUUCUCUCAUCGUUUGUUAUUUAUUAUUCAAUCUGAUUGACGAGUAAGUAAUAUGGGACGUUGAUCAACAUGUGUACCAUUAUAUCCUAUCAUACACAAAAACAGCUAAUAAUUCCUCAAAUCAUUAAAAACUUUGAUGUCAUGGAUGGCGUUUUCUUCAUACGAAUUUACAUAAAAAUAUACGGGUCGAUCCCAGAGGCUGAGCAAAAUACACAUGUAUCGGUUACCACGCGUUUUACACUGCCCAUCAAGAUUAGCUCGCAAGUAUUGACAAUUUGAGGCCGUUGAUUUACUUGCAAUCACUUGACUCGUGGUCCAAGAUUAAAUAAUAAAUCUAACGAACUGCCUCCUCAAGUGGAUACUUCUAGGCUUCUAACCGUUAAAAGCCAUCAGCUCAUAGGGACCAAAAAAAUUAUUUUUCUCCACGUGUCUUUUGACAAUGGGAUGUUGAAAUUCAGCCUUUUUUAAUUUUUAUUUUAAUUUAUUGUUUUUAUUUUUACAGGUUUCAUAUCUGAUUUCUCUCCCGGUCCUGGAAACAAAAACCACGUAAAAAUAUGUGGUUUUUAAUUAAAUACCCUUUAAUAAUUUUAAAAUUAUUUAAAUACCCUCUUUUUUUUUUUUCAUGAAUACCCUAAUAAAUAUGAGUAAAAUCGAAAAUACCCUUAAUGAAUGCAUCAAAUUCACUCAAUGAAUUGUCUUCAUAUUAUUUCCUCAUUUCUUUCACCCAAUUCCAUUUUUGCUGCCGAUUCUUUCAAAAUCUCUCAUAACUUCUUACACAAAUACAAUUAUGUAUUCAUUUCUUUAACGCUCAUUUUUUCUUUAAAGGUGCAUUGCUUAUUAAACAACCCAAUAAGGUAUGUUAAUAUUGUUGGGUUUUAAAUUUUUUAAUUUUUAGGAAAAUUUAGAAAAUUUCCUCACAUUACAAUGUUUUAUUUUCACCAUUUUUUCUUAUAUGUAGAAAUAUAUGCAAUGUAGGUUGUUUAAUUAUUUUUUUCAGCAAUAUAACUUAUUUAUGGCGAAAAUGUUUUGCAUCGUGCAUUCUUUUGAUACCGUGUACGUCAUAUAGUUAGUCAUGUAGGUCGUGUAAGUAAUAUAAUCGUGUAAGUCGUGUAGGUCAUGUAAAAAAUAUAGUCGUGUAAGUCGUGUAAGUAUUAUAGUCGUGUAUGUGAUGUAGGUCGUGUACUUACUUGUAUAUGAAAUUUGAUAUUAUUGUUUUUAUUGUAUCAUCAGAUAUGGUUUUGGUACGUGUGCCUAUUCUCUUCAAUGGUGAAUAGAUUGAGCAAAAUGACGAGUAUAAGUUCAAAGAUUCCAAGGCUAAAGGGAAUGGUCGUGCCUAUUCUUUUCAAUGGUGAAUGGUCGUGUAGGUCAUGUACUUACUUGUAUAUUACAUGACCUUACAUGACCAAAUAGUGCGUUCAUAAAUUACAGCAAAAAAAUAAUUUUGCAUAUUCGACAGUUUGAGAAAUGAUGAGAUUAAUUAUUAUAAAUAAACAAAGUUAUCAGUUUACAAUGUCAAUAUUUGGAUAAGAUACACUAAUGGAUAUCGCAAUUAAAUAUAUUACAACCAUUUAAAAAGUUUUUUUUUUAUCUUCAAACUGCUUUCUUCCUCUGCCGAAGCAUACAUGCAUACAUGAGGAAUGCCUGCAUAUAAUAAAUCCAUGAAAUCAAUUAGAAACAACUCUUAAUCAAAGGCUGGUUGAAAAAAAAACACUUUAGUUAAUUCUUCCUAUUAAGAAACCAAACUAUUUCCACCAGCAAGCUAUUUCCACCACUAACAGUGAUGGCUUAUAAAAUUUCAUAUUAAGAAACCAAACUAUUUCCACCAGCAAUGACUUCAUUUAAAAAAACAAUACUCACAUGUUAGUUGUUCUCUGAAAGUAAUGACUGGUCAUAUAAAAGUCUUUCAGCUAGUUGCUUGCGAUAAGAAGAGACAUGUGCCUGCGUACAAUUUGUUUGAAUAUCUUCACCACGUGCAAGUGUGUCCAUGUAACGCAAAACAAACACACCACAAUCUCCACUGAGAAUUUUAAAAAAUAGUCAACUACAUACUGAAUAUAUAACUAUAACAGCAAAAUGAAAAACAUUGAGCAUUUGGUUUGCUCACCAAGAUUCUUGAUGUGGCGUAUUCUCUACACCCAAAACUGUCCAAACUUUGUUUUUUUGGGUAGUUUCAGGGUGCAAAUCAUACCGUAAAAUCUUCUCCAGUAGAAGAGGAAUAAUAACAGCAUAUGGCAAUAAUUCUUUCAAAAAUGUUGAGUCAUUCAUUACAGAAACCAUGGAGUCAUAUAUGGAAAUUGUCUCCCUUACAAUGUCAACCUCAGCAAGAAUCCAAUAAAGGUCGUGUAAGUGCAAUACAUGAAAGUCGUGUAAUACACAACCUUGAAUCCUACAUAACCUUACACGACCAAAUCGUGUGUUACAUGACAAAAUUAUAAUCCGCACAGUCCAUCAAUUUUUCACAAUUUGCAUGCAGCAAAACAACUAGAAAUUUAUUUUUGAACAUGUAAUGAGAGACCCGCAACUAAUUAAUCUAUUUUUUCUAUAUAAACCCUAACUUUUUAUUUUUUUCCCUGAAUAUCAACGAGAAAACUAUUUAUAGAGAAUUACUUACCCCAACUAGUUAAAUUAUGACCAUUUUACAAUAAAGGAUCAGCUCUCGUCGGCGAUUAUGUAGCGACGAACUAGGCUUCUCUUUCUUAGUUGUGGCAGCUUCCCCUUCUCAGGCUUAGUUUGCUCGUGUUGAAGUUCGAUUUACCAUGAAUGGAGAAUGAAUGUUUGUUUCGGUAGAGGUGAUGUCAGUGAGGGAAUUGCAGUGUUUGUUUGUUUGAGUUUGACAAUGGAGGGAAUUGCAGCAAAUGAGUAUUUGUUUGCUUCGGUAGAGGGGGGAGAGAUGCUAUUCGUUGAGUUGAAAUGUUUUAAAAUGAGGGUAAUUUAGUAAUUUUUUAUCAAUUUUUAAAAGGUAUCGAUGGAAAUUUUAACAAAAACAGAUUUUAGGGUGUUGAGAUAAUUUUUAGAGUAUGGAGGUUUACCGGGCGCAAUUAACUCUAAAAAUAACCUGACAGCUAGAGAAGAGGCUAGGCUGAGAACACAAACAAUCACUAAAAUUCACAAAUUACACAGAGUUAUGGAGAAUCAAAACAUAAAAGUGGAGGAACAGGGGGACGACGAGGGGGCGCCCAUGGCGGGCGAGGUUCUUGAAGAAGAAGGAGAGAUCGGCUCCAGCUUGACCAUGGAGAGAGUCGCCGCAGCCAAGCAAUUUAUUGAGAGUCAUUACAAGGCUCAGAUGAAACACAUCCAAGAACGCAAACAAAGGUUCGUUUAUUGCUAAUUUGUAUAAAAGAAUUUUUUAUUCUACAUUAAUUUUCUUUAUUUGUUUAUCUGUGCAUAUGUAAUUUUCGUGUUCCAUUUUGGAAGGAUCUCCUUUGACUUUUUGUACAUCUUAUUUGCAUGCAUUGUUGUUGUCGUUUUGUUUCUUAAUGGAAAUCUUCGGGUAAAUAAAAUGUUCUCCACUGAUUGUUAAUUGUUAGCUAUUGCGGAUAUCUUGGGUUUACAUAAUGUGAAAAUUUUAAUUGCAUUUGAAUAAAAGAUAUGGUUAAUAAAGGGAAUUUGGAAUUAGGAAGAUAAUUCACGGUUGAUUUGAUUUUCCUCUGCAAUUUGUUCUGUGGAGUGUGGAGCACUGGAUCAUGUAGUCGGCAAUGUCAAACUCUGUUAUUAGGAAUGCAGAGUACAAAUAGGGAGAGGAUACUUUUGUUAAAAUUUCAGCUGACCGAAUCUGAAUCUAACUAGAUAUUAUCAUGGAAAACCUAACUGUAAAGAGUGUUUCCUGUUUGGAAUAUCAUGUGUAAUAGCAUAAAGUUAAUUCCUGCAAUAAGUUUUGAAGGCUAAAGGAAAUUCAAAAGGGAUUUAAGCUAUACAUUUUAGUAGUUUGCCUAUGGUUUUGAAACCAUUAAAUAUGUACACUCUUAUUUGGGAAGUUGUCUUCACUGGCAUCUUAAAGAUUUUGGCACUUUCAACAUAAUAAAUGAGGUGUGAGUAUAAUUUUUUUUUUUUUAAAAAUCAAGAGCAUUUUUCCUGCAUUGGAAGGAUGAGGUGUGUUUACCUUCACUGUUUUACUCCUUUAGAUACGAGUGAUUGUUUAUUUCAUUUUCCUCGCACUCCAUGUGGCAAAACCACACAAAUCUUCAAAGGUUGUUUGCAAUUUUGUUGAAAGUAAGGAGAGCUGCAGGAAUAUGUAAUAUUUGAAAAAUAUGUGUAAAUGAUUUUGUCUUUACUUUUUUUUUUAAUAAUUUCCUAUUACCAAUAGCAUCUUUCCUGUCCAUGCCUGCGAACUUGUUUGAUUGCCAUUCCGGUUUCUAGUUCGUGCGUACAAACAAUCACAAACAGAGAAACAAAAGCAUAAUAGUGCAUGGAUAGCAUUUUCCAUUGAAUUCAUCAAACUUUGAAUUCUUCUAUUUUUCUUUUAGCUUUCAAUUUCGAUUUUUUUGCUUUAGCUUUCCUUCAUUGUGACCAUUUGCUAUGAAAGUAUAAAAGUACUUAUGUUUAUGGUAAAAUGUUUCUUCUUUCCAUUUUCGAUUGCUGCACUACACUAGAAUUAUUACCAAGGGUUCCCCCAGCUGCAACAUCCGUAGGCAUCCAGAAACAAACUAAGUACUAUACCCCCAGAAACAAUCUAAGUACUAUAUACACAAGCAAAUUCUACUUUUUGACUUGACUCAUAUCAUAUGUAAAAAAUUCCUAGUGCAUUUUGACACUUAGUGAAUAUGUCAAAAACAUCCUUGUGCAUUUUGAAACUAAGAAAAACAUAAUGUCCUUUAUCAGUGAUAUUUACCUUUUCAAUGACUUUUUUGACAAUGGAGUUUCCUUUGAUCUUGGUAUUUUUCCUGGCAUAUCAUUGUCAAUGUUAGGCGCUCGGUGCUGGAAAGAAAGUUGGCAUCUUCAGAUGUUCCAGAAGAAGAACAAAUCAAUAUACUGAAGGAUCUGGAGCGCAAAGAGACUGAAUAUAUGCGUUUAAAAAGGCAUAAGAUUUCUGUAGAUGACUUUGACCUCUUAACCAUUAUUGGAAGAGGAGCUUUCGGAGAGGUUAGACACGCAUCCUUUGAAUAACAUUUGAGGAGAUUUCUUUAAAAUUAUCCUUAAUUCUUGGAUAAUAAAAAGGAAUUAUUGUGCUAAAUUUUCUGAUUGUAUUUCAAAAUAACAGACAAUAACAAUUACAUUAUGAUCUAAGCAAAACAAAAGCUGUCCUAACUAAUCUUGAAUAAAUUUUCAAUUAUCAUCAACCAUUCUGACCUCGAUACCUGAUAUGCUGAUAAUGUGGAGGCAACUAAUAUCAAUAAAUUGGCAGACCGGAGGUAAAAAUUGAAUAAGAAAGGUUAUUGCACUAAAUCUUUUAGUAAUAGAUACUUAAGUGCGUAGAGUAUGAUCCUCAUCAUUGUUUCUUAAUGAUAAUGGGGACCCUUGAGUCAGUCGGUUUAACUCUCAUUGUGAUAGCACAACUGAAUCUUAUUUUCCCUGUAGCCAAAAGUAGUCUCCAAAAGCAUCAAAUCCACCACUUCCCUUAUAGAUAUUUAAGUGAUGUGGAGGCAAUGUUAGAGUUCAAUGAUGGUACUACUGGUGGCAGGGGUACACUAUUGCUGGUGAUGGUCAAAGUACCAAAGGCAUCAGUGAUGUCAGAGGCCUGCUGAGGGCUAAGUUGCUGGAAUAUAUUAUGGUAGAGAGGCUGGAUAUUGGUGAUGAGGGGUGAUGCCAGUGAUGGCAUUGUUGAAUGAGGUAGCAGUUGCAUAGGCAACAUAGAGUUCAUAGAAAUACUGAAAUUAAUGAUUUUUGGUGUCUUAAGAAUUAUAUUGUGGUUUUUGUGAUAAUUGUAGUGGGCAUGUGCAACUGGGUUUAGUCUUGGUGGAUGUUGUGGGGUGAAAUGGUUUGGGUAGUGAUGAUUUUGUGCUAGUGCUAAAGAUGUAUUAAGCUCGUAGAAAUAGUAAGUGGUGUUGUGUUGUUGAUCUGGUUUUGAUGGAAUAUCAGAUUUACAACAGUUUACAGACCAUUGUACUUGCUGUUCUCGAGUCUCACCUUAUGGAUGAGAUGUGCAUCCCAGCUAUUUUAGGAUUUUAACAUUUCCUAGAACUGAAUUACCAUCGGAGUAGGUGGCGAAGUCUGUAAUGCAGUGUUGGUUUUAGGGUUUGGAACUCCAUGCUAUUAGUUCCCGUGAAACAAACGAAUAAGGCCUAGUUAGUAAUUUGAGUCAGAACUGAUUAUGUUAUUCUGCUAAAAUAUAAGUCAUAUGAGGCCUUCUUUUUCCUUUUUUUUUUAAAAAUAAUUUUUAAUCUGAAUUCCAAUAUUUAGACUACACUUUUUUUUCCCUUUUUCUUUUUAAAUAUUUUUUAAUCUGAAGUCCAACCUUUAAACUAAAUGAUAGUGGAUGGCCUUCUCCAUUCCUUAAACUUCCCAGUUAUCACCUUUACCAUAGUUCAGUUAAAUUUGAGCCUCAAUUUUUUAUAGUUUGACUGUGUUUUGAGGUGGUUUAUAUGUUCUUCUAACUUGGUGUUGCAGACCUUUUGAUGGAAGUUUGUUAGGAGCUUAUAUAUUUUUCUUUUCAGGUUAGAUUGUGUCAGGAGAAAAAAUCAGGCAAUAUUUAUGCCAUGAAAAAGUUGAAGAAGUCAGAAAUGCUUAGCAGAGGACAGGUAAGAUCCAAAAUAUUUAGUCAUUUUUACUUUAUUCUUUUAGCAAAAAUAUUAUGUGGCUUAGAACAAAUGCUGUGCCCCCUUUUUUUUCAAGGCUAUAGCUGAAUCCUCUGCAUGAAUGUUAUACCUUCUGUUUUGUCUCAAGAAAAAGGUGGUUGUUGGUUCCAUGUCUCAUCUGCUUGUACUAUUUUCUUGAAUUUUUUUUUUUGUUUCAUAACCCGAUGAGCUGUAUUAAACUCAUGAUCCAUAGGUUUGAAUGAUACAUGCUAUACAAAAGUUUUCAGUAAUGUGAAUGAUUGACUUUGCAAGCUUAGUUUGAUGAGUGGUGACUGGUAAGAGAUGGAGAAUUGGAUUGGGAACUGUAAUAUCCAUGAGAAGUUAAUAAUUUUACACUAAGGAGAAGAUAAGAGAUUUGGUUUGAUGUUUUGGUCAUGAACAAAGAAGAGAGAUGAGUAUUAUAUUGGAAAGUAUAUGAAAUCUUAUUGCUACUUAUAUGCCCUUUUCCUUCUUAUAAGAAUCUCUGGUUUGGAAGCUGUUAUUUCGGGCAAUAAAAUCUGCGGAGUAUCAUUUCUUAUUAGAGGGAUACAAGGAAUACAAUACAAAUUAAUAACAUUGUUGUUUGAUUGCUGCAUAGCUCACACUAUUCAUUCUCAUUUUCCCAUUGGAGUGGAUCAAGGAUAGGAUACAAAUUAAUAACAUUGUUGUUUUAUUUCCUCAUUGCUCACAUUAUUCAUUCUCAUUAAUUGCAUUGAGUUUUGUGUUUUCAUCCAACAAAUAAGCUCAUGCUGCAUCAGUUUGCAUACAAUUGUUUGUACAAAAGGUUUGUAUGCUUGUUAUUCAUCUUUUGAUUAGUAAAUAAGAUGCCUAGAAUCAUGGUAGUUUGUAAAGUGACAAUAAGACUAAUUCCAUGGCAUCUCUCACAGUGAAGAAGGAUUAUUCCUUGCUCAAUAUUUUACUUUGAAGCAGCUGCUUUUUGUAACAGCUAUUGUCUCUAUCCUUGAAUCUCAUAGCACCAAGGGAACAUCAGCCAUUUUCAAUAAUUAUGUAUGUCACUUCAAUAGUUGCGAGUUUCUUGACACAUUACUGAUGUUAUACGCCACAGGUUGAACAUGUUAGAGCUGAGAGGAAUUUGCUUGCUGAAGUUGCCAGCCACUGCAUUGUGAAACUCUAUUAUUCCUUUCAAGAUGCUGAGUACUUAUAUCUAAUUAUGGAAUAUCUGCCUGGUGGUGACGUGAUGACUUUGUUGAUGAGGGAGGAGACUCUAACUGAAACAGUGGCUAGAUUUUACAUUGCUCAAAGUGUUUUGGCCAUAGAAUCUAUUCAUAAACAUAACUAUAUUCACAGGUUCAUAUUUUCAUGUUUGUUAAAAGAAAAAUAUUUGGGAACAAAAUAUCUUGAAGUUCAUUAUAUUUAUAACUUGAUGAAAUCUUGUUGGCUUAACUAAUUCACGACCAUGCGUAUGUUCAUUUAUUCUACAGAGAUAUAAAACCUGACAACCUUUUGCUGGACCAAAACGGUCAUAUGAAGCUCUCUGACUUUGGUCUUUGCAAGCCUCUUGACUGCACAAAUUUGUCUGCUAUAAAUGAAAAUGAAGUUCUAGAUGAUGAGAAUUUAAAUGAAUCAAUGGAUGUUGAUGGCCGCUUCCCAGAAUCUGGUUGUGGGAGGCGCUGGAAAAGUCCCCUUGAACAGUUACAACAUUGGCAGAUAAAUAGGAGGAAACUGGUACGUAGUAGUUCCCCAUGUCUGAUCUAUAGAUAUGACCCUCCUGUACAUCUAUGUUUAUCUUUGAUUGCCGAUUAAGUGAAAUUCAGACUGGAUCAUAAAGAUGAGAGUUCAAGCAACUGACAUUUGUUUGGAAAAAAAAAAAGGGAAUGAAAAAAAAAAGGGAAAUUUGACUACAUAGCUAUAUUCAACAUUGUGCAUGAGUUUGUUUGCACUAAGAAAUUUCAUUUAUUUGGUUAGGCAUGGAAAGUAAAAAGCGAUAUUGGAUAAUUCUGUUUCAAUUCUCUGAAACUAUUGGGUAUAUUGGUUACCAUACAGUGAAGAUUUAGUUGUCAUCAUGAUUAAACUUGUUCAAAACAAAUAAACCCCCUCGAUAAUCCGUUACCGUUAUGGCACUUCUUUUUGUGCAUCUUGGAUAAACUUUAGAAUUUUGUUGCCUUCAUUUAUCUUUUUCCUUUUUGUUUUAUCAGUGCUUCUCUUGUAUGCUUCUGACAGGCAGCAGGCAUUUAUUGUUGGGUGAAUUCUUACUUACUGCAGAGAACUGGCAACAAUCUUAGUUGUGUUAUUUUGGGAAUAAUUUAAGUAUUUUUUUUAUUAUUGAUCUUGAAUAUUUACAGUUAGAAGGAUCUUUGUUUUUAAGUUUAUGUUUUCUUCUUAUUUUGACAGGCAUAUUCAACAGUAGGCACGCCUGAUUAUAUUGCGCCAGAAGUGUUGCUGAAGAAAGGAUAUGGAAUGGAGUGUGACUGGUUAGCAUAUUGGAAUGAAACUCUUUCUUGUAACUAUUUGUCUGACAUUAUGUUGUAUGUUUGACUUUUGUAAUAGGUUUUUAAAUUUUCCUCGGAGAGCAUUGAUAGAAGUGGAAGUGAAAAAUAACUUUUGAUGGAAUUGUUUUUGUUUUAUGUUUUUCCUAUGAUUGAUUUUAUAUGACUGCUGUUUACUGCAUUUUUCUUUUUUAUCUUUUACAAGGAUUGUCCUUCUGAUUUGGAGGUUAAAUUCAGGUUAAAAAGAAGGAUUGUCCUUCUUUUUUAUAUAAAUGACUUAGAAAUUUUUCUUUUCGUAAACUUUUCUACCAGAACCCCCUAAAGAUUAUGCAUUUAUAUUUUUAGUAUAACAUAUUAGAAGAGAAACAAAUUGAUGCGAUGCGUGGUUCUCUGUAUUUUCUUUUUCUUCAUAUUUGUAAUAAAAUUCUUUUGUCCAUUUCAUGAAUUCUUAUCAAGUUUUGUGCUAGCAGGUGGUCACUUGGUGCCAUAAUGUACGAGAUGCUUGUUGGUUAUCCCCCUUUUUACUCUGAUGAUCCAGUAACAACAUGCAGAAAGGUUUACUUUUAAGAUGCAGUGUGGCCUCGGUCACAGUAUCAUAUUGAAUCUGUUUUCCACCUCAUCUGUCAUAUUUCUCUCUUCUCACAUUUAAUUCAUUAUUAGUUGUAAACUUACAUAGGCUAUGCUCUGUAUGCGUGUUUGAGUUCAAGACAUUUCAUUGGUGGCAUCAGAUAAGAUAAAAAAUAAAAUAUUAUAAAAUCUGUCCUUAUUUAAAAAGACUCAUUAAAGUUCAUUAAAUUGAGUUGUUUAAUGCACUAACGUCAUGGGUUGUAUUGCAAUUUCUAAAGAAUGAAUGAAUGGUUUAAAUUCUUCUCAUUUCCUUGCAUGUAUUUCAGAUCGUGCAUUGGAAAAAUCACUUGAAGUUUCCGGAGGAGGCAAGAUUGACGCCUGAAGCAAAGGAUCUUAUUUGUAGGUUGCUUUGUGAUGUUGAGCAUAGGCUUGGAACUCUUGGGUCUGAGCAAAUUAAAGUUCGUUCUUGUAGAUUACAAUAUCUUCUUUAACUUCAUGUUUGCUAUUGCUCUUUAGCACAUCUAUUAACAUCAAAUUGUCAUCAGGCUCAUCCUUGGUUCAAAGAUAUUGCAUGGGACAAACUCUAUGAAAUGGAAGCAGCAUAUAAACCAGAGGUCAAUGGUGUACUCGAUACCCAAAACUUCAUGAAAUUUGAUGAGGUAAUGUGUUUCACAUAUUCAAUUCUUCCAUUAGUUAAGAAACAGGUUAUUAAUUGUUUUGUUUGCCUAGAAUUAACUGAAAGCAUUCGUCUACAGUUCUCUAAGUAUAGAUAGGGAAAAAGGGGCUAGUCCUACUGGUAAAUUUGGGAUUUGAAUCCAAAACAUUUCGUGAUAUCCAUUUUCAUUAGGUUUGACUGUUUUUAUAGAUUUCAGGAAUGCUAUCCUCUGUAUAAGGCAGCCUUUAAACCUUAAUAGUUAAGUAGAUACAUGGUAAUAAAUUGAAAUAUCUUAAGAACCACUUUUAGGACUGUUCGGUAUUCUUUGGGCUUUGAAAAUAAUCAUUUUUAGCUGUGCUGAAGAAAUGAUCAGCUGUAAAGAUAGCAGUAAGGUGUUUGGUUAGUUUUGUUUUUAAAAGUACUGUCAGUUAUAUAUAUAUAUAUAUACACACACACAUAAAUAUAUAUUUCCUUUUAUAAGAAAAGAAAAUUAUAUGCUUUUGGUUGAUUUUACAGUUAAAAUGUUGUGACAAUGCAUAUGACUAAAAUCCACAUAAUGCCAAGAAAAAAAUAUUUUCAUGCAUGAUGUGUGUGAAUGUAGUAAUUAUGAAGACGUUUGGUAUCUACAUGCCAAACAAUUAUUAUUUUAUUAAAAUAAUUGUCAAUUGAGAAUCUAAUGUUUACUUUUCUAAUUUUUUGUUUGUUUUAUUAUAUCAUGAUAAUAAAAACUUAAUAUUUCUUUCAUAAAAAAUUAAGAUUUUAAGUAAUAAGGAUCUUGUUAAGCUUAAAAUUUAAUGAUUUUAUUUUAUGGUUAGAGAUGGAAUUGAGUAAUGUGUGCAAGGAAAAUUUUGAGUUCGUAUAAAUUGUUUUCUCAAUACCAAAAUUUCGAAAAGCUACUCCCUCAUUGCUUCAAAAUGCCUUUAAGGUAUUUUUGCCAGGUUGAUUAGAAGAAGAAAAAUUAACAAACACCAAAAUACCUUUUUAGUUUCCUAGACUCACUUUUGAGCAUCCCAACAAUCCCAAACAAUAGGGUCAUAUUCUUCAUUUAUGUCUAGUUAUUAUUCUUCUUGUGUCAUUAUUUUUAAGAUAUCUUUCUAAUACCAUGUGACUUAGUUAUAACUGUGCCAUAGGUGGAGUCCCAAACACCAAAAAGAACAGGAUCUGGACCCAUGAGGAAGGUAUGUAACUUUGGUGCAGAUGAAUUGCAAACGUAAUUUGCUUAAAUUUAAGUAAGCUGUUCAAAUAUCUCUAUUUUAAGUAGAUUACUAUGUGAGAGAAAUUUCCUUUAUUUAAAGCUUACACAGAGGGCAAGGUGAUUUUCAGCCAUCAAGUCCAUUCAACAGCUUUUAAUUAUAAAGAUUUCAGAUGGGUCUGGUUCAUUAUUAAUCCCAGAAAACAUGGUUUCAGGAAUAUAGUUAUUAUUUCUUUCUUGCAUAAGAUUGUCUUCACACUGCUUUUCAAAAACAUUAUGUAAUGUCAUCUAAUGGUAUAUUUCUAUGUGUAUAUAUAAGUGAGAAUUACUUGUGGAAGUGUGCCAUAAUUUUAUUAAAAUCAAUCUCUGCUUCUGUCCAUAAAUUUGGUUUGCAUAUUAACUCAUCUUGAAUUUCCUAGAUGACACUGCAUACCUGUAAAAAUUAAUCUAUGUGAUAAAAGUUAUUGUUUUUCAAUCUGGCUUACUGAAAGCAUCUUAUUUGUUCUCUUUGUCAACAGAUGAUGUUAACUCCUAAAGAUCUCAGUUUUGUUGGGUACACAUAUAAGAAUUUUGAGGCUGUCAAAGGUAUGCACAAUCGUAUUGGUAUGGGAAUACUACUCAAGUUUAUGCUUUACUGUUCUUCUUUCAUCUUUUACUAUCUGACUUCCUAAUGUGAUACGCUGUCAUCCUAAUAUUCUAAUAACUCUCUUCGGCUUCUAUAGGGAGUCUUUACGUAUUGGUCAAAUUUAUCUUUUAUUCUUGCUCAUGCAGUAAAAUUAUCAUUUCCCAGCUUCAUAAUAUUAGACUUGCAUGUGUACCAUGCAUGAAACAAUAGCUGAAGUAUGCAUCUUAUUGAAAAUCCACUUUUUUUCAGAUAUUGAAAUUGAUUAUGUAUGCCAUGUCUUUCUUGGCAUGAAGUAGACUCCAUAUAAAAACCAGUUGUAAUAAUUAAAUGUUUGAAUUCAUUUUUACAUCGUACUUUUCGAAGCUCUUACCUUGCAGCAUAUAGUAAUCAAGCAUGACCUUUUACAUUAAAAUUGGGUUGAAGACAGGCUACCACUUAGCUCAACUAUUAUUUUCAGCUUUAGCGAGAUCUAUGAUUAUUGUUUUAAGUAAUAACCAGAAACAAUCAUCUGGUCUGCUGAGAUCAUAGCCCAUUAACAUUCUUUCAAGGCUUCAAACAUUUGCAAGUGCAAUUUGUGUUCAUUUGUUCUCUAAUUUAAGUAUCCAUUAAUGUAUUUUCUGAUGUCCUUUUAUCCUGAUAUAGCCAGCAAACUUUUUUAAUUAUUCACACAACCACUGCAGAUAAAAGGAGUACGUUGCCAGAUCGGCUGUCUGCUGACUAUAUACAAUGUAAUGGAUGCCCAAUUUGUAUAACAACAUAGCCUCCUUAAGCGUAUGUGCGCCAUUUAUAUUCAUUCAAUGGCACUAAUUAAUGAUUUUCUCUUCUAGGUGAUUCUACAAUUGACAAUUCUUCUGAAAGUACAACUGACAACACAAAGAGACAGACACAUGCAUCGUCAGGGGAUGCCAUGUAAAGCAUCAGCAUUUUGCAAUAGCCAGAGAUGGGGUCGACCUGCUUAUUUUUCAGUCAGGUUGCUGCCACUUUUUGCAUAAUUUCUAAUUGUACAGCUAUAUUAGGACUUCUGGGAAGCCCUUUUUGAUGGUAGCAGCAGUAGUUGUAAUUGAAAGUUUUGCAUUUAUUUAAGAUUUUUAUGGAGGUUCUGAUUGCCGAGGUUGGCAAUCAAAGGUAAUAUGCCAUUGCUUGUGGCAGCUUUUGGUCCUCUGUUGUUCUUGAUAGUUUAGGAGACUGAAACCUAGUAACUGUAUCUUUAUCUGGAAGAACCCUACUGUUAUGAUGCAGCGAAAGUUUAAUGUUUUAAUAGUUCGUUGAUUCUUGAGAGUACUGAAAUAAAAGAAUAGUUGAAGUUCACAUUUAUUCACAUUUAUUCGAAAGAUACCAUGAGCCUAGGGGAUUAGGAUUCGUUGAUUCUAUAGAAUGCUGAGAAUUAGCUAAACUAUACAGCUCACACUAAGCUUUGAAAACUGAAUAUUAGUGAAUUCAACUCUGCCUUCAAAAGCUAUAAGAGGAUUAUUUAUACUAUUAGUAAUUAUCCUAAAUCAUAAGGAAAAGUGAAAACGAAGUUUUAAACUUUUAAGAAAAAGAAUAAUAAACUUUAGAUAAUAAGUAAACCAAUUUAAAUAUGAUAAGAGUUCUUAAUUUACAUCACUCUCCUAGGAUGGAGAGAAUUCUCACUUAAAUUCAGGUUGUUAUGAACAACAUCUUCAUCAUGAUCACCUCUUAAAGGAGUAAGACACUAGACAUUAAAUACAUCUGCAAUAUGAAUAUGACUAAGAAGCUUUUGUCUAUAGCCAUUAUGAUUUAUCUUCUCUGUAAUAUCCAAAAGUUUGAUCUUCUUAGCUGGAAGCUUGUUGUACUCUCCAACUAAAAGCCUCUCUUUGGUUAGAAUUGCCCAAACAAGGUUUCCUAUAUGAAAUUCUAAACCUUAACACUUUUUGUUUGCCUUAAUUUUAUAACCUUAUUGGCCUUCUUCAGGGACUCGUGUACCAGUAUGAAUUUUCUGAAGCAACUCAAUUAAAUCUUCUGACUUGCUGCUUUUCGGAAUUAAAUCUGGAACUAGGGCUAAGUUGAUGGGUGCUCGUGGAUUAUAUCCAUAAUUCACCUAAAAAAGGACUUAAUCCAAUACGAUGUUUAACAUAAUGAUUACGUCAACUAUGCCUUUUGAUCUUAUGCCUUCAAGUUAUCGUCAACUAGAUUACGUAGGUGGUUUGUUAAAGAAUAGUUGAUAACUUCAGUUUAACCAUCUGUUUGUGUGUGAUAAGCACUUCCGAGAUUUAUACGAUUGUUAAUCAAUUUCCAUAUCAUCCUUAAAAAAUGAUUGAGAAAUUGUGUGUCUCGGUCAUAUGCAAUUUAUAGACUUCUUUGAAGAAUAGAUGAGCAACAGUCAAGGCAUCUGUAGUCUUCUUGCAACUAAUAAAGUGAGCCAUUAUAAAAAACCAAUCAACAAUGACAAGUAUUGAAUCUAUACCUCUUUAAGUAGGAGGUAAUCAGAAAACAAAUUCUAUACUAAUUUUAGUCGAAGAUUGUGUUAGAAUUAGCAGCAGUAUACAUAAUCCUGCAUUAGUUGCAGUAUAUUGAGUGCUGGAGAAUGCAUAUUUAUAAAAGGUAAAAUCUUCAUUUUGCAUUCCACACUAAUUAACAUUUCUACUUUUAUGUAUUUAAGUCUUUUAAACUUUAAUUAUGUGUGUUUUGUUAUAGUUUGAGUAUUUUAUGUAUUUUAGGGAUAUUGUGGUCAUUUUACGAUUAAUGAAAAGUCAGAUGGAAAAUAGAUAAUAUUUUUGAGUUUAGAACAACUGAAAACCCUAGAAAGGGCAUAAAAGACAAAAUUAUGCUUUUGAGAUUUUUGUAGGGCCCAGCUGACGUGGCAUUGAUGACGUGGCAUUGACCAGAUGAUGUGGUGUUCACCGAUGAUGUGGUAGCAUAUUAGUAGACCUGAUGAUCUAUUCCAACCAAUUAGAUCUUGUCACAUGGCAUAACUUGAGCAUUCGAAUUGUUUUCAUCAAAAUGACCAUGAUUUACUCAUUAUAUUUAUCAAUAAGGAAGUCCCCCUAAUUUGGUAGCUCUAAAUUGAAAUUUGAGUUUCAUUUAUGUAAUUCUCUCUCCAUCUUGUAUUUUUUAUGUGUUUUAAUAAAACUACCAUUUUACCCCUAGUUCAAUCAUGAGUGACUAAUUUUAUUUUAAGCUUGGAUUGAAGGUGAGAUCUCAACAUGAUCCAUGGGCUUAAUCUGAUAAAUUUAUUUUGUUUUCCUCUUUGAUUUAUGUAGUUGUUUUGACUCAUUAUUGAUAAAUAAUAUCUCUUGUCUAGAUUUUGCAUGGUUUACCGGCUCCCUAGCGAAAGAUUGUCACUAUCUAGUGCAAUGAGUACUUUACAACAUAUUUAUUAGAAAGAGACUCCCCUCUAUUAUUUGUGGGCUGUCUUGACUCAGUGUUGACAGAGAGUGCAUCUAAGUCAUUUAGUGGAUGGUAUCACGUUGUUUACAAAAGGAUUGAUAUCAUUUGGCACAACGUGUAUCUGACACCAUACUUUUUGGAAGAUCAUUAUUUUCUGGCACACUAAGCGUUUGAUACUAUAUUUAUUAUAUUGAGGAUUAUAAGGAGUGGAAAUACCCCUUUAUAAAUUGAUUGGAACUAAAAAUAAAUAUUAAGCCCAUGGUAAAGAGUUGGACAUGAAUCCGGAGACUCAAGUGUUUUAUUUGAUUUAUUUCGUUCUUAAUUUAUUUAUGCUAUUUUUAUUUUAAAUCUUAGUGUUGCUCAAAAAUUAUCUCCAGCCAAUUCACAUACACAUGUAUAAAAUUAACGCUACACAUAAUUAAAUAUAUCUCCCGUGGGAUUGACACUCGUUCACCAUAAAUUUAUAGUACAGUAGAUUCGUACACUUGUGAGUACCAUAAAAUUUGCAUAACAAGAUUUUAACGUUAUUGUCAAGAAGGUAAGUCAUUUUAAUUUGUAGAGGUAAUUUUGUUUUUGUUGUAAAUAUUAUGUAAAUGACUUUGUGUGUAGGUUUUGAGUGUGCUUUCAUAGUAAGUAUUUAACAGCGUGGUAAAUCAGUAUUGUAGCUUCUCUUCUAUCUUUAUUUUCAUUAGUUUUGUUUUUAAUUUUUAUGCAUUCCUUGCAUGCACGAUCAAAGGUCACAAUCACAUGAUCUAGAACUUAUAUAAACCUUAAACUAGAAAAGACACUUUGCACAUAUCAACACAUUGCAUCAAAGGUUAAAAUUGAGGAUAAAAUUGAAAUAAAUUUGGAACAACCACAAGCGCUGGAAGAGGAAUACUUCAGUCCUCUAAAAUUUAAGCACAUCAUGCAUAAGAUAUCCAAAUGUAGCUAUUAGGAGUUUUGAUUGAAAUCUAAUGUGCGAAAUUAUCUCCUAUCAUUCUAUGGCCUAGAAAACGAAGACACAUACAAUCAUUUGAAUGAUUUUCAUGCUAUUUGCCAAGCUUUUAAAUAUGAAAAUUUUUUAGAUGAAGAUGUGAAACUUAGAUUAUUUUUCAUUUUAUCUAAAGAAUAGAGCUCGUUCAUAGUUUGAUACAUUGCCUGCUAAUAGUAUUAUAUCAUUGGAACAAAUAGUAAUUAAAUUUUUAAAUAAAUAUACUUCCAGUGUAUAAAACCAAUGCUAUUUACAGGAAAAUCUCAGAGUUUACUCAGAGAGAAGAUGAGCAGUUUGUCGAAGUAUGGGAGUGGUUCAAUGUGCUACUCUUAAAGUGUCUAAAUCAUUGGUACAAGAAAUGACAACAAUGUCAAUAUUUCUUAGAGGGACUAUUGCCACGUGCAAGAAUGGCUAAUGGCGACAAAUGGAGUUGAGCUAAUGUCUAAAAGCACAGAAAAAAUUUGGAAUUUCUUCUAGCGAGAAGCGGAUAAUUUCCAACAGCGAAGCCGAUCAUUCAAGAAUGUGAGAAAAAUCAAGGAAGUAAAUGAAGUCCACAUUAGGGAAUCGAGAUUUGACAUCAAGGAAGCCAAAGCAAUAAUGAGGGACUUUUUCGCCAAAUAACAUCAUUAAGAGUUGCCAAAUCAACGAAGCCACAAACCUACAAUCAAUUUGACCAUGAUUCAUACAUAGAUCAAGCUAAUGCCAUAAAUGUGAUAAGAAAGUAGUUGAACUACGGUCCUUACUCUAAUACCUAUAAUCCUGGAUGGAGAGACCAUCCCAACUUUUCAUCGUAUCAAGGAUUCCAAUAGAACAAGAUAACAGCUCCAACUCUUUUAAUAUCGCCAGUUCAUCAAACUCCUCAAGUUUCUCAGCCACCAUUUAGACAGUACAAUUAGAAUCAGAGCUACUCAUAGCACAAACCAUGGGAAAAGUAAAUUUCAAAAAUUUAAUCCACUCCACACUAGAACAACAAAAUUACACUGUUAAUGAGCUGCGGAAUAAGAUAAGAGUUGGCAUCAAUUCCUAAGCACAAUUGAUUUCAAACCUUGAAAAAAUGGUGGGUCAACUUGCUUAUUUAAUUCAAACUUUGGUGGUGAUUGUUGAGAAAGAAAAAUUCUCAAGCCAACCAGUUCCUUAAUCUUAAAGAAGCACAAGAAGUGAGCACCAGUUCACCACAGCAGCAUGAAGAGAGCAAAGCCAUCAUGACCGUGUGAAAAGGCAAAGAAGCCAACAACAAAAUAGAGAUGCCGAUGAAAAAAAUAACUCAAGUUGAGCCCUUGGACUUUGAGGACUCAUCACCAAAAGAGAAAGAAGAAAACAGCCUACGAGAAUACAUCCUCAAAAGUCUUUUUCCUUGGAGGUUAGCUAAAGUAAAGAAGCGAAAUUCCACAGGUGAGAUUAUGGAAAUUUUUAAAAAGAUACAUGUUACUAUCCCUUUGCUUAACGUUAUAAAAUAAAUGCCCUUUUUUGCCAAGUUUCUUAAAGACCAUUGCACUAAAAAGACAAGCAUUUACGUUCAAAAGAAUUUUCUGAACUUUUUGGUUCUUUAACUUCUUCUCCUUUUGGUUCUUGAAGCUUCUAAACUUUCUUCACCUAUUGGAUAUCUUGAAGAAUUUUUUGGCAGUCAUUGCCAUAUCUUCAUCUUCAAAUUCGAUUUCUUUAUCACUUUCAGAUUUUGAAGCUUUAAGAGUAAUAUUUUUCUUCUUGUUGCCUUCAUCACAUUUUUCAACUGCUAAAUCUUCAUCAUAAGAAAUAAGUGAGCCCAUUAGAUCAUCAAUAGACAAAGUGUUUAAAUCUUUGAUUUCUUUAAUGUCAGUUCUCUUAGGUCUCCAUACUUUUGGUAAGGACCUAAUAAUUUUCUUCACCUUUCCGUUAUUUGAAAAGGUUUUUCCUAGAACUCCGAAAGUGUUCACAAUAUCUGUAAAUCUAGUAUACAUUGAAUGUACACUCUCAUUUUUGUUUCAUUUGGAAUAAUUAGUAUUGUCUAGUAUAUCUACUGAUUUUAGACUCUUUAACUUGAUUUGUACCUUCAUGAACAACUUCAAGUUUCUUCCAAAUCUAUAUGCAUUAGAACAACCUAAGACUCUGUGGAAUUCUUUCUUAUUUAAGGCACAAAAUAAGACAUUCAUGGCUUUAGAAUUUAAAGAGACCUUUUUCUUUUAUGCUUACUCCAUUCACAUUAAGGGUUUGGAAUUUCUUCACAUUCUUCAUUUUUAGUAGUUGGCAUGAAAGGACCAUAAUUAAUGAUAUUCCAGAUCUUAUAAUUUAAAAGCUUCCAAGUAAAUUCUCAUCCUAGUUUUCCAAUAUAGAUAGUCAUUUCUAUUAAAAUAUAGUGGUCUAGUAGUAGACUGACAUUCUCUAAGAGUGGAAUCAUGUGACACCCCAAAUCUAACACAUGCGGAGCACGUGAAGAAGGCGGUUACUCACAAAUCAUAAUCUUUAUUCAUAAGUUUCAAACUGAAAUACCUCCAAUUCUUAUUCAAAUAAAUCCACAAAUUCAAACGUCUGAUACUAAUUAAUCUCUCUCGAGGACAUAAAAAUAAUAACAAAAGUCUCAAACUCUAAAUUACACGUUCAUAAUAGAAAUAACUAAAUAGAAACACGAAUCUAUUCCUCAUCUUAUUCGAAUAGCAAUGGAAACAGAAAAUUACUAACUCCAAAGCUAAGCGCCCCUCUCAAAGAAACUUAAUCUGCAAAAAGUAAUGACGAGGGGUGAGCCGUCAACUCGGUAAGUAAAGCCAUUUCUAACAUACUAGGCCUAUCGAUACAAAAAAAUAUUACAAGCCUUCUUUUGUUUAAAAAAUAUAUCAUAAUCUAUAAAUUUCAUAAAACGAUAUAUCACGAAAACAUAACAUAAAUUCUUAAUAAUUCAGAAUAUUCAAAAGCAUAUUUACUUACGAAGCAAAUCAUAUAAUAAGUAUACAGAAAACAAAAGGUUAGCUCUUGUCACAUAGUGUCACCUAUAGUCCCGGUGACCCAGCCAGAAACAGAAUCAGAAUAUCGUGUGCACACUCAAACAGAAACCUAGUACUGGUCUAGACAGAUAUAUCGUAUAUUACGAUCAGAAUCAGAAUCAGAAUUAGAAUAACUAUGGACAAUGAGCCAAAACAUUUAGAAUCUCAUACAAUCAUCAAUAAUUGAAAUCAAACAUAGGUACAAAACAUUCGUAUCAGUUUCAUAAAAGUUCAUAUCAAUAAUUUAGGCUUGCAUAACAUUUUAAAGAUAAAAUCAUAAAAGGUGGUCAUGUCAUAAAAUCAUUUACAUAUUAAAAAGAAUUUAUAAAAUACUUUGUUAAAAAGAAUUUAGGUUUGAAAACAUUUACAUAAAACUAAUUUUGUUAUCAAAAUCAAUUAAUCCUUUAAGUAGUGUCAAAACAUUUAUACUUAUAAUAAUAAUAUCAAAAUACUUAUACAUAUCCAGUACAUUAGGAAUGAAGUUACUAACCUCGACAAAUGAAUGAAUAAACACACCUCUAAGCUUCUAAGAGCCUCAAUCACCUUCAAUACCUUAAACAAAUACAAGAUAUGACAAUCAAUAACUUAUUCUAAGAAUCUGAUUUUCUAAUUCAUAUCCGUACAGGUUUGAUUCUCAGAAUUUUAAUUCUUAAUCUAAGACAUAGAAUGAUAUAAUAUCCUAUGGAACUAUUCUGGACAUCCAUGAGUACCCCAUGUAAAAUUUACAAGAGGAUCCGAUAUCAAAAACAUUUUAAAAACUAUUUACUUCUCAGCAAAUUCGAAACUGUUUUCACAUAAUCUAAACUAAACAGAACGGGUUCCGUGAUUUUUAUAAAAUAAAAUUCUAAUCAGAAAAUUAUGAAAUUAAAACUGGGAAUCCUAGACACAUAUAUUAACAUACAUAUAAACUUUCAGAAUUUUCCGAGUUCAUUUGGUGGUACAAAUAGUCUUGUGAAUCUGAUGACAAUACUGGAAUCGCAGUUUUCCAGUGUAGUGGUUUCUAUUUCGAAAAUACAUAUAAAAUUGAAAACGACAUUGAAUUUAAUGAAAUAAAAUUUAAUCAAGAAGCCCUACAUGUCUAGUUUCCAGAAAUAUAACUUUUAUAAGAAAAUUCGUUCAGAAAAUAUAGCUUUAAAUUCGAGAUACUCAUGCUGUCCAGAAUUAUCCUGUGCUUAAUACGUCAAGGAUUGAUUAACUAAACUCAUAAUAAAUCAAAACCCUAAGCAAAGCCUAAAUAUAUUCUAAAUCAUGCAUUAAGAUCUAUAACCUUCUAGAAUCGUGCCAAUAUAAACCCUAACUAGAUAGAGUGAUUAGAAAUCUGUUGAGAACAUGGAGAAUAACUUACCCGUCGCUUUGAUUCUCUCCUAAACAAAGGUUUGAAUCCUAAGAUUUGGGUAGGAGCGUAAAGAGCAGCAGAGAAGAAGAAUAAACAUUGUGAACUUAGGGUUAUGGAAGGGGAAAAAGUAUGCAUUUAUAGGGGAUCUUAAGAAACCCUAUUUAAUAAGGAAAAAUAACCCUUUUCCAAAAUUAUCUCAUAAUAACCUCUAUUUAAUUAGUACCCCUUUCUUAAUAAGGGUUAUAGGCCACCUAUAAUUCUCAAUGAAAGCCCAAUUUCCAUAAUUUAAUAUGUAUGGGAAUUUGUGACGUUACAAAUCAUUUUGGGUUGUCAUAGAUAUUUUAUUUUAGAUGGUUAAGUCUUAACAAGAAUACUUUGCUUUGAUAACAAAUGAAAUACUAACUAAGCAACCCAAGAGGGGUGGGGGGUGAAUUGAGUUUCUAAAAAAUUAUGAAGUAAUUAAAUGAAAAUUCAAUGCAAAUAUCUAAUGAAAUUAAGCAAAUAAAAAACAAAUAAAUAUCUACAAUCAAAAUGUAAAGAGAGAAGGGAAAGAGAAUCAAACACUAGAUUUUUACAUGGUUCGGCAAACUCCGCUUAUGUCCACGCUUCCAUGCUCAUCGGACUUGAGGAUUCCAUUAACCAAGCCCUACACCUAAGGCUUCAAAGUCUUUACAAUUGACUUCUAAGAUGUCAAUAAACCUAUUAUAACAAGAGGUUAUCCCAAGUGUUUCCCACACUUUCGAACAUUCCAUUUGAUGUUGAAAUAAAAAUUACACAAAAUGUUUCUUCACACAAUGUAUAUGUUUAAAAAUGAAAGCCCAAAGUGUGAUAUGGCAAGUUUUAAUCACAAGAGAUGUUGAAUGCGCAAUAACAAGCUCAAUGAUAAUUGUUGAAUCCAUUUUUAUUUGAAUUUGAUUGAGCCUUUAUAUAGUUGGAGAAGAAAACUAGCCGUUGUUAACUUUCUGGACAUAAUCGGAUCACCGUUAAUUAUUGUCGGAUCGCCAUUAUGACUUUGUCCAAGUAACUGUUAUGCUAAAAUUUGAAUAGUUGGUUCAUUGUUUGGAGUUAUCAGUUUGCCAUUAAACUCCAGUGGCUAAUCUGCUCGAAGUUGGCUUAUUGGUUGGAGUUGUCGGUUUGUUGUUUAAUUUCAGAAACUUUUCAGAAAUUCUUAGCUGCCUGUUUGUGCUAAACUGUUUGCCGGUUUUAGUUAAAUUGCUCUUUGAAAUUUGUGAAUUCACCGUUUUCCAAUAAACAAUUUACCGUUAUCUUCUAGAAUCAAAACUAUAUGUUAUCUUUAUAAAUUUGAUUUACCGUUUCAAGAUUAAUGGUUAUCCGUUUUUGUCCAGAUUUUUAAACUUGCCCAAAAACAUCAUACAAUUUUUGAGCACUUAAACAAUUUUAAUAACUCCACAUUUUUAACCUAGUUUGUUAUCAUCAAAAUCAAUAUUAUGGAAAUAUACAUGUUAACAUUAUUUCUUGUUGAUUUUAUUGUGAUUCACACUCAACCAGUACAAGAUUCAAAUAAGCACAUCCCAUUAUUUAUGCUCACCUUUCUAGGCAACUGCUGAUGCCCAUAUUUAACGUUGGACCAGAAAUAUGCAAUUGUCUUUUGGUAACAUGACUAUGGAGUUGAAUAUCAUUAACAUUGGCGAAAAACUCACGAUGCAGAUGAAUGAAUUGCUAAUGUGGAUCUAAUUAAAGAAUUAGUUGAUUAUACUUUUCCUUCUAACCUUAGUGAUAAUCUUUUACAAAAAUAUUUAACUCACUUUGGUUUAGAUUUUGAUAUUGAUAGAUCAAUUGAUGAAGUUACUGUUUGACACAAUGAGCACUUUACACCAUCUUUAUUAGAAAGAGACUCCCCUCUAGUACUUGUGGAUUAUCUUGACUAAGUGUUGACAGAGAGUGCAUCUAAGUUAUUUAAUGAAUGGUCUUGCCAUGUUUUUGACAUAAAUAUUAUUAUCGUUUGACACAAUAUGUCCUUGAUACCACACUUAGCGUGAGAUGAUUACCAUCUGGCACAUUGAGCGCUUGACACCAUAUUUAUUACAGUUAAGCUUAUGAAGAGUGGAAAUACCCCCUCAUAAAUAAAUUAGAACUAAAAAGGAAUAUUAAGUAUGUGGUGAAGUGUUUAGUGUGAAUUCAAAGUCUAUUUGAAUUAUUUUCAUUCUUAAUUAUCCCGCCAUUUUUAUUUUAAAUCUUAAUAUUGCUAAAAAAAUCUCCAGCUAAUUCACAUACACAUGUAUAAAAUUAACCCUACAAUAAUUAAAUUUACCUCCUCGUGGGAUCGACACUCAUUAUCAUAAAUCUAUACUACAAUAGACUCAAUUUGCACAACAAAGUACCCUUAGAAACCUGAAAAAUGUGACAAGUCUCAAUAUAAUGAUAGAAAUUAUGGCUCAUAGUAGGCCAAAAAUAACUGUUGGCUAUUAGAACUAGAGCUUUUCCACAACCUAUAUGCCCUUCGUUAUGUAGUUCUGCAGCUAUCUUUAUCUUCAAACUUGAGUCGAGAACACAUGCUUGAUUACUUUUUUUUUAAAAAAAAAUUCAUCAUGAAAAUGAUAGCUUGAGUGGAACCCUACAACAAUGUCUUCUAAUAAAGAAUGAAGAAGUGGUCAGAUCAUAAAAUUCUGGAGAAAUGUGUCAGUACUGAGAACUUGAUUAUGCAUUUGGGUUAACAAGGAAGAUCGUCCUGUUGGAUUCACUGAAAGUAUGCUUUACAACAAAAGUAAACUAUUAAAGGAAUAUUGUUCACAUAACAUAUCGAUGAGAAAAAUUAUCUUAAGUAUUGAGAUGUCUAAACCGAGGAGUGGAGAUGCAUUCCCUGAUCCAUUAUACUACCCUCUCCGGAAAGCUCAGGAUGUUCAGGACUAUGCCUACAAAGUCCUAUAUAACUGCAUCGUAGGCCUUUAUCAAAUUCAUUUUGAGGGCGCAACUGUGCACUUAUUCUUGUGGUAAUUUCAAAGGAGCUUCUGGGCAUACCCCUUCUUUCCUACAAGUCAAGCCUUAUGCCUUUAAAUCGACCCAUCAACUAGAUAUCUUAUACACCCGAGCGAGCGACUAAACGAGACUCCAUCCAAACCUCAACCAACCGCUUGUUUACUUGCAGGCAACUCAAGGAUGAUCCUAAGUGUCAUUUUUCUUUCUCUUUCUUUUUAAGGGAAGGGUAUUUUAAAAAUUAUUUACCAAAGAAAUACAUCUUAUCAACCGAGUGACCAAUUCCCUUUUUUAUGUGCAAACAUGGGCGGUGAGAGGGGAAGGAUAAGAAUUGGUUCAACCGGUUGGACAAAAAAAUUGAUUCACAACUCGCAUGAAAGUACUUGGAGCAUUGGAAAAUCAAAUUGGCAUUACUAACAAUUCGUAUAAUAUUUUGUGAGUUUCAAAAGCUAUUUUCCAUUCAUUUUCAGGCCAUAUUUGAAUUUAAUGGUAGCCAUUCUAUGAAUCAGGUUUGGGAAAAACUAUUGCUCCAUUAAUUUGAUCCAAUAAGUCAUCUAGGGAUUGAAAAAUGAUAAUAGACUAUAAUUUUAUUGAUAGCUAUUUAUACACAUUCUCCAAGACCCAUUAUCUUUGGAGUUAAUAAAAGGACUAAGACUUUCAUGAAUAAUAUCUUUCGUAAUAAACUUUUCCACUUGUCCCCUGAAUUCCCAUGUUCUGUAGGACUCAUAUGAGAAUGAGGUCGAUUUGGUAAUUUAGAACCUAGUAAUAAAUCAACUUGGUGUUGUAUACCCUUGAGUGGUAGUAAACCUUGUGGUAGCUCAUUAGGGAACAAAUCAUGAAAUUCCUCGAAUAUAGUUGUUGCAGCUUCAGGUACUUUAAAAUUGUUGUGGCUCUCUUUGCCUUUGUUAUAAGAUUUACAAACUAUUUCUUGCUUAACAAAAAAUUACCUAAGUCUUGUUCGAGAGUGAUCUCCUUAUUCCAUAUAAGAACAAUCUUAGUGUUGUUAAACAUAAAUCUGUAGGUAUUUCAUUUCCCAUCAUGGACCAUGUUUCGAUCAUACUGAUAGGAUUUCCCCAAUAAUAGAUGACAAGCAUCGGUAGUUACAACAUCACACUAUACUUGAUCUUCAUAGAUUGAUUCAAUAGAUAAAGAAACUAAGCAACAUUUAAAUAUUGUUACUUGAUUUUCUUUUCAGUCAAGUGAUUUUGUACGAAGUUUGAUGAGGGUUAGUCUUUAAGUUUAGUUUAGUUACAACUUUUUCUAGGAUAACAUUCUUACAACUACCUAAGCCUAUAACCAUGCGAAAUACUUUUCCAUAAUUGUGCAAGUAGUCUAAAAAAUAUUUUGACUUAACCACUUGUCUUUGUCUUGUCCAUCAGGAGUGAAGAAUGCUCAAUUUUGCCAUCAAAAUUGGCCUUCUAUGACCAUGUUCUUUAACGAAGUGUGUACUACCUAAUGUGAACCUUAUAAAAAUAAGUAAGACAUUAUACUCUAUAAGGUUAAAAAAUUUGGUAUUGUUGUUAGGGUGCACCAAACUUAAAACCUUACUAAUUAUAUAACCAACUAGCACAAAGCGAGUAUGAAUCGAUCCCAUGAAGACUAUGUGUAACACCCUAGCCGAAUCUUACAUCGGCAAAGCAUGGGAGAGAUGUUGGAUUUAUAAGGGGUGAUCCACACCUUAAUUGGCAAAACGCGUUUUGAGGUGUAUGGGCGGCCCCAUAAAUAAAACCGUGAGGAACUUGUUAAGGCCCAAAACAAAUGAUAUCUUGCCAGGUCUGGGUUGGGUCAUGACAUAUGGUAUCAGAGCGGCUUCACGCAUCAUCUUGAGCGAUGGUGGGGCAAACCUGAACGAGGACGCUGAGUCCCAAAGGGGGGUGUAUGUAACACCCUAGGCAAAUCCCACAUCGAUAAAGCAUGGGAGAGAUGCUGAGUUUAUAAGGGGUGAUUCACACCUUAAUUGGCAAGAUGCGUUUUGGUGUGUAUGGGUGUCCCAGAAACAAAACCGUGCGGGACUUAUUAAGACCCAAAGCGGACAAUAUCUUGAGACAUCUGGGUUGGGUCAUGACACUAUACUGGCUAUAUUUAUUAUCGACUCUAAAACAAGGACUUAAAAUAAAAUAAAAUAAUAAUAAUAAUAAUUAUUAUUAUUAUUAAAAAUAUAAAAUAAUCUAACUAAAGAAAAUGCCAACUAUAAAUAAAGGGGGGGUUUAUGAAUAUUUAGCUAAAUAACAAGAAAUAAAGAAACUGAAAUUAUGAAAUAAUAAUUUAAUAGAAACUUUAAUUAAAGAAGAAAGAAAUAAUAAUAAUAAAAACUUUGGUGAAAUGAUCAUUCACCACAACCAAAUAUGCACAUAAUCAAUAUAUCAAUUCUAUAAUCAAUUUCCAUUGAAGUUAUCAACCGUAGAGAACAAUAACCUCUGUUAAUCUCUAUUUUUCCUUAAUGUGUUGUUAGGCAAAACAAAUUCUUCACUUAAUAUCCAACCAUUAAAUAAUUUAAAACAAACUCUUUAAACUUAAGAUAAUGGAAGUAUUAAGUAGAGAAAGAUAUUAGGUUGAUUUAGGUAAUAAAUACACAAGCUCAAAUUAUUUAACUUAAUAUCCAACCAUUAGAUAAUUUGAAACAAACUCUUUAAACUUAAGAUAAUGGAAGUAUUAAGUAAAGAAAGAUAUUAGAUUGAUUUAGGUAAUAAAUACACAAGCUCAUAUUAUUUAACUUAGGUUAUGUUCUCUAAUUUAAAUCAACAAUUCCAAUUUGCUAAUAAUAAUUAAAAUAUCAAGCCAAUUACAGAUUAAAAAUUUUAAGCUAGCAACAGAAUUUAUUUAAAUUCUAUGUAAUUGACCACUCAAAUAAGAUAAGAAAUAAAAUCAUAAACAUUAAUUAUAGAAGAACAUAAACAAUUUCAAUUAAACAAAUUGAAUGAAAGAAAUUGAAUAUUAAUCAUAUAAUAUGUCUAGGGUUUUGAAUUCGUACUCACCCAAAUAAAAAUUCUAACCUAACAUGAUUGAAUUGGGAAAAAAUAAUCCGAUAAAACUAGUCAUGGAGAUUAAUCCAAAAAACUGACUAUACUUUCGUCUAUACUGGACAGUGCUGCUCCAAUUUAAUAUCUUUGGCUUCUCCUUUUUUUUCUCUUCUUGCGGCUGUCUCUAGCUCUCGGAUUUUUGUGUAUUUCUCCUUUUGGCAGCUACCAUUCAAAAGCCGAAGAUUAGCUUUUUAUAAUGCUUGGCCGAAUCCUGGUAGAAUUAGGUUGUUUGGCCACCAAUUAUAACUUAAAUAUCCGCAAACAUGUACAAGACAAAUAAAGAUCACGUGCUGGCCACUUUUGGUCUUAAUUGCUUUUCCUUUUUUAAUUUCUUUUGUCUAUUGCAAGAUGAAUUCGGCAAUUAGGUGAUUUUUGCUUGGCCCUCUAUUAUGAUUUCCUUAUGUAAAAAUUUACUUGUAAAAGUAAUGCUUCUCGCGUGCAUGUGUAAGGAAAUAAUAAUAGUUAUUCAAUUCUUUCCCUAUUUUGAUCCUUGUAAGCAGAUUUUUUUUUGAAUGUUCUGAUUUAAUUCCUCUUGAAUCUCAAAUAUAUCUAGAAUAAAAAAAAAUAUAAAAAAUAAGAUGAAAAUAACACAAGAAAAUAUAAUUUAACAAAAUAACUAAAAUAAAAAUUAACUAAAAUAAUUAAAAUAUUUAAGAUCAAAACAAGAAAAAGAUGGAGAAAUUAAUUAGUGAAAUAUAUAGAAAAAAUGCGUUAUCAUUCUUUUGCCAAGGAUCAUUCUAAUUUAGAUUCAAAUAAAGAUAAGAACCAAUGGUGUAAGAAAUCGGGGUUGAUGCCAUACUCAAGAAAGAAGAGAAGAUUAUGAGUGAUAAGUUAAGAAAGAACGGCACAAGAUGAAAUCUUGAUAAGUUUUGAAAGUUCUUUGACAAACCAAAGAUAAAAGCUCUCAUUAUUAUUAUAAACUUUGAUAUGAAAUUCCAAAAAGGUUUACAUGGAUUUACAUAGUUAAUUUCACUAAUAGAAUAAGGUUUUCCUUAUUGCUGAAUAUAACUAAGAAUAAAAAAGAAAUAAAAGAUCUUGUUGAUCCCAAAGUAAAAAGGAAAUAAAAGAUCUUGUUUUCAAAAUAUAUUAGGAAACAAGAUUUUGCCUGAUUUCUCUUCUUAAUUUGAUAAGUCUUUGUUUAAUGUCGGCAAUUUAAGUUUAGUAGCUUAAAUAAUAUUAACAAAGCAUUGGCUAUCUUGAAUAGUUAAUGUGGGCAAAUUAACGACUUGGACAAGGCAAUGAAUUUGAGAUGGGUUCAAUUAAUCAAUUUAAUGCUUAUUUUAUUUUCGUGAUUCUUGCCCUUGUCAUUGGACCUUCAUGGAUGCUUAAUAGAUCUUGUGAAGCUUUAGGAACUUGGUUCUUAUCAUUCGCCCUCUCUUAAAAAUGAUUUGUACUCAAAUCUUCACAUACAUCAAAAGGAGGUAAAUCAGUAACAUUACAGCUUGCGCUUACAUUAUAGUCACCUGGAAGAUCUGGUUUAUAAGCAUUGUCAUUAUUCCUUUCAAUUACUUGAAAUGAUCCAUCUCCUCUUUGAAGUAGUUUUGAACGUUUUUAAAUAGGAAACGAUUCCUUCCUCAUAUGCAACCAAACCUAAUAUCUCGGUUUAAAUACUACUUUCUUGUGCCUUUUAUUAGCUUGAUUAGCAUGUUAUUUUUUUCUGUUCUCAAUGUUUUGCCUUUCCUUUUCAUGGAUGUGACUAUAAAGUCAACUUUCUUCUUUCUAUCUAAGUUAAUUCGCUCAUCCAAAGGUAAAAAGGUUAAAUCCAAAGGAGUUAAUGGAUUGACACCUUACACAAUUUCAGAAGGUGAAAACUUAGUUGCUGAAUGCGUACUCCUAUUAUAUGCAAAUUCUACAUGUGGCAAGCAUUCUUCCCAUGUUUUUAAGUUCUUUUGUAUUAUAGCACACAACAAGUUAGAUAAGGCUCUAUUAACUACUUCAGUUUAUCCAUUAGUUUAUGGAUGACAAGCAGUAUUAAACAAAAGUUUAGUUCCUAACUUACCCUAUAAAGUUUUCCAAAAAAACCUAAAAACUUUGUAUCAUGCAAUCUUGCACUCUCUUUGGAAAAAAAAAGGUAAAAAAUCUGUGAAGCAUUGUCAAUUUUGUAAUGUGGAAUAACAUGUGUCAUUUUAGAGAACCUAUCAAUGACCACAAAUAUAAAUCCCUUCCCCUUUUUGACCAAGAUAAACCUAACACAAAAUCUAUACAUAUGUCAGUCUAAGAUUCACUAGGCAUAGGCAAAAGAGCAUAUAAACCAUGAGGCUUAACUUUAGACUUAGCUUAUCUACAAGUAACUCACUUCUCACAAAUCCUUUCUACAUCACGUUUUAUAUUAGGCCAAAAGAAGUGUUCAUAGAAAGCACCUAAAGUCUUACAUAUACCAAAAUGCCCCAUCAAAUCCCCCCCCCCCAUAUAAGCUUAUCUAACAAGCAAGUCUCGCAAUGAACAUUUAGGCACACAUAACUUAUUUUUCCUAAAUAAAAAACCAUUAUGCAUUGAAUACAUUGCCAAAAUUAGAAUCACCAAUAUACAAGUCUUUAAUGUAUUCAAAACUUAAUAUUUUUGCAUCUAAAGUAGAAAGUAGGCUUACUUUCGGGAUAAUACAUAGCCACAAUGUUUUCCUUACUAUGCUUACUUGAUCACAUAAGGAAAAGUUUCAAUGAACUCUAUUAACUAGGCAUGGCAUUUUUCUAGCUUGUGUUGACCUUUUAAAUACUUUAAAGACUAAUGAUCCGUAUGGAUCACAAACGUUUUUGGCCAAAUAUAGUGCUGCCAAGUUUUUAAAGCCCUAACUAAUGCAACAUUUUUUUGUCAUAUGUAGGGUAAUUUAAGGCCAUCCAAGUUAUCAUUUCACUAAAAUAUGGAAUGGAUGUCCUUCUUGCAAUAGAAUAGCUCCAAUACAUAUCCCUGAAGCAUCACACUCAAUUUCAAAAGUUUUAACAAAGUUAGGUAAAGCAAGUAGAGGUGCAUUAACUAAUUUCUCUUUAAUCAAAUUAAAUGCAUUUUCUUAUUCUUCCCCCCACGUUCUUUUCAAUUACUUCAAUCAAAGGUGUAGCUAAGCAACUAAAGUAUUUCACAAAUCUUCUAUGAAAGCUAGCCAAUCCAUGAAAAUUUCUAGCAUUACCCGCACUUGUAAGCUUUAGUUAAUCUUGAAUUGCUAUCACCUUUUCUUCAUUUACCCCAAUUCCUUUAACACUAAUAACAAAACCUAGAAAUAUAAGCUUAUCUGUGCAAAAAGUACACUUUUUGAGGUUAGCAAACAAUUUUUCUUUUCUUAGAACAUCUAAAACAAGAUUUAGAUGUUCAACAUGUUCAUCUAAGUUUUUGCUAUAAAUCAUAAUAUCAUCAAAACAUACAACUAUAAAUUUACAAACAAAAGCACGCAAAACAUGAUUCACUAAUCUCAUAAAAGUUAUAGGUGCAUUAGUUAAUCCCAAUAGCAUAACUAACUACUCAUAUAAGCCAUAUUUUGAUUUAAAUGUAUUUUUCCAUUCAUUACCUUCUUUUAUCUUAAUUUAGUAAUAUCCACUUUUAAGAUCAAUUUUGGAAAAACACAAAAACCAUAUAAUUAGUCAAGCAUCUCAUCUAAUCUAAGAAUGGGAUGUCCAUACUUUAUAGUGAUAUUGUUGAUAGUGUCACAAUCAACAACACAUCCUUCAUGGGCCAUCAUUUUUAGGCCCAAGCAACACUAAGAACAUCACAUAGUGAUGUCCAUACUUUAUAGUGACUUAUGCUUUCGGGCAAACAACCUUUCUUUAUAAGCUCACUCACCUGCCUUUGAUGUUCCUUUGUCUCCUCGAGAUUGCUUUGAUAGGCUGGCUUAUUUGGAAUUGAUGCUUCAGAUAAAAAUAAUUUAAUGCUCAAUUCCCCUUAUUGGUGGUAAGUCAUUAGGUAGUUCUUCAAGAAAUACAUCUUCAAAUUCCUAUAAAAGAGAAACAAUAAUACUAGGCAAAGAAGGAUUAAGUUGAUUAGUACUUAAAUAAAUCUCUUUGUACAUAAGUACAAUCAUAGGCUAUUUUAAAAUUAAAGUUCUUGUAAUUGUACUCUUUUUUUGCAUAUAAAUUUACUUAUUUUCUCUCUUUUGUUUUCUCACAAAUUGAAACUUUCCUUUUUUUUUUCACUCUUUUUUUCUCUUUGUUUUUAGUUUUAACCCUUCUUGAUUUUGAACUCCACUCUCCAAUUUUCAAGUCACUCUCUUUUUUCAACCACAUUUGAUCAUCAUACAUUUAUCUUGGGGAUAGAGGUACAAGAGUAAUGGUUUUUUCAUUAAGUACAAAAGAAUAUCUAUUGGUGUAACCAUCAUAAACAAUACAUCUAUCAAACUGCCAUGGUCUCCUUAAAAGAAUAUGUCUUGCAUGCAUGGGCACCACAUUACACAUAACCUUAUCUUUAUACGUCUUAAUUAAGAAUGAAAUGAACACUUGUUUAUUUACUUUAAGUUCUCUACAAUCAUUCAGCCAUUAUAGCUUGUAUCCUAGGAUGUUUCAAAGUUGUUAAAUUCAAUAUUUUAACUAAACUAGUGCUAGCCACAUUAGUACAACUCCCUCCAUCAAUAUUCAUGCUAUAUACCUUAUUACUAAUAUGGCAUCUAGUAUGAAAGAUGCUUUUAACUUGCUUUAAUUUGUACACUCAAAGAUCUUUUUGCAACCCCAAGCUCUCCAUCAACUGGAUAUUCAACAUCACUUACAUCCUCUAAAUGUGGCAUGAACUUAUGAUUAGAUUCACUGUUAGUCUUAAUUUGCCCAUUAUCUUUAAAACCAUCUCUUUGUUUGGGCAUUAAGAUGUAAUAUUGUAUGUUCUUGAACACUUAAUAUGUUUGAUAUCUCUAUUUUUAAUUGGUUGGGAAUAAGAUUUACCUUGCUUUGGAUUGCCUUCAUCUUUAUGGUCUUUGGAGGUUUCCUCCUUAGGCUUGAAAUAAAGCUUUUCAUCUUUUUUACUCUGAUUCGGUUUCCUUGUUGAAGAAGACCCCGAAUUCUAUCCAAUUCAUAUGGAACUCUUUGUUUUUAAUUGUUGCCCCACUUUUAUGGCCAUACAUACCAUGUCAUCCAACUUAACAUAAUGUGUAAUUCCACCAUAUUUGCAAUAUCAAGGUUCAAACCAACUAGGAAUCUAACCAUAAUAGCUUCCCGGUCUUCCUCCGCAUUGGCUCAGAUCAUGGCUAUGUCCAUUUCUUUCAAGAUUUUAGACCCUUAAGUAAGGAUUUCUAGCUUCUGAAACAAGUUAUUAUAGUAAUGACUUCAAAUAAAUCUCUUCUUCAUAAUAGCCUUUAUCUCUUCUCAUGUCUCAAUGGGCCUUUCAUGAUUUUGUCUCCUAUUUAAAAUAGGUUGAUUUUACCAAAACCAUAGUAUAGUGAGUGAAUUCAAUGGCGACUAACUUUACCUUUUUCAUUUUAUAGUUGUGACAAUCAAAUAUCAAUUCCACAUUUUUUUCCCAUUCUAGAUAAGCUUCAGGAUCGUUUUUACACUGAAAAGAUGGAAUCUUUAACUAAUCGAAUCUUUAACUUCAUAUUUCCCAAACAAUUAUCAACUUUAUCUUUAUAUCUAACCUCUUUAUUUUCAUUCCCUUGCCCAAAUCUACUUAAAUUAAUUUGAGGAGCACGAUCUUCUUCAUCUAGGUCUUCCCUAUAAUUAUCUUCAUCAGUAUACCUAUAUGGAUUCCUCCUUCUUUAUUGCACAUUAAGAGUAUAGUUGGUUGCCACUUUUAUGAACUAAAUUCAACUUUAUCUAUUCUCUCAUUCAUCUCAUCAAACCUCAACUCCAAGCACUCAAAUUUUUGUGCUAAAUACUUAAAGAAGAGUUUAAAGUCUAUCUUUUCCUAAGCAUAAGUGGAAAUAGACUAAUUUUUGUCUUGAGACAUAUUUAAUAACUUGCAAAACAAAGUUAGAAAACCUCGGAAACACUCCCUCACCUGCUUCCACUCAAGAUUGAUAGUAGUCAUACUUGUGUUUACUCAGAUAUGGCUUUUACCCAUUACACUCUCUUGCCUUUUUACACUCUUUAAUUUUCUCUUUUAGUUCUUCAUUAAACUAAAUGAACUCAAUCAAAAUUCACUUACAGCAAUUUAAAUUUAAAAAAUAUAAACUUAAAUAAAGAAAGACAGAAGAAUAUGAAUCUUGAUAAAAUUAAGAUUGGCCCCCCAUUUUUGGUUUUAUAUCUCAGAAAAUUGGAAUAGGCAAGAGUUGAAUAGCAAGCUACUCUUUAAAUUCAAUUGAUUUUUAAAAUUUUCUUUUUUUGAUUUUUGAUUUUUUUGGUUUUUUUUCUUUUUUUUUGGUUUUUUUACUUUUUUUAGUUUUUUUAUAGUUUUGGAAUGAGAAAGAGCAGAACUUAAAGGAUUAGGGCAAAGUUAAGGAAACAAAGAAUUAAAAAAGAUAGGUUUAUGAAUUUAAACAAAAAUUAAGAAAUAAAAUUUUGUGGAAUUGGAGAAACCGAAUAAAUUCAGAAUUGAUCAAACCUAAUCUAUAACCUUUGCUUUGAUACCAAUUGAUGUGAACCUUACAAAAAUAAGUUCGGCCCUACACUCAAUAAGGUUCUUUUACCAAGGAUUAUUCUAAUUCAGAUUCAAACAAUCAUAAAAUAAAGAACCUGACCCGUUGUCAAUAAAGAUAAGAACCAAUGGUAUAAGAAAUCUGGGGUUGACGCUUAAAGACGAGAAGAUUGUGAGUGAUAAGUUAAGAAAGAAGCAACAAGAUGAAAUCUUGAUAAGUUUUGAAAGUUCUUUGAACAACCAAAGAGAAAAUCUAUCAUUGUUAUUAUAAACUACGACAUGAAAUUCCCAAAAGGGUUAUAUUGGGUUGUAUUGUUGAAUUUGACUAAUGGAAUAAGGUUCUCCUUAUUGCUGGAUAUAACUAGAGUAAAAAGAUAUUGAAAUUCUUAUUGAUCCUAAAGUAAAAAGGAAAUAAAAUAUCUUAUUUUUAAAGCAUAUUAGAAAACAAGAUUUUGCCUGAUUUUUCUUCCUAAUUUGAUAAGGCUUUCUUUGUUCAUCAUGCAGAUCACUCAAAAUCAAAUUUAGAAGCUUGAAUAUGUAUUGACAACGUAUUGAUUAUCUUGAAUACUUAAUUUAGGCAGAUUAGUGUCUUGGACAAGGCAUGAAUUUAAGAUGUGCUCAAUUAAUCCAUUUAAUGCUUCCUUCAUUUUCUUGGUUCUUUCCCUUGUCAUUAGACCUCCAUGGAAGCUUAAUAGAUCUUGUCAAGCAUCAACAACCUGGUUCUCAUAACUGCUACUAGUAUCAAAAUUUAGGUCUUCAGUGGACUCUUUAGAUUAUUCAUGUUAGUGCUCUUCACUUUCCUUAGUGUCGAAAAAUAAGCAUUUACUGUACUUUCCUCCUUUACUACAUUCUGUCAUACAAUGCCUAUCUUCUCUGCAAUUGAAGCAACAUAAUCCCGAUCCCAAGUAUUGGGUCUUAUUGCUUUGAUAAUUUUCCCUAGAUUACUAGUUUUAUUUAGAGGAUUUUUUGAGGAGUGAAAUUAAAAAAUUAGGAAAUUGGUUUAAAUUAUUGAGAAUAAUACUUCAAGAACCCUGAAAGUUUUAGUCACUAGUACUUUGAAUAAAUUGUUUCUGCAACUAGAAAGCUUGUUGGUGUGCUUUUGAGAUAGAUUACCGAUCAAGGAAAUUCAACUCAUCUUGAAACUAUGAUUGCCGACCCCCAAUUUAAUAGGAAAACUAUUGUUUUUCUGACUUUAUUAAGUUAUUGCACAUUACCAACAAAUGGAAUUUUGUGGUGAUCAUUCAUCGAUCGAUUAUCUUACCUCAGCUUAUAUAAUUGUUGGUAUAACAUUUUAGCAUACUUAUGAGGUAAGAAUAUGAAAUGCAAGUGCCUUUUCAACUUUUCUUAUGACUUAAUUUUCUUUUCGGCUUGCCUGGACUUUAUUAGUUUUGUUUGCUACCACCAAGCUGCUACCCUUCCAUAAACUUGAGUUGCCAUACGGGAGGCCAGUUAUUAUUAGAAACUUCUUUGUGUUUAAAAACUUCCUCAGUAGUAUUAAUAUAAUCCAAUAAAUUCUUCUUAUCAUUCGAAUUAAGAAAUGCCAAUUCUCAACCUAGAUUUCCAUCUUCUAUCAUUACUAGAUUAAGUUCUAUAUCGACAUUCAAAGAAUGGAUUAUCAAAGUUUUCACUUGAUUUUCUUCUUGCUCUUAUGUAUGAUGACGUUCAACGAGUUACUCUGCCAUUUGUGCAGCUAACAUAUCAAUUCUAGUUGUAUGCUAGCUAUAGCUUCAUCUCUAAGAACAUUAUCCUGGCCAUAAGUUGUUGCAUAAGGGGCAUGAUGCCCACAAGCUUUUUUUGGAGUCAUGUUCUCAAAAUGGUUAGGUUAACUAAAAUUUAUAAAAUAGGGUGGGUUUUAAAAAAGCUAUAGGCUAAAUUAAAAAUUGAGUAAAAUUACUGGUGAAAUAGUAAUUAAGUAAAAGUUUAGGUAACUGGUGACGGUGGUUGAAAAUUAGGCAAGGAUGGUUGGAUUUGAAAGAUUUAGGAUUGGUGAGUAUGAUGGUGUUGUUGAUUUGUCCAAAAACACUGUUGUUUGACUAAAAAAUUGAGAUAAGUGGCGACGCUUUGUGUCGACUUUGAUUUUGACAAUUGGUGCAUCAAUCGGCAGUGGUGAAUGGCUGGAAAGAUUAUGUUGGUGGAGAGGAGUUGGUUGAUAGUGCUGGUGUUGGCCAACACACAACGGAAUAUAGCCGAAUAAGGUAGUGGUAAUGUACAAUUUUUGGUGAGUAGCAGCGAAAAGGUGGCGAUUGCAGCUACAUUUUGGUGGCUAGCGUCCUCUAACCCCGAUGGAAGUCUUGAUGAAUGGAAAAAGAUUAAGCAAACUUCACAAAAUAUUAUAUUAAAUAUUUGGUGUUUUUUGGUGUAAUAGCUUGGUUCGGGUUCUUGUUUGGUGUUUUUUGGUUUUUCCAGUUUUGUCUUUUUUGUUUUUAAAUAGAAAUUUAGAAAUGAGAAAAUAAGAAAAGAUAAUAAAGGGAGGUGUUUGGGUAAAUGCUGAAGUUGGUGUUGAUAGCGUUUUGUAACAAUUUCAACAAGGCAUUUAGCUUUGAUACCAAAUUGAUGCAGUAGAAGUUUAAUAUCAACAAAAAUUGAUUGUCAAGGGUGUAGGAUGAGUCGAUGACUUACAAAAAUAUUAGAGGUUUAUUGAUUGAUAUCAAUAAUAUUAUAUUAAAUAUUUGUGGGUUGUUUUGGAACACUAGAUUGGACUAUUAUAAUUAUAUUAUCUUUUGUUUGGUAUAAUGUGGACAAUAUUACAUUAAAUUUAAUUUAAUGAAGUUAAAAUAAUUAUUCAAAUAGCUUAAUUAUUUUUAAAUUGUAAUAACAUUUGUUGAUUUAAUUAUUUAAUAUAAUUUUCUAAAUAAAUAAUUCAAUAAUUUGUUAUUUUUAAUAUUAAACACUAGUUUAGAUAAGUUAUUGAAUUAAAAUUUUGAUAUGUCACCAUAAAUUAUAUGCAAGUUAAAAAAAAGAAAAAUUAUUGGGUGCGACAAUUCUAUAACUGAUGCAUGAGAUCCUAUCAUAAUUUCACAGUUAAAAGUGUUUGGUCAAGAUCAGUACUAAAAUAACGAGAGCAAAUACUAAGAGGAGUAACUUAUUGAGAAGUCCUUUUGUUACAACCCUCUCUUUUUUUAUUUUAAAAGAAACUAUUGAAUUAAAAUUUUGAUAUUUAAUCUUAAAUUAAAUACACGUUAAAAUAAAUUAGUAAAUAGAAUUUUGAAAUUGGUAGCAAAUUUGGAUUAAAAUAAGAUAUUUAAUUUGACUUAAACCCACGUGAAAAUGUAAACUAGUAAUUUUAUGAAAUUUGGACUAAUUUGUUAGUCCUGAUAGCCAAAUAUGGCCUUGGAUUGGAUAAAUUUUUUUGUUCUUCAAAUGAGUGUAAUCCUACCUUUUAUCCAGCAUCCAAAUAUGGACCUAAGGGUUUGAAAAAGCAUUAGGGAUUCAGAUAAAACAAGCAAAGAUAACUAAUGAUGAAAAGAAAACAUUUCAAAGAAGGCCUUUAGUGCAAUAGUUUUAAGUUUUGGUGAUGGAGCUUUGAAGGAAGUCUUUAAAGGACCUACAACAAUUGGGCUGUGGAAGAAAUAGCCAAGAGCUUUGAAAGAAGUCUUUCAAGAAACUACAACAAUUGCAUUGUGGAAGAAAUAGGCAAGACUUGUGCAUGACCAAGCUAUUGCUUUCAAAACACACAAUAAGGAAAGGCUUCACACACUUCACAAUGAAGAAGGCUCUUCAUUGAAAGCUCACAUUGCCGAGUUCAGUAAGAUUACUUUUAAUCUUGAAAACAUUGUGAAAUUCUAACUAAACAAUCUAAGAGAGGGAUGAAUUGGUUUUAAAAAUUUCUUCAAUAACAACAUCAUUCACCAUAAUCCAAUGUGAACAACUAUCACCGUACAACAACAAGAAUAACAACAACAAACCACUGUUGUUCUUCUUCUCUCUCUCGUCUUUUCUUCUCCACUAAUGUUCUUCUUUAUAUAACGCGCUUUUCAAGACCUUUUUAAUACAAAUUUCAUUUAGCCCCUUCAUGUUUUCCUUAAUUAUAACUUCUGGUGGGCUUUGGGCCAACUGCAUGAGUUGAACCCAACAAGGAAUGAGAAGAAAUGCUUUGUAUAUGUUUUAAGGCAUAAUAGCUCUUAGGGAGGCAAACAUAUCUGACUAGGUUAGGGAUAAAUUUAAGCCAUGGCAUAUAAAGUUAGGCCAUAUGAGUGAAAAAAUGUUAAGGAAUUAGAGAAACAAUGAGUUUUUGGUAUUGAUAAGAUAGACACUUUUAGGUUUUGUAAUGAAUGUAUCCUACAAAGCCUAUGUAAUCAAGUUUAAAACUACAAUGCACAAAAUGAAAGGCAAUCCAUAGUACAUACACUCUGAUAUGUCGAGGCCUACACUAACAAUUUUACUUUUGCAACAAAAUAUUUAAUGUCUUUUAUAAGUUAAAGCAACUACUUGAUAUAAUGUCACAAUGACGCUAAUGCUGAUAGAAAGUUUGAAUUUGGUGUAGAGGAUGUUGAAGCUUGAAGAAAGAGCAAUAUGGAGGAAUAAUAUGGAAUGAUUAUUGAUCAAGGGCCGAGAUUCAAGUUAAAGAAAUCAAAGGUAUAGAAUGUGGAGUGAAUAAAGACAUUUGUGUAUAACGGCUUUUAUUAAUAUUGCUUGUAUUCAAUAUGAAAUAUUAGCCACAUGAUCACAUGAUAUUAAAGUUGUAAAACCUAGUACAAUCUCUGUAUAAAACAACUAAGGAAAAAAAAUUAUGAAUAAAGUGUGGUGGUUACAUAAAAAUGGUUGAUUAUUCUCAAGUAUAAGGAUGCCUAAUUAUAAUAUAACUCGAAAAGUCCAGAUCAAACCAUAAAUAAUGUUUAAAAGAAUCUUGUAGCUAAUAGUGAAAAUAAUUAUAAAAAAAUAAAUUAAGAAGAAAUAAUAUAUUUCAAAGAAGUGCCGAGGUUACGAGGAUCCACUCUUUGUAUAAAUCAUGAACAUCAUACUCUCUUAUAUUUAUAAUUUGUGGUUUUUACCAGUUUGGAUAUUAUAUGAUCUAGUUCUUAGUUAACCACUGUAUGAACAAAUAUAGGGGUUAAGUGUGUAAUAUGACAUAGCCAUAUUAGAGUGUUCUUACAACCACAUUGGUGUGCUGACAUUAAGUCCAAACUUCCACAUAGAUCCAAGGAGGUUUAGAUAUACAAAUAAAUACGGAAUGAAAAUAAUUGGUAGAAAAUUCAAUUUAUAAGCAUAUGAUUAAAAACAAUAAACUUUAAAGUCAUUUGAGAGAGUAAUUAAAUUCACAAUUUGUACCCUUGAGCUUUGUCUUUCACCUUAGCUUAGAAAACUAGCCAUUGAUAAGGAAAAUACUUAUUUUAUUUGACAAAUUAAAUUGUAAAAGUACAAUACGUAGAAAUUGAAAGCAAAAGACAAAAGAGCAAAAAUCUCUUUUUGUUAACUACACUUUCCUUAAAAUUCACCACAAACUUCACAAAGACUCCCCCCCCCCCCAAAAAAAAGAGAAACUACAAAACUCGUCGCUCCGCUCUACACCUUCAUUUGUGAGCUCCCUUGCCUUUUUAUAGGCAAAUUUUAAUUUAAUCAAGUGUGGAAAUUUGUAUAAUGAUUUUGGUGAGCUUGUAACUACAACCUUUAGAUAAGCUUAUAAUAUAAUCCAAGGGUCCAAAAUUGUAGCUGAAUUAAAACCUAAAUCGAAACUCAAUUUGUUCACCCCUAGCAAUGAAUUACAACAUAUGUGAUACUUGUUGUGCAAAUUUUAUUGAACUCGCAAGUGCACGAAUCUAUUGUAGUAUAGAUCAAUAGUGACGAGUGUCGAUCCCACGAGGAGGUGGAUUUUAAUUAUAUGUAGAAUUAAUUUUGUAUGAGGGUGGUUGGAUUUGUGGUGAAAUUGACUUAGAUUAUCCUAAAAUUGGAAUUGAAAUGACGAGAAUAAAUUGAAGAGAAAUCUAUUGAAAUGACGUACUUGGGUAUCUGGAUCCGUAUCAACAUGCACCAUGGGCUAAAUAUUCCUUAUUAAUACCAAUUAAAUCAUGAGGGGGGAAUCCACACCUCAUGAACCACACCCUAAUCAAUAUGGUGCUAAGGGCUUAUCGUGCCAAAUAAUAAUAACCUUGUACUAGGGAGCCGGUGUAACUAGGGCGGUAUCUAGACAAGAUUAUUAUUAUUUGUCGACGAAAAGUCAAAUCAUCCACAAAAAUUAGAGGGGAAGAGAAAAUAAAUUUACCAAAUAAAGCCCAUGACACAUGUUGAGACUUCACCUUCAACCCAAGCUUGAAAGAAAAUUAGCUACUCAUAAUUGAACUAGGGGCAAAAUGAAAAUUUAUUAAAAUACAGAGAAAAUACAAGAUGGAGAAUGCCACGUCAUUGAUCCGUCAAUGUGAACAGUGACGUAGACAAUACCGUACAUGUGAACAGUGUCAUUUUUCCUUUUAUGUUCCUCCUAAGGUUUUCGACCGUCCUGAGUUCAAAAGUGAUGUCUGUUUUGCCGUCUGAUCUCUCAUUUAUUGUGAAAUGACCAUGAUGGCCCUAAAAUACAUAAAAUACUUAAUUAAAAUAAAACACACAUAAUUAAAUUACAAGAAGCUUAAAUACAUAAAAGUAGGGGUUGUUAGUAAGACGUGAAUUGUAAAAUGACGAUUUUCUCCUUUAUAAAUAUACAUUUUCUAACACUCAACAGUACUGUCUGUGAUUUUAGAGAGGAGCCAACUAAUGAGUAGUUGGUCCUGCCUAUGCUAAAUAAAGUAGGCUAGGUUUAGUGUUUUGACUAUUGCAUCAUUUUCAACACUGACUGAGUAUUUUGUUAGUAUGUCUUGAGAGUCAUCAAUGAUGUGUUCUAUACCAUUGCCAUGUAUAAUAGGCAUGAUCUAAGUCCUCCAGAUGGCAUAGUUGUUUAUGUUAUUAUUUGUAGGUGAUUAAAAUUAAAAGUUGAAUUGAAGAUGGUUCUUCUAGUGUUUGAUUGAUGUUUUAAGUGCUUGCUCAUUAGGCACAGCCUAUUAAGUUGAAUCAGGAUCUUAAGUCACCAUAAAAACAUAAGAUAAAAAAGUAGAGGAAGAAAUAGAGGAAGGAGAACUAACUUCGAACCUGAUGGAACAUGUAAGAUAUACUUCAAAGCUGGUAACAUUGUUGGCGAAUGUUUGCUCAGACAUGAGGAGGACUUUGUGCCCAGAAAUGACAACCAACAACACCCAAGAGUUACAUAUGCUGGAGAAAGAGAAGGGAUCCCUGAAUAUAACUGGUAUUUGAGUAGUGGGGCAACAAAUCAUGUGACCAAUGACCUUCGUAUCCUAAGCAUAAGAUCUGAAUACAAAGGUAACUCAAGUUCUCUUAGUUGGUAAUGGUCAUAAAUUAAAAUUUUUGCACAUUGAUACAAUGUUAUUUCCUAUUUUAGUUACUAAAAAAAAGAAAUGUUACUUAACUAUCAAAGAAGUGCUUUAUGUACUUCAUAUAACAAAAAUCCUCUCGAGUAUAUCAAGCUUAAUCACCAACAACAAUUAGAAUUUAAUUUCGGGAGAUUAUCCACUGACCACAUGUUUUUUCACCAUUUUUUAAAAAUACACAAAUAUUUUUUUUUGGCAGCACUCCACCUGAAGUUAACGUUUUUUUCAUUGGUCCACUCUUGUUAUAACACCGUUAGAACUUUAUUGACAUCAUAAGAGUAAAAUUAUCAUUUCAUAACGACACAAUGGUGGACAAGUACAAAACAAUAUAACUUCAAGUGGAGUUCAGCAAAAAAAAAAAAAAAGAAUUGUGUAUUUUUGAAAAAAUAUAACAAAAAGGUGGUCGGUGGAUAAUUUAUCUUUUACAUUUGAGGGUAAAAAAAUCAUUUACACAAUAUUCCGUUAGUUUUCUUAAUGGUCUCCAAACAAGAGUGGAUGAGUGAAAAGAAAUGUAAAUUUAGGUGGAUUCCAGCAAAAAAAAAGAAUUGUUUAUUUUUGAAAAAGUUGGAAAAAAUGGGUGGACGGUGGAUAAUUUCCCUUUAAUUGUUACCGAGAGCUCUUAUUCAAGGGUCUAACCGUAAAGCAUUGUGUCUAGUUAGUAGAAUACUACGAAGAAAGUUGGAAUGUCAUGACCAAAUCCCCAGCUACCAUAUUCUAACCAGCCUUAGCAAUAGGUCGUAUUUAAGUUGUUGUGUUGUGUUGUGUUCUUAUGUACCAUGUUAAAUUACCCAUAUCGAAUCCUCGCCAUUAACUUAACGGGUUGAAAAAUGAGAACCUAAAUCCAUUCAUUAUCAUUAUUUUGUUACUUGAACCAACACAUUAAACCUAUAAUUUUUGGUAUUAUAUCUUUAAUUUGAAAUUAAAAAAAACAAUUUGUUAAACAAAGCUCUUUAAAAAUAUAUUACCAAUCAAAAAAAUUAAUAUUCCAAACAUAAGAUAAUUUAGUUCUAGUCACCAAUAUUAUUGAUUAGAAUCUUAGGAGGGAAAAAAUUAUAGGAUGGGGAUUACAUUACAUGAGAGGAUGCAAAUGUACAAUGACAGCGACACAUUUUAAAAUAAAUAUUUAGGAAUUUUAGUAUUUUUCAUAACUUCACGUAAGUAGUCAAUUUCAAUUCAAUUUUUUCUUUAAAAAUUUGUAAUGUAAAUUAUGAAAUUUAUUAAUUAUAAAUAUUAAAUAUUAGUGGAUAAUGGGUAAAAUGAAUAUUUGAUCUUAAAAUCGAACCUAACCUAUUAUGGAUUGGGUUAUAAUGGGUUAACCUAUGAAUAAUGUGACCCAAUAAAGGUCCACUCGACAACCAUUUUAUCAUAUGGGUUCUUGUCCUGUUAAUGGAUCAUAUAAACUUUUGCUAGGUCUAAUUCUAACUAUUAUAGCACUUUAAAAAAAAUCUCAACAACACUACAACUAGAAAUUUGACUAAAGCACAAAUUUGCUCUACAUUCAAGUUAAAUUCCAAUACACCACAUAGAUAAUAUAAAUACCAACAGAUAAUAUCUAGAUUAAAGCUAAAAGCUUCUGAGAAGACACCAAGUUGUAACAAAAUAAUCCAUUAAAUCUAUAUAUUUCUCAGCUACAAGAAGAUAUCCAACUCUCCUUUACCCUAUGUUAUCGACAUUCCCAAGGCUUAAAAUGCAAGAGGAUAAACUAACACCCCCUAGGUAGAUAUAAUCUAUUGAGGUUUAAAUAACAUCAAAACCAACAAAAAUAACUAUAGUUCAAACAAUAAAACAACUUUCACUCAUAAGCAAUCUAAUAUGUGUACAUGCCAGCUUUAGAACAUUUAAUCAAAUAACAACCUGCAUCAUUUGAUACCAAAUCGCAUAGUUAAAACACUAAGCAGAGGCUAAACAACACAAAAACAUUAUACUAUAUCAAUCGGCCCAAAGGAAGGUCUAUAUUUUCCAAAAUUUUAUGUGCACCUGUGGUAAUAGACGUGUGAUGAUUAUUCAGUUUUACAUAUGAAAAAUAAAUUAGCCCAAAAGAAUAUUUAUUGUUUGAUAUAUUAUUUUAUCAGUGUUUGAUUAUUACACCAAGAUAUCAGUUAAGUUAAUAUUUUGACCAAAGAUUAAAUAUUAAUAGGGUGUCUAGAAUCUUGAGAUAUAGUUUACUUUUAUUUGAAUUUAUUUUUGUUUUGAGACUUAUAUGAGCUUGUUUUGUUCGUUUGUUAUUCUUUAUUCGAAUAUGACUCCAGUAAUAUUACUGCCAACAUCAAUUUUAUUCUUAUGCUAAAUGGAUCUAAUUAUAAGUCAUGGUAAAAAAACCUCUUAAUAAUUCUCACAGUCAUGGAUUUUGACCUUAUAUUAAUGGUUGAUUCUCCCCCAGCUCUUUCAAAUGAGAGUGCUUCUAAUGACAAGAAGGAUUUGGAAAAGUCGAAGAAAUUAAAUCACAUAUGUAUGAUGAUCAUUAAGAAGGCCAUUCCGAAAAUAUUCAAGAGCUUAAUAUCUAAAAGAAUAACUUCUACCAAGGGGUUCCUUGUAGACAUUGAAAAGCGAUUUGUCAAGUACAAAAAGGAUGAAAUAGGUAUGCUCUUGACAAGUCUAAUUUGAAUAAGGUAUAUGAACAAAAGGAGUACAUCAUGGAGAUAUCUAAUCUUACUUUUAACUUGAGAACACUUAAGCUUAAAUUGUUUGAAGACUUGCUAGUGCAUCUGGUUUUAAUAUCCUUAUCAACACAGUUUAACUAGUUUAAAAUGAGCUACAACUAUAAAAAAAAGACUUGGUCUCUGAAUGAGGCCGUAUCACACUAUGAUUAGAAAAAGGAUAUGCUGAAAAAAGAUAAGGCAAAAAGUGCUCACUUUCCUUUUACCUCUAAUGGUAAGAAAAGAAAAAAGAUACAGAAACUGCAGAUGUGGCACCUUAGAAACAAGCAAUAAAAAAAUCAGGUGAUCUAAAAAAUACUGGUUAUUUCUUCUAUGGAACUGAAGGGCAUAAGAACAAGUAUGACAUUAAUUAUCACGCAUGACAUGCUAAGAAGGGUACGCUUCUUAAUUUGGUUUGUUCUAAGGUUAAUUUAACUCUGGUACUGACACAUGUGAUGGAUAUAUUCUGAUACACCAGCUCAUAUAAGUGGGUUUAUAUAAGGUUGCCUAAAUUGCCGAGAGCCUAAUAAUAGUGAAAGAUUUAUCUAUAUGUGAAUUAGAAAAAAAGAUGAAGUUAAAGCAAUUGAAAAGUUUAGAUUAUUAUUGAAGAUUCGAUUUUUAUUUGGAUCUUGAUUGAAAUAUUUAUUGUUCCAUCUUUUAGAUGGAAUUUGAUUUCCAUUUCUGCAUUGGAAAAAUUUUAUUUUUGUUGUUCAUUUAGGAAUGAAAAAUUUAGUUUAUUUCACGAUUCAAAAUUUGUUGGUUCUAGUUCUUUGUCAGGCUAUGAUAAUCGUUAUUUACUUAAUAUGAUUGCUUCAUUUAAUGAAUCCCUGCAAUUAAGUAUACUAAGUAUAAAGAUAAAAGUAACUAAUGAGAAUUCAACAACGUUAUUUGCAUAAGCGAUUAGUUCACAUCUCAAGAUGGAGAAUUAACAGACUCGUCUAGAUGAAAUUCUCAACCCCUUAGAUUUUGUAGAUUUCAUGUUUGUGUUAACUGUAUGAAAAAGAAACAAACUAAUAAAAGGAGAUUUGAAGCCAACAAGACUUUGGAAGGCUUAGAACUCAUAUGUAUGGAUAUUUGUAGGCCAUUCCGUAUUAUUAUUUGGAAUGGUCAACAAUAUUUUAUGACGUUUAUUGACAUUUUUUUGUUGAUAUGACUAAAUCUAUAUCUCCAUGAAAAGUCACAGUAGUUAGAUUUGUUAAAAAAUUUUAAGGCUUAAGUUGAAAACUAACUCAGCAAAAAAAUCAAAAGCAUGAGAUUUGACCAUAUGGUGAGUACUAUGACAGAUAUGUGUUGAGUGUUAGAAAAUGCAUAUUUAUAAAGGAGAAAAUCAUCAUUUUACAUUUCAAGUCUUACUAACAACCCUUACUUUUAUGCAUUGAAGCUUCUUGUAAUUUAACUACGUGUGUUUUAUUUUAAUUAAGUAUUUUAUGUAUUUUAGGGGCAUCAUGGUCAUUUCACAAUAAACGAGAGAUCAGACGGCAAAACGGACAUCACUUUUAAACUCAGGACGGUCGAAAACCUUAGGAGGAGCAUAAAAGGAAAAUGACACUAUUCACAUGUAUGGUACUAUUCACGUGUACGGUACGGUCUACAUUACUGUUAAUGACACUGUUCACAUAGAUAGAUCGAUGACGUGACAUUGACCGAUGAUGUGGCAUUGACUGAUGAGGUGUCACGAUCCUGUUGGGCUAAAAUUCUUAUGUACUAUUGAUGGUGACGUGGCAGCAUAUCAGUGGACGAAAAAUCUCGCGUAUGGUACAUGCAUCACACAGGAUUAUUUUCAACCAAACCGUGUUACUGUUCAACCCGGGUCAAACCGUGUUACUGUUCAUCCACGUGGUCAAACCGAGUACUGUUGACUGAUGACGUGGCGCAAUCCUGAGCGUCCAAACUGUUUUUAAUCCGAUAGCCAUGAUUUACUCCAUGUAUCUAUAAAAAGGGGGCCUCCACCCCCCUAAUUUGAUAUCUCUGAAUCCAUUUUUGGGAUCCAAUUGCUGUAAUUCAUUCUCCAUCUUGUAUUUUCUACGUAUUUUAAUAAAUUCUCAUUUUGCCCCUAGUUCAAUUAUGAGUGGCUAAUUUUCUUUCAAGCUUGGGUUGAAGGUGAAGUCUCAACAUGUGUCAUGAGCUUUAUUUGGUAAAUUUAUUUUCUUUUCCCCUCUAGGUUUUGUAGAUGAUUUGACUUUUCGUCGAUAAAUAAUAAUAAGCUUGUCUAGAUACCGCCCUGGUUACACCGGCUCCCUAGUACAAGGUUAUUAUUAUUUGGCACGAUAAGCCCUUAGCACCAUAUUGAUUAGAGUGUGGUUCAUGAGGUGUGGAUUCCCCCCUCAUGAUUUAAUUGGUAUUAAUAAGGAUUAUUUAGCCCAUGAUGCAUGUUGAUACGGAUCCAGAUACCCAAAUACGUCAUUUUAAUAGAUUUCUCUUCAAUUUAUUCUCGCCAUUGCAAUUCCAAUUUUAGAAUUUAUUAUCGUCAUUUCAAUUCCAAUUUUAGGAUAAUUUAAAUCACUUCCACCACAAUUUCAACCACCCAUUUACAAAAUUAAUUCUACAUAUAAUUAAAAUCCACCUCCUCGUGGGAUUGACACUCGUCACCAUUAGUCUACUCUACAAUAGAUUCGUGCGCUUGCGAGUACAUUAAAAUUUGCACAACAAUAUGACAGUUGAGGUGAAUAAUGUCCAGGUCCAUUUGCUAAGUUACUAGAGGAACUCAGUGUCAUCUUGCAGUACACUAUGCUGGGUUUGCCCACUAUAAACGAUAUUGCUAAAAGACAAAAUAAGACACUUAAAGACAUAGUGAGGAGUUUGAUUUGUUGCUUUACUUUAUCAGAAUCACUCUAGUGAGAAGCAUUUAAAGCUGCAGUAUAGAUCUUUAACAGGGUUCUAACUAAAAUGACUGCCAAAACUUCUUAUGAACUUUUGAUUUGCAUGUUUAGGAAUGUCCAGAUGUAGUAAGACCUUAUAAGCCUAAUGAAAUGAAAUUAGAUAUUAAGGACAAUAAGUUGCAAUUUUAUUGAAUACUUUGAAAGAUCCAGUGGUAUAAGUUUUAUAAUCCCAAUACUAAGUUGAUAUUCGAGUUAGGACAUGCCCCUGUUUUUUGAAGAUGUUGAGUUUACAGGGGAGAUACGGUAAGAGAGUUUGUGUUUGAAAAGGAAUAUGUUGAUAUUCCUAUGGAUGAUAUUGGCAUUGAUCAAGGUUUUAUUCCUAGCUUUGCUCAAAAUAUAAUAGAUCAAGACAAUAUUGGAAGCCUCCAUACAAGAAAUUGUUCUAGAGGAAUAAACUGUACUACCUCAAAAAUCUAUGUUAUUAAGAAGAUCCACCGAAAAACGGAGAAGUGCAAUGCUAAUGACUACAUUGUAUUUCUCCAAGACAAUGAGGUGGACAUUAAAGUGAUGGAAGAUGAUCGGAUCAAUUUUUAUGGAGGCAUUUAAAGUUCUAACUCUUAAAAUAUAUUAGUGCUAUAUAUGAGAAGAUGAAGUUCAUAAAGGACAAUGAUGUAUGGGAUCUUAACCUAUUACCAAAAGAUACGAGCCCUAUUAGUUGCAAAUAGAAAUAUAAGAUCAAGAUGGAUUCGAAAGGUGAUGUGGAGAGGUACAAGGCAUGUCUUGUCGCAAAGGGCUUUACACAAAAAGAAAGCAUUGACUGACACGACUCAAAAGUGUAUUACUCUCAAGUAUAAGAGUGUUUAGUUAUAAGAGCAUCACCAAAAAGCUCUUCAAAUAAGAUUUUAUUACUUAUUUGAAGAGCCACAUCAAUAUUUAAAGCUCCAAAAGACACUCCAAUUAAGAUUCUUCAAAUAAGAAUUGAUUCACUCUCUUCAAAUUUGGAGAGUUAAUUUCUCACUCUUCAAUUUAUAUUUUAUUACUUUUCAUUGAAUAAAGAGAGAGAAUUGCUUUAAUUGCUAUUGACUUUUCCUUUAAAAAAAUAAUUAUUUGAUUAAAAUAAUAUUAACUUAUUUCUAUUUGAAGAGUCUUUUGGAGAAUAUCAUAUUUUUCACCCUUCUAUUUGCCACAUAGGUAAGCAAAUAAGUAUUUGAAGAGUAAAAUUUAUAAAGGCUUUUGGAGAUGCUCUAACAUAACCCGGUGAGACCGGGGUCGAACCACAGAGAGUUUUAAAUCUAGUAAAACUAAGAAAAUUAAUUGUGGGGAAAAGAAAUUAUUUGAAAUCAAUUUAAAAAUAAGCUAAGGUUUAGGAUCCACUCUCUGUAUUCAAACUAUAAUUUUAAUACUCUCUCAUUUAUAUUUUGCCUCACUUUUACCAAUUAAUUAUUAUAUCAUUUAAUUCUAUGUGUGUGGAUAAAUAUAGAAUAAAGUUCCUAAUGUGCCACACUAUAAUAAUGUGUCGACAUUAUGUCAAAAUACCAUAAAAUCCAGUGAGAUUUAUAAAUGAACAUGAUAUAAAAAUAAUUAGAAAAGAAUUAAAUAAACUUAAAAACUCAUUUGAGAAAAUAAUAAUAAUUAAUAGUUUGAAACAUUGAGCUUCACCCUUCACCUUAACUUAAUAAAGUUAGCUACUCAUAUUGAAAGAAAACACAACACUCUUUUUAUUUGAUAAACUUCUUGAAAUAUAUUACAAAGAAAAUUGAUACAAAUGGAAACAAGAAAAGAAAGGAAAGCAAGAUAGAAUUUCUUCAGUCUUGGCUUCAGCUUUCAAAAUAGCUCUCUCGCCCUCUUGCUCUUCAAUUUCUCCUCCCUUUUUAUAGGCAACAAUUGCCUUUAACUUUCUUUAUUUUAUUAUUUAUUUAUUAUUAUUUUAAAAUAUAUAAGUGUGUUGAAAUGUGUGAUGGUCAGGAGGCGUGAUGGCCUCCUGACCAUCACCAACUGUUUUUGUUCUUUUGUUCUUUUUUUUUCUUUUUAUUUUAUUUUAUUUGUUAUUUAUUAUUACAUCUCUUCAAUUUUGUUCCAGUAGCUCUUCUUUGUUCCCACUUUCAAUUCCAAUUCCAUCUUUAUUCCUGAAAAAUAUUUACAAGAUAAAAAUUAACAAAUUACAAAUUAAUUUAACAUAAAAUAUAUUUGGGGAGUAUUAAAAUAAUUUAGAAAUAAUGAACGCAUUAAUCGACACAAUAAGUGAAAAACUAAUAAUUUUAUCCUUAUUAAAUGUACACUUUUUAGUGUCAAUCAUUGACCAUAAAGAGAUUUUCUCUCUGAUUUCUUUAAAAAACUCUUUUAGGAUCAUAAUGGCAUUAGUAAAGCAUUUUAAUAUAGAGUACAUCAAAUGAAUGUGAAGACAAUGUAUCUCAGUGGUGAUACUGAUGAGAUGAUCUAUAUGGUGGUGUCAGAAAAUUGUGUGUGAGAAGACCCAAAGAAUAUUGUUUGUAAACUCAAUAAAUCUAUCUAUGGGCUUAAGCAAGCAUCUUAACAAUCAUUUCAAGUUUCAUCAAAUGAUUAUGUCAUUUGGUUUUUAGAUGAAUUUGGUUGAUGAUUGCAUAUACUAUAAGUACUAUUGGAGCAAGUAUAUUUUUCUAGUUCUAUAUGUCGAUGGCAUUUUACUUGCAGAUAAUGAUAUAGGUUUAUAAGGCAAUAGAUACACCGAGAUUGUUCCUGGUGUAUUCUAAGACUAUCAGAAAAGAACUAUAUUGAAAAUGUUCUCAAAAGAUAUGACAUGCAAGAUUACAAAUUAAGUGAUACCCCUAUGGUUAAGAGAGAUAAGUUUAGUCUCAAUAAGUGCCCUAAGAAUGAUUUUGAGGAAAAUGAAAUGCAAAAUAUUCCUUAUGUGUCAGUAGUAGAAAGUCCGAUGUAUACUUGGUUUGUACGCAAGUGGAUAUUGCAUAUGUUAUUAGGAUUUUAUGUAGAUAUUUAAACAAUCUAGGAGUAUACUAUUGGAAAGUAGCCAAACGAGUCUUGCAGUACUUAUAAAGACUACAUGCUUACAUAUCGAAUGUCAAAUUAGCUGGAGAUCGUUGGGUAUACUGACUUUAAUUUUGCUAGAUGCCAAAAAGAAUACUAAACAAUCUCUUAUAGCCUAUUUUAUGAUUGCAAUAGAGUUCAUAACAUGUUAUAAGGUAUCUAAUCACGGAAUAUGGUUACAAAAUUUUGUCAUGGGGCUGAGUAUAGCAGAUGGUAAUAAUAAGUCAUUAGUGCUUUAUUCAAAUAACAACAUGAGCUAUACGAAGUAAAAAAUAUAGACAUCAAUUUCUUAGUUGUUAAAGAACAGCAAUAGAAAAUUGUCUACAGAGCACAUCGACAUAAAUUCCAUGAUUAUGGAUCCGCUUACUAAAGGAUUGCAACCUAAAAUGUUUAUGAGCACAUUGCUCGUAUCACUGUCAUACCAUUAUAAGAUAUUCAAUUUUAGUAGGAGUUUGUGAUUUUAGAUGCUUUUAUGAUAUAAAUAUUUUUCAGUUAUUUCAAUUUAUGGAAAAUCAAUGUUAUUUUCUAUAGAAAUAAAGUGUUGGUUUAUUUACACUCUAAUUUUGAUUUGGUUUGAUCUUACUAAGGUUUAAGAUGAACCAACUGAAAAUAGGCAUGUUAACAUCAAAAUGCAUGAAAUUUUUGUGCUACACAUUGACAUGAUGAUCCAUGUCAUUUAGUUGUAUUAGUAUAGCGACAAUUGUAACAAAGACUAGUUUGAUCUUACAUUAAUAUGGUUGAUGAACCAAAGUGGUUGUACAUAUAUAUAUAUAUAUAUUGGUAAUGACAAUAAGAUUGAGCUCAUACAAUUAUUUUUGCAAAGUAUAAUUAUAAGGUUACACAUAUAGCUCAAGCAAAAGAUUGUUAGAUCCCAUUUCCAACAUUAUUGGAUCUUUAAUCCAAUGUUUGACUUAUAUGUGAAUAAUUUUGUAUUGUGAACUGUCAUAAAAUGUCAACCUCAAUGAAAAAUGAUCUAUUAAGAUUUUUCAGUAAUUUGAGCUUUAAUGUAUUUCAUAGGGUAUGAGCUUUUAAUGUGUAGAUACUUAAGGAUCAUUUCUAUUUUUAUGAUAAGUUGAAAUAAGACCUAAUUUAGAACUUUGUUGUUUCUUAAUUUGGUACUUAUUUUUUUCUUUUCCAAACAACGACAUAAUUGAAUUAUAUGAAUUAUAUGAAUUCAAGAGAUGUAUUUGAGAUGUUUAUUAUGUGAAUAGUGUUGCAAGAUUUGGUAUAUUUAAUAUAUUUUGAGUUUUCACUUGACUGUAAAACAAAUAUGAAAAAAUAUAAUUAAAGUAAAAAUAUACUAUUAACCAAAAAUAACAUAACAUUACUAAAUACUUGACACUAAAUAUGUAAAANNNNNNNNNNNNNNNNNNNNNNNNNNNNNNNNNNNNNNNNNNNNNNNNNNNNNNNNNNNNNNNNNNNNNNNNNNNNNNNNNNNNNNNNNNNNNNNNNNNNUCAACUACUAACACCACCGUGUCAUUAUGUUAGUGAUAUUAUAGUGACGUGAAUUACUGAUACAAAAAUCAUUGGCACUGUAAAUUAAUGUCAAUGUGUUCUGGCUUAAACAUUACUGACACAAUUAAAAAGUGUUAGGAAAAGUAAUUACUGAUAAUAAUUUGGCACAAGUAAAACCUUUUUUUCUAGUAAUGAAGCAACUAAACAUGUUACACAGAAAACUAGGACAUUUAAGUGAUGUUGUUCUUAAGCAAAUGGUGUCAAAUGGUAAUAAUACCUUAGUCAUGAAUACAGUUUUGCAAUUUUCUUUUGUUUAACCUGUCAAUAUGGUAAAAAGUCAUAAACUUAACUUGAAAACCUCACAGGAUGAAAACUCAUGCGCAUCUAGAAUUGCUUCAUAUAGAUAUUUGGGGACUAGCACUAUUAACGUCAGGUGGAGGAUAUAAAUACUAUCUAAGCCUGGUAGAUGACUAUACUAGAUACAUUUGGAUGUUUCCAAUUAAGAACAAAUGUGAAUCAACAAGAAAAAUUCUCAUUUUUCUAAUACAAAUUGAAAGAUCCCUAGAAAAAAGAGUCAAGUGUCUACAAAGUGGUUGAGGUGGUGAAUUCGAGCCUCUAAAAGAACAUUUAAAAAGAAAAGGAAUCAUCUUUAGACACUCAUGACCAUACACUUUAAUGCAAAAUGGCAAAGUAAAGGGAAAACACCAAUACAUUGUAGAGAUAACCUUAACAUCAUUGGUUCAAGCAUAUAUGCCAAUGAAACUGUAGUGGAAAGCAAUAGAAACAUCAAUUUAUCUAAUCAAAGGGUUACCCUACUAGUUCUGGACACCUAUUUCUAUUUGAGAAGCUCUACAAAUAAAAACCAUAUUAUAUCUUUCUAUCAGUCUUCGAAGUGCUUGUUAUCCCAUUUAAAACCAUACAAUAGGAAUAAGCUUCAAUUUCGCACUUCAAUGUAUGUUUUAAUUGGUUACAGCACAAUGCACAAAGGGUUAUAAGUGUCUUUAUAGUUUAAGUAGAGUUUAUAUUGAAAUAAAUGUUGUAUUUAAUGAAUCUAAUUUUCUUGUUAACCUUGAUGAGUCUUUUAGAGUGAAAAACAAAAUCCUAACUGUGUGUACAAUAUACAAUAGGUCAUAUAGAAACAUUUAAUCAGUAUCAAUUGUUAUCCAAUGAAGAAGAUUGCUUACCAACACAAAACGAAAACACACUUGAACAAAUAUAUAGGCCUACAACUAUUGAAACAUACCCAUCAAAAUACAUUGAAAAUACUCAAAACAUAGCUCUUAACGACCAGUUUGAACCAAAUGAAAUAAUAGAACUAAAUCAUACAUUAAAAACCCAACUUGAGCAUACACUCUUUACUUAUCUUAUCGUUACAAGGUCCAAAUCAAAAAGUUAAAUGUUUGCCAGCAAACACAAAACAUUCAUUGAACAAUGAAGUGUAAGAAAUGUUAUGAUGGAGAGUACAAAGCCCUUAUGAACAACAACACAUAGGAGCUUGUAAAACUAGAGAAAAUAUGAAAGUGAUUAGAAACAAUAGGUAUACAAGUGAAGUACAACCCGAAUGGGACAAUAUCAAGACACAAUGCUAGUUAUUGAGGUUUAUCAUCAAAUAGAGGGGAUUAUUUAUACUGAAACAUUUAGCCUUGUGCUUAAGCCCUCAAUGGUUAAAAUUAUCUUGAGCUUAGUUGUCACUACUAGAAAACAAGUAAUAGAUGACAGAAAAUAACUAUUAUAAAAGAGGGUGUAUGACAUACAAUUUGUCUGUUAUCUAUGCUACUGUCAUUGAUUUACGACAAAAAAAUUUCAGUCAUAAAUUUAUGAUAGUUUUUAAGGCAAUUAUCCACCGACCACCUAUGUUUUUGCACUUUUUCAAAAAUACACAAUUCUUAAUUUUUUUUUUUUGCUGAACGCCACUUGAAGUUAUAUUAUUUUGCACUUGUUCACUUCCGUCUUCAAACUAUUAAGAAAACUAACUGAAUAUUAUAUAAAUGACUUUUUUACCCCCAAAUGUAAAAGGACAAUUAUCCAUAAUUACCUUUUUUCGCAUUUUUUAAAAGUACAAAAUUCUUAAUUUUUUUUUUGCUGAACUCCACUUAAAAUUAUAUUGUUUUGCACUUGUUCACUUUUGUCUUUAAACAAUGUUGUUGUGAAAUGACAAUUUUACCCUUAUGAUGUCAACAAAGUUCUAACAUCGUUAUAACGGAAGUGGACCAAUGAAAAAAAAUGUUAACUGCAGGUGGAGCGCUGCCAAAAAAAGAAAGAUUUGUUUAUUUUUUAAAAAAUUAAAAAAAGGUGGUCAGUAGAUAAUUACCCUAGUUUUUAAUAGUCGUAUGUGUAUCACACUAUAUUUUAGUAGGAAGUUAAAAAAUAUUUGAAUUUUUUUUUUCAUUUUUGAAAUUUUUUUGGCUGGUAAAUUUUUAUUAUUUCAAUUAACAUUACCUAAAAUUAUUAUUAUUUUUCGAAUUUUAUUAUUAUUAGAAUGGAAUUAAUUUUAAUUUUAAUAUUAUUAUUUAAAUUGUAUUAUUUAUUUCGUAAAUUCCCAAAUUUUGCUAUUUUGAUUUUUAUUAUUAUUAGAGUUGUAUUAAUAUUAAAAUUUAAGUUGUAUUAUUUAUUUUAUAAAUUCCUAAAUUUGCAAUUUUUUAAAAUUUAAUUUUUAAAUAAAAAUUAGUUUAUUAAAAAACAUCCUAAGUACAACCAUCUAACAAAUCAAAAGUUACAUCCACCAGAGUAAUCAAAUAUCUAAUAAAUAAAAAAUACAUCCACCAAUUAAUAACCAAAAAUCCAUUUAAGAUAAAUUUAACUAUCCAAGCUACAACUCCCUCAAUUAUUCAGGUUAUUCAUACUACAUCAACCUUAAAUUUUGUAAAAUAAUUUUUAUCAUUUCCGUCCUGCAGUAAUGUAACCUUUAAGCACAACAAGAGAAGCCGUGCCUUCGAGCAAGUAAUCCUUCAAUCUUUAUCUCAAUACAAUUUCACUUAUUUGAAAUAUAUUUCUGCUCAGGAAAAAAAAAGAAAAAAAAUUAAAACAGUAAGCAAUGUAACUAUAAGAUAACUUUUACAUCUAUUAUAUUAUUCAAGUGCCAUACAACCCACAUCCAUCCUAACUUUAAUCAAUAUUAAUCCUAUAAUACAACUCAAAAUGCCUAGCCAAUACACAUAAAAACAUAGCCAUUGUCUCCCUGAUCAAGAGGCCAUCAAUCCAAAGUAGGAAAAAUGAAAUUAUUAGGAAUAAAAUUUGGCGAAAACUUUUGAGCUUAUAACAAAUUUAUGGAUGCUAAAGCAGAGGUCUCCAUCAUUAUAGAAGCAAUUUCUAUUAUCAUCAAAUAGAGGAAAAGCAAAGUAGAACUAUUGAAAAAGAAUUGAUACGAUUUGCCAACUCAGGUCAUAGUCUAUCGCUCCUUUAAGACUCAUGAACUUAAAUUGAUCUUUAAUUUUUUGGUCCAAUGGUUUUUUUUCAUUGUUCUCUGGAUCCUCCAAAAACUUGACCAUUAUGCACCAUUAUACACAAUACAUAGUAAAUCCUAAAACCAAAAAGCAUCCAAAACAUAUCAAAGAAUAAACAAAAUAUGUAACUGGACAAUAAUUUGAUUUACAGAUAGACCAUGAGUUAUAUUCCAUGUCCAUGAAUCAUUUAGUUUGCAAAUAGCAUAAUAUUAGGUAAAUGAUAAAAAAAUAAAUGGUUCCUCUUCUACCUUGCUCCUAGUUGAGUUCAAUUCUUGUGGCCAAUGCCUUAGUGGAAUCAUAAGUUCAAUUAUUUAAUAAUUUAACAAGGCAAAUCUUAUAAAGAAAUGAAACAUCCAAAUUAACUUUCUUAAGGUUUGCUACUGUUACUUAAACCCAUAAUAUGGGUACUCAGUAAGGCAUCAUAGGACUUAGGAUGGCCAUGAGCACGAAAAUUGACUUACUGCAUUGCCCCCCAUCAUGCAUGAAAAUUAAGAAAAAAAAAACUAAAUAAAAGGAUUUGGCAACAUUAAAAGUGCAUUUUGAAAGAGUAAAAUAACAAUAGUUACAACCACUAUGUGACUAAUUUAAUCAAAAACAUUUCAGCUCUGAAAGCCAUUCUUUAAUUGGUAUGACUGUAAGCCAAAAAAACAUAAAAUGUUAAAAAAAAGUAAAAGAGGGUUAAUUAAAUAACUUAUUAAUUACCGGUAACUAUGAUGCUUUCACCAAGAGCAGAAAUGGCACCAAGAGACCACAUAAAACAACUAAAAAUAACAAAACAUAAAAAGAAGUAUAUAAGAAAAUAAAAAAUAAAACAAACAAAAAAUAGAAGAAAAAUAAAAAAUAAGAGAAAAGAAAAGAGCUACCUGCCGAAGAGAGGAUCUCCCUCCUCAACCAAAACUCCUUUUGUAAUACUUUAGGAUAUGGUGAGGUGCGGUUGGCGGUGCAGUGGUGGCAGUGGCAAUAGGGAGGUGCGGCUAGUUCGCAGCUACGGUGUCUAGAAAAAAGAAGUUGAAAAGCAGUUCUAAAAGUUCAGAUGUUUAAAAAUCUGGUGGUGGAUGUGUACCCUCACGAACAUGAUUGAUCAAAUCUUGUGAAUGUUAGGCAAUGGCAGAAAAGGUAUUUGUAGAGAAAGAGAGAGAGAGAGAGAGAGAGAGAGAGAGAUUUAGUUAUUACUGUGGCUAUUUCAAUUUUUCAAACGUUUAGGGUUUCUGAUUUCAAGUGUGUUUUGUGUUGUAAGUUCAACACUUAAAAAAAAAAAGAAAAAAGAAAAGAAGUUACCAAGUACUAAAACGAUGCAUUUAGUUUUUCAUUUUUUAUAAUUUUAAUUUAAAAAUUAAUGUUUUCAAAUGAUAAGCUGAAAUGCCACUGUAUUAACUUAAAAGAAACGAUAGCGUUUCUUCAAUCACUUAAUAAAAAUAUGUUUUAAAAAAAUAUAACUAAAAAAAUUAAGUCAAACCCGCUAAAAUAAAAUCAACAUUAAAAUUCUAUCAUACAUUUUUAAUACACACAAAAUCUAUCAUUAGUAUAUCAUAAAUUCUUAAUAGAAUAAAUUUCUAUCAUAAGUCCAUCAUGAAAUCUUGAUAGACUCAAAAUCUAUUACAAAGUUGUCGUGUGUUCAUGACAUAAGUCUUUUUUCUCAUAAUCUGUCAUAAAGUGUCUACGAUCUUUUGUAGUUUUCUUGUUAUGUGUGACUUGUGGCUAGAGUAUUAAACAAGUUGAUGUUAGUAAUACUUUCCUCAAUAAAGAGUUGUGUGAAACAUUUUAUAUACAACAACCAAAUGGCCUUGAAAAUAGGAAAAACCCAGAUCACAUCUGCAAUAUUGUUGUAUAUAAAAUUUAUACCUAGGGCUGGUAUGAGAAGCUAAAAACAAUAUUGUUGAGCUGGUGGUUUCAAGAAUGCAGUAUCAUAUACUUCACUAUUCCAUUGCAAGAACAAAGGAAACUUAGUUUACAUGCUGAUUUAUAUUGAUGACAUUUUAAUCACAUGAAUGAUAAAAAGUUGAUGGAAGGUAUGAUCAAGAGACUAAAUGAGAACUUUUCAGUUGAGGUGCUUUGAACAUUGAGUUACUUUUUAAGAAUUGAAGUAAAAGAGAGACUGUGGAGAAAUGCAUCUAUGUCAAGCAAAGUAUAUACAAAAUGUGCUUAGCAAAACAAAUAUAAGGGAUUGUAAACCAAGUCUUAUGCCUAUGACCUUAAAUGCACAAUUCACAUAGAAUGCUAAAGAAGAUGAAUGUGGCAAAGAGUUUGAAGACAAAACGCUCUAUAUAAGUGUGGUUAGAGAUCUAAGGUAUGUUAUUAUUAGAAGAUCAAACACAACUUAAAGUAUAAACAAGCUUUCUUAAUCUGUUCAAAUUCCUAGACAAAUGCAAUGGCAAAGAUGGAAGAAAGUAUUGAUGUACCUCAAAAGAGCAAUUGACCAUAGACUUUAUUACCUUCCAUGCGCAAAGAUGGAAAUUACAACAUAGAUAAAUGUUGAUUAGGUAGCUAAUUGAGAUUAUAGGAGGUCAAUAGUGGAAAUAUCAUAUUUCUAGCUGGAAACUUGGUUUUCUAGAGCUUUAAAAUGCAAAAGGUCAUAUUCAAAUCCAACAGUGAUGCUGGAGAGCUGCAAUAGUGAUUGAAACAAAAUCUCCACUUACAAAACUACAAAUUAAAUGAAAACAAAUGCUAAUUAUAUGAUGUGAUAACAAAACUGCCAUUGCACUUGCGAAAAGUCCUGCCUUUAGUAAGAGAACCAAAACUUCAAAAUAAUGUGCAUUUCAUCAAAGAAAAAAUCUUAGCAAACGAGAUUAAUGUGAAAUAUAUGAAACAUAAAUACCAAGUGGUCAAUAUCUUAAAUAAGGCCCUUUCAACAACUUGCUUUCAAUAUCUCAAAACCAAACUUAACGCUAAUUUGGAAAGUUGAUUUUAAGAGAGUAAGUUAAAGCCGAUGUUUGAGAAAAUGUCAUAAUGAAGCUAAUGUUGGCUGGAAAUUUGAAUUUGGUGUAGAGGAUGUUAAAGCUUGAAGAGAAAGCAAUAUGGACGAACAAUAUGGAAGUAUUAUUAAUCAAGGGGUAAGAUUCAAGUGAAAGAAAUCAAAGGUACAAAAUACGAAUUGAAUAAAGACAGUUGAGUAUCAUAGUUUUUAUCAAUAUUGUUUGUAUCAAUAUGAAAUAUCAAUGGCAUGAUCACAUGAUAUAAUAGUUGUAAAACUUAGUACAAUCUUUAUAUAUAGCUAAGAAGAUCAUGAAUAAAGUGUGCUGGUCACAUCAUAUCAAAAUGUCAAUUGCUUUUAUAAUAUUAUGUAUAUAAUAGCCCCUAUAUUUUAGUAAUUUAACUUUACAGAUUAUUUUUCUGAAAUGAUUUGGGUUUAUGUGGUUGAAAACAAAGAUGAAGUGUUCGAAAGCUUGAAAAAUUGGAAGACAUUGGUUGGCAUAUAGAAUGGUGCAAAUGUUAAGGCAUUGAGAAUUGUUUUUGAUCUUGAAUAUUGCAAUGCGGUGCUUAAGGAGUUUUUUUAUAAAAAAAAACUAAGAAUCAUUAUGCAUAAAAUUAUGAAACACACAAUUUAGUUAAAUGGCUUAGCUGAGAAAAUUAGUAUGAUCUCGAGUGAACAAGUCAAAUGCAUAUUGAUUUACUAAAAGCUUCUAAAGUCUUUUUAGGUAGAAGCUUUGAAUAUUGCCUGCAAUGUUGUAAACAAGAGUUCUUUAACAACUUUUGAGUUUAAGAUUCCAAUGAAGAUGUGUUAUAGAAAGAUACUUUAUUGGGUUUGAAAAUAUUUGGUUUUCCAAUGUAUGAACUUAUAAAGCAAGACUAAUCGGAGCUAAGAGCCAUGAAAUGCAUGUUCUUUAGACAUCCUUAAAGUUAUGGAACUAAGAGUUGUGGUGCACUAACUUUAAGCCACCUUGCAUCAUCAGUAGAGGUGUAUUUCCAAUAAAAAAAAAUGCUCAUUUAAGGCUUUAAACCCACAACACUUACAGAAGAACAAACAAAUUGAACAACAUUUAGUUCGAAGUAGAGCCUAGAGCCAUUUAUAACAAAAAAGAGUGAACAAGAAGUUGAAGAAGAAUUUGGUGAAGUGUACUUGACAUAGAUGAAGAAGAUGAUAUAUAAUAGAGAUAAAAUAUUGACUAAAUACAAGUUAAGGUUUGUUCCAAAUGGUGGAAAAAAUCUAGAUUUAUACUAACAACCUUUUCUAAGUUUGAUCAACAUAAGAGGUUCUUAAAUCUCAUAAAAUUUGAUUUUAGAGAGUUACAGAGAAAGCAAUCAAUUCUUUUUCUGUAUAACUUGUGCUUAAUUGCUAAGCUUGAGUUGUAAAAAUCAAUGAAAGCUUGUAGCUUAUUCUUUAAUGAAUACAUGCCUUUAAUGGAUAAACCACUUAAAUCCUGUUUAGUUUUUGAUUUACAUUUUUCGGAUAUGUUGUUAUUGUUUUCAUCAAAUUUGUUGUUAGGUUUCUUGAUUGAGUUUUUGUGAGUUGAUUGGAUCAUUGAUUUUCAUGUGCAUGAUAUUUAUUGAUUUAUUAAUAACUAUAGACAAAUUAAUCUUACAACUCAAUCAAUGAAUAACCCAUAAAAGGUAUAAUUAGGAUAUAAACUGUGCAUAAUAAUUAUAAGCGUACUAAGUUGGGAUACUUAGUUUGUAUCUUAGAUGUGUGUAUAAUUUCAUUCAUUCAACAAAGUGAAUCAUGUAUAAUUUUAAGAGGAAAAUUCCCUAAUCAGACAAUAGAUUCAGUUUUUUUCCUAUAACUAUCUUAACUAAAGAAUGGGCACAAGUAUUACAUGACCUAGGUACAUACUUAGCUCCAAAAGAUUUAAAAUCCUUCUUUAAGGCUUAAAUUUCUGAAAUAAUCUAGUAGACCUUUGAUAUGCUACUUCCUUUGUUGUUUAUCAAGUCUGCUACUUCUUGAGAAUUGAUUUCUUAAAUUAUUGAUUGCAGCCUGCUUCCUUUGUAAUAUAGAUACCCACUUAGCUACUUAUGUUUCCACAUAAAAUAAAUCUCCCUUAAACUUGGAUUUUUUUUUUUGCUGCUGCUAUGCAUUUACUUGUGGAAUCUAUGAUUUUUACUCCUAAUCUAGAUCAUUGUCUUUUGUAUUAAUAAUUGUAUUAACGUUCAUUUUUAGACAUCCUUGGGCUUAAAAAGUCCAUAGUUUUUGUUUCUUUUUCUUUUGUUUAUGAAAUUGGGUUCUUUUAAAAGCCUUAUUAACUGCCUCAGUUUUGUUCAUUGAUAAAAUUGGAUCUAACUUUAAUCCUUCAAAAAUAAAUUUGAUUCUACCAUGCCAAAUCACCCAAAAAAUAGUCACCAGUAGCUCUAGAUAAGCUUUAUUUAAUUUCUUCUUCGGUAUCAUCAAGUCCCCGGAAAGGUCUCGAUUUCCCAUCUCUUGAGUUGCACUUGCCAUAAGUGAAAGUUGCAUAUGUUCUUUACUGCUUUGCAAAUAACCAAAGCAUGCAAAGUGUUUUCCAUUCUAUUCGCACAACCCUAGCAAUGAGUUUCUUAGAUAAUUUUAUGCUUUUAUAAAUUUUCAGUUGUUGGCAGUAAGUUUUUUGCUGCUUUCUAGAUGAAAAUCUUGAUUUUGUUUAAGAGGCUAAACGUCCAUAUAAUGCUGCAAUUGCUGCUUGACUAUUAGAGCAUUUAGACGAAUAUAGAAAUCUCAUAGUUAGAGCCACUUGGUAUGCACUAUUAACUGAAUAAUUCCCUUUUUUGUCAUAGUGCUAGAUCACUUGAUCCUCUUUUUGUCUCCUUGGCAAUAUAAUACUUAAGAUUGCAUCUGUAUCUUCUUUUAAAAGCUUCUGUUGAAUCAAAUCAAUCUUUCAUUUGUUGUCAAUUUUUAUCGACACUGAUAUAAUAGCAUCAAAAGGCAUUUUUGAACUAGAAAAAGGUUUGGAAGUGGAUGGUCUUCGAAUCCAGUUGCCUUUGAUACAAUAUUCCUCCAAUUGCUAAUCCUCUAUCUAUAGCCUUUGAGCAUUACUUGUUAUCCUCACAAUAUGCUUUUCCAAAUAUAAGAUGAAUUUGAACCCAUUAGAGCACUUAAGAAAUCAGUCUCUUUAAAAUACCUUGCCUUCAAGACUUUAGCUGCAAGAGUAUCUAGAUUUUGAAACAAUCUCCGUCCUUACUUCACAACUAAAGCUUGGUUGAAGCUUGAUAUAUCUCUAAACCUCAUUCCUCCUUGGAUCUUGGCUUCAUUCGACUUCUUCCAUCUUGUCCAAGAAAUUCCCUUAUUUCCUUCUUUUUGAUCAAUGAAAACCCCGCAAUAGAUCAUUGAAUAUCAUCAUAUAACCUAAAAAGUAUCUUGAAGACACUUACCACUUUAAUUAAGACUAUUUUCCCUCCACUCAAGAAAAGCUUUUACUGUCAACUGGAGAUCUUACUAUACACUUUAGCUUGAUCUCAUUGGAAAAGGUCUUCUUUUUUCUUCUAAUCAUAGAAGGUAAUUUCAAUUGUUUCUUAUGCUUAGAUACCAUGAUGAGCUGGAAAAUUCUUUUAAUGACUGAAAUAUGAUUUGCAUGAGCAUUACCACUAAAUAACAUGCAAGACUUGUGAAAAUUGAAGAUUUUUCCAGCAGCGAUAGCAUAGCAAUAAAAAAUGUCCUUGAGAUGUUAGUAGUCUUUGAGUGAGGUUCUAGAAAAGCUCAGACUAUUAUCUGCAAAUAAAAGAUGAGAAAUUGAGAUAUACUGUCCAAAUCACAGUCCCUAGGUUUUUUUUUUCUCUAUGCCUGCAUCAGUAAAUUAGAAAAGGCUAUGCACAUAUUAUAAAUAAAUCUGGAGAUAAUGGACAUCAUUGCCUCAAAUCCCUGUGAGGGGUGAUCAUACCCUUAGGUAUCUUGUUGAUGAUUAUAGAGAAGGAUGAAGAAGUAAUAUAAUCCAUUAUUAAUUUUACCCAUUUCUCCUUAAAGCCUAGUCUGAUCGUUGUCUCCCUUAAAAAUUCUCAUUCUACCCUAUCAUAAAGCUUUGUUGAUGUCUAACUUCAAAGCCCCUAAACCUUUUUUUUUUUUUUUGUCUUUGCCAUGCUUAACCUUAUUUAGACAUUCAUACCCAAUAAUGAUAUUAUCGAUUAUCAAUUUAUUGGGAAUAAAUGCAUUCUAAGAUAAAUCAAUUAUAAGAUGUGGGAUAGUUUUCAAUUUAUUCGCAAUAGUUUUUGCAACAAUCCUAUAAAUGACAUUACAAAGGCUUAUUGGUUUAAACUCAGUCACUUUUCUAAGCUUUGCAUUAUUAGGGAUUAAUGCAAUAGAAGUGUGAUUCAAAAAGGCAAUGGUACCUGCUUCGUUGAGGAUGUAAAAGCACAUAGUGAUGACUCAUUCUUUGACAAAUUUCUCAUGCUUUUGUAGAAGGUAACAAGUAAUCUUUUAGGCCCUAAUACCUUGGUUGGGCACAUUUAUGAAAUACUAGCAAAGCAACCCAAGAGAAGGGGUGAAUUAGAUUUUAAAAACAAAUCUUUAAAAACAAUACUAUAGUUCAAUACUAACAACUACCACAACCAAUAAUAGUUAUAAAUUCAACAAGAAGUAAAUUUAAAGCAUUAAGGGUUGAGAAUACGAACACAAUAUUUUUACGUGGUUCGGCAACCCGCCUACGUCCACGCCUCCAAGCAAACCAAGUUUAAGAAUUUCACUAAUCAGGCCUUACAACCCAAGACUUCAGGAUGUUUACAAUUUACUUCCAAGGUGUCAAUCAACCUUUACUAUUCGAGAUGAUCCCACACGUCUUUUCCGAAGUAUUUCCUACACUUACAAUCACUCAAUUUUUGAUAUUGAAAUGAAUAUUACAAAGAUUGCACUCUUACAAGUAUAUGUUUACAAAUGGUAGCUCAAUAAUGAAUCAAUGUAUAUGAAUAAGCAAAUAAAAGCUCAAGAUGAUUUGUACGAACAAGUUUAAGCAUGAUAGAAAUUAAAGAACUCUCCUUUGAAUUGUUAGAUCAUUAUUUAUAAUAGUCGGUUUGCCGUCUAAUUCCAGAGAGUUCACUUAUAAAAGUCGAAUCACCGUUUAGCAUUAUCAGUUAGCCAUUUUAUUCAAGAAACUCUGCAAAUUAUUGGUUAGUUAGCUGUUAAGUUUUUAUAAUUAUAGUUUGGCCCCAAAACUUUCUUAAUUUAUACUACAGACCAAACUUUAUAUAACUUUUCAAAUAAGUCCUUCUCUAGAAACUUGUUGAUUUCAAAGUUCUACAAAAAUUUUUCAAUUUAGACCAUAAGCUUGAAAAACAACUAAUUUCAUAAAAUCAUUUUUGCUUUAAGUAUAAAACUUUUAUGUUAUGAAAAUAAUGAUUUAUUUAACACGUAUGAAAAAUAAUUUGAGCUUUUAAAUGCUUACUCAUGCAUACAUUUAAUCAUACUAACUUUAUAAGAAAUAUAACAAGAGAAAUUACCUAAGCUAGUACCUUUAAUGCUUGUUCUUGACUUGAUAAGCUUUGUGUCUUUGUCCAUUUGAAUACCUUGAACUUGAUCUCACAUGAAUGAUUUUUGUCUUCAAGAGCUAGUGAGAUUGGAAAUGUAUAUAUACCAUUUCACCCUUAACUCAUGAUUUGUUAUCAUCAAAAUUAAAGUUCAUAUAAUUGGUUUAGGCCAACAAUUUAAGCUAGGACUUCCAUAAUCUCUUCCUAUAUAUACGGUUGACUCAAGUAUUCAUUCAUUUCUAGUGACACUCUUGUGACCGUUCUUCUCAGUAGAUACUCCAUUUGAUCUUGAGUGAGGCUGGAAGUAGAGAAUAAAUUUUCAAAUUAUCCACAAAACACUUUCUCAAUAUCUUCUUUCUCUUCAGUCCAUUUUCCUUGUGCAUCUUCUAUGCCUCAAAUUUUGUUCUUCCUUUUUCUAGAUGAAGCUUUUAAGUAGAAGAAUUGUGUGAAUUUUCAUCUCCUCUCUAAGCUACUUUUCCCUGGACCUCUACUUUUAAAAAGUCUCCUCAUCUAACAAGAUGUGGUUGAUCUAUCUUUCAAUGCUUUUCAAUUCUUCACCACUUUCAUACUAUCUUUUAUGUUGCAAGAGCUCUUUUACUUUGUGCAUCAACUUCACCAAUUUGUUUUUGCUACCCUUGAGAGUCUUCUGCUCCGGUGCAUUAGGUCUACUAACGAAGCUUUGUUGGUUUGCUUAAAGAGUUGGACUGUGACGAUGCAGAAAUGUUUAAAGGUUAAAAAUAAACGAAACACAAGUUUCAAAAUAAUGAUGUUUAUUGAAUAAUUCUGAAUCGAAAAAGCAAUAUUCCGAAUUUAGCAAAAUAGGCAAAUUUGAAAUAUUAUUUUAUAAUAAAAUUCUCCCAAAAUUAAAUAAGAAAAAGCAAAACAAAUGGUGUUUAAAUCCUACUUCUAAAAGAAGAUAAAAAUCCUAAAAUAAAUAAGAAAAAUAAGAAAAUAUUCUAAAAUUGGGAAACAACCAAGAAAUGGCUAGAAUUUUCAGCUCAAUAAUGGGGCAGAAAAUCAUAAGAGGCUUUGGGUUUGAUUCUUCUCGUCAUAAGCUUUAAAACAAUAUAUUAUAUGCAAAAAAAGGAACACAUGCAGCCCAAGUUAUACCCUCUGAAAGGUAUCUCACUCAUAACACGCAACCAUCCUACAUCAAUCGCCCUCAUUUGGAAAAGAACUCGUACUUGAGUUUGGCUUAUACAAUGCCUCAUCAUCUAGGUGAUAGUUGAACAAAUCAGUCACAUUGAAUGUGUAAGAGAUAUUCCUAUUAACUAGCAGCUAGAGCGCAUAGGCAUUAUUAUUAAUCUUCCGUUCCGUACGAAAUGGUCCAUACUUAUGAUUCUUUAAUUUAGUGCGAAUGGUAAGAAAAUGACUUUGCCGUAAGCUAUCACUAAAUCACCUUCCUAGAAUACUUUUCUACAUCGAUUCUUGUCUGAGCAGCCUUGUACUUAACAUUGGCAGCUUCCAAAUGAGCUCUUACCUUGGCCUAAAUCUACGAAGCCUUUUCUUCCACACCAUUCGUUGCUUUACUUUCUUCUGUUAUUAUGGGUAUAAUAGCCAGACCACAAACAUGGCAUGGCAAACAAGUGUAGACAGUUUGAAAAAAGGGUCAUGCCAAUAGAUCGAUUCACCAUGCUGUUGUAAGCAAACUCAACCUAGUGGAAUGUGUUGGAUAUACUUGAGUGGAUUAAGUUAGAUUUAUGUUUUAUUAGUGGGAUUAUUAGUGGGACAAAUGUAAAGUUAAGAUGUAAUUAGAUUUUUUUAUUUGUGUGGUGUGGAUUUACCAUGUAUUUGUAUAAAUAGAGAGGGGGGUGAACACACCUCUUUACACCUUCUCUUUUCUUCUUUCCCCCCAAAUUCGUCUUCUCAUCUCUCCUUGUAAUAUAUUUUCAAUAAUUAAAAUUAGUUUUAUUUUCAAUUUUCAAGCAUUUUUUAAUUAUGUCUUUUUUGUUUUUAAAGAAAAUUCCUUUUAUUUUAAAUAUAGUUAGCUAAAUAUUAGUAGUUAGGGGAAGGUGAAACUCUUAGUAAAAAUAUGGUUUAAUCAAAUUUUAUUUUUAAUUUUAUAAAUUAAAUUGUUUUCUAUUUAAUUUUAUCCAUAUUUUUUAUUUCGAAAUUUUGAUUUAUUGUAGACAAACAUGGGAUUUUGGCACAAUGAAUUUUUAAUAUCUUAGUAUAAAGUGUACAAAAAUGGUAUUUUGAUUUAAUGUAGACAAAUUAAGUUUUGGCACAUUAAAUUCUUAAUCCACAAUAAAAUAAAUGGAAAAAUAAUUUUAAUUUAUACAAUUAAUCUUUUGGGAAAUAAAAUAAAAAUAAAAAGAAUUUGUUAAAUUGUAUUUAUUACUAAGAGUGGAUCCAUAACCCUAACUAAUUCAAUUUUAUAUUUUUUCUUAAAUAAAUUACAUAUUUUUAAAUUUUAUUCUUAUUUGAAUAAACUUAAGUAAACAAAUUAAAUCCUUUCUCUGUGGAUCGACCUCGGACUCACCGAGUUAUAAUAUAACAAGACACUCUUAUACUUGGGAGUAGAAAUCACUUUUAAGUCGUGUCAGCUAUCUUCGAAGAGUUAUCGACGACAACCAAUAUAGAAUCUCGACUGGUCCUUGUGAAUGGUAACCCUAAUACAAAAUUCAUGUACAGAUCGAACCAAAUAUUUUAUGGAACAGGCAGUGGCAUGUACAAUCCCAUGUUUUGCGCAUGUCCCUUGCCUUUUUGGCAAAUCUGACACCUCUGCACAAUCUUGUGCACACCUCUAUUCAAUUGUGGCUAAUAAUAUCGAUUCUCCAUAAAUGCUUUGGUUUUAUCUCGACCAAUAUGUCUGCCCAAUCCUCCUUCAUACAACUCAAGGAUUGUGCAGGGUAACUUCGAGGAAUAUAUAACAGAGUAACUUUGAACAAAUACCCAUCUUGAAUAAAGAAGUCUCUGCAUUUUAAUGAUUAAUGCAUUGCUCCCAAAUAUGCACAAAAUCAUCAUCCUGAGAGUACAACUCCUUCAAGCACUCAAAUCCAAUAACUACUAUUAAUAAAAGUUACUAAUAAAGUUACUUGCUUGCUGAGUGCAUAUGCCACAAUUUUUUGUUGCCAGAUUUAUGCUUCAUAACAAAAGUGAACUUCUGUAUAUAACUUACAUUUCUCACAUGCAUCUUACUUAGAUUUUGCUGGCUAUUAAAGUACUUUAAUGCUUGAUGGCUAUUGUAAAGCAUGAACUCCUUCUGAAUCAAGUAAUGCUCCCACGACUUCAACACCCUAAUGAUAGCAUAAAAUUCUUGGUCGUAAGUUGACCACUUCUGUCAUGCUUCAUUUAACUUCUCACUCAUAUACUCAAUAGGUCGGUCCUCUUAAGAAAGAACAAUACUAAUACCCUUACUAGAUGCAUCACACUCGACCUUAAAUAACUUGUCAGAAUUUGGCAAGGCUAAUACAAGAGCAAGGACAAUUUCUACUUUAAUUAAGCGAAGCUCGCUUCUUGCUCUUCUCCCUACUUGAACUUCCGCUUCUUCAGACAUUCUGUAAUAGGUGUGAGUAUAGUGUUAAAAUUUCGAAUAAAUCUCCUAUAGAAUGUUACUAGCCCAUGAAAACUCCAAAAUUCACCCACUGUCAUAGGCAUAGGCUAUUCUCUAAUGGCUUGUAUCUUUGACUCAAUAGCUUGUAUCCCAUCUACAUAAACUAUGAAACCUAAAAACUCCAUAUUACUUUGUAAAAAGCUACAUUUUUUAAGAUUAAUGUAAAGUUUGUUUCUCUAUAAUACCUCUCUAACUAUUCUCAAAUGCUCUAGGUGUGUCACCACAUAAACAAAAUAAAUCAAUAUAUCAUCAAAAUACGCCACAACCAAUUUACAGGAAAACGGUUUAAAACAUAAUUCAUUAAGUGCGUAAAGGUACGAGGGGCAUUCAAUAAUCCGAAUGGCAUCAGAAACCACUCAUACAACCAUUUUUUCGUCUUGAACACCAUCUUCCAUUCGUCACCAGUUUGAAUUUUGAUUUGAUGACAUCCACUGCACAAGCCUAUCUUUAAGAAAACUGGAGUACCGUCCAAUUGGUCUAACAAAUCUUAAAAGGUUAGAAUAAGAAAUCGAUAGUUCACUGUAAUCUGGUUAAUUCGCCUAAUGUCCACACACAUACGUCAACUCUCAUCAUUUUUCUAAAUAAUGAAGUUUAUUGAAUAAUUCUUAAUUGACAAAGGCAAGGUUAUUAGGCCCUUUAUAUAAUAAACCUAAAUAUUGUAAAUUUAGAAAAAUAUGCAAAUAUGAAAUAUUAUUUAAUAAUAAAAUUCUUCUAAUUUAAAUAAAAAAGAAAAUAGUGUCCAAAUUCAAUUUCUAAAAAAAAUAUUAAAAGAAAUAAGAAAAAUAGGAAAAUAUUUCAAAAUUGAAAAAUAAGCAAGAAAGAGCCAAAAUUUUUAGCUCGACUGCGGGGCAAAAUGUCAUAAACAGUUCUGGUUUUGGUUCGUCUCAUUAGAAGUUUCAAAAUAAUAUAUCAUACACCAAAAAAGGACACUUGUAUCCCAAAUUAUGCCUUUUAAAAGGUAUCCUGAUUGUAACGUGCAAUCAUCGUACAUCAGAUUGCAUUGCUUCCUGACCAAUCUUCAUGUUUGAACUAUGUUUCUUAACAAUGUCUUGAAACUCAUCGCAAGAGAUCCGCAUGUCUUCAUAAUAAACUCUUGAAAAAAUUCUCCUAUUUUGUAGUGCCUUCAAUUACCCUUUCAUGUUGCUUUUAUCAAAACUGCAUUAUGAUCAGAACAAGUGACCAGGUUUCUUCCAACCUGGUCUUGAUAGCAAUUUGUCCAAUCUUUGCUAUACAAAAAUCUAUUUCAAUAAAUAGAGGCUAAACCUCCUAUUAAACCAUGUAAAAGGGUGACCCGUACAACCUAAAUCCCUCCAAUUAUAGUCCUGAACAUCAUUCUCUGAAUUCACCAAUCAUAUUAGCCUCGCUUUCAUUUCCUCAAUUUUUCUGAUCCAAAUGCAAUAUUUCAUUAAAAUCACCAAAGCUUAGCAACAAAGAUAAAGACAAACCUACCAAUUUUCUUAAUAAAAUCCAUGUAUGUAGUGCAUCUUAUUUGUUUCCCAUCUUUAAUUUCUAACUUUGCAUUAAUAUGAUGGCUGUUGAAGGAGGUAAUAUUCACCCUUGUUUCAAAAUUCCAUAACAUAGUUAGGCCUUCACUUUUUCCAUUACUACUUACAGUAAAACAAUUAUCAAUCUUCAACUUCUUGCCCACAUUAGUCAUGUGCACAAUCGUCAGUUUAGUUUCGCAUAAGAAAAUCAACUAAGGCCUGUACAAUUAGAGGAAAUUAUGUAGAGCUAUAAACACCUGGUUAAUGUCUAUCCCUCGGACGUUCCAACUUAAUAUUUUGAUGGCUAUCGGCCAUGCUAAUCCUCAACUUCUGCAAAUUGAGUUGCAAUUUGAAUGGUUUUAGCGUUUUUCUCUAUUCUCGAGCCUUCCCUAUUCAAUUUGUAUCUAUGUGGAAAUAGAUUACAGGAGUUUGUUCUAGCUGUAGUAGCUUUGUGGAGGCUCUAAAUCCAUAUCUUUUUGUGUUUGGACUUGGCCUUGAUGAGUCACAAGUUAGCAUUUUUCUACCAAUUGACCCCGUUUUUAUAUGCCCUUAGAUGCUUGCAUUUCAAGCUUCUAACUUUUAUUUUCUUCUUUUGGGCUUUGCAGUUCUUAUGUCAGGCCCAUCAUAUACUACUUCAUCUUUACUGAAGUUGCCUUGAUCUUGAUGUGAGCUUGUGUUUGGAGUUAAAUUUGGCUCCAAAUUAAGUGCUAAUUUAAGAUUUAUUCCCUCCCAAUUCUAUGUUCCCGCUUCUUCUCCCUGCUUUCCAUAAUCAUUUAAGUUGUCAACUAUGUUUUCAAUAGUAGCUAUGGUAGAUUGCUUCUAACUAUUGUCUUGUUGUUUUAUUCAAAAGUCAUUGCUUACCAGUCUUGGUUGUUUGCCAUCAUUCUCACCGGAUUGGAUUGGUUUUACCUGGGUUCAUUUUCAUAUAGGUCUGAACCAAUUUGUUGUGACUAGCUUCUUCCAUGGCAUGCUGAUUUUGUGAAGCUAUUGUUAGGCUGCUCAAAUCUUCUAUUCCACCUAUCUUUUCCUCGAUUCAAUCAAUUUUUUUUAGCUUUGGACAAUGCCUUCAUAUAAACUCCAUAAGGCAAUUUUUCCUUUGGUUGCCCAUCAUACGUCACACAUUCUUUAAACUGUGCCUAAUAAGUCCACAGCUAAAGCAAAAGCUUGGGAGCCAUUCAUACAAAAUUGGCAAUUCCACCUCAUUAUCGUCUUCUAAUUAAAAAAAAAAUUAUUUUCUUUAACGGUAUUAUAAUGCCAAUGGAUAUUCUAACUCUUGCAUAUCGGCCAAUGCAUUCCCCGUCAUUAUCGGUUUCUACUUCCAAAAUCUCUCCAUGCAAUUCCCCUGGCUUUUGAACAUUAAUAUUGUCCCACUCCAUGCAUACUAUAAGUCCAUUGUGAAUUUGUAUGCAAAAGGCUGCAUGUGUGAACUCUUCCUUCCUCAUGUUUCCAAUCCCAUUGGGUUCUUUAAACACAAUCAACACCUUGUUAAAGUGCCAUGGCCUUCUAGCCAUCACUUUUCAUUUAUCUACUUCUGAGCCAAACUUAAAUAGAAAGAUAUUGUUGCCCAUGCUUUCAAUUUUUACCUCUUUGGCUCUUCUCCAUGCUUGUGCUAUGCAAUCCCAAUUCCUUUCGUGUGUAUACUCUUUGCCAGUAAAAUUUUUCCAACUAAAGAGUUUGCCAUUAUGCUUCCUCUUUUUCCUUACAUUCCGUUUUUUGAAAGAUAGCUUGCAGUCAAUACCUUUUUUAAUAGAGAUAGCUUUGCAUUUUUGUAUUAAGUCCUCUGUGUCCAUGGAUGUUGGACACAAAUUAACUCUUUACUUAAUAACUAUCCUAUGUGUUGAAACCCCAGUGUUUUAAUCAUCCUUACCCACUCUCAUAGAUUCACUCCCCUUAUUUAAAACCCCUAACAAAAGUUAACAAAGCACUCAAACUAAUGAGUGAAAUAUGGAGCCAUUAAAGCUCCAACCUACUUCAUUCUUUCACUCUUUUUCAGAGAGAAAGAGAGCAUUCUAGAAGGAGACUAUUUAACUAAUGCACACGCUUACUUUAAAGUUGAAACUUAAUUGAUUUUAUUUUUACAAACCUUAUUAAUGGGUAACACAUAAGAUAUCAUAUCAAUUAGGAUCACAAACUAAGUAUUUUAAUUCAGUAAGACCCUAUUUGUAUUGAGGUUGAGUGACUUAAAAAUUCAUAGCUACUGUGAAACAAAAGUUGUAGUUAUGAAAUAAAAAUUGAUAGUGUGUGAUAAAUAUGAUUUUUAAAUAAUAAUUUUGGUAAAAAUCAUAAAGAUGUUGUGGGUUUUAAACAUAUAUGUGUGGGAUAAAAUUAAAUUUUUUUCUAUGAAUGGUGAGAAAAUUUUAUCAAGAGAAAUAAGAGAAAAAUAAAGAGAAUUAUAAAUACAAAUAAGUCAUGAAAACCUAUAUUUGUGGAGCUGCCAUGAGUUCUCACGUAGAAAUUUACGAAUAGAAGCUAGUGGAACAUCCCUCAAACAUACGAGGAUCAAAUAAUUACAAACCACAACCUCAAGUAUUUAACAAACAUGUCCUACCGCCAUACUAAAUAAGGUUAAGGCCUAAGUUUUAGCAUUGUUCAAAACUUCAAAUUGUGUAUUCCAACUAAAUAAGUGUACCAUUAAUCAAAAUACACUAAUGAAAAGAAUUUUUUUUUAUCAUCUAAAUAUAGUUGGGCAAUAUUGAAAAUAUAAUUUUUAAAUAUUUGUUAUCAUAACUUACCAUUUGACUUUUUUGUUGUUGCUAUUUUUCAUAUUCUCUCAAUUAAUUGACUUUUCAUGUUCAGUUUGCCUAGCCAGGGGAGUCUGGUUGUAUUAUUGAUUUGCCUAAUCUUUCAUUGAUAAAUGUCAAUAUUAGUAGUAUAUAAUCCAUCCUUUACUUGCACAAGCAUAUUGUUUCAGAAACAAAAUAAAUAUGAUUUUCUCGCAUAAUCUAAAAGUCAGUUAAUGUCGUCAAAAAUUAGACGCACACAUUUAUUUUACACACCAGCUAGGAGCUAUCCGAGGCUUCGAGCCAGCCGGCUCAAUACUUUUGUUUUCCCAAAAUAUCCCUAUCUGAGAGCGCUGAGUUAGUGAAUCAAAGAAGAUCGACAAUAUGGGUAAAACAGUCAUUCAAUACAGGCCAGCUCCAUUGCCGAUCAAAACACACAGGACGCUUCCUCCUCCGUGGCUUUGUACGAAACUUCGAUUUCGAUUUCGAUUUCCAGCUCCAAAUCACACAAAUUUUCUAAUUAUUUAAUUAAAAAUUCACAAUUCGCUGAUUAAUUAAUGCUCCACAACACGUACAGCCAAUACUGAGACAUAUCAUUUUCACGAUCCGAGGUAGAUUCACGUACGUCUAUUUUCAUGCUGAUUGAAGUUUUAUGGUUUACUUUUCCAGCUUGCAAGUUGCUUUUAUUGUUAAUUCGAGGUAGAUUCUGCUUUCCUUUGUAAGGCUUUGUAUGUGUUUUAGUUCUAGGGUUUUUUUUAAUGAUUAUUAUAUGUGGAAUUGUUUGUUUAAUAGUUUGUAAAACUUUUGUUAAAUGAAGUUAGAUUGAGAAAUCAAAUAGAUGAAUUAGAAAGGAAGAAGUGAUUGUGAAGUUAGAGAAUUUUUUUUUCCUUUUCUUUUUUUAGAUGAGCUUGUAAUUUCACAAAGGUUGUUUGUGUUGGUUGAUAAAUGUACGAGGAAUGGAGAAAUUUAAGGCAACUGAAAUGAGUAUUUUGUUACGCUGUCAUUGUGCUUAAAAUUAGUUUAGAAUUUGUUGAACCAGGAAUAGGAAAUUGGCUGUUCAUUGAGAAAGAAGUGAUUAUAGUACAAAAAAUAGUAUCCAAAAUGCUGGUCACGUUGACAGUUAAAAGACAUAAAUUAAUUCCAAGUGAUGUUGAUACAUUCCAAAUGGUCAUUCUGUCUAUAGAUCAGUUGAGAUACAAUGAGCCAAUGGAAGGUGUAAUAAAUUUUAUCACAGUCAUAAUAAACCCUUUUAUACAACAGAAACAAUUGUUUUAAUGUGUGCAUCUGGAUUACUUCUUUUUUGUUUAUUGCUCUUCUAAAGUGAACUUUUCUUUUUCAGUAAACUCUUCUUUGGCUGGUUAAGUUUAAGACUUAUGCUCCUAAUUGCACUGUUGUCGAUAUGGGUUUGAGUAUAUUAAUUGAUUUUAGUUUUCCUCUAUUAUUUUCAAUGUGUCUAAUGCGGUUGCGUUUCAAUUCUUGGUUUCAGUGAAAGAUUGUCAUAUCUUGUGUGCUUGAUUUGUUAGUGUGUGUGACUAUGAGGUGUUAUUGUAAGUAAGGAUGCAGCAGUUGCUUAGGAUAUCUGUUGCAUAUCUCUGUUUUUUGCUACCUGUUACCUGUAACAAGAUCAACAUUACUUUUCGAGUCCUGUAGGUUUUUGUUUGCAGCUGGAAAUAGUUUGGCAAUUUGGCCAUAUUUUGACUGCUAGAAUUAUUAAAAGAUGUAAUAAAGACUGAGUUGUUGCGUGAAUGGAGGAUAAAAGACCUGUAUAUUAUCACUGAGAAAAGAGAGAAGAAAUGGAUAUAAAAUAACAAAUAAUUUCAUUAACUUUAUGAGUCAGUUGGAUUUGGUUUUCUCUUAAUGGAUAAUGUCUAAAUUCAGAACAGGGAAGAGUAACUUUUAUGGAAUAUUGGCUAGUGUAAGUAUAUUGGGAAUAAAAAAAGGGAAGUAUCUGCUAAAUACUUAGCAAAAGAAGUUUUACAGCAAAAGAAAUGAUGUAUCAUUGAGCAAGGUCAACCAACAGAAAAUUAGAUGUUUAGAUUUCACAAUAUGGAGCUGUUUGCGUAAGAAUAGCUAGUGGGCAUUAGUCUUGAGGAACAAGGAGUGAUUUGAUUCUACUUGAAACCUUGACAAGGAUUAAUAGAAGGUAAGAUGUUAGUCAAAGUGGGGCAAGAAGACAUGAUGAGCUAAAUCAAAUCAAGUAUAUUGUCCAAUGUGGAUUUAUGUUGAGAAAACGUAAAACAAAAAUAGGAUAGGAGUGAGUUGGCUGCAGUGGUAGCUUUGAAGCUUUAUUUUGUUGACUUGUAUUUUGUUUAGUGGUGGCUAGGUGUGUUGAGGCCAUUGACCAUCUAGGUUAAGUAACUGAAGAAAACCUGCAAUGUUUUGAAAGAGUCCUCUUUUAGUUGAGAAUAACAUGCCCCUUGUAUUGGAUGGGAGGUUAUGAAUGGCUAACUGUGUAUUUACUAGAGGAAAAAGACGAAAGUUGGGUUAACUCUGUAGAAAGGUAUUUUUUUUACCAUUUAUGUAAAUGAAAUUCUGCGCAUCUACACUUGACCUUCUGCCUCUGCCCUCACCCUCCUGCUCCCAGAAAAGGAAAUCAAACUAUUCGAGUUCUACUGUAGGCAGGAACUUCAUGCUUUAGCCGGCUUAGGAGGCAAUCUGAGCUUAGUGUCAUGGUCCUAGAUUUCUGUGAUUGAAAUGUUUGUGGCCUGUUGAUGUAAUGAUCCAACUCGCUAAUUCGUCCUAUAGCUGUUGUCAGCAUUAAGUGCUUAAAACAUAUCAUGUGAAAUGGUUUGAAAUUUCAAGGAAUUAGGACUUGGACGCUUAUCAUUGAUAUCUCAAGUAAUUAGGACUUGGACGCUUAUCCUUGAGGUUUUCCUCUUUGCAGGUGUAUUGUCCUGACAUUUUCCUUGGGACUUCGAAGUUGGCCUCUAUGUGUUGUACAGCUACACUAUUGUGAUGCAAAACUGCUUUCUGUUGGUUUCUAACUCGGGGGAUGUGCAGAAACUGAUUCAGUGGCAAUGUCUAGCAAGUUUGAUCUGCCUUCUGGAAGCCCAGAUAGGCCUUUGUACACCAGUGGGCAGCGUGGACCCCACUUAGCUGCUGCACUGGACAGAUCAAGUAGCUUUCGUGAGAGCAUUGAGAAUCCAGUCCUCUCUUCUCUUCCAAACACUUCAAGAGGCCCUGCUGCUACAGCUGAAGAGGUGUCAAAUUUCUUACAAUGCUUGCGUUUUAACCCGAAGGCUGUUGCUGCAGAUCAUAAGUCUAAUCGUCUAGUAGACUUCAGGCGACACAUGAAUGUUGCUCUUGGCCUUUCAGCGGAUGAUUCUCCAACUGGGUCAUCAAAAGGCAAGCUGCUGCCAUGUCUAUUACCAGAGGAAAUCAAAAGGGUCAAGGGUGGUCUGCGUGACAGCACUAUCAAGGCUAGGUGGUUUUUUUUAACUUCUGCAUUUUGGUUAAGAUUUGUAAUUAGUUUAUUAAACUGAAUGUCUUAACAGGGAACGUGUGAAAAUUUUCAAUGAAGCCUUAUCUGUUUUCAACAAGUUUUUUCCUAGUGUACCAUCAAAGAAGAGGUCUAGAUCAGAAGUUUUUCCUUAUGAACGAUCAAGUUCCUUGUUAUCAAGUGAACAUGCUGCCCUUGGGCCAAACCUUGGUAAGAUAGGUAUGCAAAGUCAUGCCCUUCCUGGUGGUUUCGAACUUGAGCAGCAAAAGUCAGAAGAACGAAUAAAAAAUGCUGUUCCAAGCAAACGCACUCGAACCUCAUUGGUGGAUGUUAGGGUUUGUAUCUUGAACUUCUUUCUAAAUAUUUCUUUCUUCUGGCUUGCUUUUUCUUCUUCUUUUUCUCACAAUAUGUUUCAAUCCCUUAUUAAGUACUAUGUUAUUCUCUUUAAAUUUACUUCUAGUGACUACUUUAGCUGUCUUAUUGGUUAUUGAAUUUGUUCUGGUGUUAUUUCAGUUUCCUUUUCCUUUUGAGAGUUAUCAGAUUCUGAAACAGUUUUUAUCACUAAUUCCUGCUGUUCUUACUUUACUGGAAUAGUAAAAUGCUUUUCCUUAAUGUAAUGUGGAAGCUCAGUUUAUUUUCCAUUUUCUGUCCUUCCACUUCUCAUAGAUACACCAACUGCGCCCCUCCACAUGAGUUUGAUGCAGUUUUCCCGAUCAUGAUUUGAACAUGGUUUAAAUGUCGGAAUUUCAUACUUUAUGACUGAGCGACCUCUUUAAACAGUACGAUGGUUGUGGAGAUUGGUUUGCUGUUGAUUGAUGCUGAAGUUGUUUGUAACAUGCUGCUUUCUGAUUGUCCAACUGAACAUAAACUGACAUUUGCAUGCUAAUAAAUCUACAUGCAGGGUAACGCUAUUGUCAGGCCAUCUGGCACCAUAGAUAGGGAUAAGGAAAUGCUAAGGCUUGCAAAUAGUGGUGGAGCUCAAGGUGAGGAUCGAACUUUACCAAUUGGCGUUGAUGGAUGGGAAAAAUCAAAAAUGAAGAAAAAGCGUUCUGGGAUAAAGCCAGAAGCUUCACCAAGUUUUGUGUCGUCUAAACCCACUGAUGGCUAUCGGGACCAGAAACAGGGAAUGCAACAAAGGCCAGUAACUGAUGGCAGACCCAGGUCAAAUAAUGACACCCAUGGAUUCAGGUUUGUCUUCUGUAACUGCUGGUAUCCGGCCAUAUUCCCGUUUGCCUGUUUGAACAAUUGGCAUUAUAACAUUCAUGAAGUGUCUCCGUUAGGGAACUUUUAACAGCAGGCCCUUAGAUUUUUGCUGCUUUUGUUAUGAUUAGAUUCUAAUGUAAUAAUAUAAAAAGUUCCUCAAGCUACUUUAUUGGUAACCAAAUGAAGAUGUGAUAUUUUCAUGUCUCCAGUUUAUCUAGAAUAUAUUUACAUUAUACCCCUUCCCAUAGCAAACUAAAUGUUUCCCCUUGGACCUGAACUCGUGACCCCAUGCUUCCACACCAAGAGUUAAGCCAACUAGGUUAUCCUUUGGGGAUAACCAUCAUCAAUAUGUUGUCACAUUUUCUUUUUGCUUCAAUUCAUAUGGAAGUUACGGUUUUUAAAGCACUUAAGCUUCAUGUUAAUUGUGAUUGUGUUGUACAUUUAUUCUCUUGAGUUUCUUAUUCUAUCCAUAGAGUUGUUUUUUCGUUUUUUUUAAUUUUUUAUAAAUUAAUAAAGACAACUUUUACAUCUAUAGAUUUUGACUCAUUUUUGAAUGUUGUCCGAUAUUAAGGACUUUGAGAGAAUCCGGGAAAUAAUGAUGGACCAUGUAUGGAAAAACUAGUUUAAUCAUUUUGUAUUUAUUUUUAUUUUUGGUGUUUUCCAUCACCCCGCAUUUUUCCUGUAGAGUAAGCCUAAACACAUUAAUGCAUUAAAUUAUGCGUGGAUACUUUUCUGCUAUUGCCAAAGGAUGUUACUAAUGCUUUGAGUGCUUCAAUAAACUUUCAUGCUUCAAAGAAGUAUGUAUAGAUGGCUUGCCAAUAUUGAACAAAAAUUGUGCUUUUUGUUUUUCAAAUUUGUAAGUAUAAAUUGAUGUCCUCUCUUAUGUGGAGGUUUCAAUGCUCAUCUCCAAGAGAAAUUUAAAUUGUGUAUUUUGAGUUCUAUUAGUUACAUGCACUGAAAUGUUUUAGUAUUUGACAUCAAAGAUCACUCCGAUGAUGACCUCAAUAGAUAUUAUCUGCAUGGCAUAAUAGCUGCCAUUUUGCAGCUAUUUGAUUCUCAUGGAUUUCAGUUAUUAAAAAGAAAAAAAAAUGAAACGGACUCUUUUAAAGGUUUUUGACUCAAAAUUUGAAGGCAAAAAGUAUUCCUGUCAAAACCAUGAUCAAAACUGUGGUUGUCAGAAUUUUAUGAGUUAGAUUUUCUGUUGAGACAUUUUGCAGGAAAUUUCUGAUUUCAAAAAUCCAUAUAUAUGUAUGUGUUUGUGUGUGUGUAUCUAUCUAUCUAUCUAUCUAUAUGUGUAUAUGAAUAUAUGUUCUGUAAGGUGAUACUAACAUGUUCUGUAAUAUAGGCCAGGAGUUGCUAAUGGAGCCGUUGGAGUUGGAAAGUCUGAUGGUAUAUCACAACAGACAGGUUUGGGUGUCCGUUCAUCCAUUCCUAGGACUGAACUAGAUAACAGUUCCCUUCUUAAUGAUAGGAGAGAUCGUCCUAUAGGUUCAGAUAAGGAAAGGGUGAACCUCAGAGCUGUUAAUAAGUAUGCAAUGUAUCCUUAGUAUAUCUUAUGUUUGCCAUAAAAAAUUGCAUUUGUUGGCCCCUUACACAACCCUAUAUUAUGUUCCAUAAGGUCCUUUAUUAAUUUAUAAAUACAAAAUUUUCUGAAUAAUGCUUAGGACAAAUGUUCGAGAUGAAUUCAAUUCAGCUAGUCCUACUUCAAAUACAAAAAUGACUGCAUCUGUUCGAGGACCGCGAUCAGGUUCGGGAGUUGCACCUAAACUGUCCCCAGUUGUCCACAGAGCUGCUGCUCCUAAUGACUGGGAGGUUUCUCAUUGUAUGAACAAGCCAACUGCUUCUGUUGGUCCCAACAAUCGGAAACGCACAAUGUCAGCUCGGUCUUCAUCACCACCUGUAGCGCAUUGGGCUGGCCAGAGACCUCAAAAGAUCUCUCGCACUGCUAGAAGAACGAACAUUGUCCCUAUUGUUUCAAAUAACGAUGAAACUGCUGCUUUGGAUUCUUCAUCUGAUGUUGCAGGUAGUGAAAUUGGAGGGGGAUUUGGAAAACGGUUGUCUAGCAACUCUCCUCAGCAAGUUAAGUUGAAAGGCGAUUCCUUGUCGUCAGCUGCAUUAUCUGAAAGUGAAGAAUCAGGGGUUCCUAGCAUUAAAUCUAAAGACAAGGGCAGAAAAUCUGAUGAGAUAGAUGAAAAGGCUGGACAGAAUGUCCAAAAGGUAUCGACUUUAGUCCUGCCAUCAAGAAAGAAUAAGCCGGUUUAUGGGGACGACCUUGGAGAUGGUGUACGGAGACAAGGGAGGACAGGACGGAGUUUUGCUUCCGCAAGGGCUCUCUUGCCAAUGACUGUUGAGAAGCUGGGUAAUGCGGGGACUGCGAAACAGCUUAGAAGUGCCAGACUAGGUUUUGAUAAGAUUGAAAGGUUAAACAGUUUCUUCUUGUAUUUUUUUCAGCUAAUCUAAAAUGUGUUUAUCUAAUUUUGCUUUUGCUACUUUGUCUCUUCAGCAUGAUCACUUAAAGUUUCUUUUGAAAUAUUUAUAUUCAGCAAGGCAGGCCGUCCACCAACUAGGAAACUUUCUGAUCGCAAAGCUUAUAAACGUCAAAAGCCUACAACAAUUAGUGCAGCUGCGGAUUUUAUUGGUAGUCAUGCUGGAUUAAUAGAGAAAAAUUUCCCAGGAUGUUGUGACGUUUUAGUUACUAAUUCUUCUAUUCAUUGUGGUUAUAUUGUCUUAGUUGGUUCAGAUGAUGGGCAUGAAGAGCUGCUGGCUGCUGCAAAUGCUGUUAUAAACUCUGGUAUCGUUGUUUUUCAUAUUUGGGAUUCAUUUUAUUCUAAGAAGCUUGUCUUAUGAAUUCGUGCAUUUAUUUUGCACUACAGCUCAUACACUGUCCAGCUCAUUCUGGAGGCAGAUGGAGCCACUCUUUGGUUUUAUAUCUGAUGGAGACAUUGCUUACUUAAAGCUACAGGUGAUGCUUAUUAUGGUUCAUAUAACCAUUUUAUUCUUCUCUGAUAGUGAUUUUUUUAUGUGAUCAGUAGGACACUUAUCCUGUUGAUAUUUUUUUUUUGGGGCGUGGGGGAAGAAACAAAAGAUUAUAAAUUAAACUAUAAGAGAGAUGUAAAAGGAUUGGUGGGACUAGAAAUUCACAAAAUCAAGGAUGAGAAGUCCUAACAAAAGCAGAACACUCAAAAACUCUACGUAGACCAAAAAUAGCCCAAAACCCAUGAACAGCACAGCUCACUAUGAAUGCAAUCCCUUUAAGGAUACAGCUGCUUCCUAAUUAAGCAAAAUAAAAAAGAAAGAGAUAUCUUUGAAUCAGCAGUAAUAGAAGCCCAGAGGGAAGCCCGGAACUUCACUUUGUACCAUGGAUGCAAACGAUCUUCCCCAACUUUGUUAUAUCAAAGAUUCUCAGGUUUCUUUCAUUCCACAAGACCCCAAAAAUGCCAAGACUGCACAGUCCCAUAAAAGCCAUCCCCUUUCCUAAUUUUUAUUAAACCAAUCCAUGGCAACCCCUUCACCUCUCUUUUUGUAGAUUACAGAACAACCUUAAAAUUGAAAAGAGACCAUCUGUUUGUUUUGGCUAUGUAUUUGAAAUAGAAAUACCAUAAAGAAAAACUGAUCUUGCGUUCACAUGCUCGUAUUCAGAACAUUGUUUUAAACUGCUUAGGAUUAUAUGUAUAUAAAACUCCGUUGAUGGACCCAGAUUGUGCAAGGUCCGGCAGGACCAAAUUUUGGAUAGAUUCCAAUUGUUUUUUCUUAUCUUUUUUAGAACAUCAUGGUUAUAUUCUUUGUCAUAUCUCUUUGUUCACGUCAACCGCUUUUUCUCUCUCUUUUUUUUUUUUUGUCCUUUUGUUUCCAUUUUUCUUCAGAAGAAAAAUGAACCUGUGUUAUUUUUCUUUUUCUAUUACUCCUUUUUUUGGUGGGUACUUAUCUCAUAUUUGAAAAUUAAAAUUGAAGUCAGUCGAACUAUAAAUUUUAAGACUGAAGAUUCUGUUUUCUCAUUGAAAUUAUGGGUAAACAUAAGAGGGAACGCUGAACCAUUAGUUCCUGAUGUGGGAUGGCUUCUCUUUAGGUUGUUUGGGAAUAAAGCAGUAGAAAUUUGGAAGAUUCUGGAGAAGAAGAUUCUGAUUGUCCUUCUGGAGUUCGUUUUUUGGCAUUCUUAUGUGCUAUCAUGUUGCAUAAGUUCCAGGACAUAUCCAUUUUUAUCAUCCUGAAUAAGUGGGAUUGGAAUUCUGUUCUGGCUCAAGUUUAGAGUUCUUUUUUUUUGUUUCAUUGGGUUUUUCUUUUUCUUUUGAAUUUUGGAGCUGACUUCUGGUUCAAUUUAUUUGUAAUGGCUUAUUCUCACAAUAAAGUUUCUUAUGAAAUUGUUCUGAUUCUCCUAAAUUUUCAGGAAAAUCUUCAAUCCAUUGUGCCAUCAACAACUCCGUUUCUUUCUGAUACAGAUGCUUGCUUUUCAACCCCUAAUGGAUAUGGGUUGAUAAAACAGGAGAGAGAUGUGGGGCCUGUUACUGGAGCAGGGAGAGUUGAGCAGUUAGUUCCGAGUCCAAGGGGUUAUAAUGCAGUUCCCCUCUACCAGCGGCUUAUAGCCGCUUUAAUUACAGAGGAAGAUUGUGGCAGCGGGGAUGAAGACCUGAAAAUUGAUACUUAUGGAACUGGAUUUGAGCUAGAUGAAGAAUUUGAUUCUAAUGGCUCAGUUCACCAAUUUAACUUUCAUUCUGCUGGAAUUACUGCAUUUAAUGGUUGUAGGAUAACUGGGAAGGGAGAUAUUGAUGAUGAGGCAGAAGGUGAUUUAUUGGGAAUAUCAAACUCUGGGAUUACAUCAAACUUUAAUGAAUCCCUAAUGAUAUCUGGCAUGGCUUUUUCCGAAUUUCAGUAUGAUAAUAUGCGGGUAAAUGAGAAACUUCUUUUGGAGACUGGAAGUAUUGGUAUAUUCCCAGAUCCAAUGGUAGGUUUAUUUUGAUAUUAGCUCUUACACUUGUUUUUUCCUUUUUGAAUAAUAUUGCUUCAUUAUGGGGGGUUUUAUCCAAAUCUGUUCCUAACUUGAGCAUCAAAAGCUUAUUCCUGUGAAGCUUCUUUCAUUCUGUCUACUCUUCUCAUUGCUUUUCUCUUCCAGAGCUUUUGUGUGUUUCUAUUUGUGUUGUGGAAAAGGAAGCUAGUCUUGGGAUAUUUGAGUUUCUUUGGCUCAGGAGUUAAUCUUAUUUAUUAGGAAUGCAUGGAAUCCUGUUAUCUGCUAUUUCUGCCCGGUGUUAGGUUAAGGGUUCAUACUAAUUCAACAUUUCCUUUCUAUUCAGUCUGAUAAAGCAGAGACAGAUGACGGAGUCUGUGAGGACAUCAAAAAAUUAGAAGAUAAAUAUCAUGAACAGGUAGCUUAUGAUGGUAUUAUAAGAGCCUUCUUAUGAAAUCCCUUUUCGCUUAUCUAUAUAAUAUUCUUUUUCAGCCUUCUUUUUGGUUGGCACCAGAUAUUCUACAAAUUUAAUCUGUUUGUACCCUGGGGAAUAUUAUUUCAUGUUGCAUGUCCCUUCUUGUCAUCAAAUAAAUUUUAUUCUUGAGGAUUUUGUCUCUAUGAUUUCCUUUGUUGAUAAAUAGGUUUGCAUGAAACAAGGAUUGCUUGAUAGGCUUUUGAAAUAUGCUUCUGAAAUUAAAGAACUUCAAGAAAGGUAUUGGAUAUUGCUUUUUCUCUUCAGAUUAAGUUGCAUUACCCUUGUUUUUAUGGCGUAAACACAGAAACCUUGUCUUUUUUUGUAGGGAGUUUGAACAACGUGCUCUUGACAAACUUGUGACAAUGGCUUAUGAAAAGUAUAUGGUAAUUUCUCCAACAAUUCAAAAAGUUUCUUUUGUUUCCAAAGUUUUUUUUUUUUUGCCCUGUUCUUGAUUUAAAUUUGAAGUGCUGUAAUAUACCUACUGCAGUCCUUUGAAGUGCUGUAAUACAAUAUUGAUUUUUAAAUUUUAAAUAAUCAAGACUGGGUUGUCUAGAAAGCAAGCUUUGGUAUAGAAAUGGCCUGUUAUGGAUUUAUUUUCAAAGCAGGUAGAAAUGUGUACAAAAGAUAAAAAGGAAACAGGAAGGAAAAUGGAGACAGCAUAGAAUGAAGGCAUUGCAAGUCUUGAAUCCCUGUAUUUGAAUCAACCAACGGUUUUCAUGGAUCAACGUCAAAUGCUGGAAGGACGUUGGCCUAUACUUCAAAUAGAGAAGGUCUAAACAGUGUGGCAAAAUGUCUCGUACAAAAGUUAAACCUAAAAUUAGGGAUGUUUUACCAUCCUCAUUUGUGCACCACAUGCAUACAGAGUUCUAUCCCUGCUCCAUGGCUGUUCUGGGAAUGGAGAUCAUUCCCCAUGUCAUCCCUCUGAUCUUUCCCCUGGGAAAGUGAUAGCGAUUUGGCCGUAGAAGCAAAACAUAGGUUGGCCUUGAGUGGUGGGUUGGUUCAAACCAAGAUGGAUGUUCAUUAACAUUGAACUGCCACACUUUCUUUUAUGUUCUAUUUAAUUAUUAGUUUUGAGAUCACCAUCUCCACAACUCCUCCACUAUCCACUGAAUUGGGAUCCUUGAUCAAAAGACUCCCUUUCUCUCUUUACAACCCUGGUGUAGAUGUAAAACUUCCUGUGAAGUAUUAACUAGUUAUGGCCUGUUAAUCAUAUCCUUUUAAGAAAUGCUUUCUACAGUCUCGCCUCUUUGAGGUAGAUGAAAUGUUUCAUACAUUAUUUCCUCUUUCUGGUAAAAUAACUAAGUACAAAAUUUGAAAAGAUGGCUCUUAGAUGCAUUAUUUUCUAUUAGAAAAGAAGAAAAAUUUUGUGGUACAUGUUUCUUUUGCGGUGGAUUUGACUGACUGACUACUGAUCAUAAUCAAAAACUGCUCACUGAAUGAACUUUUUAUCAUAUGGAUUAUUUUCAUUUUUGCUCACUUUUAGCAUUUCCUAUGAGAUUUGUAGUUAAACUAAAAUGGAUUCCCUAUUUCCUCUCCUAGUUGUCAUACUGGAUGUGUUAUAUCAGAAAGCGUUACCAUCUGUUUUGAUAAUUGACAUAUACAUUUAUGUUUGAUAGACUUGUUGGGGUCCUAAUACUGGUAAGAGUUCCAGUAACAAACUUGCCAAGCAAGCUGCACUAGCAUUUGUGAAACGGACAUUAGACCAUUGUCAUAAAUUUGAAGAUACAGGUAGGAGCUGCUUCAGUGAGCAGUUAUUCAGGGAUAUGUUUGCUUCUGGGCUUGCCAAUCCAAAUGGUGGAAGAUCUGUAGAUACUUCUACCGAGAGUGAAUUUGCGAAACCCUACAGCACCUCUUCCCAUUCAUUGGAAGCUAGAGUUUCAGGUAUUUUUAUUUGAUGUUUACUGGAUAAUAUACUUGGAAAAUACCAUGUUAUCAUGUCUGGAUAUUUUUGGCCAAUAAGUCCUCUAGACACUUCAUGGAAUUUCAUGCAUGCCUUCUAUUUCUUGUUCUUACUUCUCUUUCUGUAUCCUUUUGGUCACAUUUGGAUUAUUAUUUUGGAUUUCUGCAGCUUCCAUGGGUUCACAGACAUGUCCUCUUGUAUCAACAAUGGGUCAGAAUGAGGAAAUCUUUGAUAUGCUCCCUCCAAUAAAUCGUUCAUCUGAACUGAGCACUGGUAAAGAAGAUACAUGGUCGAAUAGGGUGAAGAAGAAGGAGUUGUUGCUUGAUGAGGUAGUUGGUUGUACUAUUGGUAGUUCAAAUGCUCCAUCAAGCAUUGGAAGUUCUCUAUCAAGCAGUACAAAAGGAAAGAGAAGUGAGAGAGACAGAGAGGGGAAGGUACAUAGCAGAGAAGUUUUAUCUAGAAAUGGAGCUAAUAAAAUUGGUAGGCCUACGUUAUGCAAUACUAAGGGGGAAAGGAAAUCUAAAGCAAAGCCUAAGCAGAAAACAACUCAGCUUUCUGUUUCAGUAAAUGGCCUUCUUGGAAAGAUGUCAGAGCAAGCCAAACCAACGUUACCUUCUGCUUCGAAAUCUAGUGAAAUGACUACAAACAGCAAUGCAAAAGAUAAAGAUGAGUUUGGCUUGGAUGUAUUGGAUGGCUCCGAGCCUAUUGACUUAGAUGUCUUAGGUGAUGAUCAAGGGCAGGAUCUUGGAUCGUGGUUGAACAUGAACAUUGAUGAUGAUGGAUUACAAGAUCAUGACUUUAUGGGCCUUGAAAUUCCAAUGGACGACCUAUCAGACUUAAACAUGAUGGUUUGAAGUUGCAUUCUUUGUAUAGUCUUGUUCCUUAUACUUUUGACAAAUCAAACAUGAUUGCUGUUGUCAAGGAAUGACCAGUUAAUUGGACGGUCAUAUGGCCAUCCUGUUCACGACUAGGUUACAUAGAUUCUUUUGUAGGCUCCUCCUCAAGUUGAUUUUCUGGUGAACCCUUUGGAUGUUUUGGAUUUUGCUUCUAUAUGAAGUUAGCAACAUCAGCUGUAAAGAUAUUUUGUUCCAAGGUGCAAGUUAGUACUUCCUAGUGUUAUAUUUUAGCAAAUAUUGUAUUCUGGCUGUAGCUUUUACAAAUCAGAGAACAAUGCCUCUUGUACAUACAUUUUAUAUUUUAAAUAAAAUAUCUUUUAUUCAGUGUAAUUAUCUCUUUUGGAAAUACCAGUAGGCCGGGCUUCUUCUCAACUUUAUCGUUGCAUGAUUCAUGGAUACUUUUCAUUCUGGCUAGUGCUGGUGUUGCUGCUAUAGUAUAAAUUGACUGAUAUCCAAUAUGCAGUAGUUUCUACAGGCAUUCUGUUUCGCUUUCAUGGCUAAAAAGUACUUGAUAAGCAGUGGCCAGCGAGGAUGUGAAUAUUGUCAAGGCUAGAAUGUAAAUGAUAAGCAGCGCUGGUGUUGCCAUUGUAGUACAAAUCGACUAGUAUCCAAUAUGCAAUAGUUUCUACAAGCAGUCCAUCAAUUCAAGGAUUUUUCUUUCAUGGCUGGAAGGUAAUGAUAAGCAGUGAGGAUGUGAAUAUUGUCAUGGGUCUGAGAUUGGUGCUCACUUUUCACUCGACUCUUUCUUGGUUCUACUCUUAUUUUGAUGCUAUUUCAGGUUUCUAGUUGUACACAAUCAGUCAGGGUACACCAGAUGCUUCUUUUCUUUUUCUUUAAAUGUCAUUUGCUUUAGGGAUGGCAAAAAUUCCUACGGGACGGAUACUCUCAGGAAUUUUCUUUAUUCGGAGAGGAUAUGAGGAUAAUUUCAUACUCAAUUUCUUAUUCGGGGAAGGGACGGGGAAAUUUUUUUACACAAUUUCUUAUUCGGAGAGGGGACUGGGAUGAGGUGGAAUCCCCAUCCCCUACCCAUUUCCCCAUUUAAAUUUUUAAUUUAAUUUUUAUUUUUUAAAAUUACUAGUAAAUAAAUAAUAAAAUUUGAAUUAUAAAAUUAUAAGUAUUGGUAAAAAUAAAAAAUAUUAAAAUAUUUAUAUUAUUAAACUUUUAGGCCUAAUUAACUAAUUAAAGUUCUAAAUUUUUAUUUAGGAUAUUAAAAAGACCAGACAGAUUCUAUUAGCCCAAAACUUUUGUUUUAAUUUUAAUAUUCAUUAAAUAUUUUAAACUUAAAUCUAUGUUUUAUUUAUCUUAAAUCUAUUUUAUUUAUUUAUUUUUAGAUGUUAUAAUUGCCCACAGCAAAUCACAAUUUUAAUAUCUAAUCUAAUAUAAUAUUUGAUCUUGAUUUGCUUCGACUUAACUAUUGUGUUGUAAAGGAAAUAGUCCACAUUUAUAAAGUGUCCACGGCACCAUUAAAAAGUUAAUUUUGAAUAUAAAUUUGAUUUUAUUUGUAACAAUUUUGUAUUAGGCUAUUAAUUUGUUCAUGAUAGUUUGUAUCAUUUGCAUGCUGCGUUACUUACUAAUUUAAUGUAUGUGACUUUUGUAAUGGAUAUUAAUGUAAGAUAUAUUUCGAACUUUACUUUUAUUUGAAUUUUUUAGUUUAAUAUGAUUAACUCAAAAUCGAAAACAAAAAAAAUGUAUUAGUUAUUCGGGGAUUGGAGACUCUCGGGAAUCCCCUGUUAUUAUUCGGAGAGGAGAUGAGGAUUCUCUUAAAUAAUUUUGACGGAAAUGAGGAGGGGACGGGGACAUACGCAAAAUAUCGGAGAUGAGUACGGAGAGAUUGGUCCCCUCCCCUCCCCACCCCUCCCCAUUGCCAUCCCUAAUUUGCUUCAUAUUUGAAACUUUUCUGUGUACUUUUUGCGGGCUGGUACAGGUCUGUUCUUGUAACUAGCAGUGAUGUUGUGAUAUUAUGUUCUCACCCCUUCAAGGCGCGACUGAUUGUUGGAUCUCCUUUAUGCCUUGUUAUUAACCAUAGAUUUUCUUUCUGUUUUGGAAUUGAAGUGCUUCAUUAUUGCAGGAAAUACUAAGGAAAGGAAAAAAAGAAUUGAGUUGUGCCUGUGAGGUUUAGUGUGGUGUCAUCAUGGAAGUCUAAUUACUAGGCUCCACUGUGUCAUUGAGGAAAAUCUUUUUUCUUUUUCCAACUUUUUACUAGUUUCUGGUAGGGACUCUUUACCAUGUUUCCACUCAUCGUUGUUCUUGCACUUGUUUUCUUCUACUUUUACAUUUUAUUUCUUGUUUAUGGACUAGGUAGUUGGUAGCAGCAGCACUUCAGGAAAAUAGCUGGGCCUUGCAAGCAGGUUUGGGAUUCUCUUGGGGAUUUAUACUGUGAAGCUUUGUUGUACCCCAAGCUGAACUUAGUGUAUGUUUGGAUUGAGGUAUUGUGGCUUCAAAAGCACAGCUCUUCCAGGAUGGAAGCACUAGGUGUCAAAAAUUAGUGAGAGAAAGACGGGUAAAAGAUAAUUUUUACUAAACACUUUAGUUGUUUUAUUUUCGAAGUUAAGGAAGUUGUCCAAAAAACGGUGGGCGGGUGGGUUGUGUAUGACCUUCAAAUUAUCUUUAUUGCGCUGGGGAUGUAAUGAUGCAAAUAUAGGGAUAUUUAUUAUAAAUGGCAAGCAAUGGAGUUGCUCUUUUGUAGCAAUGGAGUUGCUCUUUUGCUUUUCAUUUAUUUAAAUUAGCAUGAUGGUAACUCAAUCCCCUCCUUACCUUAUUCAUGCAAAUGAAGUUUGAACUCUAGAACUUUUAUUCCACAACCAGAGAUUUUAGUAGUCGAACCGACUAGCAACUACGGACAGAUUGGCUUCUAGGGUAUUUUACAAUAUUGCAGCUUAAUAAAGUAUUCCUCUGAAUGAGGACUCAUUGUUUUUUAUAGUUUACAUAUUUUUGUAUUUUUUUUUCUUACUGCUCUAUUUAUGUUAAUAUAUUUCCUAAUGAUACGAUUUUCUAAUUCCUCAUAAAAUUCUAGAAAAUCUGGGUCAUACCGUUUUGUAAUCGAUCCUGUAUCUUAAUGCUUGAGUGAGAAACAAUAACAUUUCAUUCCUACAUAUUGGAUUAUUGACAAAGAAUAAGAAAUUUAUAUGGGAUUUUCCCCUUAACACCGUGACACCGAGCUGACUUCCCAAGUCUGAGCUUGUGUGGCUGUGUCAACCUGAGUAGGAAAGUGUAUUGCUUCAUGUCGCUUGAAUUAAUUUUUUUGUUCUUUAUCCUUUUCGACGAUUCAAUAUGAAGGUUUCCUAGCAAAGACCUUGCAUUACCUCAUCAUCAUUAAUUGAGACGGUGAAAGGUAAAAUCAGCAUCUAAAGCAUUUUAGGGUGCAUUUGAGAUUGAGGUUGGGCAGUUGUAACUUAAAAGCUACAACAUUAAAGUGUUUGGUAAACAUUAUUUGCUGUAAUUUGUAAGUUAUGUUGAUAUAAUUUUUCACUUGUAUAAUGAAAAAUUUAUUAUAUUUUUAAUAAUUUUGUCAAAAUUAUUAUUUAAAAUUUAUAUUUACUACAUAUUAUUAAUUUUUAUUUAAUAGUUACAGUUUUUUUUUUUCUAAGCAACUGUAGCUUAAAAGUUACAGCAUUUCAAUCAUAAAUGGGACCUUACUUUCUUCGAUAAGUGCAAUAUGCAUAUGGUAUAAUUAAUAAUUGCAAUAUGCAUAUGGUAUAAUUUAGACUAUUCGUUGCUUUGAUAAUGUCAAAUAUAUGCUUCAAAAGCAUGUGUACUCAUUUUGUAGGAUUCUACUUUCACUAGAACAUACUAAAAUGGAGUUCGCAUUUCAAGCUGGCUUCUUUGCCAGCUUAUGUUUGUAGUUGACAGAAAGUCGUUCGUGUUAUUUGCUUUUUACUGUAUCUUAGUAUCUCGUGAUAAAUCAUGUUUUUAGAAUUGUUCAUAUUUAUUUUUCAGAAUUGUCAAUCUUCCUGCCAAAUUGUGCUUCUCUAUGUAGAUAAAGAUGUUAGAAUUAAAAGAAAUAGAUAGAGGUUUUUUUGUGCAAAGCAUAAUCUAAUAUCUACUUGCAUGCUUAGACUGAAAAUAUUAGCCGGAGUACUCUGGAUCUGCUCUUUAUGAUAAAAUUAGCUUUUGUAAGAGUAUGAUAAUUUCCGUUUUUUAGUAUAUUAGAUAGUGGAUACAUAGCUGUGGAUUUAAAGUCUCUUAUGCAUGAGAUAAUACUUAUCGGAAUGCUCUUGCACCUUUUUUUUAUUUUUAAUAUUAGGUGUAAGCUUAAUAUGCUCUUUGUUACUUGUUCUUUUGUAUUGGUAGAAGAUUUUUCACAGAUACAUUUGUUAUCUUUGAAUUUUAUAUUUUGAAAUGAAAUAAUGAGACUUUAAGUGUAAUGUUUCAUUGAUAUCAAUACAGAGAUGUUGAUUUUGAUGAGGAUCUUCUCAUGAGUUGACUUUCUUUUAAAUGGUUAAUAAAUUAUAAAAAUAAAAAGUAGUUAAAUCUUAAAUUAUAAUCAAAAGAAGUAAUAAAAGAUAGGUGGCACAAGAUUUUUAAAAGUUCCAGAGAACUCAGAAGAUAGGAUCCUAAUCCUUUAUUUAUGUCAAGACCUGAUAUAAAUUUAGGUAGAUAUUUAAGAUUUAUUUUCAAGGCAGCAAUUUAUAAAGUGUAACAAAAACUUUGCAACUGCACCACACAAUAGGUAGAGGUAGACCCACCUAAUCACCAAUAAGGCUAAAAAACAAUAAAGAAAAAAUUACUUAAAUUACUGAUUAACUCACAUUAGAUCUAUUAAAGUAGUCCCAUAAAAUGUAUAAAAAGAGCUCAUAAACCCAUAAAUUCGUAAAUUUAAAUUUUCAAUGUUGAUAUCUGAUUGUCUUUAUUUCUCUUAUCAACCCUGAUUACUCAAUUAAUCCUAUUAUAAAUUUUAACACAAUUUUCUAUCUCUAAACAUAUCUCUAUAAUCCUAAUAUACCCAUAUCAUUAGUAUAAUCCUUUUACACACACUUCCUUGGUUUCUGCCUACAUCUGUAGUAAUGAUGUGAACUCACAAAGAUAAAUGAAACCAGCAAUCAAUGAGGUUCCUUUGCCAAGUAUUAUUUUAAUUAUAUCCAAACAACCAUAAGAUAAAAACCUCGACCCUUUAUCUAUAAAGAUAAGAACCAAUGGUAUAACAAAUUUAUUGUUGAUGCUACACUCAAAAUAGAAGUGAAAGAUUGUGAGUUGUAAGUCAAGAAAAAAUACCACAUGAUGAAAUCUUGAUAAGUUCUGAAAAUUCUUUAAAGAAUCAAAGAGAAAAGCUCUCAUUAUUAUUGGAAACUCAUAUUUGAAAUUCCCAAUAGGCUUCAAUGGGUUUAUAAAAUUGAAUUUUAUUAAUGGAAUAAAGUUUUCCUUACUGCUAAAUAUAACCUAAAGCAAAAAGAAAAUAAAAGAUCUUGUUUUCAGAACAUAUUAGGAAACAAAGAUUGCGCCAAAUUUUUCUUCCUAAUUUGAUAAGGCCUUAUUUGUUCUUCAUACAAGUCACUCUAAAUCUAAUUUAGAAACUUGAAUAAUAUUGACAAAACAUUGACCAUCUUCAAUACUCAAUUCGGGCAAAUUAGUGUCUUGAAUAAGGCAUGAAUUUGAAAUGUGUUCAAGUAAUCUAUUUAAUGCUUCUUUCUUUUUCUUGGUUCUUGUCGUUGUCAUUGGACCUCUAUAGAUGGUCAAUGGAUCUUGCUAACCUUUAGCAUCUUGGUUCUCAUCAAGUAAGAGCAACAAUUAUGAUCUCUCCUUUGUUUUUUUUUUCUUAUAUUUUUACAACCAUGCCUAACCUAACAAUCAUUUCUUCUAAUGAUGAGAUUGUUGUUAUGGGAUUUUCCCUUUAAGAGUAAUUUGCCUUGAUUUUAGCUAGCUGUUUUCUUAUUUAGUUGUUUUCUUUAUUAGCUUAUUUUCUUGUUUUCUUUGCAUAAGAAGAACUCGAUUGAGGGGUUAAUUUUUUUAUAGGAGAAAAAACUGAAUAAAACAUCAAGAGUUUUCCUUCUGUUUUUGGCUUUACCUCUUUGAUCCUAAGAUUUGGUAUCAGAGCUCGAUUUUGACACUAAUAUGGUUGACGGAACAAGAGCGCAAGAGUAAAGCAUGUGGAUGAGUCUCUGAAGAAGUUGCGGGAGACCUCAGAAAAACACGGCCUUCUUUUAUCGAAUUUGUCUAAGAUGAUGGCUGCUAUAAGCCUGAAACUUGACCAAUCCAUAACAACGAAGACAAGGGAUUCCAACAACGGGGGAAGUACUUCAACUAAUAGGGGUUUGAAUAAUAAUCAUACUGGUAGGAAUUCUAUUCAAACUCGAUUUUCCAAACUGAAUUUUCCCAAAUUCGAGGGUGAAAAUCCUAGUGGGUGGAUUUACAAGUGUGACCGUUUUUUCAACAUCAAUGGAAUUGUUCAAGAACAGAAAGUAGAGAUGGCGUCAAUCCAUUUGGAGGGACAUGCCCUCGAAUGGUUUCAAGGGUAUGAAGCUGGCCAUGAGAAUAUAAAUUGGGAGAGUUUUUCUACAGAUGUUGUUGCUCGUUUUGGUCCUAGUGCUUAUGAUAGUCCAGUUGGGCAAUUAACCAAGUUGAAGCAAACUACUAUAGUGAAAGCCUAUCAAGAACAAUUUGAAGCAUUGAUGGCUGGAACGAAGGGGUUGCCAGAGGAUUUCUUUGUUCAAUGUUUCAUUAAUGGCUUGAAGGAUGCCAUUAAGAACCAAGUCACCAUGUUUCAACCGAACACUCUGACCCAAGCCAUUGGUUUAGCCUUGCUACAAGAAGGAGCUAUGGAAGCAAUUUUUAAAGAGGCCGAAGGGGUUAACAAAGUUAGGGUGAGUACAGUGAAUUCUUUUGUGCCGAAAAAGUCAGACAAUAGCCGAUUACCACAUGUGAAACGGAUUUCUGCAGUAGAGAUGCGAGAGAGGAAAGAAAAAAAGAUUUGUUAUUGUUGUAAUGAGAAGUAUAAGCCUGGUCAUGUUCGCAAAUAGAAACAUAUUUAUCUAUUACAAGGCCAAGAUAGCGAGGGUGAAGAGCCAAAUGAAGCUGACAAAGUGGAAGGAAAAGAAGAAUCUCAAAUUUUCCUUCUUGCAGUAUUUGGGUCUAGCACUCACCAAACUAUAAGAAUUUGCAGCAUCAUAAAAAAGAAAGCUAUCACCAUACUCAUUGAUUCUGGAAGUACUCACAACUUCCUUGACCGUACUGUUGCAAAAAAAAAAAAACUGCAAAAUUCAACAUGUUAGUCCAAUGACUGUAUCAGUGGCAGAUGGAACCAAAGUAAUUAAUGAUGAUAUUUGCCAGCAAUUGAAGUGGAAUAUGCAAGGAGAGGAAUUCUGAGCUGAUUUAAGGCUCUUACUAUUGGGAGGAUGAGAUAUGGUUCUCGGAAUACAGUGGCUUAUUGAGUUAGGACCUGUAUUACGGGACUUCAAGGAGUUGACAAUGGAAUUUUCUGUUGGCGAUCGAAAUUUUUUACUGAAAGAUGAUACACCAAGCCCUACUAAAAUGGUUUCACCAAAGCACAUCCAGAUGGAACUUCAACAUUUGUCUCAAGCAUCAGUAGCUCAUAUUUUUUCUAUCCAAGUAGAGGAUGAGGAAGCAAAAAAAGUAAACAGAGAACCAGAGGAUUUGGAGCAAGUGUUGCAUCAUUAUAGGAAGGUUUUUGAGGAGUCGAAGGGGUUACCUCCUCAAAGGGAACAUGACUAUAAAAUCCCCCUUGAACCUGGAUCUACACCACCCAAUAUACGUCCAUAUAGGUACCCUUACAUGCAGAAAAGUGAGAUUAAAAAACUAGUACAAGAGAUGCUCGAAAAACUAGUACAAGAGAUGCUCAAAAAUGGCAUAAUUUGGAAAAAGUGUGAGUCCUUUCUCUUCACCUGUGCUAUUGGUUAGGAAGAAAUAUGAGAACAUACAAAAACUCAUCCAUGAGAUUCAACUGGAUCGGAAUUUACACUCUAAGUUUACUUGGAAAGAUAAUCAGCUGAGGUACAAAGGAAGGCUAUGGCUAGGAGAUCAAUCUAAAAUAAAAAAAGACGAUAUUGCAAGAAGCUCAUGGUGGAGUAGAGGGUGGACAUUUGGGGGUGAAGAAAACAUUAGAAAAAGUAUAGAGAGCCUUUUAUUGGAAGAAGAUGAGAAGAGAAGUUUGUAAAUUUGUAGCUGAGUGUGACACAUGCCAGAGAAAUAAGGCUAAAACUAUAGCUUCUCCAGGACUUUUACAGCCGUUGCCAAUACCAUAACUCAUUUGGUCUGACAUUUCUAUGGAUUUUAUAGAAGGCCUUCCGAAAUCUCAUGGCAAGAAGGUUAUUAUGGUGGUGGUUGAUAGGUUAAGCAAAUAUGCUCACUUAUUGGCAUUAGCACACCCCUACACAGUAAAGGAACCAUAAUAAGCGAUCAAGAUUAAAUCUUCACAAGUCAAUUCUGGAAACAUCUUUUCACUCUACAGGGUACUCAAUUACUUAUGAGCACAUCUUAUCAUCUACAGACAGAUGGCCAAAUUGAAAUAGUUAAUAAGUGUUUGGAGCAAUACUUGAGGUGCAUUACUGGAAACAGACCAAAGGAGUGGAGUAAAUGGUUGCCGCUUGCUGAGUGGUGGUACAACACUUCACUUCAUUUCUCUUUUAAGAUGACCUCAUUUGAGGUUUUCUAUAGCUAGGAGCCUCAUACUUAUACUACUUACAUUCCCAGUGAGAUUUUCGUAGCAUCUGUGGACCAAGCUUUAAGAGACAGAGACUCAAUGAUUCGCCUUCUCAAGGAGAACUUGCAUCAAGCUAAAAAAAAAUUGAAAAAAAAAUGGCGGAUAAGCAUCAAAUAGAUAGGGAAUUUGAAGUAAAUGAUUGGGUUUAUCUUCGGCUGCAGCCUUUCAAACAUGCUUCUCCAGCUCUUCGGACAGACAGAAAGUUGGAUUCUAAGUUCUAUGAACCUUAUAAGGUGCUUCAACGGAUUGGACAGGUGGCGUAGAAGCUAUAACUUCCUUCACACUCCAAAAUCCAUCCAGUUUUUCAUGUUUCUUGCUUGAAGAAGAAAUUGGGGGUUGCCUACAAUCCAAGAAGAUGGGAGGAUGCAGUUGGAGCCACUAGCAUUGUUGGAGAGACGUAUGCUUAAGAGGAACAACAAGCUUGUAGCUCAAUGGUUGAUUCACUAGACUAAUUCUUUUCCUGAGGAUGUUACAUGGGAAGAUGCUUACAUUAUUCAGUAGAAAUUUCCAGACUUCAAGCCUUGAGGACAAGGCUUCUUGAACAGAGGGGGAAAUGUUACGGGAUUUUCCCUUUAAGAGUGAUUUGCCUUGAUUUUAGCUAGUUGUUUCCUUAUUUAGUUGUUUCCUUUAUUAGCUUAUUUUCUUGUUUUCUUUGCAUAAGAAGAACUCAAUUGAAGGGUUAAUUUUUUAUAGGAGAAAAAACUGAAUAAAACUUCAAGAGUUUUGUUUCUUUUUUUGGCUCGACCUCUUUGAUCCUAAGAAUUGCUGCAUUAGUGAAUGUUGGAAUUUAAUUAGUUGGAAGAAUCUCAUAACACAAUAAAACAGUAACUGAAUAAUAGAAUAUUGUAUCUUUCUCACUCUUUCAAUAACUAGAACCAUUUGUUUUUUUAGAAAAAUCCAUAUCAAAUCAAAUCUCUCUAAUCACACGUUUAGAUUCAAGAACCCCAAACAAAAAGCCUAGGAACCUAUUAACACCAUUUUGGAAUACUCGAUUCUACAUUUUCGUCUUGGAUUAUGGCUUUUGCUUGGAUUCCUCUCCAACAAUUCCAAUCUUUUCAAGCAAUUGAUUGAAUCUAGAUUUUGAGCCUAGCAUAAUUGAACAGUUUUAAAAGUUAAAAAGGUGGGGUGAAUGAAAAAUGAUAAAACUAAUAAGAAGAGCAAUUUUAAAAUUAUGGAGAUUAUGUUGGGAAAGAAAACAUAUUUUAAAGUUAAUGAUGGGUUAAUUAAGAAAUGUGGGUUGUUAAGAGAAUAAAAGGGGUUCAAAUAUCAUCACUCUUAAACUUUAAUUUUAAAAAUUAUAAAAACCCACACUUUAACUACAAAAUAAAAAUCUAUAGUAGCACAUAUUUGUGGUUUUACAAUUAUUUAAUUUAACCCUCAUUAGAAUUUUUUAAAAUAACAUCUAUAAAUUCAUUAACCUACAAAAGUUUAGUUUUCACAUCUUGUCAUUAUAUAAUUUAGUCCUCAUUUGAUCAUUUUUCUUGAUUUGCCACUGAUAAUAGGGACUGUGUAUGCCUCAAAUCAACUCUAUUAUUUAAUGCAUUUGUUAACUAACAAAUUGAGCCAAAUUUUUAAAGUUAAAAUAGCUCGCACAUAUUUCGUGAGACAGUAGAUUUGAAAUUUGUUUCAUAAAAAUAUAAGAGAUAUUAUCAUUCGUAUACCCUAUAGAUGCUCUGUUAUCAAAAAUACUACAAUACUUUGAGGGUGUAUCAAUCGUCCACCAUAAAUUGACAAAAGUUAUCUGCCGACCACCAAACCGUUAGCUGCCGUUUGAAAGUUAACGGAAUAAUAGUGAAUUGACGAUUUUACCCUUGAAAAUUAUCACUUGUAUACCCUUAAAUUCUUUUAUUAUCACUUGUAUACCCUUAAAUUAUCACUUGCAUCAUAUAAAAAGACCAAAUUACCCCUCUGGCGUUAUCCUAUUUAAACAGCAAGUAACAGUUUGGUGGACGGCAGAUACAUUUUGUCAACUUAGGGUGGACGAUUGAUACACCAUCAAAGUGUUGUAGUAUUUUUUUAUAACAGAGCAUCUAUAGGGUAUAUGAAUGAUAAUUUCCCAAAAUAUAAUACCGAGAUAUGUAAUUAAAUAUUCAUAAUCAAUCAUUUUUGUAACUAAAGGGUAGGUUAUAUAAUAUUUGUGUAAUAUAUGACUUAAUUGUGAAAGUGGGCUGAUUACUUGGAUUUUGUUGGGUGAGGUGGGGUUGGCCACUGUAGCUACCGCUUCUUAUUUAUGAAUUUAAUUGUUAAUCAUUUGUAAAUUAUUAUUUUUAGUUUAGGAUAUACCCUCUUAUUAUUCUCAAGGACAACGUUUAAGUCUUUCCAUCUAUUAAGAGGGUAGUUUAUAUGAAUUUUUCUAAAUUGGACUUCUAAUGCAAUUAUUUGGGACGCAAUUCAGAUCUGAAUAUAUAACACAACUACAUAAAUUAAGGAAGUAUGUAAAUGUAAAUUAUACUUAGAAAUAUUAUUAUUAAAUAAGAGAAUUCUCUCCUUCAAAUUGUCUAAGGUUUAGAAGAGGAGGGCUCUCUAUUUAUAGAAUUCACCAACCAAUCAAACAAUGCCAAGCCUAGACACAUGGCAUUUGUGCAAAGGUCAAGUACCUUUCACAUGAUAUUUAUUUCUUCGCUAAAUUUUCAUAUUUUAGUUGAUUAAGCUUAGGUCCUAAUAGAUAUAGCUUUUUAAAUAGAGUUUAUUCAAGUAUAAUUUUUAUUAAUAAUUUUUUUACUUUAAUUAAGGGUAAUUUUUAAUUGAGUCCUUAUUUUAUAAAAAAAAAAUUCAAAGACCAGAAGUUUAGAAAGUGAAUCAAUUAAAUCCUUUCAAAUACAAAUUUAUGUCAUUCAAGUCCUUCACCCAAUUCUUCCGUUAUAAAAGUUAGUGAAAAUUUUAUUUAAAACAUAAAAGAUAACUAUAUCCCCAUAUAUCAUAUCAAUUAUUUAAAGUACAAUUUUACCCUUGGGAAUUCUUUUUUUGUUUCAAGUCUAACAACCUAUUCACCAUUUUGAGUAACUAGGAACAAUAUUCUGCAGCAAUUUAAACAAAAUAUUUAGUCAGUUUUUAUGAACUAAUUCAAAUAUAAAGAGCACAAUUAUAAAACAUAACCAUCAUAACUCUUGGAAUUACACAUGAAAUGUAAUUUGCUAUCCAUAUAAUUCCAUCACAUCUAUAAAAAUAUGAUGAAAUGUAUUGAAUGUAAUAUUAGAUAAACCACAAUAGCAUUCAGUCUAAAAAUGAAACUAAAAGUAUGAAAGUCAAUUAAAUUGAAACUAACAAACACAUUGACAAUAUAUAAGGUAAACUGAAAUUUAAGCACAAGAAAUAGCUAAUUGUCUUCUAGGUUCUAUAAUGAAGAAUUAAAUGCCAACCCAAGGUGAAUAUUGUACUAUCCUACUCCUUGUUAACAAUGACAAGUUCUUCAUUUUGAGGUUGAGGUACAAUCCACAAAAGUUGUGUAUGCCAUCCCACUAGUUGAGUGACAUUGAUUGAAGCCUAACUGGCUUGUUCAGAACUAUUGCAAAUUGCUUGUUCAUUGACAUCUACUUCUUAAGAUUGUGGGCUAGUUCGACGCUGUCCAAAAAUGAAAAGAAAAAAAGACUUUAAUUUCUUUUAAUUAAAAGCAAUGAAUCAAUUACUUCUUAAGAUUGUGGGCUAGUUCCAUGCUGUUAAAAAAUGAAAGGAAAAAAAAACUUCAAUUUCUUUUAAUUAAAAACCAUGAAUCAAUUUAUCUGAUAGAAUUCCACGAUCAAAUCAAACAUGUAUAGCUAGUGAUGUCCUAUUGGUUGCCUACACAUCACUAGGAUCACCAAGUUAUUAAUUCAUUUGAGAACAUAAUAAAUAUAUAUAAAAGAAAUCUACUUGCAUAAAAAGAAAUCAAACAUGUGCAGUUGAUGAAGUGAUAUUGGUUGAUUGCACAUUAACUAACCUUUUUUUUUUUUCCCGAAAGAACAUUAACUUAGGUUACUUGACCUAUUGUCACCUGUCAAAAAUAAAGAAUGAGAGGGUGCUUAAUUGUUUUAUUUGACUAAAAUGUCCUCAAUGUUGUUAAUAUUUUUAACAGAGAAAUUAAGUUAAGGACUUGGAUGACAGAAAUUUGUGCUUGGAGGAAUUUAAUUGAUUUAUUUUAUAAACUUUUGGUCUUAGAAAUUUUUUCUACAAAUAAUGACUCAAUUAAAAAUUACCCUUUAACAAAUUAUUUAUUUGGUAAUCAAUGAGAGCUUUUAUUAAAAGUUGUAAAGUUACUUUAAUAUAUAUAAGUUUUUAAAAUUAUAAUGUGAAGUAAAUGAAACAAAAUUUGUGAAAUAAAUAUCAAUAACUUUAUUCACCUCACAAAACCUCCUCUUUGUCUAAGGCUGAUAGUGUGGGAGUUUAGUGAGUCUUCAUGCUCUGUUUUCAGUUUUAGGUUCGUGUUUUGUUUCUUCUUCUUCGGUCUUCCAUAUACUUUGUUGUUGUUAUGGAUAAGUUAGAUUUUUUUUGUUUUGUGGUUCACUUUCUUUGAAGGAAAGGGUUGCUACAGUGGUGGUUCCGGAUGAGAUGUAAUGAAAGGGAGAUUCUAUGAUGACAACUAGUUUAAUUGGAAAGCUUUUGACGUUGAAGAAGGCUUUAAAACCUCCACUCAUGAGAUGCAAGAUAAUUCGAAAUAUAGUAAUUAAGAAUGAUAUACACCUGAUUCCUCUUGAGUACUCUAGAUUGAGCUCUGAAGUCGGUGUUCGGAGAUUUUGAAAACUAAUUUAGAUCUAUAUCCUCUCUUGACUAAAUUUUGGAAUUGGCCCCAAAAGUUCGAAGAAUCGGAGAUUUUGAAAACUAAUUUAGAUCUAUAUCCUCUCUUGACUAAAUUUUGGAAUUGGCCCCAAAAGUUCGUUCUUCGAUCUUUUGGCUCCUAUUUAUAGACUAAGAAAUGACUGAUAGAUGGGAAAAUAUUUUUUAGAUCUGAAUCCUUGCCAUUCAUUCUCUUUGCUUGAGUAAGGCCAUUAGGCUUCAUAACCGUUUUUCUUUGUGUUCAAAGUCUCAACACCUAGUUUUGUUAGUAACCAUAUCUUGUCACUUAUUAACUUUUCUGGGUUGAUUGUCAUUUGCUUCCUCUGGGAUUUUUAUCUGAAUCAUCUGAUAACCAUUAAUCUCAAAUUUGGGUUUACCUGUAAAUUUCUUCCAAUAUUGACUUGUAAUCCAAUGUGAGUCAGGUUAUACCAAUCUUUAAUCCAGAAUCAAUAUAAAAUGCACCUAAUGUUUAAAUUAACAAAUUUUAAAAAAUACGAAGUGCAGUAUAAGUGGCUAUAUUUUCUAGCACUUACACCAUUCCCCCUUUAAUGUAUUCUACACUUAAAUUCGGGUUGUAUCGAUCUUUAAUCUGGAAUCAAUAUGAAAUGUACCUGAUGUUUAAAUUAAUAAAUUUUAAGGGAUAUAUGGUGCGGUGUAAGUAGCUAUAUUUUCUAACACUUACACCACUCCUCCUUUAACUUAUUCUAUACUGAAAUUAAUCUAUUAUGACACGUAUGUGUAGGAUAUAGCUGUUGUUUCACUUAGCAAUACAUAAACAUUCGUUUCUUAUUUACACAGAAAUUACCUGUUGUGGGGUUUGCCACAGUCAUUUUGCUUACCUCUGAGUAUGCCUCUGUUUAUUGUUUGUUAGUUUCGCACCAUUUAAUGUUGAUUUUGUUGGGAAAAUAUGCUCUUUAAAAGCAUAUGUGUUUAUUUAAUUGUAAUAAACAAAUUUUCUGAUUAAUAAAAUAAAUGAGGUAUUUUAUUCAAAUAUCUUAAUUGCAUUAAUAUUUGUAUUAAAGUCUAUUUAAUCAUAUUAUAUGUAUUUAUGUGAUCACCAUGUGGAUUCACAGAAGACAUAAAUACAAGUUAUCUUAUGAUUAAAUAAAUUUAGUUCGCAGUUGAUAAAUAAAGUUGGGCACUUUAUUUAGGUAUAGACUGUAAUAAAUUCAUUGAAUGAUUUGUCUUAAUCAUGUAUGAAUUUAUUAAUGUAGUACGACUACAUUGAACAGGAUCACAUAUGAGAUUUAAUUAACUUUGUAAUAACUGUCGGACUUAUUAAAUCUCAUAGGCGUUGAUUUUACUGUAAUCUUAAUCUUGAGUUAAUUAUGAUUUCAUGGUUGUAAUUGUUAUUCCAUUUGAGUUACCAAUGGGCACGACACAUCCUUGUGGUCAAGAUUACCCGGCAUCUUGGUGGGAGCAAUUAUGAGUAUUGGAGUUAUGGAUUAACAAUAUAGAAUUUGUACAACACAUCUCUUGAUGGGUUUUCGGCACUUGAUCAUAGAAUUCUCUGGCCAGAGUGUGUCAACAUAUUUAGUAUGUUGAAAAUGAUUAUUAGAGAAAACCAGUAAGGAUCAAGGAAUAAGAUGUUAUUAAAUUGAUUGGACAGUUGAGAUAUCAAUUUAAUUAACGAUGUGGUACAAAGGAUUGUGCAGUAAAGAAAUCAAUGUGGCUUGGGACGAAUUAUUAUUUGAGCAUACAAUUAUGGAAGUCAGUUCCAAUCUUUUAGUGGAGUAGAUUUGGAAUUAAAUAAUUGGGCUAGUUUAAUUACAGGCCUAAUUAUUGUAGCCACUAUUGUAUGUUCCCAAAUGAUCCCCGGGUUAGCUCAUUUAAUUGACUGCACCACUACUGGACUAAUAAGUAAGAUAACUAGCUAUUUGGGUCAAAAGCCUAAAUAUAUCAUUUAGUGGGAGGCUUCAUUUAAUUAGCUUUUGUAUAAGGGGCCUUAUGUUAUUUUACAAGAUGGGUCCCCUAUUGAAAAAGUAAAUAAACGUGAGUUUUAUUUAGGGCAUUAUUUUGGAGCCUAGGGUUUUCACUAAAGGGAGAUAUAUAAGGCUUAUUUUUCUCAACAGAAAAAAAGAUGAAGCCACUUGAUACAGAUCAGAGAAUAAAAUUUUUCUCUCCAUUGUUGAGAGAAAAAUUUUCUCGUGCUAGUUGAUUUGGUAGUGAUAAAGGCGCCCACACGUCAAGUGCAGAUCGAACCUGAGUCAUAACCUGGAAGAUCAUUGGAGACUGUUCGUGAUCUAACAAGCGUGGUGGUGACGGAUCAUGAUCUAACAGGAGUGGUGGUGGCGUAUCGUGAUCUAGGAGCCUAAAACACUUCAGCGGAAAAAGCCAACUCGGAUUUUCAAGGUACGAUUUCUAGAAUACGAAUUCUUAUAUAUUAUAUGAGAGCGAUCUUCAAAAGGUUUUAUAAAAAUUUAAAAACCUGAUUUUUCCCAACAGAUUUGACAUCAACUUAUCAGUUACGUUUUGAAUUUUAACUGUUGCCACUUCAACUUUUCCUCCACUUUUAUGGGAAUUUGUUUUCAUCUCUCUCUGGGAAUUUGUUACAUCUCUUUGUUUCUUAUAUAGAGGGAUUUCGACCUGUCCACUGUUCCUUUAUCUUCUUUAUCUUCUUUAUUGAUUGCAUCUGAUUUCAAUUUUCCCUCCCCUUUGAACUCAUUGUCUGUUUCUUCAGUGUUUUUGAAAAUGGUUACACCUGGUUAUGAGCGUUUGUCAUAUGACAAGCUCUGCCAAGCUUUAAACCUCCCUCCUAGUGUUACCUUUACUCUUUACCACGGCGAAAUCAGGUCUAUCCCUGAAGGGACUAGUCUUAAAGGAAGCAUUAUGUUGGUGCGUCGGCAAGUCUUUUAUCUUACUUUCAUUUCUACUUUAGUUUUAGAAUUCUUCAGUGUUUGCAAGGUUGUAGUGUACUCAACUGUAUCAUCAGAGCAAAUCAUUAUUUCAUGUUGUAGGACUUCCUGUUCAUGUAUUGCCUUCAGCAAUUCAGGGUAAGGAAACCAGAUGGAAAAAAUAGUUAUUAUGUCGUCCCCAUUGUGAAGAGCUUCCCAAUCACUCUGAAUUCUUUUCGCAAGGACAGUUACAAGCAAUGUAUUGAAUUUAUGCCAUUGAUUGUCUUCGGGCCUUGGUGUAGGCGUUGGAUUUUUAAUCCAGUAUUGUUGGAUCUUUGAUGUGCUAGUAAUUUAUAUAUUAUUUAUAUAUUUGUUUUAAAUUAAUUUUAGGUUAAAUUAUAUUUUAUUAUGUUAAUUUUAUCUUAAUUUUUAUAUUUUAUUAUUUUAGGUGCAUUUUGGGAAUAAAGAGGAAUUAAAUCAGAAUAUUCAAGUAAGAAGAGCUUAAAGAAGAAAUUAAUUGGAGAUUUAAGGAAAGUAAUGGGAGUUAAAAUGCAAAAAAAUCGAAGCAGCCAAGGCCUAAUUGAAGUUCACGUGAAGACGAGAAGACUUAACAUUGGAAAUAAGUUAAUUAAUAAGGCAAAUCAUAUGAAGAACGAAUUAAAAGAAGAAAGCAUUCUUGUGAUGGGCUUUGGCCAAAUUUUUAUUAGCUUAUUAAUUGAACAAGUCACGUGCAUGCAUGAAAGAAUAAGGCGGCUUGGCUUUUGUUUUUAAUUCUUUCUAUAUAAGGAUUUAAAGGCCACAAUUGAAGCAAUAUAAAAGGGCCAAGCGGAAGUAACGGAGGACGGGAUUAAGACAGGAGAGCAGCCGCACGAAAUUGGAGCCAAGAAGGGAAAAAAAAAGAAGAACAGCAGCAGCAAGUCUUACGCAAAACCGAGAGCAGCAGGAGCAAUUUGGAGGAGGAAGAAGACACUAAGCUUAAUUCUUGAGUUUUUCUUUCCCUUGUCUCUAUUAUCUUGUUUGAAUAUUCCCAAUUAAAUUAUUGGAUUCUCUUUAUAUUCCCAUGAACUAAUUUAUUUUACUAGGUCUACGAUGUAGCCUAACUAUGAAGAUUUAAUUCCAUAAAUUUGUGUUAUUUUUAAUUUAUUAUUCCAUGGUUGAGUAUUCAUUAUUGUGCUUAAUGCUUUUAAAUAUCUGGCCAAUAUUUAAAUGAUUUGAGGAUACAUAAUGAGACCAAGAGGAGAUUUAUAUAUUUUUGCUCUGUGUAAUUUAUGCCAUGAAUUGAACGAAAGGCAGAGAUGUGCCAACGUGAUUCGUGCAAUUUUUCUAAGAAUUUCCAUAGAGCUUAAUGAAUCUUUGUAUAUUUAAAUUCACAUAGAGAUAUAGUGGGUUAAUAUGUGAAUGUAUUUUUGAUAUUACUCGAGAGAGGAUAUUGAAUAGACUAGGGAAAUUCACUGUUAACGUGGGUAAUAAACUUUAAUAACAUAGAUAGAGGAUUAAAUUGGAUUGAUUAUGGUGAAAUCGAAUGUCCUAAUGUCUUAAUCUCUUGGUGAUUUCUAUUACUGCCUGCAUCUUUAUUUAAUUUUUAGAUAAUUUAAUUUAUUUUAAUUUUUAAUCUAAAUUCGCUUAUUCGAUUGUUCAAAUAAAUUAUGGUUAGAAUAAUUUUGGUAACUAAUAGGAUAUACAAUCUCUGUGGGACGAUACUCUACUCUUCAUUAUAAUACUUGUGCUGGCUAGUACAAUUGCCAAUUUACGCAUCAAGUUUUUGGCGACAUUGCCGGGGAUUGUUUGGAUUAGUAUCGAUACCAACUAACCUUAGUUUAAUUUGAAUUUUGUUUUUAUUGUUUUUAUUUGAAUUUUUGUUUUCUUGUUUAAUUUUAUGAGACGUUCAAGAAGUUUUGAUUUAUUGCCUUUUGAUCCAGAAAUUGAACGCACUUGUAGAAGGCUUAAUAGAGAAAGGAGAGAAGCUUUACAUGAGCAACAACUAAUCAUGGCUGACGAAGCAUUACACAGAAAUGAGGAUGCGAGACCUUUAAGAGACUAUGUUGUUCCUACAGUUAAUGGUGCUCGCUCAAGCAUUGCACGCCCUGCCGUUCAAGCCAAUAAUUUUGAAAUUAAGCCAGCCAUAAUCCAGAUGAUUUAGACGUCAGUACAAUUUGCUAGGAUGCCAAAUGAUGAUCCAAAUGCUCAUAUUGCAAAUUUCUUGGAAAUUUGUGACACAUUUAAACAAACUGGUGUUUCAGACAAUGCUAUCAGGUUAAGGCUCUUUCCGUUUUCACUGAGGGAUAAAGCAAAAGAGUGGUUGAACUCACUCCCUGCUGGAACAAUCACUACAUGGGAUGGUUUAGCGCAGAAGUGCUUAGCAAAGUACUUUCCUCAAGCAAAAACAGUCAAGUUGAGGAAUGACAUCACAACCUUUGCUCAGUUCGAGAUGGAAUCAUUAUAUGAAGCGUGGGAGAGAUACAAAGACCUACUAAGAAAAUGCACACAUCAUGGUCUACCAUUUUGGCUUCCAGGAAAAAAAUUUCACAAUGGUUUGGGAUCCAAUACCAGAACAAUGAUUGAUGCUGCAGUGGGAGGAACAUUAAUGGGAAAAACUCCAGAAGCAGUUUAUGAAUUAUUGGAGGAGAUGGCCUCUAAUAAUUAUUAGUGGUCUUCAGAGCGACCAACAUCAAAGAGAGCUACAGGAGUUCAUAAUGUUGAUGUGGUCACUGCUUUAUACGAACAGAUAACUGCUAUUCGUAACAAGUUGGAGAAUCUAAAUAUUCAAACUCAACCGCAAGUGUGUGAAUUAUGUGGAGGGAAUCAUACUAGCGUCAAUUGCCAAGUUGGAAGUCCUUUUGCACCAUCAUUAACUGAACAAGCUCAUCAUGUGUUGAACUUCCAGAGACAAUAAAAUAACCUAUAUUCCAAUACCUAUAAUCUAAGCUGGAGAAACCAUCCAAAUCUAUCAUGGAACAACACUCAGAAUGCAUUGGCACAACCUCCAGGGUUCCAACCACAAGAAAAGAAGUCAAACUUAGAAGAUGCUCUUACCCAGCUUACAACAAAUAUGUCUCAAUUCAUGACCAAAAUAGAGACAACUUUUCAAAAUCAAGCUGCAUCAAUUCGGAACCUCGAGGUACAAGUGGGUCAUAUUGCAAACUUGCUAUCCAGUAGACAACAAGGCUCUCCGCCAAGCAACACCGAGACAAAUCCAAAAGAGCAAGUUAAUGCAAUUAUACUUUGGAGUGAUAAACAAUUUGAUGAGCCGCAAAAAAGAAGCAAAGAAAGUUUAUGAAGAACAAGCUGAAGACACCACCAAGGUUUCAAAGGCAACAAAUUUAGAAAUACCACAACCUAAACCAGCAGCACCAGUCAAGGCCUAUGUUCCUCCAAUCCCUUUUCCUCAGCGUCUUCGAAAAAAUAACAUAGAUAAGCAAUUUUUAAAAUUUCUUGAUUUGUUUAAGAAAUUACUUAUUAACAUUCCUUUUGCAGAUGCUUUGGAACAAACGCUGCUUUAUGCCAAAUUUAUGAAGGAAAUAUUGUCCAACAAGAGGAAAUUUGAGGAGCAUGAAAUUGUAAUGUUGACUGAGGAUUGCACCGCCAUCUUGCAAAAUAAAUUGCCACCAAAACUGAAAGAUCCAAGAAGUUUUAAUAUUCCAUGCACUAUUGGAAAUACUUAUUUUGAUAAAGUUUUGUGUGAUUUAGGUGCAAGCAUUAAUUUGAUGCCUUUUUCUGUUUUUAAGAAAUUAGGUUUGGGUGAACCUAAGGCAACAACUGUUACCCUCCAAUUGGCAGAUAGAUCUAUAAAGUAUCCAAGGGGCAUAGUUGAGGACGUGCUUGUGAAGGUUGACAAGUUUAUAUUCCCUGCAGAUUUUAUUGUCUUGGAUAUGGCUUAAGAUAUAGAGUUACCUCUUAUUCUAGGCUGACCAUUCUUAGCUACAGGAAGAGCUUUGAUUGAUGCUCAGGAAGGGAAAUUGAUUUUAAGAGUUCAAAAUGAGCAAACCAUUUUCAAUGUGUACAGACCUAUCAAGUAUCCAACUAAACUCAAAGAAUGUUUCCAAGAAGACACGAUGGAUAGAAAAAUGGGUAAUGCAUUUAGGGCAUGUUUGGCACGCAGUAAUAUAUAGGAUAAGGACUCCGCAUUGCAUUAGAAUUAUACAAUCUCAUGUUUGGCAGUUACAGCUCAUUGCAUUAACUAAAAUUUAUAAUGCGGUAACACCCGCAUAAACUAAACCCGACCCCCCCUCCCCCACGGGUUUAUACGGGUUUGCAAUAGAUCUUUCUCCUUCCCUCAACUUUCUCUUUCUUUAUGCUCUCUCACGAACACAGCACUCCACACUAGGCCAUCGUCCUUCGCUGCGCAACACCCAGCUCCACCACCACCCCAUCCCGCAACACCACUGCCUUCUCUUUUGGAAGCAAGAUCUUAUUUGGAUAGGGUAAUUUUUAAAAACCUCCCCUGAGGUUUGAGCUUGUUGCAAGUAGAUGACGAGAAUUUGUUUAUUUGUAAAAAACCCCCUACCGUCAAUUAAUUUUAACAUUGACCGUUAGUGGACUGUGCAAAGACAAUAUUGCCCUUAACAACAGUUUGUAGACUGACAUAACUAAAAAAAAAACUAAAAUUGUUAGCGCGAAAAGCAUAAAUCCUAUUUUUUGACAAUUUUAUCCUUGUCAAUUCCAAAGAUUUACAAUAUCAUAGGUAAAGAUUAUGACUAUUUCAUUUUCAAGUUUUUAAUUUUAUCUUUCUUGUAGGAAUUUUAAGGAAAUAUCAAUAAUUUAAAGAGGAUUUUUUAAGUUUUUAAUUUUAUCUUUCUUGUAGGAACUUUAAGGAAAUAUCAAUAAUUUAAAGAGGGUAAAAUAACUAACAAUUUUAGUUUUUUUUAGUUAUGUCCGUCUACAAACUGUUGUUAAGGGUAAUNNNNNNNNNNNNNNNNNNNNNNNNNNNNNNNNNNNNNNNNNNNNNNNNNNNNNNNNNNNNNNNNNNNNNNNNNNNNNNNNNNNNNNNNNNNNNNNNNNNNNNNNNNNNNNNNNNNNNNNNNNNNNNNNNNNNNNNNNNNNNNNNNNNNNNNNNNNNNNNNNNNNNNNNNNNNNNNNNNNNNNNNNNNNNNNNNNNNNNNNNNNNNNNNNNNNNNNNNNNNNNNNNNNNNNNNNNNNNNNNNNNNNNNNNNNNNNNNNNNNNNNNNNNNNNNNNNNNNNNNNNNNNNNNNNNNNNNNNNNNNNNNNNNNNNNNNNNNNNNNNNNNNNNNNNNNNNNNNNNNNNNNNNNNNNNNNNNNNNNNNNNNNNNNNNNNNNNNNNNNNNNNNNNNNNNNNNNNNNNNNNNNNNNNNNNNNNNNNNNNNNNNNNNNNNNNNNNNNNNNNNNNNNNNNNNNNNNNNNNNNNNNNNNNNNNNNNNNNNNNNNNNNNNNNNNNNNNNNNNNNNNNNNNNNNNNNNNNNNNNNNNNNNNNNNNNNNNNNNNNNNNNNNNNNNNNNNNNNNNNNNNNNNNNNNNNNNNNNNNNNNNNNNNNNNNNNNNNNNNNNNNNNNNNNNNNNNNNNNNNNNNNNNNNNNNNNNNNNNNNNNNNNNNNNNNNNNNNNNNNNNNNNNNNNNNNNNNNNNNNNNNNNNNNNNNNNNNNNNNNNNNNNNNNNNNNNNNNNNNNNNNNNNNNNNNNNNNNNNNNNNNNNNNNNNNNNNNNNNNNNNNNNNNNNNNNNNNNNNNNNNNNNNNNNNNNNNNNNNNNNNNNNNNNNNNNNNNNNNNNNNNNNNNNNNNNNNNNNNNNNNNNNNNNNNNNNNNNNNNNNNNNNNNNNNNNNNNNNNNNNNNNNNNNNNNNNNNNNNNNNNNNNNNNNNNNNNNNNNNNNNNNNNNNNNNNNNNNNNNNNNNNNNNNNNNNNNNNNNNNNNNNNNNNNNNNNNNNNNNNNNNNNNNNNNNNNNNNNNNNNNNNNNNNNNNNNNNNNNNNNNNNNNNNNNNNNNNNNNNNNNNNNNNNNNNNNNNNNNNNNNNNNNNNNNNNNNNNNNNNNNNNNNNNNNNNNNNNNNNNNNNNNNNNNNNNNNNNNNNNNNNNNNNNNNNNNNNNNNNNNNNNNNNNNNNNNNNNNNNNNNNNNNNNNNNNNNNNNNNNNNNNNNNNNNNNNNNNNNNNNNNNNNNNNNNNNNNNNNNNNNNNNNNNNNNNNNNNNNNNUUUUUUUACAAAUAAAUAGAUUCUCUCCAUCUACUUGCAACAAAGUCCAACCUUCAGGGGAGGUUUUUAAAAAAUUACCCUAUUUUGGAAUAUAAAUACAUUUAUGCACAAGCUGAUGUUAAUAAUAUGAUUCAAAUUUUUUUCUUUUUUAUUGUGUUGUUUGGAGUUGGUUCAAAAUUUCAAUUUAAAUUUAGGUGUUAAAUUUACCUAAUGUAUAUUCUGUAACGCAAUUCAAGAGACUCCAUUAUUGUUUUUUUUUUUAAACUAGUGUAAUAUUUGAUAGUUUUAACAAGUCAUAUGUAAUUGACAAUUUUAACUAUCAUAUUUAUAUGACAUUUUACUCUUGUUAUUGAUAUUUGACAAUUUUUAGUUAAUGUGCCUGAUUGUAGGGGCUUAGGCUCUUAUUCUUAUGCAUAAAUAAGAUUGUGCAUUAUGUCAUGUAUCAACUUCAAUUAUAAUUCCAUGUCCCAAUUAAAUGCCUGUAAGUUAUGAUCUUUCACCUGUAGAUUUUGUUAAAAUAGGAUCGUUAGCUUUUUCCUUUCUUAUUUUUGAUAAGAGAUCUUGUAAGAAAUUUCUAAAAAUAAAAGAAUGAAAAAGAUUUUAAAUUUAUGGAUUAAGCAAUCCUAGAAUUUGAAUUUAUGAAAUUAGAAGACCACGGUUGGACGUAUUGCAUUUUAUUUAUGUUUUGAUAUUAUUUAGAGGUUAUUUAAUUGAAUUAUUUGCUUCAAUAUUCAUUUCAAAGGUUAUAUAUUUGGAAAAUAUUGUAAAAAUAAAUGUUAUACUGACAAAAAUUUAAAGCUAUAAAGUUUGAUUUUUAUGAAGAAUUAUGAUAUUAAAACAUAAUGUUAAAUUUCUCAAUUUUAAAAAUUUUGAUAUUUAGUAUUUUUCUAAGUAUUAAUAAAUAUUAUUUUAAAAAUAUGUAAUCAAAAUUAAUCACUAAAAAAAUUAAUACAGUACAAUGCGGCUGUUGGUGUAUAAAUACUAAUGCUAUUGGUGUCAAUGUGCAAGUGUACACAACAAGUAAUAAAGUGAUGAGUAUUCAAGAUCGUCUCCACAGCUAUUGAUGUUAUUAGACUUGCUACAUCAAUCUUAACAGUGCAGAUUUUGUGCUAAAAUAAAAUAAACAAUUAAUGAAACUAAUGUACUAAUUAAAAAAAAUGCUAUAAAUAAAAUGCAACAAAGUAAAUUAUCACGUCAAACUCAAGGAUAAAACUAAUGGAAAUAUAUAGUAGUUGAGUAAAUAAACCCUCCUAAUGGUCUUGACUAUUUUCUAAUGGUUGGCUCGGUUGCUGCAGUAUCUGCUACAACACUGGGCAGAAUCCUUAUGUAUCCUCAGCCGUUGCAUGUUGGAUAUCUUAUAUCUAUAUGCAACCUAACAAUGAUCAGUUGCUAUGCCAACAUGAGAUAUAACAUUACAUGCUUAGGUUCUAUUUACCCUACAAGGUGAAUCCUUAUGUCUAGUUCAUCACUAAUCUUAAAUCAAGCAUGGCCCUUUUGGGACUUAAGUAAAACUCAAUCCGGGAAACUCAAUUUAAGAUCAAGUAUUGUUCUGAUAUGUUCCACUAAGAUAGGCCCUUUUGCGGCUCUUCAUUAGCUAGUAUCAUUAAAAUGGGUGAUCAACCGAAAUAACGAAUAAAAUAAAUACUAUCAAAACAAACUGCUACAACAAACAUGCAGCAACACAUAUAUUCAGUCAAUAAACCAUCAAGAUUGUUUAUCACUCAACCACAAAUAAAUUUAGUUCAUGGUUCGCAAAAGAAAAAUAAAGAACAAAGUUUUAGCCAUGAAACACAUCCCUAUGAAUAAAUAGAAAACACGAAAACAAGAGAAAGAUUGAGCUCCCAAUUGAUCUCUGUAAUUUUUCCUCUUGUGUAGCCUUCAAUCUCUCUCUUGAAUCUUGUUUUUCUUUUGUUUCUUUGUGUUUUUCUCCUUGGGUGACGGCCCUCCCUUUUCCUUAUAAUGUGUGCUUCUUUUAUAGUUGAAAAUUAGGGUAUACCGAAGCCUAGGGCGCACAUAAGUCAGAUUAGGAAACUGCAGAUCGCAAUUCUGUAAGUAUCCCGCACGAAAUUUUCUCUAUUGUUGUUCCAAGAUUGCUACAGCAAUGGCUACAGCAACGGUUACAGCAACUGCACUGUUCCAGAUUUGUUUCAAUUCUUUUAUAGCCAUGUCCUUCCUCCUUUUUGCCAGUCUAUUACAUCAGCAUUCCUUCCAUGAAUUAUAAGCUUCUGGAAACCUACAAUUAUGCACACAAUUUGAGCACGAAUUAGUUUAAAUCAAGUAAAACUUAUUAAGACUAAACUAAAAUGAAUGUUUAUGCAAAAUGUAACAAAAAUGCAAUAAAAAAACAUCAUUUACUCUCUAAGUGAUCUUGAUUUAAGUCUAGAAUUGUCAUAAUAACUCUCAUUUCAUAGAGUUAUCACACCCCCAAACUUAAAUCGUUACUUGUCCUCAAGUAAUGACAACAACACUCACUCUUUAAUCACACAAUCAUGCAACAAAUAACUUAACUUUGUCAUCAAAUUUGUGAGGAUUCUUCCACCCUCAGAUCACACUCUUACUCAUACAAAAUUGCCAUAGUAGUUCCAGUUUUAGACUUAGGCCUCAUUCUAUCCAGAGUGUGUGUGUGCCACUUUGAUCAAAUUUCAGAGGUGCUACAGCAUUGCACAAACUUUGUAUACAAUUAAAAGGUAGAACACAAAUAUAUUCACAUAUGGGGGAGCAGAACUCACAAUUAUAUUCAAAUUGUGCUACAACAAUAAUAAAUUUUUUUUUUUAGUUAAACCCUUCAAUGCAACAUUGAGCUUUCAUGUGAAUGCCUAUCACUUGUAAUGACGACACCCAUUACUCAUUCACAGUACAUGUCAGAGUUGCUACAACAACGCAUUCAGGAUGUUAUAUCUAGGUCAUACCGUUGGACGCUUUUAACUCAAGGCUGAACAUGGGGCUCAUGAACAGACCAUGUUACUCAGUAUCCUAGGUAGCAGACCUCUUUAUCACCAUUUUUUUUGCUUUUCUUCUUCUUUUUUUUCUCUUUUUUUUUAUAAUUGCUGCAGCACUAUUCGUAGCUCGUGUUGCCUUUGGACUCAAGUUUGCAUAUGGGGUGCAUACUCAACCCUGGUUACUCAGCAACUUAAACCAUUUUCCCCUAAACUUGAGAUAUUUUCUACUCUUUUUUUUUCCUAACACUGCUACAGCAUUCUCAUAAAACUCAACCAAAGUUUAAGUGUCGGAACAGAAGUUCAACCUCCAUCUAUAACUAUCUCUACUUGGCUUUCUUAUAAAUAUUGAAUAACACUCAAUUUAUCUUCAUUAGGUUUUCAAAUCCAUACACAAAUAUUAAAUAACAGAGCUUCACACAACACAAGCAUAAACACAUGUACUCAGAAACACAACCCCCCCAAACUUGAGUGGUGCUGUGUCCUCACAAGCACACAAAACAAAACCACAUAAACCAGACAUGCAUACACUAAAUAAAAGGACAUGCAAAAUAAAUUAGAAAAUUAAAACUAAAUGAAAGAAAAGUUUUGCAGUAAGAAGUAAAAUAAACUAACGGUUAGGGGUACUGCCCUGUUGCUGGAAGCACUGCUACAACAUAGGCUGUAAAGGGUCACUUUUUCUUUGAUAUACUUCUCAAACGCUCCUUAUCAUAAAAUCUAAUCAAUCCAUUUGUUGCUGCAAAAGCAAGGAAUGCCUAUGUUGUUUGAGAAUCUUCUGUUAUAUGUCAUGCUGUAAGUGAUGCUGCAUCAAUUCCUUCUUGCACUUUUUGCCCAUAUUUUUUUUUUACUUGCUGCAAUUUAACAUAAAGACAAAAAAUUAGAUGCACACUUACAAUAAUAAAAAGACAAAUUAAAUAAUUUAAAAACUAAAUUCAAUGAUUUAAAAACUUGAAACAACUUCCUUUAUUGGGUUGCCUCUUAAUUAGCACUUGAUUUUAGGUCUUUCAGCCUGACCUUUCUUGUUUCCUCAACCUGGAUCCUUCAAGAACCGAUCCUUCUUUAGGCUAUUCACAUCAUCUCCCAUAUAGUGCUUUACUUUCAGCCCAUUAACCUUGAAUUCUUGUUGGUCUAGAGUGAGUUCCCUUUGCUGGAUUCGCUCGUCAAUUCUGAAGGGUUACUUCUCCCCUGACCAUGCUAUGUUAGCUGCUUUAUGAUCUUCAUCAUCAAGUUCUUCAAAUGUUACAACAUUGAUUUCUUCCUUACUGCAGCAACUGUAUAAUCUCUCUGCUUCAACAAAGUCCACAACACUGAUAAAAUUACAAUCUUCAAUCUCAUCGGGACUUUUCAUGACAUCCAGCACAUUGAAUGUAACUUGUUGGUUAUUCACCCUCAUGGUUAAUUUUCCUUUUUGAACAUCAAUUAGAGUCUUUCCCGUGGCUAAGAAAGGUCUUCCUAGAAUGAUUGACACUUCUUUGUCUGCCUCAAAGUCUAGCACAAUAAAAUCCACUGGAAAAAUAAAUUUAUCCACCUUCACCAACACAUCUUCAAUCUUCCCUUCUGGAUAUGCAUGAGAUCUGUCAGCAAGUUGUAAAGAUACUGUUGUUGGUCUACAUUCACCAACUCCCAAUUGCUUAAACACUGAUAAAGGCAUGAGAUUGAUGCUAGCCCCUAAAUCACAAAGUGCUUUGCCACUGUAUUUAGUGCCUAUAGAGCAUGGGAUUGUGAAGCUUCCUGGAUCCUUCAUCUUUUGUGGUAUCUUACUCUAGAGCAUUCGGCUGCACUCUUAUGUUAGAGCAAUUGUUUCAAACUCUCCAAGUCUUCUUUUUCUUUGUCAAAAUAUCCUUAAAAGUUUUUCAUAAUUUGGCAUUUGCUCUAGAGCUUCCACCAAAGAGAUAUUGAUAUGUAGUUGUUUCAGCACUCCUAAGAUUUUGUUGAACUGCUUGUCUUGUUUUUACUUAUGAAACCUUUGAGGAAAUGGUGGUGGAUGUCUAAACUGUUGUGCUGCAGCAGGUUGUGUAGACUGCUUCCUUUUGCCAUGUUCUGGGUUGGUGCUACAGCCUCGUUAUCCACAAGUAUUGGAUCAUCAUUUUGAAAGACAAGUAUGCAACCCAAGAGGGGGGGUGAAUUGGGAUUCUAAAAAAUUAUUCAAUAUUAAAGAAAAUCUUAAUGCAAAUAUAACUCAAAUUCAAAGCAAUAACAAUUAAGAUGAUCACAAUAUAAAAAGAUAAGGGAAGAGAGAUUCAAACACGAGAUUUUUACGUGGUUCGGCCAACCUCGCCUACGUCCACGCCUCCAAGCUUUCCGGGCUUGAGGAUUCCACUAAGCAAGCCUCCAAGGCUUCAAAUGCUUACACUUGACUUCCAAGGUGUCAAUGGACCUUUACAACAAGAGAUUAUCCCCAAUCUCUUAACCCAAGUGUAUCCCAACACUUACAAUCACUCAAAGUAAAAGAUUACAAAUUGUUUUGCCUCUCACAAUAUAUAAGAUUACACAAUGAUGUUUGAUAUGUGAGUAGAUGAAGCAAGAAUGUGUUCUAAGCUCUAUGAAGAUUGUAUUCUCGAAUAUUAGCUCAAAUGGUUGUGUUGUGAUCAAUCUUCUUUGAAUUUGAAUGAGCUUAUUUAUAUUUGGAGCUGAAAAUCUAGCCGUUACAAACUGUCGGACAGAAAACGGUUCGCCGUUAGCCAUUAACGGUUAACCGUUUAGGCUGGUCAAAGUUACCGUUGAGCCAGAUUUCAAAUAAACGGUUUGCCGUUUAGGAUUGCCCUUUCGCCGUUAACUUCCAGAGACCUGCACAAUGAACAUCAGUUAAUCCGUUUUCAUUUAGCGGUUAAGGGUUUGCAUAAAGUGGCUUCUCUGGGUGUUAUCGGUUGACCGUUUAAAAAUAAACGGUUUGCCGUUUGUCUCCAGUAACCUGCACAAUAAAUUAGCCUUAUCAGUUUUCGUUAAUCAAUGCCAAAGGAGGACAACCUUCAAUUCUGGACGUUAUCGGUUAACCGUUUAAAAUAAACGGUUCCCCGUUAGUGUCCAGUAGCCUUCCCAUCUUGGGUGUUUCCGUUAAGCAUAAACGGCUAGAGCUUAGGCAAAUAUGUUGCUCUCUGGUGAUAAUCGGUUAACCGUUUAAAAGCAAACGGUUUACCGUUAAUUUCCAGUAACCUCCCUAUCCAUUGUGUUUUCCGUUUUUCAUAAACGAUUAGAGGUUUAGGAAAUGUGUUACUCUCUGCCUAUAAUCGGUUAACCGUUUAAAAUAACCGGUUCACUGUUUAUAACCAGAAUUGCAAUUUUAAACAUGUUUUUGCAGAGAAUUUCUUUCUAAUUUGAAAAACCAUCUUUUAUGAAGAAAUAAGGCAAUGAUUAAAAGAGUUUUCGUUUAUUAAGAAAUAGCUCCAAUAUUUAUGUCAAAAUACAUUUAAAAUUUGUUAUCAUCAAAAUCAAUAUUAUUAACAUAUUUAUGUUAACAAUCUCCCCCUUUUUGAUGAUGACAAAUUUCAUUCAAUGUUUAGCUCCCCCUUAAUAUGUGCUCCCCCUACAUGUAUGGCCAAAUUGAGAAAUGUGAAUAAAAAGAUUGUUUGCUUUAAAAAACUCCCCAUUUUAAAUCUAUCUCCCCAUUAAAAAAAACUUAAAGGCCAUAAUUAUCUCCCCCUUCAUCAUCAAAAAGAAAAGAGGAAAUAAGAAAAACACAAAGCCGGUUUUGACGAGCGAAAAUUUUGGCAGAGUUUCCCCUUAAAAAUGAGCAAAACCAAUUUUACAAAAUGAGAUAGAACACUUCCAAAAAUAUAUUAACAUCAACUGCUUUUUUUAACAAACCAACAACUCCAUGAACAAAACAAAAUAACACUUCAAUAGCUUCAAACAUACCAACACUCCAAUAUCCACAAAUAAACCACAUGUACAAUAUCCAACCAAUUUGGCAAUCACAAAGCAUCAAUAAUCUAAUCAUCAAGAACAUCACAUACAUAUGCAUCAAAAUCAAAAUAAGAAUAAAAAUGCUAGCAACCAAAAUGUAAAAUGUAUGUGCAAAGACAAAGCUCAGAAACUACGGAGAAGAUGUGCUCCCCGGAUCAUAGCCGAAAUAGCCGAGAAGAGUGCGCUGUCCAGCGAUAAGCUCCAGCUGCUGAUCAAGGCUCUGCCACUGGAAUAUCUGAAAGUCAGAACGCAGCUGCUGGUGGUCACGGGAAAGAGUGUCCAACCGAUCAAGAAUCAGCUGCUGGCGCUCCGAAAUCCGCUGAACAUCAGUGAUCAGCUGCUGCACUGCGUCUGAAGCAGGGGGCUGAACUGGAGCUGGAGGCGGCAUAGAGGCAGAUGGCUGCUCGGGAACAGUAGAAGGCUCAGGAGCAUGGGGCAGCUCGGAAGAGGAGGGAAUGUCAGUAUCGAACGCACGCUCCUCAUGGUCUGUAUCAGCAGGAGGCCGAGGUACAAAAUGACGACGCGGAGGAUGAGGAAUAGCUCCUAAUCUAAAGUCAGGAAGCUGAUCGGGAGUAUAGAUAUCAUUGAGCAUCCGAUCGUCCUCUGCAGCAAUCAAGGUAUCCCGGUUUUUGGAGUUGCUUGUCUUUAUCCACACUCCAUUCUUCCUAGAGAAUCCGAUACUAGUCACAGCCUCAGGGCCAAUCCGUCGAGGCUCCAUAUGACCGGUAUCAAGAAGUGGCACCUCAAAGCGUCGCAGUAUUUUAGUGAUGAUACUGCCAUAAGGAAGUAAGCGGUGGUUGACCGCUGGAGUACUCAACAUAUGUCGCACAAUAAUAUACCCGAGGUUAAUGGGACGGUCUGUAAGAAGGCUAUCCAAAAUGGCAACGUCCAACCUCGUGACCUCAUCCGAGUGACCCUUCCUAGGAGUCACUAUGUGCUGUAAAAUAGAGUGAAGAAUACGAACUUGGAGAGGUAAAAGCUGAGACCGAAACGGAAGCAUACAAAUCUCAUCCGAUAAGUCUCUACGACGACAUAUAUUACGGACGCCAUGAGUGUGAGAAAAAGUAUCAAAGGAGAGGGUUUUCCUAGAGGUAUAAAUGUCUAUCCCCUCACAAGAGAUACCUAGAAAGUCAGCUAAGUCCGCAUCAUCAAAUUCUAUGGGUACACGGCCAACUUGAGUGACUAUCCUAUUUGGGCGAGUAUCGGAGAUUUCCAUAUUAGAGUAAAAGACUCGCACUAAAUUUGGAUAGACUCGGUCAUCAAGGUCAAUAGCAGCCUCCCAAGGCUGAAGCAUAUCCCUAAUACUUCUACCACAAACAACCAAGUUGCGGAAGUCAUCACUAUCAACAAAAAAAGGAUCAAGUACCUUUCGACCAUCGAAGCGAUCCUCAAACCGCUUAGCCAAGGCAGGAGUGGGGAAGUGAAUCCUUGAAAAUUCAGAGACCUCCCGAGGUGGUAUGGGAUUCCUUGGAGGCACGGAUUUGCGCCUGGGGUUUCUCCGAGAGGGUUCAGCCAUGGAAACGCGUAAUGAGGAUGAGAGGAUGUGAGUAGGAUGAUCAAUUAGGUUGAAGAGAGGUGAAAAUCGGAUUAAGAACGAAGAAAUCCGACCCGCGACAGUUAGGGUUUGGAUUUGGGAUUUUUGAAUUUUGGGCUCGAUUUGAAGUUUUGAAUCGGUAGAAAUGGUCUAAAGGUGACAAGAAAUGAUUUUGAGGGUUUGAUUUGGCACGAAAAGCAAGAAAAAUGAGGAUUUGAGGACAAGGAGACCUUCGGCUGCGCAACAAUGGAGGAAACGGUGAGAGGGUAACUGGUGAAGAAGAAGAAAGGCUUUGAACAGUUUAUAUACUUUGCGAAAACGGUUAACUGUUUAUUGAAACGGUUAAAGGGUAACUCCCAGGGGCUGAAGGAAACAGAAACGGUGAAAGCCUAAGCGCUUAACGGCUCAGGGGUAACCGUUAGAGGACUCUCUGUUCAAAAACGGUUCAUCGAUUGUGGAAAAUGGUGAAGGGGUAACUGGACAGACACAUAAUCUCGUUUCUGGAAUUAAACGGUGAUCCGUUUACAGGAAACGGCUAACCGUUUAUUUUAUCUGUAAUUUCGCACAUUUGAUUUAAUUUUUGGCCAACAAAUAAUAUAUUCCAAGAUCAUUUUAUUGAUCUGAAAAUAUUUUAUGAGCCAUUUUAAUGCAUGAUUCAUGAACAUGUUUUCAACCAAUAAAUUCAUAUAAUCAAGAGUUAUUAAUGCAAAUUCAUCAUUUGUCUAUCUAGCUCAAGCAUUUGAUAAAUAGUAGUCAAUCAAUUCAGUACACUCAAUAGCAUGAAUAGAGAUGUUAAUGCAAAAAUUUCAUCAUCCCAAGUUCAUGCCGAAUUUUUGAAAAUUGUUCUUCGCAAAGCGGUUUUGUGAAAAUAUCGGCAAGUUGUUUUUCCGUGGAAAUAAACUCUAAUGCAAUAUCUCCCUUUUGAACAUGAUCUCUCAAGAAAUGAUGUCUUAUUUCUAUAUGCUUGGUUCGAGAGUGUUGAAUGGGAUUCUUUGAAAGGUUUAUAGCACUAGUAUUGUCACACUUAAUAGGAAUUUGUUCAAGAUUAAUGCCAUAAUCUCUAAGUGUUUGUUUCAUCCAAAGUGCUUGUGCACAACAACUUCCGGCAGCUAUAUAUUCAGCCUCGGUAGUUGAAAGUGCGACAGAAUUUUGUUUCUUGCUAAACCAUGAAACAAGAGAGUGUCCUAGUAUAUAGCAAGUUCCACUAGUGCUCUUCCUAUCUACUUUAUAACCAGCAAAAUCCGCAUCCGAAAAACAUGUUAAAUCUAUGUGAGUUCCCCUAGGAUACCAAAGGCCAAUAUCUAUGGUUCCACUCAAAUAACGAAAAAUUCUUUUAACAGCGAGCAAAUGAGAUUCCUUGGGACAUGACUGAAAUCUUGCACACAAACAUACACUAAACAUGAUAUCGGGUCUACUUGCAGUCAAAUAAAGUAGGGAUCCGAUCAUACCUCGAUACAUCUUGAUGUCCACUUCUUUACCUUUUUCAUCUUGGUCCAGCUUGGUUGUUGUGCUCAUUGGUGUAUUCUUGGUCUUUGAAUCAUCAAUGCCGAAUCGUUUGAGUAGAUCCUUUACGUACUUGGCUUGAUUUAUGAAAAUUCCUUCCUCGUUUUGUUUGAUUUGAAGUCCAAGGAAGUAUUUCAACUCUCCCAUCAUACUCAUCUCAAAUUCGUUGCUCAUACACGAUGAAAAUUCUUUACACAACAACUCAUUAGUAGAACCAAAAAUGAUAUCAUCAACAUAAAUUUGAACAAUAAGUAUGUCUUGGUUCUUAUGCUUAACAAAUAGAGUAGUAUCCGCUUUACCCAUUGAAAAGUCAUUUUCCAACAGAAAAUUCUUAAGUCUAUCAUACCAUGCUCUAGGUGCUUGUUUUAAACCAUACAAAGCUUUAAGCAACUUAUAAACAUGAUUUGGAAAUUUUUCAUUUUCAAAACCAGGGGGUUGUUUUACAUACACUUCUUCCAUAAUAUACCCAUUUAGGAAAGUACUUUUCACAUCCAUUUGAAAUAAAAUAAAAUCUUUAUGACAUGCAUAUGCUAACAACAUCCUAAUGGAUUCUAACCUUGCUACAGGAGCAAAGGUUUCAUCAAAAUCAAUUCCUUCUUCUUGGUUGUAGCCUUGAGCCACUAAUCUAGCUUUAUUUCUUACAACCACACCAGAUUCAUCCAUCUUAUUCCUAAACACCCAUUUAGUACCUAUUACAGAUUGAUGUUCAGGUUUAGGAACUAAUUCCCACACAUUGUUUCUUUCAAAUUGAUUUAACUCCUCUUGCAUUGCCAUAAUCCAAGAUUCAUCAUUUUCUGCAUCCUCAAAGGAUUUUGGUUCAAUUUGAGAGAUGAAUGCAUUAUGCUCACAAGUAUUUCUAAGUGAUGAUCUAGUUGUUAUACCUCGUGAGGGAUCUCCUAAAAUUACAUCUUUAGGGUGAGAAGAGACAUACCUCCACUCCUUGGGGAGUGUUUGAGAAGUACCUUCAUUUUGCUCCACAUUUGGUUCUUCAUGAUGUUCCUCUUGAAUUCCAUGUGGUGCAUCUCUUGUUUGUCAUUUGAUGCUUCUUCUUCUUGUUCUUCUUCUCCUGCAUCAUCAUCAAUCACGACUUUCUCCGUAGAGGAGGGGUUAGACUCAUCAAAAGUCACAUGCAUAGAUUCUUCCACAACUAAGGUUCUUUUGUUAUAGACUCUAUAAGCUUUGCUUGAGUUUGAAUAUCCAAGAAAAAUACCAACAUCGGAUUUUGGAUCAAAUUUACCAAGAUUGUCUUUUGUGUUCAAAACAAAACAUUUGCAUCCAAAAACUUUAAAAUAUCCAAUGUUGGGUUUUCUAUCUUUCCAAAGCUCAUAAGGAGUUUUGUUAAGAUUAGGUCUAAUCAACACCCGAUUUAAAACAUAACACGCGGUGUUGACGGCUUCGGCCCACAAAUAUUUUGGUAAUGCAUUUUCAUUUAACAUGGUCCUAGCCAUUUCUUGAAUAGACCUAUUCUUUCUCUCAACAACUCCAUUUUGUUGUGGAGUUCUAGGUGAUGAAAAUUGAUGCUCAAUGCCUAGAUUAUUGCAAAAACUCUCAAAUGCAUGAUUUUUCAAUUCUCCUCCAUGAUCACUCCUAAUGCAUACAAUACCAUGCCCUUUUUCAUUUUGUAAUUUCUUACAAAGCACUUUAAAUGCAUCAAGAGCAUCAUCCUUAUUGGCUAAGAAUAAUACCCAUGUGUAUCUAGAAUAAUCAUCCACUAUCACAAAAGCAUAAUAUUUGCCAUUUAGACUUGCAUAUCUAGAUGGCCCAAAAAGAUCUAUGUGAAGAAGUUCAAGUGGUUUUGAAGUAGAAAUAUGGUUUUUAUUCUUGAAAGAAGUUUUAAUUUGUUUUCCAAAUUGACAAGCUUCACAAAUCUUAUCCUUUUGAAAACCAAUUUUCGGAAGACCUUUAACUAAAUCAUCUUUCGAAAUUUUUGAAAUCAAAUCCAUACUUGCAUGUCCUAACCUUCUAUGCCACAACCAACAAUCAUCAUGCAAUGCCGAAAAACAUUUAUCAAGAGUAGAUGCACAUUCUAUGUCAAUGAUAUAAACAUUACCACAUCUAUUUCCAACAAAUACGGUUUUGCCAUCACAUGAGUUCUCAAUAACACAACUAAAUUUAUCAAAGAUAACUUUAUAGCCUUUGUCACAUAAUUGACUAAUGCUAAUUAAGUUGUGUUUCAAGUUUUCAACUAAACAUACAUUCUCAAUUAGAGUUGAAGAGAUUUUACCAACAUUUCCAAUUCCAAGAAUUUUUCCUUUUGAGUUGUCUCCAAAAGAUACGUCUCCACCAUUUUCAAUUUUGGUGAAGUUUGAGAACCAUGCAUAGUUUCCGGUCAUAUGCUUUGAACAACCGCUGUCCAAGUACCAUUUAUUUUUCUUCUUCUUCAAGCCCUACAAGAAAAAUCUCAAGUUUUAGGUACCCAAAGCUUUUUGGGUCCUUGAGAGUUAGCAACGGUUCCUUUUGGAACCCAAAUGCAUUUGACACCAUAAUAUGCAUUCCUUUUCACGGGACAUCUAGAUUUCAUGUGACCAUUUUGAUUACAAUAAUAACAUACAAUCUUAUGAUCAUUUGUGGAGGUAGCUUUAACAAAAUAACUCUUAUAAUACUUUUGCUUCAAGUUAGGCUUAUAUCCAAGUCCUCCUUUAUCAAAAACACAUUUUUGUGAGUUAAGCAUAUUAUCCAACAUCUUUUGCCCAUUUGUAAAUUUCAAAACAAUUUCAUUCAAUUCAUUACUCUUUUUCUUGAGCAUUUCAUUCUCAUUUUUCAACUCAUCUAUGUGUAAUUCUAAAUGCUCAUGUAAGAUGCUAGGUUUCUCAUUUGAUAAUGCAAUUUCAUCAUGCAAUGUUUUGUUCCCUACUUCUAGGCAUGCAAUUCUAGCAUUUAGGGAUUCAUUUUCAUUUUUAAGCUUUGUCAUUUCCUUUUUAAGACAUACAUUCUUUUUACCAAUCUUCAUCAACUCAUUAUGUAAGUCUUUAAAAGCAUCAUACAAUUCAUCAUAGGUGGGAUCACUUACCUCAUUGAGAUCAUCAUUCUCUCCUAUUGCCAUGAGUGCUAGGUUUGAUACUUCUUGCGAUCCUUCUUCAUCACUUGAUUCUUCCUCACUAUCAUCCCAAGUUGCAACCAUUGCUUUCUUCUUGAGUUUGUUGAUAAGUGGGCACUCCGAUCUUAUAUGUCCAGGCUUCUUGCAUUCAUAGCAUGUGAUUGCCUCCUUCUUCUCCCUGUGGUUCUUGAAGUUUCUGAAAUUUCUUCGCUCUCCGGUUUUCUUGAAGAAUUUUCUGAACCUCCUUGCUAGCAUGGCUAGUUCUUCAUCAUCCGGUUCACUCUCCCCAUCACUCUCAUGUUUUGAAGCUUUGAGAGCAAUGCUCUUCUUCUUCUCUUCAAGUCCUUUUUCUGCAGCUAAAUCCUCUUCAUAUGAAAUAAGAGAACCAAUUAGAUCAUCAAGAGGUAAAGUAUUUAAAUCUUUGGCCUCUUCAAUAGCAGUUCUUUUAGGUCUCCAUUCUUUUGGAAGUGACCUAAUGAUUUUCUUAACUUUCUCACUAUUUGAGAAGGUUUUCCCUAAGGCACCUAGGGUGUUCACUAUGUCCGUGAAUCUAGUGUACAUAGAAUACACAUUUUCAUUUUGUUCCAUUUGGAACAACUCAUAUUGGCGAGUGUAUCUACUGAUUUUAGACUCUUUCACUUGAUUUGUCCCUUCAUAGACAACUUCAAGUUUGUUCCAUAUCUCUUGUGCACUUUCACAACUAGAUACUCUAUGGAAUUCUUUCUUAUCAAGAGCACAAAACAAAGCAUUCAUAGCCUUGGAGUUUAGAGACAUCUUUCUCUUUUCUAACUCACUCCAUUGACUCGAUGGUUUAGGAAUAUCAUCUCCUACUUCAUCUUUGAACGUAGGCAUGAAUGGACCAUCACAAACAACUUCCCAAAUUUCAUAAUCUAAGGCUUGCAAAUAGAUUCUCAUUCUAGUUUUCCAAUAAGCAUAAUCAUUACCAUCAAAAAAUGGUGGUCUAGUUGUGGAUUGCCCUUCUCUAAAGGUUGAGUCAUUUUGGGUUGCCAUGGAUCUUUUACUCUAGACGAUUAAGUCCUAACAAGAGAACGAGGCUCUGAUACCAAUUGAAAGACAAGUAUGCAACCCAAGAGGGGGGGUGAAUUGGGAUUCUAAAAAAUUAUUCAAUAUUAAAGAAAAUCUUAAUGCAAAUAUAACUCAAAUUCAAAGCAAUAACAAUUAAGAUGAUCACAAUAUAAAAAGAUAAGGGAAGAGAGAUUCAAACACGAGAUUUUUACGUGGUUCGGCCAACCUCGCCUACGUCCACGCCUCCAAGCUUUCCGGGCUUGAGGAUUCCACUAAGCAAGCCUCCAAGGCUUCAAAUGCUUACACUUGACUUCCAAGGUGUCAAUGGACCUUUACAACAAGAGAUUAUCCCCAAUCUCUUAACCCAAGUGUAUCCCAACACUUACAAUCACUCAAAGUAAAAGAUUACAAAUUGUUUUGCCUCUCACAAUAUAUAAGAUUACACAAUGAUGUUUGAUAUGUGAGUAGAUGAAGCAAGAAUGUGUUCUAAGCUCUAUGAAGAUUGUAUUCUCGAAUAUUAGCUCAAAUGGUUGUGUUGUGAUCAAUCUUCUUUGAAUUUGAAUGAGCUUAUUUAUAUUUGGAGCUGAAAAUCUAGCCGUUACAAACUGUCGGACAGAAAACGGUUCGCCGUUAGCCAUUAACGGUUAACCGUUUAGGCUGGUCAAAGUUACCGUUGAGCCAGAUUUCAAAUAAACGGUUUGCCGUUUAGGAUUGCCCUUUCGCCGUUAACUUCCAGAGACCUGCACAAUGAACAUCAGUUAAUCCGUUUUCAUUUAGCGGUUAAGGGUUUGCAUAAAGUGGCUUCUCUGGGUGUUAUCGGUUGACCGUUUAAAAAUAAACGGUUUGCCGUUUGUCUCCAGUAACCUGCACAAUAAAUUAGCCUUAUCAGUUUUCGUUAAUCAAUGCCAAAGGAGGACAACCUUCAAUUCUGGACGUUAUCGGUUAACCGUUUAAAAUAAACGGUUCCCCGUUAGUGUCCAGUAGCCUUCCCAUCUUGGGUGUUUCCGUUAAGCAUAAACGGCUAGAGCUUAGGCAAAUAUGUUGCUCUCUGGUGAUAAUCGGUUAACCGUUUAAAAGCAAACGGUUUACCGUUAAUUUCCAGUAACCUCCCUAUCCAUUGUGUUUUCCGUUUUCCAUAAACGGUUAGAGGUUUAGGAAAUGUGUUACUCUCUGCCUAUAAUCGGUUAACCGUUUAAAAUAACCGGUUCACCGUUUAUAACCAGAAUUGCAAUUUUAAACAUGUUUUUGCAGAGAAUUUCUUUCUAAUUUGAAAAACCAUCUUUUAUGAAGAAAUAAGGCAAUGAUUAAAAGAGUUUUCGUUUAUUAAGAAAUAGCUCCAAUAUUUAUGUCAAAAUACAUUUAAAAUUUGUUAGCAUCAAAAUCAAUAUUAUUAACAUAUUUAUGUUAACACAUUUUCGGCAAAUGCUGUAGCUUGACUGCUCUCAUCAGUGUGCUGUGAAGUGGAGGAUUGUGGCUCUUUUUCACUUUGAGUUUCUUUCUGGAUUGAAGUGGGCUCAACUCUUCUUUUUGGCACCCCAACGGGACUAUGAACAUCCUUUCCAGAUCUCAAGUUAAUUACUUUGCAGUGCUCUUUCCCUUCGCUUCGUGGGUCCUCUGUAUUACUGGGUAAACUACCUUGAGGUUUGUUGCUCAAUGCUACAGCAAGCUGUCCAAUUUGAUUUUCCAAGUUUCUCAAAGAUACAGUAUGACUUUGGACAACUGCUUCAUUCUUCACAUUAUAAUCCUUAAUUAAACCUUCAAGGGAGCUAAGUUGAUCAUUGUUGAUGUUUAUUUUCUCUUGAUUUUGUGGAUAAAAUCCUGGUGGUUGAGCCAGUCUGUUCUGUCCACUGAAUGCUACAGCAGGUUGAUUCUGAUUACUCCAUAAAAAGUUUGGGUGUUGUCUCCAUCCAGGGUUGUAAGUGCUGGUGGUCACGGGAAAGAGUGUCCAACCGAUCAAGAAUCAGCUGCUAGUGAAGUUGGAUUCUCAGGACAAUUGUCGAAUAAAUGCCCUCUCCUCAAUAAACACAAGACACAUCAGAAAUUUGGUUAACAGUUGCUAGAGCAAUAGUCAUAACCUUUACCAUCUUUAUUAAUGAAGCUACUUGGGCUGAUAACGCUGUCAAGGCAUCUACGUUAUGGACUCCUGUUGUUCCUUUUGCUACAGCUUUUUUGGUUGAUGGCCACUGAUAGUUAUUGUUGGCUAUCCUCUCCAAAAUUUCAUAAGCCUCAUUGUAAGACUUAGAUAACAAGAUCCCAUUUGCUGAAGCGUCCACCAUCAAUCUAGUGCUUGGGUUGAGACCAUUAUAGAAAGUUUCCAACUGUAUGCAGCAAGGAAUACCAUGAUGAGGACAUUUUCUGAGUAACUCCUUAAAUCUCUCCCAUGCGUCACACAAGCUCUCAUCUUCAAGUUGAUGGAAAGAUGUGAUCUCGUUCCUCAACUUUGCAUUCUUGGUUGGCGGGAAGUAUUUCAUCAAAAAUUUGUCAGCCAAAUCAUUCCAUGUAAUGAUAGAAUCUGGUGGUAGAGAAUUCAACCAUGCUCUUGCUCGAUCUCUCAAAGAAAAUGGGAAAAGUCUGAGUCUCAAUGCUUACUGCGAUGCUCCAGCAAUCUUGAAAGCAUCACUUACUUCCAAAAAUAACUUAAAGGUGUAGAUGAGGAUCUUCGGAUGGCAAACAAUUAAAUUGCCCCACUGUUUGAAGCAUCUGAAACAUCACGGGUUUGAGUUCAAAAUUGUUAGCUUGAACAUCGGGUCUAACUAUUCCUGGAUGUAUGGCUUGAGGAGUCAACACUGCGUAGUCUCGAAUAGCUCUAUCUCUAUCGUGUGCCAUGUUAAUAAUGUUGUUGUUCCCUGGUUGCCUUUGAACACGUUUUCCAUUCAGACCUUCAUGUACAUUGACUGGUUGUAUCCCCUCUCUACGGUUCAAGUUUCUUAAAUCUUGCAAAUCAUCCAUUGCUACAGUAGCUUGUAAUUCCCGAUGCUCUCUUCUCAAUCUCAUUGCAGUUCUUUCAAUUUCUGGAUCAAACUGGAAGUCAACAGAUUUAUAUUUGCGCAUGUAAGGGUUGCUAGAUCACAUAUGUCAACAAAAUAAACAAAUUAAAUUAAAAUAAAAAAUUAGCACCGUUAAAAUUAAUUUCACAAAUCACAAUUAACAAUCAAUAUCCGGCAACGGCGCCAAAAAUUUGUUGGUGUAUAAAUACUAAUGCAAUUGGUGUCAAUGUGCAAGUGUACACAACAAGUAAUAAAGUGAUGAGUAUUCAAGAUCGUCUCCACAGGGAUUGAUAUUAUUAGACUUGCUACAACAGUUUUAACAGUGCAGAUUUUGUGCUAAAAUUAAACAAUUAAUGAAACUAAUGUACUAAUUAAAAUAAAAAUGCUAUAAAUAAAAUGCAACAAAGUAAAUUAUCACGUCAAACUCAAAGAUAAAACUAAUGGGAAUAUAUAGUAGUUGAGUGAAUAAACUCUCUUAAUGGUCUUGACUAUUUUCUAAUGAUUGGCUCGGUUGCUGCAGUAUCUGUUGCAACACUAGGCAGAAUCCUUAUGUAUCCUCAGCCGUCGCAUGUUGGAUAUCUUAUAUCUAUAUGCAACCUAACAGUGAUCAGUUGCUAUGCCAACAUGAGAUAUAACAUUACACGCUUAGGUUCUAUUUACCCUACAAGGUGAAUCCUUACUUCUAGUUCAUCACUAAUCUUAAAUCAAGCAUGGCCCUUUUGGAACUCAAGUAAAACUCAAUCCGGAAAACUUAAUUUAAGAUCAAGUAUUGUUCUGAUAUGUUCCACUAAGAUAAGCCCUUUUGCGGCUCUUCAUUAGCUAGUAUCAUUAAAAUGGGUGAUCAACCGAAAUAACGAAUAAAAUAAAUACUAUCAAAACAAACUGCUACAACAAACAUGCAGCAACACAUAUAUUCAGUCAAUAAACCAUCAAGAUUGUUUAUCACUCAACCACAAAUAAAUUUAGUUCAUGGUUCGCAAAAGAAAAACAAAGAACAAAGUUUUAGCCAUGAAACACAUCCCCAUGAAUAAAUAGAAAACACGAAAACAAGAGAAGGAUUGAGCUCCCAAUUGAUCUCUGUAAUUUUUCCUCUUGUGUAGCCUUCAAUCUCUCUGUUGAAUCCUGUUUUUCUUUUGUUUCUUUGUGUUUUUCUCCUUGGGUGACGGCCCUCCCUUUUCCUUAUAAUGUGUGCUUCUUUUAUAAUUGAAAAUUAGGGUAAACGGAACCCUAGGGCGACCAUAAGUCAGAUUAGGAAACUACAUAUCGCAAUUCUGUAAGUAUCCCGCACGGAAUUUUCUCUUUCAUUGUUCCAGGAUUGCUACAGCAACGGCUACAGCAACUGCACUGUUCUAGAUUUGUUUCAAUUCUUUUAUAGCCACGUUCUUCCUCCUUUUUGCCAUUCUAUUGCAUCAGCAUUCCUUCCAUGAAUUAUAAGCUUCUGGAAACCUACAAUUAUGCACACAAUUUGAGCAUGAAUUAGUUUAAAUCAAGUAAAACUUAUUAAGACUAAACUAAAAUGAAUGUUUAUGCAAAAUGUAACACAAAUGCAAUAAAAACACAUCAUUUACUCUCUAAGUGAUCUUGAUUUAAGUCUAGAAUUGUCAUAUUUUGUUAAUUUAUGUAUUUUUUAUUUAUAUGGUCGGUUCUACCGCCUAGCAUUUUAAUUUCAGUUUAUUUAUUCUUGUACGUUAAUUUAUUUAAUUUUAUGUUUUAUUAUAUGGCUGGUUUUAAAAUACUGCCUAAACUGUUUAUUUUAAUUUCUUUGUUUAUGGUUGGUUUCACCGCCUAAUUUAUUUAUUUAUUUAUUUUCAGUUUGUUUAUUUUCAUUUCCCAUUUUUUUUAAUUUCUAAUUUAUUUUUAUUUUCUGCAAUUUUCAUUUAGCGUUUUAGCAUUGCAUUGCAUGCAUGCGUCGUUGGUCUCGUACAAAUAGUGGCAGAUUAGUUAGGAAGUCACCUUCACCACCCUUAGAUAUGGCUGACAUAGGAGCUGGAAAUUUUUCAGAGUACGAAGAUAACCAAGCCUUGCAAAAUCUUCAUGAACAGCCUAGGGCCCUUAGAGACUUCAUGCAUCCCACUAUAACAAGGUCACCAUCAUGCAUAGUUUUCCCUCCUGAUGCAUCACGUUUUAAUUUCAAACCUGAUAUCAUUCAACUUCUUCCUACUUUUCAUGGUUUUGAGUUUGAAAAUCCAUAUUUGCAUUUAAGGAAAUUUGAGGAAGUUUGUAACACAUGUACUGAUCAAAAUUGUAGCAUGAAUAUAAUCAGGCUUAAGUUUUUUCCUUUAUCAGUAAAAGAUAAAGCUAAAACUUGGCUACAAAAUCUUAGGCCAAGAUCCAUCAGAACUUGGGAUGAAAUGCAAGCACAAUUUUUGAAAAAAUUCUUCCCACCCCACAGAACUAAUUCUUUCAAAAGACAAAUCACCACAUUCAUUCAAAAACCAGGAGAACCCAUCUACCAAUGUUGGGAUAGGUUUAAAGAACUACUUAAUAUUUGCUCACACCACGGUUUUGAAACAUGGAGAUUAGUGUCUUAUUUCUACGAGGGAUUAACAUCCCAAGGUAGACAAGUCGUUGAAAUGAUGUGCAAUGGUGAGUUUAGGGAUAAAAGUCCUGAAGAUGCAUUAGACGAUCUUGACUUUAUAGCAUAGAAUACACAACACUGGGAUACAGUUGGGUCUUAUGAGUUAUCAAGUAAACCCAAGCCAUCUCCAUCUGGUGGAGGCAUGUAUAACCUUAGGGAAGAACAUGAUUUUCAAGCCAAAUUUGCAUCCUUAGUUAGAAAAGUCGAAGCAUUAGAGUAAAAAAAGAAUGAUCAUGUAAAGUCUGUUCAAAAUAUUUCAUGUUAUAUUUACGAUUCUACUGACCAUUCUACGUAGGACUGUCCAACUUUGCCAGCUCUGAGAGAAAGUUUGAUUGAACAAGUAAAUGUCGUUGACAAUUUCAAAAGGCCAAAUCCAAAUCCAUACUCACAAACACAUCUGGCUGGAGAAACCACCUAAAUUUUAGUUGGAGAAAUGACAAUCAUGCACAACCUGCAUUACCAGUUUCUCCACGUCAAAAUUUCCAAAACUCCCAGAGUUACCAACCAUAUGUCCCACCACCAAGAAAAACUCUAGAAGACACAUUGCAUUCAUUUAUUGAAAAACAAGAGUCAAUCAAUAACCAAACGAUGCAAACCUUAACCAAUUUAACAGAAACUAUCUCCAAACGUACAUCUACUCUGACCAUGCAUGAUAAAAGAAAGUUUCCUGCUCAACCUAAACCAAACCCCAAGAGUCAUAAACAUCCGCAAAUGGGAAAUUCAGGAAACCAAAUAUAUGAGUCAAGUCAAAUCGGUUAUAACCCUUCGUGGUGGUAAAGUGGUCAAAAAACACAUUGUGGACCCUCGUGAAACUAGUACAGAUUCAAUUUCAGAAAAUAGGGAAGAGUUUGUAGAACCUUUAACCCAUGAAGAGAUAACCAACUCUCCUCCUUUACCCCCAUUUCCUCAAGCACUAAUCAAGCCAAAGAAAUUAAACCACAGUCCAGAAAUUUAUGAAGUUUUUAAACAAGUAAAGGUCAACAUUCUUCUGCUGGAUGUCAUUAAACAGGUGCCUUCUUAUGCUAAAUUUCUUAAAGAUCUAUGCACGGUGAAAAGGAAACAUAAGGUGCAAAAGAAAACUUUUCUAGCAGAACAUGUAAGUUUCAUUCUCUCAACCAAUAGUGCUUUGAAAUACAAGGAUCCUGAUUGUCCAACUAUUUCUUGCACUAUUGGGGAUCAUAAAAUUAGACACGCUUUACUUGAUCUUGGUGCUAGUGUUAAUUUGCUUCCUUACUCAGUGUACCAACAACUCAAUCUCGGUUAGUUAAAACCAACUUCUACCACUUUUUUACUUGCUGAUUGAUCGAUUAAGGUUCCAAAAGGAAUAAUUGAAGAUGUAUUAGUCCAAGUCGAUAAAUUCAUAUAACAUGUGGAUUUUAUUAUUUUGGAAACAGAACUAAUUGCUAAUGAAUGCAAACAAAUUCCCGUUAUAUUAGGUCGAUAAUUUUUAGCCACUAUUAAUGCUUUGAUUAAUUACAGGAAUGGAUUAAUGAAUUUAUCUUUCGACAACAUGACAUUGGAACUCAAUGUGUUUAACAUGUGUAAAUAACGUUACCACCAAGAAGAUGAUGAUAACGAGAAUAAGAAGAUUGAUCUCAUCAAGCCAAUCAUUAAGGAACACAUUCAGGAUGAGAAUUUUACAAACUCUGGGGAAAUUUGUUUUGCUGGUUCUUUUCAAUUAAGUAAAGAAUUAAAUUGUGAUACUGCUAAGGUAUGUUGUACACUUGAUUUUAUAAAGGUACAUACAGGUGACGAUGACCAAUCGAACUUUGAAGAUACGAUACAACAUGAAGAACCAAAUGAAGAGGAAGCACCAGAGCUCGAAUUAAAGCCCUUAUCAAAAGAAUUGAAGUAUGCAUAUCUUGGAGAGCAGUAGACAUAUCUGGUGGUAAUUUUUCCCAGCUCACGUAUGAUCAAGAAGGUAAAUUGUUAUCUAUACUAAAAAGGCAUAAAACUGCAUUUGGUUGGACUUUAAAAGACAUAAAAGGCAUUAAUCCUUUAAUUUGCACACACCGAAUACACUUAAAGGAAAAUUCCAAAAAAACCCGCCAACCAUAAAGAAGACUAAACCGUCAUAUGAAAGAGUGGUAAAGAAUAAGGUCCUUAAACUACUAGAUGUAUGAAUUAUCUAUCAUAUCUCUGAUAGUAAAUGGGUAAGUCCAACACAAGUAGUACCAAAGAAAUAUGGAAUAACCGUUGUAAAAAAUGAAAAAGGUGAACCAAUCCGAACACGAAUUCCAUCUAAUUGGUGCCUGUGCAUUGAUUACAAAAAAUUAAAUGAUGCCACUAGAAAAUAUCAUUUUCCCCUUCCAUUUCCAGACCAAAUUCUCGAAAGAGUAGCUAGACAUCCCUACUACUGCUUUCUUGAUGGUUACUCUGGCUAUUAUCAAAUCCCUAUAGCCUUAGAAGACCAGGAAAAGGCCACAUUGACAUGCCCAUUUGGAACAUUUGCAUUUAGAAUAAUGCCCUUUGAACUUUGUAAUGCUCCUGCAAUAUUUCAAAGGUGCAUGCUAAGCAUUUUUAGUGACAUGGUUGAAAAUUAUCCAGAGGUUUUUAUGGAUGAUUUAACUGUAUUUGGUAAUUCUUUUGAUACAUGUCUUGAUAAUCUAGAAAAAGUUUUGAAAAUGUGCAAAGAGAAAUGACUAGUUUUAAAUUGGGAAAAAUGUCAUUUCAUGACCACUUCUAGAAUUGUUUUGGGUCAUGUUGUGUAUUCAAAAGAAAUUGAAGUUGACAAAGUCAAAGUUGAAGUCAUUUCAAAAUUACCCUCACUAAAGAUAAUUAGAGAAGUUCAUUCCUUUUUAGAAUAUGCAAGAUUUUAUAGGAGGUUUAUAAAAGACUUUAGUGCCAUAUCUAGACCACUUUGUAGCCUCCUAAUAAAAGACUCACCUUUUGAAUGGACUAAAGAUAGCAAA
rnacentral:lncRNA from 1 species